AAGAAAGAGGUUUUGAUGGAUGGGAAGAUCCCCUCCUCUUUUUUCUCUCAUCUCUUCAAACUACCAAAUGUUAUUCUUUGGGAGGAAGUGAUUUGAGAGAUCUCUUAUUCUAAAAGGUAUGAGAAGAGAUAAGAAGGAGGGACUAGACCGUGGUGGUGGUGGAGAGGACGGCAGCAGUGGAAAUGUCAUCUUUCGAGUCACCGAAGAUGCGUUGACGAAAGUCAGAAACCAUAAGGGGAAGGCCCUUUCGAAGGGACACGGUGGGCUCCCAACCAAGAAGGUCCUUAACUUUAGAAAUGUCAGGUUUUCUUUUAUGGGUCAUCUUCCGUGUUCGGUCUGAACUCUAUCUUUGCAUUUGGAUCUAUUGUCUCUUGCACUACCUGCACAAUAACUUUAUUGGUUAGAAAGAAAGUACUUAAACAAAAUAUUUUAGUGCAUCUCGAGUUGCACCUAUAUUUGUGUCACUUAUUCAAAUAUUCGAUGAAAAGCGAACACAUAUAUAACAAUUAUUUUGUUGAUAUGGAACCAUUUGGGUAGCUUCAUAAAAUAGAAUUAAGGAUCUAUAUUUAAAAUAGACUGUAUCAUAUAAAUUAUUAGGAUGUCCUUUUUUAUCACAAUUUAAGUCUAUAGUUUAACUUGUUAGAAAAUAAAGAAAUGCAACCUUAUAAAGUGUUUUGAUCUAUAGAUAAUAACUAAGUCGACUAUUCUUAAAAUUAGUUUUGCUUCUCCAUGAAUUCAGUUUUGGUUGUACAAAACAAAAUAUUUUAUUGAAAAAACCUACGAGACAAGAAAAGUUUAAAACAUUGUUAUGGAAAGAAAACCUAUUAGUGUUUAUCUAUUGAUGUAAAAUUUUGUUAUAUUUUAUAAAUAUUUUAAUUCAUUAUCCUCUAUUUGAAAAUAAGUGUUUGUAAUAUAACUAAAACCAAUAUCAAUAGUUUGAAUUGGUUGGUCAAUUUACUUAAAAUGCUAAAAUAGCUCCCACCAAUACAAACUUAUUAUUAAUUUUAAAAUCAUAUUUUUUUUACUUACAAAAAAAAUAAUAUACAUACCUAUAUUCAUUUUAAUUUUAUGAUUUUGUUAGAGUUUAUUUUUUCAUAAGAUUCAAAUUAACCAUCCCAAUUAUCUCAACUUAAAUGUUUCAUGAAUGAAGUUAAUUAUUUAUUACGUGAAAGAAACUUAGAGGGCAAAGCAAUUAGGGUUGAUGAGUAAAUGUUCCAAAAAAAGGAUUAAACCUAAAUAUUUUAAAUGCUAAAAGAGAGUAGAUUAGUUUAGGAGUAUAAAUGUGAGAAUGGGGGAGUAGAGAGCUGACUUGAGCAAGUUCGAGCAUAGUGAAUUCGCCGGGGUUGCCCAGAUUAAAAGGCCCCGUGCUCGCCUUCCAUCAGUUUCAUUAGCCCUCCACCUGUGACAGUUUAUUUAUUAUUAUUAUUAUUAUUAUGUAAAACUCUAAACAAUAUCACAAUAUUAAAUUAAUUACAAAGUUAUAUAAUAUCCUAUCUUUAAAAAUCACAUUUGCUAAAUUCGAAAUUAAGAUGAAACAGUCCGUUAAUUUUGUAGUGGUAAUAAAUAAGUGUGUAUAUAUUUUACCAGAUCAGAAACGUAUUGAAAACUCAGGGUUUGCUUGCCAUCUCCAUAAACUAUCAACGGCUCCUUUCUUAAUGCCUGUGGGAGUUUUCACAAUAUAAUAUUUACUAUACUUUUCAAACUUUAAUCCAACAUAACGUUGGGGGGUAAUAUAUUAAUAAUUAUGCAAUUAAUUACUUUGUGACCACCAAGAAAUAACAAACUUACUUACUGUUGCAUUGUUAUAUCCAAGCAAGGUUAACAAGUGAAGUUACAAGCAACAGAAGAUGGAUACUAAUCUCCAAAAAAAUAACCGGAUAUCAUUUCUAAGAAAAGAAAGAGAACCACAUUUACCUUUGUCACCUUAUGCUACCUCGAGAUUAUUAAGCUUUGCACAGUGAGGAGUUGGGAGAUUUUUAUUCCACUGGAGUCUCUGGAGUUCUACGUCACAAUAACGCGAAACAAGGUUUCGAUAAUCCCUUAUCACACUGUUCUCUAUUUCAGCUCGAGCUGGGCUUCCAAGAGGAUAUCUUACAUCAAAAUUUGAUGAUUUGACAAAAAAUUCCACGCCAUGUUUCUCUGUAACCAUAGGAAUACUAUAGAAUUGAUUUUCAUGCAAAGAAUAUUCAGGCUCUGGAAAUGGCAUAUAGACCAACAAGUAAAUUAACAAUGGUAACAUUAGAAGAAUGAUAAAAAAUUUGGGACCUCUCCCAUCAGAUUCAGUCUUCUGUUGGCUUUCCCUACCUCCGUUGGGAUCAAUUUUAUUUUCAGACGAAUCAUGAUUCGUUUCACUUCUCCGAUGCCUUGCAUUCUGCUGUUGGUGCUGAUACUGAUCCUAGCUAAACUCGGGUUAAAGAGUUAUGUUUAUAUUUGUAUAUUUUAAUGGAGUUAAUUGCAAAUACAACGAUUAGAUACAAAAUAUUUGCAUAUGUAACACAUAUUGUAUUGCUAAUAUAAAUAUAUCACUCAUAGAAUUUGCUAUAAUUAUACUUGUUUAAACAUACUAAUACACACUUAAUCUUCUUAGUUCAAUAAUGGUAUGGAGUGGAACAAACUUCCUACAUUAGGAUAAAAGGGUCACACAAAUUACCUUCGUAGUAAACUUACUUUUGACAUUAUUCAUUUAACUUAGGGUAAGUAUAAUGGAUUAGCAAUUUUAUGAAUAAUAAUUAAGUAUAUAACAAUAUCUUUUAAAAAUUGUAAAUGUAGCAAAAUAUAUUUGUGAUAGAUUUAUAUCGUUAAUAGACUCUUAUGCUUAUAAGCGAAUGACAUAUGUGAUUUAAAAUAACUGCAGCAAUUAGUUUAAAAUGUUGUUAUAUAUCUACGAAUUUCUUAAUUGUUAUAUUCAUUUGUCAUUAGUUGUAUUUAAAAGGGAUGACCAGAAAAACAUUAAAACAAGAGGUUUACUUUUGAUAAAAGAAAAUUUAAAUUUAAAUUGCUAAAAUAGCAAAAUGUCCAUGUUUAAGUGAAAAACUUGCAUCCCAAAUAAAAUUAUUCAACAAUAAUCACGGUCGAACUCAAACUCCCAAAAACAAUGAUUACAUUUAUUCCCUAAUUUGCUAAUUCAUUUUGGAUUAGGUUUAUUUUGACAACAAUAAAAAAUUGAGGUGUGGAACAAUGAUAUUAUAAAUGCCAAAGAGUAGUUAAGAUGCAAAAUAUAAAUUUAUAUUUGCAAUAUUAGGUCAAAAUGAAUGAUAAUUUAGUUAGAUUUUUGUCAAAUAAAUAAAAAUGUGAACCAUACCAAAAGCAAAUAUAGAUGCUUUUUUAUUAUUGAAUUUUCAUAGAAUAAAUAAUAAAAAAAAGUAGAAAAUAUUUGCCUUUUAACUUUUUCUUUUUAAUUUUCAUAGAAAAUAUUUAAUCCAAAAAUUAAAUAACUCUCCUCCACGGUCAAUUUUCUUUCCCUCUUCUUCAACCUCAACGGUCUCUUUUAUUUCAAAUUUCUUUCCCCUUUUUCUUCUCGAUCGGUUUACUCUGCCUCAUCUCCCCUUCUCUUCUUCGUCUUCCUCAAACCCUGCGUAUUUCCUAUCUCUCAAAUUCCAUUUCGCUCUUCCUAUACCUCCAAAAUUUCGCUCUCCUCUCUAACGUGAAGCAGCCAAGAAACUCUAUCUUGCGACAUACCCAUCUCGUCGAUCCACCACUUUCUUCUUCUUCUAGCCUUAACGGUGCCGAAAUCAAGGGCCGCAGACCCCCUCGGAAACCCAAGUCUUCCAAAGAAAAUUCUCCACCCUCAGAUCGGUUUUCGAUUCCAAAUCCUGAAGAGCCCGCUUCCACCUAGGCCUCCCUCUUCUAACCCGACCGUUCCUGAGAGUUCGCUAUCACAUACUGCUUUUUUACCUGUGUUGUUGAAUCCCGAUCCAAGUAAAUGCUAAAAUAAUGUUGCUAAUAUCUGGAAUAUGGUAUUAUUGAAUUUAGUAUAAAUAAAUAAAUAAAUAAAAGAAGUAUACCUGUAACAACUAACAGUUGUGGGCACUGUCGGAAAAAGGCAAUGAAUUUGUAAAUCGAAGUGCAGAUAGUUCUGUUGUUUAGGAUGGAAAAGCAUGAGUAUCACGUUUCUAUAUUCAACGGACUGGUACUUGUAAAAUUUAGGAUCAUAAUCAUUUUAUUAUGCAGAGACUGGCAGAUGGUUUAAGUAGCUGGUUCCGGAGGCAGAAGCUAACAGGUGCAGCUGGGGAGCGCUUGAAGGAAGCACGCAAUAUCAACCGACCACUCUCACAACUCGGGUAACCGAUCAAAACUAUUGGAGAUAUUUCAAAUUUCAUUUAAGCAGUGAUCUUUCCAAUGAUUUUUUCUCUAUUUAUUUUGUAAUGUCAAUUAGUUGGCUAAUUAUUUAUCAGAAUGCUUGUUGAUAUCGCUGCAUGUUUUAUUUUGUAAUGUUUGUACUUUUUAGUUGUGAUUUGUGAAUAUGCUAGGAUUGAUUUGAUUUGCUCUUCUGACUGUUAAGAUCGGAAUGAUGUUGCUCAUCUGAAAGAAGGCACAUCAUGUGCUUGAAGACUUGUAGAGUAUGGAGAGUGAAUGGUCAAAUUUGAGGAAUCGUAUCUGCUGGCUUUGUAGUCCAAACAGGUUGUCUGGCUAACUUUCUUUUUCUCAUUUUCAACCAAUUAGGAUAGCUGUCAUGUUUUUUGAAUUCCUUGCCAUUGUUGAGUAGUAACUUGGCAUUUGUUUAUUAAAAGGUUUUAAUUAAGAUUAUGGUGUUCAUAACUUUGUAGUCACACUAAAUAACUUAAAAGAGUUAGUUUGACAGUUGACAAACAUGAUAGUAAUGUGAUAGUGAGUGCAAGGGUAAAAAGAGUUGCUUCUGUUGGGUUAAAGUGAUGUUUGUGUUUUUUAGUGUGAUGUUUUUGUUUUCAAGUUCGUUAGUAGACGUAUUACUUAAUUGAAAAUUUUGAUACCGUAGCCAGUGUAGGGGAAGAUGAAUGGAGGGUGCUAUUAGACUAGUUAAGACUUAUAUGUAUCCUAAUUUUAGUAAUAUAUAAAAUUGAGAGAAUUUCCUUUGAUUUUCAGGAACAAGGAUGAAUAAUCAAUGAAAAAUGAAUGAAAAGGUUUAUCCAUGCAAGCUUCAAACCAAAGUCAAGGAUGUCGAUCCUUCCAGGGAGUCCAAAGUUCCCCCCUUAUUUUUCUCCAUUUACUUUGAUUUUCAAAAGCUUUUAGGACAGAAAAAGCAAUUUUUUGAGUGGGUGUGGGUAAUAGCUUGCUUAGCUUGCAUGUUUAGUGUAAACUUGGGGGUUCAAAUUUUGCCCAAAUUUCAAAAUUUUUCAGAAUUCUUUCCAUACAAUAAUGAGCAUUAUACCUUCUUAGCUUAAUUAGAUCUUGCAUAAAAAGCAUGAUUGGCAACCCUUGAGCACUGAGCUCGGGUUUAUGAUGUGAAAUUCUGAAUUUUGAUGAGUAUAUGUGCUGAAAUUUGAGCAUAAGCUGCUGUCUUUUUUGUUUUAAGCUCCUUUUAGCUAUUUCUUAUUGAGAUGUGAAUGCAUGAUUGAGAAAAUGGUAUGUGUGUUGUGAAUGCUUGAUUGCAUGUAUAAUAAAUAAGUGCAUGGAUACUUUUCUAGCUUUGUCUUCCUUUGUUGCUUUGUCGUGACUUACCUAUGACGCACUUAGUCCAAACCUAGCCUAGAUAGAGUAACAAAGGAUAGGAGGCACUCUUUAGAAACUGGGAUGGUUUUAACAAGUUUAUCUUGUCAAACAUGAGUUAGAAGCCUCUUGUCUAGCCACAGUGAACUAAAUCCCUUUAGAAAAGGGUCGACAUUAACAAAACUUAUUGUCACUUCGAAGGGAGCAAUCAAACUUAAUUAGUAACUAAAUGUAGAACCAUAGAAAGGUUAGCCCACCGGUUCUAGCAAGACCUUGUUACCACAUUGCAUACCAAAGAAACAAAAGAGAGACUUGCAAAUGCAAAACGUAAAAAGGUUAGACAAUCAAGAGCUAUAAAAAAACAAACAACACAUGCAAUAUACAUUAGAAAAAUCCCAUAAAAAAGCAAAGAGCCAACUUGGUUCGGUCAAGUAGAAUGUGUUGAGUUCCCUAACUAUCAGAGCUUUUAGCAGAAAACUUUACUUUUGGCCUAACCAAAACCAAACCACCUACUCUUAGCGUUCUAAACUUAGCAUCGAGUUUGAUGAGGGCUUUGAAAAGAGGAGGAAUCCUCCCCGAUCCACAUUAGGGGGAAAACAAGGCUUGUUGUCACUCCGAAGGGAGCAGUCAAACUUAGCAUUGAGUUUGACGAGGGCUUUGAAAAGAGGAGGAAUCCUCGUUCCAUAGUAGGGGAAAACGAGGCUUGUUAUGAGGGUUUUCCCUUGGGAAAUUAUUAUAAAAGUGACAAAUGAAAAUAUUGAUUGGUUUCUGAACCACUGUGGUGCCCUUGUUUGUUAUUUUCCCUUAUGUUGCUCUAUGCUUGGUUUUCUAAUUGAUAAUAUCAUCUUAAAGUGUUCUAAUUGAUAGCACAUAUCUCUUAGUGUUAGUACUUUCUUACCUUUUCUCUCUUACAUAUAUAAGGGAUAUGUUGAGCAUUUUCGCUAGCAAGGAUUAUGUACUUAACAAGGCUUAGUGGAUUAGAGAGUUAAGAAAUUUGCAUAUGCUUGCAUCCAGACUGUACACCAUAAUAGGUAAUUAGUUUUUUCCAUUUCAACAUUCCUUAUUAAAAACUUAUCCUUUUUAACGUUUUGAAUGGAAAAACAAAUGUUUGAUCUAUCAUUGUUGAUUUUGUUGGCUUUCUAUGCUAUGAUCCUUUAAUUGUAUAUGAUAUAUUUCUUUUGUUGAAAAGUGAUAUAUUUCUUAGAUUUUGUUCAGAUAUAUAUAAUUGACAUAAAGGUUUUUUUACCUUCAGCUAACGAAUUCAGACUGAUCUUAUUUAUAUAUAUGAUAAGUUGUCUUUAUUUUUCCUCUGAAUUAUUCUUACUUGAUGUUGUUCUUGAUAGAAACCAAUUGAGGAAUCAACUUUUGGCUGCACCUGUGAACUCUAACACACCUGCAACUCUAUUGUUAGACACAAUUAUUUUCUUAUUACAACCUGAACUCCCAUGGGUUUGUAAAAUUGUUGGUUACUUCCUGGAAAGAAAUGCAUAUGCGUUGAUUAGGGAUAUCACUUUGACAGGGAAGGUAUAAAUGUACUUCCUUUUUUUCUACUUGCAAGUGGUUUUUUUUAUAGAUAUUCUGUUUUGCCGUGGAUUAUCCUCUGCAGGUGUUUUCAGAGAACUAAUUCACACUCAAACUAUUGCAGGAAAGUGCAGAUUCACAUUCCAAGAGUUCAUUGGCUUCUCUAGAACAUCUGCUGUCUCUUUUGAGUUCUCAUGUUGGUAAGAAGCCAUGUUGUUGCCCACGUGUUGAUCCCAAUUGGAGUUUCUCCUCUCAAAUUCUUACUCUUCCUUUACUGUGGCGGACAUUCACAUUUCACACCUCUCUCUACCCAAUGGACAAAGUUGCAUGUGUCAUCCUCUACUAGGUUGUGUACCUUGCUGUUUGGAUAUAAUGGCGUUAGUAAUGGUUAAAGGUCAUGUUUUCUCAAUAACGAGAAACAUAACAUGCAUGUACUUCAUUUAAAAAAGAAAAAAAAACUCUAUAGAUUUUUUUUGAAAAGAUCUUUUUAAGUACAACUUGGUGUGGGACAUAAAAAAUUAUGACUAUUCUAGCAUACAGAAUGGAGUUAGUUCCAGUACUCUGGAGUUUUAUUAAAAAGUGCCACGAGAAUAAAAAAUGGUCAUCCUUUUCAGAGAAAUUGGCAUAUUUAUCAGGAGAUGCACCUGGUUGGCUAUUACCUUUGGCUGUUUUUUGUCCUGUGUACAAGUAAGAUUAUCUUCUUUAUUCCUGUUCCUCUACUUUUGAAUUUCGCUUUAAUUCCUCAUCUGAUGUUAUAUAAUUAUAUGGUAUGUUAUAAGAUUCGGCAUGUCCUGAUCACUUCUUUCCUUAUCAAUCAGGCACAUGCUCAUAAUAAUUGACAAUGAGGAGUUUUAUGAGCAGGAGAAGCCACUAUCGUUAAAGACAUAGAUGCCUGAUCGUUAUUUUAAGACAGGUGAGCUCUUUAAUUCCAUCAUAUGUCCAAAAAGAUACCCAUACCCUCCCACUCAAGACACUUAAGUAAUUGCUCAGAGAAAUAACAAAAUACUUGGCCCCACUCUAACAAACACAUUCCUAAGGGCCCACACAAAUAGAAAAAUACCAACUAACUCUCAAUCAUUCUUUCUUCUUCCUAUUCUUGUCUCUACGGGAAUACACGUUUACUAUGGGAGGUCUAUCAUUAUCCGCCCCCAAAGAGCCACCUUGUCCUCAAGGUGGAAUUCAGGAAACUGUUCUUGAAUAAGAGCAGCUUGUUCCCAUGUUGCACUUUCAAGUGUCCCCUCACUCCAACGGAUCAAAACUUCUAAGUUGUCCUCCUUUUCUAUUGUUUUGCGAACUCCCAAUACUUCUACUGGAGACACUUGCAUAGACAAAUCAGCAGCCAAAUCUUUUGGAAUUGGGAAUAAUGGCCUGUUUGAACUCACAACCUUGCGAAGAACAGAAACAUGAAAGAUGGGUGUAUAAGCGAUUCCUUGGGAAAGGCCAAACGGUAUGCAACGAAACCAAUUCGUGCCACGAUCAUAAAUGGACCAAUGAAUCUUGGGGCCAAUUUGGGGUGCUUAAAACGGCUGAGAGAGGACUGUUGGUAAGGGCGUAACUUCACAUAACCCAAUCAUGAACCUUAAACAGAACCUCCUGUCUUUUAGCAUUAGCAUAUUUGACCAUUCGCUGCUGUGCUUUCAGUAAAUUGGCCUUCAAAACACCCAAAAUUUCAUCUCUUUCUUUCAUCAAAUGGUCUACUUCAUUCACCCGACUCGAGCCCUUCACAUACGGUAAUAUAGAGGGGGUGGUCGCCCAUAGAGGGCCUCGAAGGGGGUCAUCAAUAUGGCUGUACGGACUGUUGUAUUAUAGCUCAAUUCAACCCAAGCUAGCCAUUUAACCCACUGUUUAGGUGUGUUCAUAGCAAAACACCGUAGAUACGUCUCCACCCCUCGAUUGACAACUUCUGUUUGACCAUCCGUUUGGGGGUGGUAAGUGGUGCUUCGUCUCAACUGAGUUUCCAACAACCUCCACAACUCUUCCCAGAAUAGACUUGUGAAAAUACGAUCACGAUCCGACACUAUACUUCGGGGGCAUCCAUGCAAACGAAUAAUCUCUCGCAUAAAAACAGCAGCAACCACUUUUGCACCAAAUGGAUGUUUCAAGGGAAUGAAAUGUGCAUACUUGGAAAGACGAUCCGCAACUACCAAUAUAACAUCAUAACGCUCGGAUUUGUGGAGGCCCUCAAUAAAAUCCAUACUAAUAUCUUCCCACACACGGUCCGGAAUGGGUAAUGCUUGAAGGAAACCAGCCGGAGUUAAAGACAAGUAUUUGGCUUGCUGACACACGGAACAUUCAGCAACAUAGGUGCGGAUAUGGGCUUUCAUACCUCGCCAAUAGACCUCCCUUGCUAGCCUUUGAUAUGUUUUCAAUGCACCAUGAUGUCCCCCUAUCGGGCUGUUAUGGAACUCAGCUAAUAAUAAAGUAAUAUCAGGUGAAUCCUCCUCCUUGUAGCAAAUAUCCAUCUGGAGCUGGCUGUCCAUUUAUCAAGGACAAUCGAAUAUUGUUAAGAGAUUCAUUUCCAGCCACUUGAUCGAUGAAAACCGAAGGGUUUAGCCCGCCCACAAUACUUACGAGGCCCAAUUCAAAUACCGGUGGUAAUCUCUAUAAGGCAUCGGCCGCUUUGUUUUCCAAUCCUUUCUUGUACUCAAUCACAAAAUCAUACCCCAAUAGUUUAGCGAUCCAUCUCUGAUAUUCUCCCCCGAUAGCCCGUUGUUCAAGAAGAAACUUCAAACUUUUCUGAUCUGUACGCACCACAAAAGGCUUACCCAAUAGAUAUGGUCGCCAUUUUUGAACAGCCAGCACUAUUGCCAUAAGCUCCCGUUCAUAAACAGCCUUAAACCUAUGGGUAAUAGGUAAAGCUUGACUGAAAAAGGCCACUGGUCGUUGAUUUUGCAUUAGGACAGCCCCAAUACCCACACCCGAAGCAUCAGUUUCCAGCACAAAACUUUGUGAAAAAUCAGGAAUACCUAGCAUCGGGACAGACAUCAUUGCUGACUUUUAACUGCUGAAAUGCGUUCUCGGUCGUCUCAUUCCACUUAAAGUUACCUUUUUUUAACAGUUGUGUCAAGGGGGGCAGCCAAUAGAACCGUAGUUUGCAACGAAUUUCCGAUAAUACCCCGUUAGCCCCAAAAAACCCACCUAGCUCCUUCACGUUCUUGGGUGCUGGCCAUUUAACCAUCGCUUCUAUUUUUGUUGGAUCCGCUGCCCCCCUCUGAAGAAAUAACAUGGCCCAAGUAUUCAAUUUUGUCAACCGCAAAUUGGCAUUUUUUAAAGUUGGCUACCAGUUGAUGAGCUACUAGAGUUUCCAAAACCAUUGCCAAUUGGUGCAAAUGCUCGUCCAAGGACUUGCUGUAAAUUAAGAUGUCAUCAAAGAAAACCAAAACAAACUUGCGUAAAUAUGGGCGAAGAACAUCACUCAUGAUUGAUUGGAAUGUUGCCGGAGCAUUUCAACCCAAACAGCAUCACAAGGAAUUCAUAGGGCCCCUCGUGGGUUCGAAACGCUGUUUUGUGAACAUCGGCUGCCCGCACCCGAAUUUGCUGAUAACCUAACUUUAAAUCAAUUUUGGAGAAUAUGGUUGCCCCAAAUAAUUUGUCCAACAGUUCAUCAACAACAGGAAUCAGAUACUUAUCUGGUAUAGUGGCAAGAUUCAGUGCUCGGUAAUCAACGCAAAAUGCCAGCUACCAUCCUUUUUCUUAACAAGGAGCACUGAAAAGGCACUUUUGCUUGGCUGAAUUAUUCCGGCUAGCAGCAUUUCCUUAACUAGUUUCUCUAUCUCAUCUUUCUAAAAUUGGGGAUAACGAUACGGGCGCACGUUCACUGCACGAGCCCCUGGUUCUAAUUCAAUAGCAUGAUCAUGAUCGCGAGGUGGGGGUAAUUGAUUGCUUGGUUCAAACACAACGCUAAAGGACUGAAGAACUUUUUGAAUUUCUGGUUGUAGUUUACUCAAGUAGUCUGCUAUGUGUUCCCUUGCUUCGCCCACUCCCCACUGUACAACUGCACUUAAUUCGAUUGACACGCCUUGAUCUUCCUUCUCAAAGGUUUUCAUUAUCGAUUUCAGUGACACUUGGGAUCUUACUAAACUUCUAUCCCCUUGAAGAAUUACCACCCAUUCACCCAGUGAGAAUUCCAUCUCCGACAACUUGUAAUAAAAAAUUACUUUCCCUAACAUUUCCAACCAAGUAACUCCUAAUAUAACGUCAGCACUCCCGAGUGGUAGAGGGAGAAAAUCGUGAGUGAUUGAUAAAUUGGCGAUUGUCAGGUUUACAUCCUUACACACACUGGUUGCUUGGACUAUGCCUCCGGUUCCCAGAACAACCCCAUAUGCAUCCAUGGUUUCUACUGAAAUUUUUAGCUCUUUGACUACCUCUUCUGCAAUAAAAUUGUGCGUGGCUCCCCAUCGAUCAGCACCACAACCUCACGUCCCCUUAUUUCUCCUUUAAUUUUUAUGGUUUUCGGCGAAUUGAAACCUACCAAUGAAUUUAUCGACAGAUUCACUAUUUUUGUAUUGACUUCCUUAUUCCCGUUGGUUUCGAUUUCUUCCCCCACUUGAUCGGUUUUGUCACUUAAGUCUUCCCCUUCUUGUACAGCAAUGAUGUUCAAUUCACGUCUUUUGCAGCGGUGCCCUAGACUAAACUUCUCGUCACAUCUAAAACACAAACCUUUUUCCUUCUUAAUCCGCACUUCGUUGUCAGUCAUUCGGCGGUAUGGUUGAGACAACGUACUCUUCGCGCCCGAUUCCUGCGAUGAAGUAAUCGUCGUGGACGAGUACGACGAAUUUCGCUAGGGUUAAUCGUAAUCGUUCGUGAUGUAGCGACCCGAUCUGAGGCCUUUGACCCAGUUUGACUUCUCGACCUGCUUGGCCCACUAUUUGACAUUUUAAUUGAUAAAUUAGGGUUUCCACUUGCCCCAUGAAUUCUCUUCAAUUGAACCACUCGAUCAUCUUCUCAAUUAUUUGGGCCAUUAACAUUUUAGCCUCUAGGCCCACUGAAUUCAAUUUUCAGAUCUCACUUUGAAUCUCUUCCUUCAGCCCACACACAAACUUACUUUCUAGGGCUGCAUCACUCAUAUCUUUAAGGCCGACCGAAAAUUGUUCAAAUCGCCGCCGGUAAUCCCUCACGGUGGUCUCCUGCUGUAAUUUCAUCAACCUUGCGUGUUUAUCUCCUUGGUCGGACGCUUUGAAUCUGGCCCACAGAAGCUAUCGGAAUUCUGUCCAGCUGCCGAUUUUCUUUCUAUCCUCCUUCCAUUGAUACCAGUCCAAAGCUUCCCCCUCCAAGCACAGGACCGCCGCAUCCAACUUAUCUCUCUCGUCAGAUAUUCACCACAAAAUAGCGCUCCACACGUUGUAGCUAUCCAUCCACAUUCUCUUCUUCCUCCCCUUUAAAUAUCGACACCUCCAGUUUUCGUAGCCUCAUGUCAAAAAGGGGUAUCUCACGAAUAUUUGGUGCACAUGGUACUCCAACUCCCUCAUCCACCACGGGUUAGUUUUUUGUUCACUUUUUUCUUCUUGAACUUGUUCCUCAUUCAUUAUUCCCUUUCCCUUGUCCGUAAUCAUUCUUUCACUAGAUGUGGAUCCUUUUGAAGCACUUCCAUCACUCCCAUCCUGUGUAUUAACAAUUUCAUAUCCUCACUCAAUUUUUACAGAUUAUCCUCAAUCUUUUGUUCAGCCAUUGUACUUCGAACUUCUGCUUCCGCAAAUUGUUUCUUCAUCUUCCUUUCAAAUGCUAAUUGUCGUUCUUCUACUUGUAAAAAUUUUGCUUCUACUCUACUUUCCAUUUCAGUCCCUGUGGUUACUCCCUCUAAACCUUCUUCCAGUUCAACUAUCCUAGCUUCCAUCUUACCAACCAUACCAGGAAAGAUGGCUCUGAUACCAAAAUUGUUAAGGCUUUAGCCACAAUUUUAUUUAUCAACUGUGGGGAAGGAUUUGAGAGCUCCCCAGUUUCUCCACGCUCUAAUGAGAGUCUAUACCAAAAUCAUAUGUCCAAAAAGAUACCCAUACCCUCCCACGCAAGACACUUAAGUAAUUGCUCAGAGAAAUAAUAAAAUACUUGGCCCCACUCUAACAAACACAUUCCUAAGGGCCCACACAAAUGGAAAAAUACCAACUAACUCUCAAUCAUUCUUUCUUCUUCCUAUUCUUGUCCCUACGGGAAUACACCUUUACUAUGGGAGGUCUAUCAGCUUUCUAUAUAAUUUAUGAGAGUUUAAUAUUGCAUGGUUGCAUGGUAUAAAGAUGGAAUAAUAUUUAACCCAACAUUGAAUAUUUCCAAUGUUUAUCAUCACAACAUGUAUAACUAUCUAAAUGACUUGCCAUCCUUGGAUCCUGAAUUGUAUCGCCACCUUAUUUUCUUAAAGGUGUGUAUUCCCUGGUAUCACUUUUAGCUGAUACCACACUUAGCCUGUUGAUCAAUGAUCUAGAUCAAUCUAGUAUCCUGGUAGAAUCUUUUUCUCACUUCUUAUCUUAAAUAUGAAGGUGACAUUCCUGAACUAGAGCUAUAUUUUGUUAUUAUAAACAAUGAAUAUGGAAAGCAAAUUGAAGAAGAGCUACUUCCUGGAGGAAAAAACCGUCGUGUCACCUGUGAAAAUGUCAUCACAUUCAUUCAUCUUGUUGCCAAUCAUCGUUUGAACUUUCAGCAUAGUUUGUCCCUUGUUUAUCCAAUGUGUCUCCCUACUCCAAUGUUGAUUGAAAACAUGUCCUCCUCAGAUACGACAGCAAAGUUCUCAUUUUUUGAGAGGGAUUCAGCAGCUUAUACAGAAAGAAUGGAUCAACAUGUUCAAUGAGCAUGAAUUCCAGGUAUCACUAACUCACUGAGAUAGUAACGUGGUUUGCAUGAAAAGGCUGUUUUGCUGUUAUAUAAUCUCUUGAUGACUCGUUUAUCAUUGCACAUCAACUGCCUCAUGUGCCUUGAAUCCUGUUUCAUGCUAGUAUUAAUUAUACUAUUUGGGAAAGAAGUAUGUUAAAGGAGGAACAUUUUUUCUCCUAGACCAUACAAAGUCAGUAGGGUUAAGCACUUAGAUUUGCAUUUUUAUUCUUCUUAUUGUGUGGGUGUGUGGGUGGGGGAGGGGGGAGGGGGUUAGUAGUUUUGAUAAUGUGCCAUUGUCGACCUUUAAUUUUCAUGUGACGUGAAACACUAAACUAAUUAAAGCAAGAACCUAGAAUGAUUAGGAGUACACUUGAUCUUGUGAUCUGGGCAGCAACCAACCAAAGCCUAAACCCUAGAGGCAUCAGGGUCUUCCUUAUUGAGUUCACCUGAAGGAAUAGAUGUGGGUUUCCUUGAUGAAGUGAAGAUUCAGGUUCUGGAUAAGGAAACUAGUCUUCCUUAAGAUUCAAGUUGUUCAUUUUCGAAGAGGCACAAUGCUCGUAAAAGUGUAGAGGCAGAAUUUUACUAAUCAUUAAAAUCUGAGAAAUAAACAAAGUGAACUAGAUUAUUUUUAGCCUACAUGGACUCUAAGUGGUGACAACUGAAGUCCUUGUAAGGGGAAAAGAUGUGGGAAAAAAAGUUCCCUUGCGAUGGGAAAUGAUAAGAAAAACAUAAAGAGAACCCUAAUUUAGGUCAAAUCAUGGACCAAUGGCUAAAUACUAUGAAGUUUUGUUGCUGGUCUUUUGUGGUUCCAGGAUAAAUCGAGUGGUCUAUUUCAUUUCAGCUUUCAAUAUCAGGUUCACUGGACAGCUUGGAUGUUGAUGACCUACGGACACAUACUACUUAUUCAAGUGGUUAUCAUAGGGUAAGUUCUAUUAAACCCUUUUUUCUAUAUAUGUAUUUUUGUUUCUUUUCUUUUCUGCGUAAUUGUUUUGCAUAUUGUGUUCGAUAAAAUUUUGAAAAUUUGAAAUCUUGCAAGAAGAUUAGUUACAAUUAAUCUUCCUUUGGAGGUUGAACAAUUCUUGGUUUAGGAUAUCGAAUACUAGAUUUAUUGUAGUGCAAUCGGAAUUGUGAUGUCAAGUCAAUUAAAUUUCAUAAUUGUAGAUGAUGUUGGAAGAUCUCACCCGGGUAAUUGGGAGAUGGUUUUGAAGUCUUUGGAGUUUAGGGAGUUGGUCAUCGUUUAGAUUCUUUUUAAUAUUUUUCAAUUAAUUUCGAAUUCAUACAAUGUAUAUGCCUGUAUUAGUGUUUGAAACUGGUGAUAAAUUGAUUACCAUUAUUCAGACUUCUAGUCCUCUCUUAUGUUUCUAUGACUAUGAAAACAAACUUUGGACUUGUAUUGUUUGUAAUGCUCUGUUUGGUCAGGCACAACCAUGAUCAAGAAAUUUGUGAUAGGAAACGGAGAAAUAUCUUCACUUUUUUAAUGAUGUUCUUUUAUGCUGGAUUGAAAUGUGGGAACUUCGAAAUUUGAAUUUUUAUUUCAUGCUUUCAGGAGCAUUAUGUCAUUGAGAUGUUUUGGGAAGUUAUCAAAAGUUUCUCAGUGGAAAACCAAAAGAAAUUUCUGAAGUCAGUAUUUUCAUUACACAUCAGUUGGUUACUUCUUGUCUCAAGUUGGCUUAAAGAAAAACUGAACUUCAGAAAUAUAACAAUUGUAUCUUGCUUUUUCAUUAGGUUUGUAACUGGUUACUCUCGAGGACCUCUUCUUGGCUUUAAAUAUCUUGAGCCAUGUUUUUGCAUACAAAGGAAAUUGGUGUUUUGUUCAUUUUUCUCCAUUUCCUGGGUAAAAUUCGUAUCCUCCUUAUUCUUAAUUAUUUGUUUUGGUUUCCCUUAAGGGGAUAAGUUGUUGCUUCUAGAGCUUAAACUAAUUUAUCCUGCUAGCAAAAAUCAUGUGAAAAAGUAACUCAGUACUUUGCGAGACAUUCCUGGCUACAUGCUUGAAACUGUAUUCAAGCAUAUAUAGAUUAGCGUGGAACAUAAAAAAAAUGGGAUAAUUGCAAAUGUAACAAUUAGAUUCAAAAUAAUUAAGUAUAUAGCAACAUUUUAAAAUGAUAAAAAUUCACAUGUCAUGUCCAAAAUUACUCGAGGAACACAUUUUAGCCAUUGAAAAUCAAAUUUGUGCUAUGAAAAUCGGGUUUAAGUAUUAAAUCAAACAUUAAAUUGAUUAAGAUUCUCAAUAGUUAAGGGCAUGCCAGAGUGGCUUCUAACAUAUACGGAGUGAUUUUAACUCUAAAAAUCAUUCUCAAACAUAUCCUAUGUUUUUCACCUUCGCGGCUCGUCCAUUAUGCUUGGGUUUUCUUUUUUACUUGGCCAUACAACAUCCAGUCACCAAGAAAUUUUUAUUUUUCGUGAUUACGUGAAACUACCACCAAUUUGGUUGAAUAACUUGGUUAGGUUAUGAUGUAAUAUAGAAUGUCAUGGCUAAACAACUGUAGUUAGUUAGUAAAACAGUUUUAAACAAUUAAACUGUUCAGCUGUUAGGACUGCAGUUAAGACUGUUUCAUAAAAACAAGUUAUUUCAUCUACUUGUAACUACGUACAUCAAGUGGUAUCAGAGCAGACCCGAUCCUAGACGGAUGGCUGGCCGGAGAAGAAUCCCCGCCGCAGGGGACAACCGCGAGCAAGAAGAGGUGGAAGAGACCGUCACCCUCUCUCCAAGGACCACCACUGUACGCUUGCUGGUCGUCGAAGACUCCUUGGGAGAUUUACAUGACAAAAUGAACAAAGUAAUGGACAACUUAGACUCACUCACCGAAGAAUGGAUGAACUACCGACACCGGCAAGGAACGAGGAUUAUGACUGGAAGGUAGGAAACAAGGUGGCUGACGGGCUCAAAGGAACCUUAGAAACUGGCCCAACCAAAGAAAUGAUCAAGAAGGAGACCAGGAGGAAUCCCACUACGACACGCCGACGAUGAUGAGCAAGAUGAUGACGAGGAGUGGCAAAACGUGCAAGAUUAUGAUUCUUCCAGUGGCACGACCAAGGAAAUAUUUGGAACGACAACGGAGAAUAUCGAAUGGCUUAUGGCUAUAGAGGACAUAAAGCAUGACGAGAGAUUCAUCACGACUACAAAAUGAAAAUUGACCUCCCAACCUAUAAUGGUAAACGGGAUAUCAAAUCUUUCUUGGAUUGGAUAAAAAACACCGAGAACUUAUGGCUUGAAAUUGAGAGGAGGAGCCUCGGCAUGGUGGGACCAAUUGAAGAUAAAUAGACAUAGAUUCGACAAACCACUCAUACAAUCUGGCUCACGGCUAUAGAGGACAUAAAGCAUGACGAGAGAUUCAUCACCACUACAAGAUGAAAAUUAACCUCCCAACCUAUAAUGGUAAACGGGAUAUCGAAUCUUUCUUGGAUUGAAUAAAAAACACGCGAGAACUUGUGGCUCUAAAAUUGAGAAGAGGAGCCUCGGCAUGGUGGGACCAAUUGGAGAUGAAUAGACAGAGAUAGGGCAAACCACCCAUACAAUCAUGGCUCACGGCUAUAGAGGACAUAAAGCAUGACGAGAGAUUCAUCACGACUACAAAAUGAAAAUUGACCUCCCAACCUAUAAUGGUAAACGGGAUAUAGAAUCUUUCUUGGAUUGGAUAAAAAACACCGAGAACUUGUGGCUCUGAAUUGAGAGGAGGAGCCUUGACAUGGUGGGACCAAUUGGAGAUAAAUAGACAGAGAUUCGACAAACCACCCAUACAAUCAUGGCUCAUGGCUAUAGAGGACAUUAUAAGUGAUAGUGGAAGCAGUGAGAACUUUUAGCAAUAAAGAUUGUGACCACAAUCAAGGAAAUUUGCACCGUGCCCCUAUCCAUCGAAAGUAGCUACAAAGACCAGAUUGUGUGCGACGUUAUAGACAUGGACGUGUGCCAUCUACUCCUAGGCCGACCGUGGCAACAUGACACCUGAACCAAAUACAGGGGGAGGGAAAACACCUAUGAGUUCCAGUGGAUGGGAAGGAAAGUAAUUCAACUCCCAUUAACAAAGAAAAACUCUAAAGCCUGAAGCAGAAGAAAAAAGGACAACUCUUCAUCACAGUGAGCGGGAAGAAGAUCUUGAGAGAAAGGGAGCAAGACCUUUUGGGACUUGUAGUGGCUGACAAACCCCUGGAGAAAGAAGGUGAGACUAGAUUAGAGAACUUUUUGCAGAUUUCCUCACCUAAAGAAGGACUUGCAAGGAUUGCCACCAAUUCGUGACAUCCAACACCAAAUUGAUCUUACCCCAGGAGCCUCGCUACCUAAAUUACAUGACCACAUUGAAGACUUGUUGAAAAAGGGUCACAUGAAGCCUAGCUAAGCCCUUGUGUUGUGCCAACACUGCUCACACCUAAGGCCGGAAGUUGAAGUAUGUGUGUAGACAGCAGGGCUAUCAACCGAAUCACUGUAAAAUACCGAUUUCCUAUUACUCGAAUUGGAGACUUACUAGAUCAACUAGGUAAAGCUACCAUCUUCUCAAAAGUUGACUUAAGAAGCGGUUAUCACCAAAUAAGAAUCCGCCCGGAGACGAGUGGAAGACAACCUUCAAAACUAAUGAAGGGUUAUUUGAAUGGUUGGUGAUGGCCUUUGGCUUAUCCAAUGCACCAAGCACCUUCAUGAGGUUGAUGAACCAGGUGCUCGUUUCUAAACCAGUUCAUAGUGGUUUACUUUGAUGACAUCCUCUUGUACAACAAUAGUACUGAAGACCACAUUCAGCACUUAAGAAAAUUGUUCCAAGUCCUGGCCGAAACUGAACUAUACAUUAAUCCAAAGAAACGUACAUUCCUCACCAAGGAAAUUGUCUUUCUCGGCUUCGUAAUCAAAGAAGGAAAAGUAGGUAUGAACCAAAGAAGACAGGAGCCAUAAAGUCUUGGCCAAUACCAACCUCCAUCAAGGAGGUACAAGCCUUCCUUGGCUUGGCAUCCUUUUACAGAAGAUUCAUCAGAAACUUCAGCUCAAUAGUGGCCCCCUUAACCGAUUGCCUAAAGAAAGGGAACUAUAAGUGGAAUGAAGAGCAACAACAGAGCUUUGAAGAGAUAAAAAGAAGACUAACUUCUAGCCCUGUUCUACAAUUGUCGAACUUCGCAUCACCCUUUGAAGUAGCUGUUGAUGCUUGCGGAACCGGAAUUGGAGCCGAGUUAUCACAGCAAGGCCACCCUAUUGAAUACUUCAGUAAGAAGUUGAGCACAACAAGACAGUCUGGAGCACUUAUGAACAAGAGCUUUAUGCCCUUGUCCGAGCACUCAAACAGUAGGAAGUUACCUCCUAUGCAGGGAAUUUGUACUCCUAACGAACCGCUUCUCUUUGAAAGAUCUCUAGUCACAAAAGAAUAUUACUCGGAUGCACGCACGAUGGAUCUCCUUCCUACAAAGGUUCGACUUUGUCAUUAGGCACCAAACUGGUAAGGAGAACAAGGUGGCAGAUGCACUAUCAGGAAGAGCUCCUUACUCACUAUUCUAUCCAUGGAGAUUGAGGCAUUCAAACACUUACCUAACCUAUAUGGGGAAGACGUUGACUUCGCCAUGACAUGGACCAAAUGCAGCAACUACACCAAGGCGGAAGACUUCCAUAUAAUGGAAGGAUAUCUAUUCAAAGGAGAUCAGUUGUGUAUCCCACACACAUCACUUCUAGAAGCACUACUAAAAGAGGCUCAUUCAGGAGGAUUGGCUGGACACUUCGGGCAGGAUAAAACUUUUGAAAUAAUCUUUAAGAGAUACUACUGGCCUUAAUUAAGAAGAUACUGUAACAACUUUAUUAAAAGGUGCCCUAUCUGCCAAAGAGCUAAAGGUUCAAGUAUAAACGCAGGUCCUGUACUCACCAUUACCUACCCCAAUUUCCAUUUGAGAAGAUCUAUCAAUUGAUUUCGGGCUCUGAUUACCAAAAACUCAAAGGCAGUAUGACUGAGUCAUGGUUGUAGUUGACAGAUUCAGUAAAAUGGCACACUUUGUGGCUUGUAAGAAGUCAAAUGAUGCCACCUACAUAGCUAAUUUAUUAUGUCGAGAGAUAGUUUGGUUGCACGGAGUACUAAAGACCAUUGUUUCUAAUCGGGAUGUCAAGUUCCUAAGCCAUUUCUGGAAGACAUUAUGGAGCAAAUUUGACACAACCUUGAAUGAAAUAUAGCACAACAUCACACCCUCAAACAGAUGGCCAAACAGAAGUUACAAAUAGAACUGUCGACAACUUAAUAUGCUGUCUUAGUGGAUCCAAACCAAAACAGUGGGACUUAGCUCUUGCACAGUCAGAAUUCGCCUUCAACAAUAUGAAGAAUAGAUCAACCGGCAAAUGUCCAUUUGAGUCGUAUACACAAAACAGCCAAGACUAACAACCUUUGACCUAGCAUCACUCCCCACAACUAUUGACACUAGCUCAGAAGCAGAAAAGAUGGUAGAAAAGAUUCAGAACUUACACGAAGAAGUCCAUAACCACCUAAAAGAAUCAACUCAGUCCUACAAAAAGGCAGCAGACAAAAAGAGAAGACAAGCUACCCUUACUGAGGGAGACUUAGUAAUGAUUCACCUCAGAAAAAUUCGAUUUCCAACUGGAACACAAACUGAAAGACAGACAAUUAGGACCAUUUCGUGUCCUAGAAAAGAUUUGAGAUAACGCUUACAGAAUUGAACUACCACCAGACUUGCACAUUCAUCCUAUUUUUAACAUGUGGCAGACCUGAAACAGUACUAUGCCCCAUAUGAUUUCUGCCUUGUCAACUAAGUCACUCGGUCGAGUUCCAUGCUAGGGGUGGAAUGAUGUAAUAUAGAAUGCCAUGGCUAAACAGCUGUAGUUAGUUAGUAAAACAGUUUAAAUAAUUAAACUGUUUAGCUGUUAAGACUGCAAUUAAAACUGUUUCAUAAAAACAGUUAUUUCAACUACUUGUAAGUACUUACAAUUCUCAAUAUAUACUCCAUCUCUUAGCCACUAUUGGUGGAGAAUUCAUUGUGAAAAAACUAAGUCCUUUGAGGUAGAUAGUUUUAUGUCGCAAGUUGGUAAAGAUGGAGUUACUAUAGAAAAUAAUUCCUUUGAGGUAGUUUGGGUUUGAUUAUCACUCACAUUGAGGAAUGCAACCGUACAUGGCUGAUCCAAAUUGCCACAUCAGCUAAAAGUACUACCUUUAGGAACUAGUUCGAAGUUUCAUUCUUUCAUAAUAAGAAUCAUAACUUUUCAUGAAUAUGUGAAAAGUUACAUUGUAAUUCCAACCUUCGAAGACCAAGUAUUUAAACAACAACAACUCUCCCACAUAUUUUCGAAGAGAUUUUUGGAAUUGGUUUCAAACAAGCUUAUCUUUUAUUUUUGAUUGAAUACAACAAAUAUAUUUAUGUUUAUAUGCUGAGGAAGCAAGGCUAUUCAAGGUAGCUUCUCAUCUAAGAUAUAUUGAUGUCUAUCCAAUGAGAGGAGUUUGGCAUCCUAAGAAUCCCGGGAAGACUUUAGUCUUUGCUCAUUGGGAUUUCUAAAUGGAAAAGCUCAGAGUAUUUCUUCAAUUUAUUUUUUGUUACCUGUACAUAAGUUAGAAAGGACCAUUCCUAGAGUAAUAAAUUAGAGCUUCUUUAGUAGGAAAGAAAAAGAUUAAUAAACUCUAUAGGUUGUUGAUGAAAUAUUAAAUGAUAUUAAAAUGAGUGAUUUCUAUUGCCUUCUCUCAAUCUGUAGAACCACUUUUCAUUUCACAUGGAGGACUAUUUGUUAUAUUCUUUAUAUUAGAAUAUUGAAUUAAUUAGAAAGUUGACUUUGAUUUUCUUUUCCAUUCAGACAGUUCCAUUAGUUAUGGCACUAAGUGGUGAAACAUUGAUGGAGAUGGUUGGUGACACUUCCAUUGUGUAUUCAGUGGAUUCACAUGCUUCCGAAGUCAUUGUUAGUGGAGUGAAGAUUGUUCGGCAAAGAUAUGGAAAGGUUAAUACUUCAAUCUAUAGGAGUUCAUCAGUUUUUGUUAUUCCUUUCUUCUUCUUCUAGCGUGGAGUUAUAGACCACUAUAUCGUUCAGAUAGACCACCACAAACUUGUUAAGGUAUUAUGGAAGACCUGGUUCAUUAGCGUACAGAACGUUGCAGGCGCAUUGGUAAGACCAAAUGGCAUGACAAGGAACUCGAACGCCCCAUACCUCGUAACGCAGGUGUUUUGGGCUCAUCCUCUUUGGCAAUUCUUACUUGAUAAUAGCCCGAUCGCAGAUCUAGCUUCGAGAAAUACUUUGCUCCAUGAAGGCGAUCAAACAGGUCAUUGAUUAUUUGGUAGCGGAUAUCUGUUGCGAACCGUGAUCUUGUUUAGGUAGUCGAUGCACAACCGCAUACUUCCAUCGUUCUUCUUCUGGAAAAGGGACUGGAGCUCCAUAUGGAGCUUUUGCAGGCCUCACAAAUCUUGCGCUCAGCAGUUCGGCCAACUCCGGCGGCGCCAUACGAUAAGCAUUCUUCGCAGGCGGCUUUGCCCCUGGCAGCAAUUCGAUUUCAUGGUCGAUCAUUCUCCACGGAGGCAAUGAUUUCGGCAGGCUGUCUGGCAUCACAUCCUUGUACUUCUCUAAGACACUCAGGAUGUCUUUGGGGACUGUUUCCCUUGAGCUUUCCAACGACUCCAGUGGGAUAGCUAUAAAGGUUAGAUCGUCACGAGCAAGGCCUUUCUUCAACUACAUAGCCGAGAUCAUCUAUAUCCCAUCCGGCUGACGAAUCUCCGUUUGAACAACAGUAGGCGUUCCAGUAAUCACUAGACAUUUGGCUAGCGGCAUUGGUAUGACUUGAUGCUCAAGUAGAAACUCCAUACCUAGUACCACGUCGAAUUCAUCCAUCUUUGCAAUCACCAAAUCUAUAGGACCGCUCCACUCUCCCAUCCUCAUGGUCGUUCGUUUUACCAACCCGACGAUAGGUAGGGCAGCUGAGUUCACGGCUUUCAUUUUUUCUGCGUCUUUCUUCCAACGGAGAUUCAGCGUCUGGCUUCCGCUUCUGCAAUGAAGUUAUGAGUAGCACCAGAAUCCACCAUAGUGCUCUUGGGUGGCUUCUGGUUGACCCAACAGUCUACGUACAUGAGACCAUUCUUUGUCUGUCCACUGGUCUCCCCCAUCUUCUUCUGGAGCGAUGACAGAAACUUUAAGGCCCCCAUCCGAGGAUUCUCACCCUCUUCUAUCUGUCCAACGUCUCCUUCAGUCUGACUCAAUCUAUCAUCUGAGUCGAGGCUAGGGUAGCUUGAAAAGCGUUGAAGGCGGUACGGUUGGGCACUCUCUCUAGCAAGAUGGGGCCCUUUACAUAUGAAACAACUGAUGGAACGACCGGAUUGUUCUGAUUGUUUGGUCCUCGCCAGUUGUUUCCUGUAUUCGCUUGGAAGGGCUUGCGAUCUCCACCUUGUCGCUUGUCUCCCCCUACAGUCUUCGGGGAAUUUGGGCGGUUGUUUCUGUUUCCUCCAGAGGAGGAAGCUUGAUGUCGUCUUGCAUCUUGAGAUUCGCUAGAUAAGUCAAACAACCGUUCAGCCACUGCGUAUGCUGACGUGAGGUCUUGAAUUCGUUUUCAUACAACUUGGUCCUAGCCCACGGCUUCAAGCCCUCGACAAAACAUAAAACUGUCUUUCUCGGUCAUGUCGCGUAUGUCCAACAUCACCCCCGCAAACUGUUUCACGUAGUCCUGAAUGUUUCUCGUGUGCUUCAAUUCACGCAGCUUCCGUCGGGCUAGAAUUUCGACAUUCUCAGGGAAAAAUUGCAACGAAGUUCUCCUUUUAGGGCAUCCCACGUGUCGAUUGUGCAACGCCCUUCUUGAAUGUCCAUGUAUCGGGACCUCCACCAUAACUUCGCAUCUUCUGACAGAUGCAUGGUUGCCAACGUCACCUUGGCCUCUUCAGUAAUUGUGUUUGUGGCUUUGUAAUACUGCUCGACAUCAAAGAUGAAGUUUUCGCAAUGCCUUGGCAUCUCUCGCCCCACAAAGGGCUUGGGCUCAGGAACCUUGAUUCUGCGCACAGGAAUGGUCCUCCAGCUGGAGCCUGGUUUGCUAGUUCUCGUAUAGUAAGGUUCACCCUCGUGUUUACCUAUGCGAGCUCAUUCCUCACGACAUCGAGGGUUGCUCGAAAAUCCUCUGUCAUGCCGUUGAUCAUCUCCAACAUGUUCUUUUGCGAGUUAUCAAGCUCCAUAACUCGUUCUUCCAUCUGGGCAAUAGAGCCCGAUGAACUGCCCCAAGCUCGUAGGCGACAUUUCCCGUUUCAUUACUCGGGACUCUAGAGUGUCGACUCUAGUCAGUAACUCUUGGAUGGGUAGUCCGUCAAGGCGAUCGGACACGGCUUCAAUGCCAUCAGCUUUCUUGGCAAUAUCCUCAAGCCGCUGUUCCAAGAACCGGAUGGAAUCAGGAACUUCCACCAGGUAGAGCAUCUGCUCUUCGAUUCCCACAAGUCGCUCAUAUGGGUCUUGCUAGACUGUUUCGCCACCGACAUCUUUCUGUCACGCACUGUCAACUAGCCAACCUGGCUCUGAUACCACUUGUCACAAUCGUAAUUCUUCAAACACGAUGUGAACGAUUGUGCGGCACUUGUUCUAGCUCGACGAACAAGUCAGCCGAUCAAAAUCCACAAAUCGCGGACAACUUUAACACAUGCUUCAACCUCCCCUCACGUUCUUGGAAAAUAUUUUUAGAAAACGUGAAAGAUGAUUAAAUUGAUUGAAAACAUUGUUAAAACAAGCAUUGAAGACUGUCAAUUGCAAUAAGAAAGCAUAGAUUGCAAAGAGUACGACAAGGCUUGGGCGGGGAUUCAACAGGUAUGCCUCCCCUAUAGUACAUUUUUAACAUUUUCAUCUCUGGUAGGCUUGCAUAUGAAAAUGCCGAAACGUCACACCCAAGCAUAUCGACUUGAAAUUUAAAGCAACUACCUAAACUACAUACAAGACAUAAAGACAAGAUAAAUUGGGGCUAAUCGGAGCAUACGGCCAUAGGUAAACACACCUUGGACAAGUAUGUCCGUUACACUAGGCCUCCAAUCACCCAAGUUUACCAAAGGAGGGGUAAAAAUAAAAAUUCCACCUAGACAACAUGGUUGUUAGGAUGACCAGUGGUCCUAACAACACGUGGCAGCAGCAGAAAGGGAAUAUAUAUAUAGGCGUUUUUUGCUAGGGUUGAUUAUCUUGGUUAUUAUGUAUUUUGAAUGAACGUUGUUCAUUGGGGAGAGAGCAGCCCUCUUACUUGGUUGAAGCUUAUGAUUCCAUAUUGAAUAUAUAUACACACAUAUAUCAGCUUCUCUCCAUUGUACUGUGUUUGUGAGUGUGCUGGAAAUAUUCUUUGUAUUUGUGUGGGUGUGGGUUGAAUCUUUUGCAGGUGAAACAAGAACCUACCAGGGGGGACCACUUUGGUAGGGCCGGGAGUUAGAGGAAAGAGAUAAAAGAAAGGAAGCUACAGAGGGAGGGGUAUGGAACUUUGAGGAAGGAAAUCUGCAUUACUCCUUGAGAGAGGGAAAGCAGAGGGUCCAAGUUCAUCUUUGAAUUGUUCUUGAGUCUUUUAUUUGGUUGCUAUUAGUUUGAGUAAUUUUUGCUUUGAAUCUGUAAUCGCGAUCAAUACUCUAUUGAUCCACGAAGAGUCUCAAUAAUUCGUGUAAGUUUUCAUAUUAUAUCAACAUAUACGAACACUGCUGUGGUGUUCUAUCAUAAUUCUGAGAUACUGAGCUUCGUUUAAGAUCCUUCACUGUGGCCAAACCGAGUUUGUGAGUUGAACCUUUCAUGUAUUUAUGAGAAAUGUUUCUCUAUCUAUUUGAAGUCUGUUUGAUGGAGCAUUUGGUUGGGAAGAGAUGACUAACUUUUAGUGGAAAGGCGAAGGACUGGUGAAGCCCUGAAGGGGUGUUGAAGUUGGCUAAAGUUUAUGUGUUGAAUUGAAUUUCUUUAAGAGAGUGGGUUUUUUUUUUUUUUUUUGUAGCUUGAUUUUUAAAUUUGAAUUAUGUUUAUUAUACUAUAAUUAUUUAUAAACCCUAAACCCUAAUAGCAUUUUAGUAUCACGAAGUUGGAUUAUUUUGUUGCAGAUGGAAUUUGUGUCUAGAGCAUUGAGCAUCCUGGUUGCGUUUGGGAUGCCAAGUUUUUGGAAAAUGGAGAUAUUGUCACAGCUUGUUUAGAUGGAGUAGUACGUGUCUGGACGGCAGAACAGGAAAGAAUUGCUGAUCCCCAAGAAUUGGAGUUAUUUGCUUCAAGACUGUCUCAGUAUAAGUUGAAGAGGUGCCCCACAACAGCUGCCACACACACACACACACACUCACAAAGAGGAAGUUCCAAAAUCCUUUGUCAUCUCUCUUUCUCUCUCUCUCUCUUACUUAUUUGACUUUUGAGGCAAAGCAUGAUUCUGAGCAUAUCUAAAAUAAUGUCGUAUAGAAUAUAUUCUGUUUGAGUAUGAUUUAGCGACUUAUGUACAUCUUUAAUUUAUUUGUUCAUACCUCAUGAUAAUGUGCACUUUUAUUCCUAUGUUGGCUGUUGGUCUUCUAUUUGAUAAGUUGUCUCUAAUUUAAUUGUGUUAGGAAGAGGGUUGGAGGAUUGAAAUUGGAAGAAUUAUCUGGGAUGGAUGCUUUACAAAUUCCAGGUCUGGUUACACUAUUCCAUUUUAAUAAGAAGCCAAGAUGCUAUCCGCUUCUAUACCUUUUUCUUUUACCCCUUAAUUUCAUGAAUCUUUGUUCCAAAGUGGAUGGGUGGCAAGUUUUCUUUUUCUUGAUAUUUGUGAUGUCUAGGCAAGCUCACACACCCUCGACUAAUCUCACAUAAUCCGCUUGACCCUACAACAUUUGGGUGUUAAGGAAACUCAUAGGAAAUUAAUUUACAGCUGCCACACACACACACACUCACAAAGAGGAAGUUCCAAAAUCCUUUGUACAUCUCUCUUUCUCUCUCUCUCUCUCUAACUUAUUUUGACUUUUUGAAAAGCAUGAUUUUGAGCAUAUCUAAAAUAAUGUCAGAAUAUAUUCUGUUCUGAGUAUGAUUUUAGCGACUUAUGUACAUCUUUAUUAUUUGUUCAUACCUCAUGAUAAUGUGCACUUUUAUUCCUAUGUUGACUGUUGGUCUUCUAUUUGAUAAGUUGUCUCUAAUUUACUUGUGUUAGGAAGAGGGUUGGAGGAUUGAAAUUGGAAGAAUUACCUGGGAUGGAUGCUUUACAAAUUCCAGGUCUGGUUACACUAUUCCAUUUUAAUAAGAAGCCAAGAUGCUAUCCGCUUCUAUACCUUUUUCCUUUUACCCCUUAAUUUCAUGAAUCUUUGUUGCAAAGUGGAUGGGUGGCAAGGUUUUCUUUUUCUUGAUAUUUGUGAGUGUCUAGGCCAGCUCACACACCUCGACUAAUCUCACGGGAUAAUCCGCUUGACCCUACAACAUUUGUGUUAAGGAAACUCAUAGGAAAUUAAUUUACAGCUGCCACACACACACACUCACAAAGAGGAAGUUCCAAAAUCCUUUUGUUCAUCUCUCUUUCUCUCUCUCUCUAGCUAUUUUGACUUUUUGAGGCAGAAGCAUGAUUCUGAGCAUAUCUAAAAUAAUGUCAGUAUAGAAUAUAUUCUGUUCUGAGUAUGAUUUUGCCGGCCUGUGUUAUGUUUAACGCCUUUCUUUUUGCUUCUAGGCUGUACUGGAGCUUGUCAUAAUCUUCCCACGUUGCCUCAUGAGGAGGGAGACCUUGCCAUUUAAUCAAAACCUCACAGCUUCCUCUUUUAUUCUUCGAGUACCCAGAUAUUUCCUCCGGUAUAGAUUUCCACUCAUGAGUUUCAGUAACGUAAGGCAGCAUGUCUGUCUGUACAAGUUGAUGAUCACCAACCAUUUUUUUGAGUUGGGACACAUGAAACACUGGAUGGAUGGAAGCGGAUGCUGGCAACUCUAGCUUAUACGCAACCAGUAUGAUGCGUUCCACAAUCGUAUAAGGCCCAAAGAACUUGGGGGAUAGUUUCUCAUUUUUCUUUUGUCGUAAUGAGAUCUGUCUAUAGGGCCUAAUCUUCAGGAAGACCAUAUCGCCAACUGCAUACUCCACAUCAUGACGCUUCAAGUCUACGUUAUUUUUCAUCUUGUCCUGUGCGACGAAUUAGUGUUCUUUUAGGACUCCCAGAAUUUCAACUCAUGCCUUGAGCUAUUCGUUUAAGGUAGUGUUUGGAGUGUCCCGGUCACCAUAAAACAUCAAUGGUGGUGGCAUACGUCCAUAGAUAGCCUGAAAUGGAGUGACCCCUACGGAUCUCUAAAAAGUAGUGUUGUACCAAUAUUCAGCCCAAUGUAUCCAUUUUGACCAUUCCUUAGGCCGUUCUCCACAAAAACAUCGCAGAUACGUCUCCACUCCCCUAUUAACCACCUCAGUUUUCCCAUCCGACUGAGGGUGAUAAGCGGUGCUUCGAUUUAAUCGGGUGCCUGCCAUUUUGAACAUUUCUUGCCAAAAGUUGCUCAAGAAUACCUUAUCUCGGUCGGACACUAUCGAUUUGGGAAAGCCAUGAAGUCGGACAAUCUCCUUAACAAAUAUAUUUGCUGAAUCUGUCCACCACUACAAAGAUGACUUCGAAACCAUUCGAUCUUGGUAAGCCCUCGAUAAAGUCCAUAGAUAUAUCGCUCCAAAUAUUGUUUGGACUGUCCAGGGACAGCAGCAGUCCGGUGGGGAUAGUGCUAGGGAGUUGUUCUUCUGACAUAUUACACAUUCCUCACAAUACUUCUCAACAUCCGCCUUCAUUCCUUCCAAUAUAGCUCACCAGUUUGUCGUUUGUAUGUGCGUAAAAAUCCAGAAUGGUCUCCAAGUACCGAAUCAUGGUAAGUAUGUAGGAUUGUGGGUAUCAAUGUAGAUGUUUUGGACAGCACAAACUUAUCCUUAUAUCUUAACAUACCUUUUCGGAUGGAGAAUUUACCCUCUGUUCCUUCUUCCAUUGCUUGUAGCUCUUCCAUUAUUUUGCUCAACUUUUCAUCCGCUUCGACUUCCUUUUUAAUCACCAGAAUGUCAACCAAUGUAGGAGCUGUUAUGCUACCGAGGUUAACUGUAGGAGGCAUCCAAGACAAGGCGUCUGCUGCUUUAUUCUCCAAGCCGGGUUUGUAGACCACCUCAAAUGAGUAUCCCGUUAGCUUCGCUACCCAUUUCUGAUACUGAAGCUGUAUCACUCUUUGUUGUAAUAAGAACUUCAAGGAUUUCUGAUCGGUCUUCACAAUAAAUUUUCUUUCCAACAGAUAUGGUCGCCAUCGUUGCACAGGCAAGAUUACUGCCAUUAAUUCCCUUUCAUAUACAGGCUUGGCCCUAUCUCUUAAGGCUAACGUAUGGCUAAAGUAUGCUAUGGGGCGCUUGGCUUGGACGAGUACGACUCCUACCCUAUAUCUCGAUGCAUCUGUUUCCAUUUCAAAGGUGGCAUUGAAAUCAGGCAACACCAAAACGGGCAGGGUCAUCAUGGCAUUCUGUAGUUGUUGGAAUGCCUCCUUAGACUCCUCAGUCCACUGGAAUCCCCCUUUCCCAAGUAGUUGAGUCAAUGGUGCGACAAUGAAGCCAUAGUGCUGAACGAACUUUCUUUAGUAACAGGUGAGGCCUAGUAAUCCUCGUACCUCUCUUAUAUUACUGGGUAUAGGCCAUUCCCUGAUUGCUCUGAUUUUCUCGGGGUUCACUUCAACUUCUUGUCCUGAAAUGAUAUGACCCAAAUAAUCAAUACGUUCUUGCGCGAAGCUGCACUUCUUCUGGUUUGCAUAUAACUCAUUCUUUCUCAGGAUUUCCAAUGCUAACCCAAUGUGCUUCAGAUGAUUUUCCAAGUUCUCACUGUAGAUUAGUAUGUCGUCGAAAAAUACUAAUAUGAACUUCUGCAAAAAUGGUUUAAAUAUUGAGUUCAUUAGAGCUUGGAAAGUGGAUGUGGCAUUAGUUAAGCCGAAUGCCAUAACCAUAAAUUCAUAGUGUCCAUCAUGUGUUCGAAAUGCUGUUUUUUCGAUGUCUUCUCCACACAUUUUGAUCUGAUGGAACCCCGCCUUUAAAUCAAUCUUUGAAAACCAGUUUGCUCCAUUUAAUUCAUCGAAAAGCUCCUCAACCACCAGAAUAGGGAAUUUUUAUCUUCAAAAAGUUCACCCAAAUCAAUUAAUGAAUAACCAUGUUAAUUGACGGGUUCUUUUUUUUAUUUUAUUUUGACAUAAUUACAACUAAGAUGCACUUUUUUAUUGAAAAGAUACAAGUAAGAGGGUAAAUUUUGAAUUUUCUCACUAUAUAUGUUGCCAAAAAACCUGGUGUGAAGUGUAAGUAUUUUCUUAAUAAUUUCAUUUAAACCAUGCUCAAUUCUACGCAAUAUGAGUUUUGGUCCUUUAUUAUGAAAGUGCAUAUUUAGAUUUGGUUACAAAUGUUUUGUUUUAUGAAAAAAUCAUUUGUGACUAUUGUUUCAAUCUUUUCAAUUGAAACACGUGCACAUAUUCACGUGAAAUAUCUUAAUUCUAUUUAAUUUUUAAAUAUGCUUUAGCAUAUAAUAAACAAAUAUUAUACAAUAUUAAUGGUAAAAUUAUUAUUUAAAAAAGAAAAAGAAAUUCAUUGUUGUAGUAAUUAAAUAAUUGAAUUAAUGUAUUAAUAUUGUGAUCCAAUAUUGUCAAUAUAUAAGAAUACGAUAAUUUUUUAUUCUAAUAUGUCAAUGUGAAAUCACAAGAAAUGAUGCAAUUUUUCACCAUUAAUUCGUUACUACUUUGAAUCAAUUAAAUCCCCUUUUGUGUGUGUUUGUUUUCUUUUGAACUUUGGGAUUUCGUGACGUUUUUUUUUUCUAAUGUGUAACUGCAAGAGUUUAUUUUGUUUUUCUUUUACACGUACAUUUUACAUGUAAGUUUGGAGGAAUCAAUGCACCAAUUUGAUGUGUGUGCAACCAUCUCCACUCUAAACAGAAUGCAUCGUAUCUCGAAGAUCAACUAGUCACAUCCUAUCAAUAUUAGUUACACAUAUUCGACAUAAGGUUUUAUUUUUUAAAAUAUAGAACUUUAUUUUGUAAACUAAAAAAUUGGAAAAAUCUUCUUUCCAAACAUUAAAAUGGACACUUACAAUAGAAAAGUCACAACUACGUUAGAUCACAAAAAGUAAUAUAAAUUUUUUCGACAAUUUAAGAAUAAAAUAGAUGUAUAUAAUUUUUUUCUCCACGAGCGCAUUUAAUAUAGUAGAGAUUUCAACGCUGAAAAUUUAGUUUACAUCAUGUCAAGGUAAUAUUACUCUGUAUUUUUUCCCUAAAAGAAGGUGUCCAUAAAUUUGUAACUUUUUGCUACUAAACCCAACUUUAAUUAGUGUUUAUGUUAAAAUAUUUAUAAAAUAUAGUACAACUUUAGUAAUUUUUCAUCGGCAGGAAAUUAUCUAUUAAUAUAAGUCUAUUAGUGUCUAUUAGGAUAUUAUAUUUUCAAAUCUCGUCUUUUAUUUAGUUAUUUUGAUUAGUUGGAAUUAUCUAUUAAUUGAUUUUUUUUAUCUAAUUUUAAAUUUUAACCAAAGUAAUCAAUUCCGAUCACCAUCCCACUGUAAUGUUAUUAUUUUAAAAAUUAAACUUCAUUUUAUUUAUUGAUUAAAAUCUUCAAGACAUAGCCUUCAAAGAAGAUUGGAUAUAACCAAAAUAAUGCUGCAUAUAUCAUUUAGAGUCUUGCCAUUCUUCAAAAGCAACGAUGUAUCCUUAGGCGGCUGUGCGAACUUAUCCUGACAGUCACCAAUAUUAGUCAUGGCACCAGAAGUUACAAUAUUGACACCAUUAAAGUCCCCAAGUGCCAAGUCCUUUUGGGCAUUUUCAAUGUCACCAAUAGCUUCAUCAUAGCUCUCAGCACAAGACGAAUAUCGUUGCUUAAGUUGAGGAUUGGUGGCGGUUUUUGCCAGUGAGUUGGCUAAGUCAAAGAUUUUUCAGCAUUUGUAUGAGCAAGGUUUAAGGUGUAUACAGCCAAGCCUUUUAGAUUUGUAGUGCCCGCAGAUUUCAACACACUUGAACAAAAUUGUGGAUUUGAGGUUUUUGGACAGAUGGUGGAAACGACGUCAUUAGAUGAUGCCACAUUUGAAAUGAUGGUGAACGAAAGAACUCCAACGAGAGAGAUAAUAAUGAGACAAGAGUUAUUGGCCAUUUUAAUUUUUCUUUGUUGUUUCCCGUCCUUAUUGAUAUGAUUCAUUUGAUAAAUACAUAUAUAUAUAGAUGAAAUUUAGAGAAAUUGUUUGUUUUUCUUAUGGAGGAGAAAUGGCAGUUGUGAUUACAUAACUAAAUAACCCAUUCUAGUCUUUUGUUUGGUACUUUUAUCUUGAAAUAGCCCACCCAAAUCAAUUCAUGAAUAAUCACAUUAAUUGUCUUUUUUUUUUUUUACAUAAUUACAACUAAGAUGGGCUUUAUUUUUAUUUUUAUUCAAAAGAUACGACUAAGAUGUUAAAUUUUGAAUUUUCUCAUCAAUCCAUUAGAGGUGACCUAUGCUCCAAUCUUUUCUUACCAACAAUUUAGGCCUUAUAAGUGUAUAGAAAAUUGAACAGUGAAUAGGAUAGUUAGGCUUUGUAAAACUUACAAGUUACAUAGUCCAAACUCUGAUGUCUCUUCCGUUCCUGUCCUGCUUUGAUUUUACCCCCUUCUUUUCUCAAAUACAUUUUUCUACAUUGUCGUUUCUUCUUCUCUAACUCAUUUUUUCCAAUUAUAUAACAUGUCCGUAUGUACCAGAAAUACAGUGAGCGGAAUUCAUGGAAGUUUUUCCCUGUUUCAAGUUCUAAGGUAUGUGCCUCCAGACAUCCCAGAAGUCAAUAUCCUAGUGCUUUCUGUAUAUAUAUUGAAGAAUUUUCGUUGUUUACUUUUCUGGCUGAAAAGGGGGGACACGAAACUUAUGUGACAGAAAUCAAAGGAUAACGUGUCUACAGUAAAUCGAAAUAAGAGUCUGGUUUUCAUUGAGUUCAACGUAUUCCUCAAACAGAAACACAGGGCCGUAUGCAUACUUCUACGACUACAGUAGUCAUCAUGCUAGAGGUAAACUAUUCCAUAAGUUCACUAUAAAUUGUGAAAUAAGAACUGUCUGAUACUUGUCAAAUAAGAAUUGCAUGCGUUAAUCAGACUAAUGUGUGGUAGAAUAUUACCUGAAUUUGCUAAGUUUGUCCUGGACAGUUGUCUAAUGUUAAUUCUUUCCCCAUUUCCUUUAUAGGUCCCUGAUAUGCUAUUGUGCUCCAUUUUUGCCAUUAACAAUUAUAAUGUGAAAAGCUAUCUCUCUGUUAAAAAUACCUAGAUGAUGGAUUAAUGUGGAGUGGCCGAUUAAAAUGUUCUGUCAUAUCACACCAGUGCCUUAACAUGAAAAUCCAAGUGCAUUACUAUACAGUUAUCCUUAUAUAUAGUUGAUAUUCAUAGUGUUCGUACUGUUUCUCUGUAGGAGUGUUAACAAUUUAGAUAUGAUAAUUUCUCUUAUUUGACUUUGUUCUCCGUUGCAUUUGCAUCUUGAUCAGCUAUGUUUAUCUUGAUUUGUUGAGCUUAUGUUAUUAUUGCAUCUAGGCAGAUGAAGUUGAAGUAGUGAUUGAUCCGAAGGACAUUGAACUGACUACUGCAAGAUCUGGGGGCGCAGGAGGUGUAACUUUACUUCAAAUAUUGCUUGCAAUUAGCUCUCUGAAUUUGUUCUCAUAAAACCAAAAAAAUGGUAGAAUAACCUUUCUAUUUAUUUCUCGUUGUCAAUAAUUAUGCAGGGCGAAAUGUCAACAAGGUGGAGACAGCAAUUGAUCUUUCCCCAAGCCGACAGGAAACCACAUUUUUUGCACUGAAGAAAGGACUCAACUUGAGAAUAAGAUUCGGGCUUUUCUAUUGCUACGAGCCAAACUAUGAGCAUCCAUUACAAUCAUAGCAUUUCUCACAUCAUCGUAUAAAUUACGUGAAUGUGCACCUCAUUCAUACAAUUUAUGUAUUUUUCUUUUUAUGAGUACAAAUUCGGGGUAGAGGGAUUUAAACCCGAGACCUCUUGGUUCUAAGUACAUACAUACAGGCGUUAGUUGAGCUUGGUUGACAAUUUCUAUACUUUUUUAAGUAACAAAUAAUUGGAGAAAUUUUGUGGCUAUAUUUAUGAUUUUUCUCAAAGAACUUAAGGAUCUUUAUUUCCAUUUCUAUAUAUUGUGGGAAUUUUUGCAGACAUUGAUAUGGGUGAAACAAAGAAAGUAAGCGAACAAACUAAUAUUGGACAGUUGGAGUUCAGCCCUGCACGACCCUUUGACAAAGCCCUUCCCUCACUUCUAGCCACCAUUGUCCAUUGUUCACACCUAACACAACCUAGUGGUAGCAUGUCACUUCCUCCUUGCCAGCCAGUUCACCCCAGCCUGUAGGUCAGUCAGCCUGUUAUAAAAGAAAAAGUCAAUUUUUAUGUUCUCCCCCAACCGACAGUGAGCUUCACGGUGACAUCUAUCCUAAUCUACACUGACUUUCACCCUACUUCGACCACAACCAGACUUUCAUAGUUAAUAGGGUGGUAAUUUUGCUGGUUUCGACAUUAUGUACAUGCAUGAGUUUAAUCACCCCUCCCUCCUCUUUUCCUUUUCAGUUAUGAGAUUAAAGUGAGGGAAUGACAAGAGAAGAUCAUGAACCAACGAAAAUUACAGGUAAUUAUUGUUUUUCUUUUUUUCCUUAACUCUUUUUAGCCUUUGGAAAUAUUUAGCAAAGAACUCAUGUAUGAUCUGCAUUGAGACUGUUCUUGAGUUGCUUUCAUCAGACAAGUUUAUGAAGUUCUUGUUGUUGGUUUGUCAUGAUUUUGUUUCAAUUUUUCUGGGAAACUAAGAGUUGUUACUCUUGAUUUUUUUUCGAGUAUUUCUCAGUCUAAGAGUAAUUUAUCACUAAGCACAUGAUUUUGUUGGUAACAUGCAAGAUACAACCUGAAUGGAAUAUCAAAUACCAUAAUGUAUUUGUCAGAUCAUGCAAGACAAUUAUACAAGCAGAUAAUUAUGCUUAUAGUAGCAAUCGGCAAUAAAAUUAUUUUUAAAAUUUAUUUCAGUGUUCUAAUUACCUUGUUAUCCUAAUUCCUAUCUUCUUUCGCCUUGCAGAUGUGUUGAAAUUUGUUGUCAGAAUCUGUUUGAAUGAUGAACUUCAUGCAUACAAUUGUUGUGGUUGUCACAACUGGAAUCUAUUAAACAAAAUCAAAUACUUGAUAAUAACUACCUCUCCACACUGUUAUGUUUCUUGUUUUUUCGUUUUCAAUAAUUUGAUCGGUUUUAGACUUUUGAUUUAUUUUCAAUUAGAAGUAAAUGAAUGAAGGAAAAAGAUAACAGAAAAAGUUGAUUUUACUUUUACUAUCAUUUUCCUAUGCUUUUUAGUUUAUGGGGAUAGAUAUUUGUUGGUGUUCCUUUUCUUAAGUUAGAAGAAAAAAGUUGGGGCAUAACUUUACAUGGACAAUCAAGUCAUUUUUUUUCUUAAUUUGUGUCUUUUAUAGCUAAAAGAAGAAAACUUAAGAAUUACAUAUAAGUAGUAUAAAGUCCUAAUAUAAGCUUGAUAAAAAAAUUUCCUUUAAUUUUUACUCUGUUUAUAAACUUAUGAGGUUACAAAUUGCAAUAUAUUUUCUAAUACCAUAUUAUGAAUAAUUUGGAUAGCUGGUUGUGUUUGAAAACUGUAUCUUCUUCCAUCGUCAUUGGUUUAUCGUUGCUUUCUUUUCAUUUUUGUUAAAUUUCAACAAAUAUCAAGUUGAUGUGACUUUUAUUGUAGGAUAUGGGUAAUGUUUACAAUUUCAAGGAUUAGAACUUUUCGUUUAUGUUGUUUAUCAGACCUUCUAUACAUCUCUACAAUUAUAUGAUCUUUAUGGUGAAUACAUUGUGCAAGGCCGUAUAUUAUAAGAUCAAUACUGUUUUUUAAAGGAAAGAAAAAUAUAUAAUGUGCUACACACCAAAUUUUCUUCAAAGAAAAAAAAACAAAUUAAUAUAUUCAUACUUUCUUUUUGUAGUUUGUGAUCCUAGCUAAACUCAGGUUAAAGAGUUAUGUUUAUAUUUGUAUAUUUGAAUGGAGUUAAUUGCAAAUACAACGAUUAGAUACAAAAUAUUUGCAUAUGUAACACAUAUUGUAUUGCUAAUAUAAAUAUAUCACUCAUAGAUUUUGCUAUAAUUAUACUUGUUUAAACAUACUAAUACACACUUAAUCUUCUUAGUUCAAUAAUGGUAUGGAGUGGAACAAACUUCCUACGUUAGGAUAAAAGGGUCACACAAAUUACCUUCGUAGUAAACUUACUUUUGACAUUAUUCAUUUAACUUAGGGUAAGUAUAAUGGAUUAGCAAUUUUAUGAAUAAUAAUUAAGUAUAUAACAAUAUCUUUUAAAAAUUGUAAAUGUAGCAAAAUAUAUUUGUGAUAGAUUUAUAUCGUUAAUAGACUCUUAUGGCUUAUAAGCGAAUGACAUAUGUGAUUUAAAAUAACUGCAGCAAUUAGUUUAAAAUGUUGUUAUAUAUCUACGAAUUUCUUAAUUGUUAUAUUCAUUUGUCAUUAGUUGUAUUUAAAAGGGAUGACCAGAAAAACAUUAAAACAAGAGGUUUACUUUUGAUAAAAGAAAAUUUUAAAUUUAAAUUGCUAAAAUAGCAAAAUGUGCAUGUCUAAGUGAAAAUUAAUUCAACAAUAAUCACGGUCGAACUCAAACUCCAAAAACAAUGAUUACAUUUAUUCCCUAAUUUGCUAAUUCAUUUUGGAUUAGGUUUAUUUUUGACAACAAUAAAAAAUUGAGGUGUGGAACAAUGAUAUUAUAAAUGCCAAAGAGUAGUUAAGAUGCAAAAUAUAAAUUUAUAUUUGCAAUAUUAGAUCAAAAUGAAUGAUAAUUUAGUUAGAUUUUUGUCAAAUAAAUAAAAAUGUGAACCAUACAAAAGCAAAUAUAGAUGCUUUUUUUUAUUGAAUUUUCAUAGAAUAAAUAAUAAAAAAAGUAAAAAAUAUUUGCCUUUUAACUUUUUCUUUUUUAAUUUUCAUAGAAAAUAUUUAAUCCAAAAAUUAAAUAACUCUCCUCCACGGUCAAUUUUCUUUUCCCUCUUCUUCAACCUCAACGUCUCUUUUAUUUCAAAUUUCUUUCCCCUUUUUCUUCUCCAUCGGUUUACUCUGCCUCUCAUCUCCCUUCUCUUCUUCGUCUUCCUCAAACCCUGCGAUUUCCUAUCUCUCAAAUUCCGUUUCGCUCUUCCUAUACCUCCAAAAUUUCGCUCUUCCUCUCUAACGUGAAGCAGCCAAGAAACUCUAUCUUGCGACAUACCCAUCUCGUCGAUCCACCACUUUCUUCUUCUUCUAGCCUUAACGGUGCCGAAAUCAAGGGCCGCAGACCCCCUCGGAAACCCAAGUCUUCCAAAGAAAAUUCUCCACCCUCAGAUCGGUUUUCGAUUCCAAAUCCUGAAGAGCCCGCUUCCACCUAGGCCUCCCUCUUCUAACCCGACCGUUCCUGAGAGUUCGCUAUCACAUACUGCUUUUACCUGUGUUGCUGAAUCCCGAUCCAAGGUAAUGCUAAAAUAAUGUUGCUAGUAUCUGGAAUAUGGUAUUACUGAAUUUAGUAAAAAUAAAUAAAUAAAUAAAAGAAGUAUACCUGUAACAACUAACAGUUGUGAGCACUGUCGGAAAAAGGCAAUGAAUUUGUAAAUCGAAGUGCAGAUAGUUCUGUUGUUUAGGAUGGAAAAGCAUGAGUAUCACGUUUCUAUAUUCAACGGACUAGUACUUAUAAAAUUUAGGCUCAUAAUCAUUUUAUUGUGCAGAGACUGGCAGAUGGUUUAAGUAGCUGGUUCCGGAGGCAGAAGCUAACAGGUGCAGCUGGGGAGCGCUUGAAGGAAGCACGCAAUAUCAACCGAUCACUCUCACAACUCGGGUAACCGAUCAAAACUAUUGGGAGAUAUUUCAAAUUUCAUUUAAGCAGUGAUCUUUCCAAUGAUUUUUUUCUUUAUUUAUUUUGUAAUGUCAAUUAGUUGGCUAAUUAUUUAUCAGAAUGCUUGUUGAUAUCGCUGCAUGUUUUAUUUUGUAAUGUUUGUACUUUUUAGUUGUGAUUUGUGAAUAUGCUAGGAUUGAUUUGAUUUGCUCUUCUGACUGUUAAGAUCGGAAUGAUGUUGCUCAUCUGAAAGAAGGCACAUCAUGUGCUUGAAGACUUGUGGAGUAUGGAGAGUGAAUGGUCAAAUUUGAGGAAUCGUAUCUGCUGGCUUUGUAGUCCAAACAGGUUGUCUCACUAACUUUCUUUUUCUCAUUUUCAACCAAUUAGGAUAGCUGUCAUGUUUUUUGAAUUCCUUGCCAUUUUGAGUAGUAACUUCGCAUUUGUUUAUUAAAAGGUUUUAAUUAAGAUUAUGGUGUUCAUAACUUUGUAGUCACACUAAAUAACUUAAAAGAGUUAGUUUGACAGUUGACAAACAUGAUAGUAAUGUGAUAGUGAGUGCAAGGGUAAAAAGAGCUGCUUCUGUUGGGUUAAAGGAUGUUUGUGUUUUUUAGUGUGAUGUGUUUUGUUUUCAAGUUCGUUAGUAGACGUAUUACUUAAUUGAAUUUUGAUACCAUAGCCAGUGUAGGGGAAGAUGAAUGGAGGGUGCUAUGAGACUAGUUAAGACUUAUAUGUAUCCUAAUUUUAGUAAUAUAUAAAAUUGAGAGAAUUUCCUUUGAUUUUCAGGAACAAGGAUGAAUAAUAAUCAAUGAAAAGGUUUAUCCAUGCAAGCUUCAAACCAAAGUCAAGGAUGUCGAUCCUUCCAGGGGAGUCCAAAGUUCCCCCCUUAUUUUUCUCCAUUUACUUUGAUUUUCAAAAGCUUUUAGGACAGAAAAAGCAAUUUUUUGAGUGGGUGUGGGUAAUAGCUUGCUUAGCUUGCAUGUUUAGUGUAAACUUGGGGGUUCAAAUUUUGCCCAAAUUUCAAAAUUUUUCAGAAUUCUUUCCAUACAAUAAUGAGCAUUAUACCUUCUUAGCUUAAUUAGAUCUUGCAUAAAAAGCAUGAUUGGCAACCCUUGAGCACUGAGCUCGGGUUAUGAUGUGAAAUUCUGAAUUUUGAUGAGUAUAUGUGCUGAAAUUUGAGCAUAAGUGCUGUCUUUUUUGUUUUAAGCUCCUUUUAGCUAUUUCUUAUUGAGAUGUGAAUGCAUGAUGAGAAAAUGGUAUGUGUGUUGUGAAUGCUUGAUUGCAUGUAUAAUAAAUAAGUGCAUGGAUACUUUCUAGCUUUGUCUUCCUUGUGCUUUGUCGUGACUUACCUAUGACGCACUUAGUCCAAACCUAGCCUAGAUAGAGUAACAAAGGAUAUGAGGCACUCUUUAGAAACUGGGAUGGUUUUAAAAGUUUAUCUUGUCAAACAUGAGUUAGAAGCCUCUUGUCUAGCCACAGUGAACUAAAUCCUUUAGAAAAGGGUCGACAUUAACAAAACUUAAUGUCACUUCGAAGGAGCAAUCAAACUUAAUUAGUAACUAAAUGUAGAACCAUAGAAAGGUUAGCCCACCGGUUCUAGCAAGACCUUGUUACCACAUUGCAUACCAAAGAAAAAAGAGAGACAUUGCAAAUGCAAAACGUAAAAAGGUUAGACAAUCAAGAGCUAUAAAAAACAAACAACACAUGCAAUAUACAUUAGAAAAUCCCAUAAAAAAGCAAAGAGCCAACUUGGUUCGGUCAAGUAGAAUGUGUUGAGUUCCCUAACUAUCAGAGCUUUUAGCAGAAAACUUUACUUUUGGCCUAACCAAAACCAAACCACCUACUCUUAGCGUUCUAAACUUAGCAUCGAGUUUGAUGAGGGCUUUGAAAAGAGGAGGAAUCCUCCCCGAUCCACAUUAGGGGGAAACAAGGCUUGUUGUCACUCGAAGGGAGCAGUCAAACUUAGCAUUGAGUUUGACGAGGGCUUUGAAAAGAGGAGGAAUCCUCCCGUUCCAUAGUAGGGGGGAAACGAGGCUUGUUGUCACUCCGAAGGGAGCAGUCAAACUUAGAAACUAAGUUUAGAACCAUAGAAAGGUUAGCCCACCGGUUCUAGCAAGACUUGUUACAUUGCAUACCAAAGAAACAAAAGAGAGACUUGCAAAUGCAAAACGUAAAAAGGUUAGACAAUCAAGAGCUAUAAACAAAACAAACAUACAUGCAAUAUACAUUAGAAAAAUCCCAUAAAAAAGCAAAGAGCCAACUUGGUUCGGUCGAGUAGAAUGUGUUGAGUCCCUAACUAUCAGAGCUUUAGAAAACUUUACUUUUGGCCUAACCAAAACAAACACCUACUCUUAGAGUUCUAAACUUAGCAUCGAGUUUGAUGAGGGCUUUGAAAAGAGGAGGAAUCCUCCCCGUUCCAUAGUAGGGGGAAAACGAGGCUUGUUGUCACUCCGAAGGGAGCAGUCAAACUUAGAAACUAAGUUUAGAACCAUAGAAAGGUUAGCCACCGGUUCUAGCAAGACCUUGUUACCACAUUGCAUACCAAAGAAACAAAAGAGAGACUUGCAAAUGCAAAACGUAAAAAGGUGAGACAAUCAAGAGCUAUAAAAAAACAAACAACCCAUGCAAUAUACAUUAGAAAAAUCCCAUAAAAAAACAAAGAGCCAACUUGGUUCGGUCAAGUAGAAUGUUUUGAGUUCCCUAACUAUCAGAGCUUUUAGCAGAAAACUUUACUUUUGGCCUAACCAAAACCAAACCACCUACUCUUAGCGUUCUAAACUUAGCAUCGAGCUUGAUGAGGGCUUUGAAAAGAGGAGGAAUCCUCCCCGAUCCACAUUAGGGGAAAACAAGGCUUGUUGUCACUCCGAAGGGAGCAGUCAAACUAGCAUUGAGUUUGACGAGGGCUUUGAAAAGAGGAGUCCUCCCCGUUCCAUAGUAGGGGAAAACGAGGCUUGUUGUCACUCCGAAGGGAGCAGUCAAACUUAGAAACUAAGUUUAGAACCAUAGAAAGGUUAGCCCACCGGUUCUAGCAAGACCUUGUUACCACAUUGCAUACCAAAGAAACAAAAGAGACUUGCAAAUGCAAAACGUAAAAAGGUUAGACAAUCAAGAGCUAUAAAAAAACAACACAUGCAAUAUACAUUAGAAAUCCCAUAAAAAACAAAGAGCCAACUUGGUUCGGUCAGGUAGAAUGUGUUGAGUUCCCUAACUAUCAGAGCUUUUGGCAGAAAACUUUACUUUUGGCCUAAUUAAAACCAAACCACCUACUCUUAGUGUUUUAAACUUAGCAUAGAGUUUGAUGAGGGCUUUGAAAAGAGGAGGAAUCCUCCCCGAUCCACAAUAGGGGGAAAACAAGGCUUGUUGUCACUCCGAAGGGAGCAGUCAAACUUAGCAUUGAGUUUGACGAGGGCUUUGAUAAGAGGAGGAAUCCUUCCCGUUCCAUAGUAGGGCGAAAACGAGGCUUGUUGUCACUUCGAAGGGAGCAGUCAAACUUAGAAACUAAGUUUAGAACCAUAGAAAGGUUAGCCACCGGUUCUAGCAAGACCUUGUUACCACAUUGCAUACCAAAGAAACAAAAGAGAGACAUGCAAAUGCAAAACGUAAAAAGGUUAGACAAUCAAGCUAUAAAAAAACAAACAACAAUGCAAUAUACAUUAGAAAAGUCCCAUAAAAAAAGAGCCAACUUGUUCGGUCAAGUAGAAUGUGUUGAGUUCCCUAACUAUCAGAGCUUUUAGCGAAAACUUUACAUUUGGCCUAACCAAAACCAAACCACUACUCUUAGUGUUCUAAACUUAGCAUCAAGUUUGAUGAGGGCUUUGAAAAGAGGAGAAUCCUCCCCGAUCCACAUUAGGGGGAAAACAAGGCUUGUUGUCACUCCGAAGGGAGCAGUCAAACUUAGAAACUAAGUUUAGAACCAUAGAAAGGUUAGCCCACCGGUUCUAGCAAGACCUUGUUACCACAUUGCAUACCAAAGAAACAAAAGAGAGACUUGCAAAUGCAAAACGUAAAAAGGUUAGACAAUCAAGAGCUAUAAACAAACAAACAACACAUGCAAUAUACAUUAGAAAAAUCCCAUAAAAAAGCAAAGAGCCAACUUGGUUCGGUCGAGUAGAAUGUGUUGAGUUCCCUAACUAUCAGAGCUUUUAGGAGAAAACUUUACUUUUGGCCUAACCAAAACCAAACCACCUACUCUUAGAGUUCUAAACAUAGCAUCUUGAGUUUGACGAGGGCUUUGAAAAGAGGAGGAAUCCUCCCGUUCCAUAGUAGGGGGAAAACGAGGCUUGUUGUCACUCCGAAGGGAGCAAUCAAACUUAGAAACUAAGUUUAGAACCAUAGAAAGGUUAGCCCACCGGUUCUAGCAAGACCUUGUUACCACAUUGCAUACCAAAGAAACAAAAGAGAGACUUGCAAAUGCAAAACGUAAAAAGGUGAGACAAUCAAGAGCUAUAAAAAAACAAACAACACAUGUAAUAUACAUUAGAAAAAUCCCAUAAAAAAACAAAGAGCCAACUUGGUUCGGUCAAGUAGAAUGUGUUGAGUUCCCUAACUAUCAGAGCUUUUAGCAGAAAACUUUACUUUUGGCCUAACCAAAACCAAACCACCUACUCUUAGCACUCUAAACUUAGCAUCGAGCUUGAUGAGGGCUUUGAAAAGAGGAGGAAUCCUCCCCGAUCCACAUUAGGGGGAAAACAAGGCUUGUUGUCACUCCGAAGGGAGCAGUCAAACUUAGCAUUGAGUUUGACGAGGGCUUUGAAAAGAGGAGGAAUCCUCCCCGUUCCAUAGUAGGGGGAAAACGAGGCUUGUUGUCACUCCGAAGGGAGCAGUCAAACUUAGAAACUAAGUUUAGAACCAUAGAAAGGUUAGCCCACCGGUUCUAGCAAGACCUUGUUACCACAUUGCAUACCAAAGAAACAAAAGAGAGACUUGCAAAUGCAAAACGUAAAAAGGUGAGACAAUCAAGAGCUAUAAAAAAACAAACAACACAUGUAAUAUACAUUAGAAAAAUCCCAUAAAAAAACAAAGAGCCAACUUGGUUCGGUCAAGUAGAAUGUGUUGAGUUCCCUAACUAUCAGAGCUUUUAGCAGAAAACUUUACUUUUGGCCUAACCAAAACCAAACCACCUACUCUUAGCGUCUAAACUUAGCAUCGAGCUUGAUGAGGGCUUUGAAAAGAGGAGGAAUCCUCCCCGAUCCACAUUAGGGGGAAAACAAGGCUUGUUGUCACUCCGAAGGGAGCAGUCAAACUUAGCAUUGAGUUUGACGAGGGCUUUGAAAAGAGGAGGAAUCCUCCCCGUUCCAUAGUAGGGGGAAAACGAGGCUUGUUGUCACUCCGAAGGGAGCAGUCAAACUUAGAAACUAAGUUUAGAACCAUAGAAAGGUUAGCCCACCGGUUCUAGCAAGACCUUGUUACCACAUUGCAUACCAAAGAAACAAAAGAGAGACUUGCAAAUGUAAAACGUAAAAAGGUGAGACAAUCAAGAGCUAUAAAAAAACAAACAACACAUGCAAUAUACAUUAGAAAAAUCCCAUAAAAAAACAAAGAGCCAACUUGGUUCGGUCAGGUAGAAUGUGUUGAGUUCCCUAACUAUCAGAGCUUUUAGAAAAAUUCCAGGUAUCACUAUACCGUUUGAAGAAAUUCUACUAGAGCUAAAUAGCGAUCAAAUCGGUUACGAUAUUCUUCUACAUUCGUUUUCUGUUUGAUUGAGAAAAAUCUUCCAACCAAAGUUCCUUCUCGAAUUGAUCGAAACUGUACAAGCAUUCGUUCUUUCAGGGCAGCCCAAUUCUUAAAAACUUCCUCCAAUUCCAUCACCUGUGCACGUGCAAUUCGACUUGUCUUUCUUCUGCUAUAUUGUAUUGCAAUUGGUGGUCUAUCAUUACUCUCCCUCUCCAAAGACACCUUGUUCUCAAGGUGGGAAAUGAGGAAGCUUUUGUGUAAAAUCAUAACAAUUCUCCCAUGUAGCCUCAUGAGGUGGUAUUCCUUUCCAACUAACAAGCACUUCCCACUUCUUUGUUGCUGGAUUUUUAGGAUAGCCAAAAUUGUCUGCUGGUAGUAACUCUUGAAAUGUAGGAACAUCAUCAAUUCCAUAUAGUUCGGUAAAUGUCAUUCCUCCCUCCAUAGCUCGACAUUUUGUCAAGAAACCGUAAUCAGAUGGUGUCCAUGUCUCCAUCAUGUGUUACAGACUCACUCUAGUCUUUGUCAAACUCGGGUCACCCCUUAUAACAACAUUCUUUUCAUUUUGUAUGAAAGUUAAAGUGAGUUUCCGCCAAUCCACUUCAGUUACCCCAACGUGUGCAGCCAUUGCAUUCCAAGGAUGACAUCACGAUAGAACACUGAUGUAGUGUUUCUAUUAUAUUGACAAUUCAAACACAACUUACAACAUAAGCAAACCGUGAACCUCAGAAAAUGAGUCACGUUACAUAUAAUUCACAAACAUCAAACAAAGAAAACCUCCUAAUCCAAAAUUCCGAACAACAAAAUACUAAUAAGCAAACCAGAAUAUAGAACACCAAUCUUCUGCUUCCCCUGUCUUUCAAGGAGUAUUGCAGACCUUUUCCUUCACUCCGAAAACUCACUUUAACAAAGAGGCAGCCACAUUUUCAGGUACAGAAAAUAAAGUAGGUAGUAUAUAGGAAGGCUAACCAGAACUGAGUUGCAUAAGGUUUGUCCUCCGCCUCUAGAGAUGUUAUAUCUUUUCCACCUUUCAAGUUUCUUGUGAAUUCGAUCAAUGACUGGUUGCCAAAAAGACUUUUGUCGAGGGUAGCCUCCCAAAGGGAGACCUAAAUAUAUAAUCGGAAGCUGGAAUAAAAAGAGAAGAGUAUCAUCGACAAAUUGAAGCAAAGGGAGGUGGAUCAAGUCUUUGCCAACAAGGAAACCUUCAAACUGGCUGUUAAUAUGAAGCUUGUUUAUGAUUUCUCCUAAAACCUCACUUACUAGGAGGAAUAAAAAGGGGGAGAGGGGGUCCCCUUGGCGGAUACCUCUAGAUGCUAUUAUCCGGCCUCUAGGCUUACCAUUGAUGAAGACUGAAUACUUUGGAUUUUUUAGGCAGCCCAUUAUCAAUGAUAUCCAUUUUGAACUAAACUUUUUCAAAGAUAAAUUUUUGUCUAAAAAGUUCCAAUUCACCCUAUCGAAGGCUUUUUCCAAGUCAAGUUUUAAAAUUCAUCCUUUUUUCCGUUUUUCCCUAUAAUCUUCCACGGCCUCGUUAGCAAUUAAUAUUGGGUCAAGAAUUUGCCUACCUUCAAUAAAGGCGCUUUGAGUGGAGCUUAUAAUUGCAUCCAUAACUUGUUUUAGACGUUCAGAUAAAACCUUUGCAACAACCUUGUAUGCUAACGUAGUAAGGCUGAUUGGACGGAAAUCCUUGACUAGAGUCACAUUGUCUUUUUUCUGCACUAAACAAAUGAAGUUUUCUUGGAUGCAAGCAUUUAAUCUUCCAUUUCUGUGGAAAUCAGACAUUAGUGAUUUGAAGAUAUCCUUGAAAAUAGACCAUUGGGUGAUUAGGAACUUCACUGUGAAGCCAUCCGGGCUCGGAGCUUUAUUGUUGCCAAGUGCCUUUACUGCCUUAAAGAUCUCCUCCACUGAAAAUUGGGUAACAAGAGCCUCAUUCUGAAUUGAGGAAACACAAGACCAAUUACUGUUAAUAGGGAUGAAUCUGUCCCCCGGAAUUCUGGUAUAAAGUGACUCAAAAAAUUUCAGCAUAAGCCUUUCAAUGUCGCGGAAUGAAGUCGAGACAACCCCAUCAUCAUUUUUUAAUUCAGUUAUGAGGUUCCUUCUUUUUUUCGCAUUUAGAAACCGGUGGAAGAAGCCCGUAUUCUCAUCACCCGAAGAAAGCCAAUUGAGUUUACUCUUCUGAAUAAAAUUACGCUCUUCGUUUUGAUAAAUACUAAGUAAUUCCGCUUGCAAAGCAGCUCUAGAAUUCAACUCUUCUUGAUUUAAUCCAAUCAACUCAGCCACAGAAUCAUAUUUUUCUAAUUUUGACAUCAAGGAUUUCUCUGUUUUUUUUUUACCUUAGCUUGCGCAGCAAUAUUCCAAGCUUUUACUGCCAAUUUAACUGAUCUCAACUGCUCAUGAAGAAUGAAACCAGCCCAUCUCUGGAAGUUAGAGUUGCUCACUGUUUCAACAAUAAUCUGAUUAGAAUCACUAGACACCAACCAGCUGUUACAAAACCGAAAAGGAGAGGGACCCCAAAGAAAAGAACCAGCCUCCAAGAAUCUGUUUUGGAGUUUGUUCGAUCUGUUCGUGAUGAUACCAAUCUGUUAUGAUCCUAUUGCACUUGCAACUUUUAGGGUAUUUUUCUUCCAUUUCUUUUCUACUUCCAAUUUCAUUUUCAAUUUCUGCAAAUUUUUUAGUUUUUCAUAUGUAUAUUGUUUUCCAAUGGUCAUUUGUUGUGUGGUGUCUUUCUUGUAAGUCAUUGGUUACUUUGUAAAGAGAAACACAUUAUGCACUAUGUCAUCGUUCUACUCUUUCUGCAACAUUUCCAUAAAGAAGCAAGAAAACAGCUAGCAGGCAGAUCAAACUUUCUUAAAUAUUCAAUUGGCCAUUUCGCCUUUCUGGAUUUAACAUUCUGCAUUUGUGUCGUUACCCUUAAAUCUCCUCACAUCUCUUUGUUCUUCCAACAAUCGUUAAGAAAAAUCCCUGUAAACCGAACCCCAUGUAUUCCCUUUUCUCCUCACUCGCCAGAAUUUUGCCCACUCUCCAAACAAAAUCAUUUCAGCCUUACUUUUGUUCACUACCCAUUUCCAAAAAUUUCAUUUCCCUCUGAAAAUCUUUGUUGAUGGCCAAACCUGUGGCUGGGAACCGUUCUCGAUCAUGUCCAGUGCUGAACCUCCCGAUGGACUGCAAGGAUCAAGGGUUAAGGUUGGUUUUUCUAUUUUUGUUGGUUAGAGUUCGUGUUCUGUUUUUUUUUUACUUUGAGUUAAAUCCUUUGUAUUUGAAGAAAUUAAAGUUAUGGGAUGUGAUGCAUGUUGGCAGGGAACUGAUUCCUUAAAAGUUGGUUAGUGUUCUUGUUCUGUUUUUUUUUUUUUACCUUGAGUUAGUUACAUUGUUUUUUGUAGGGAGCUGAAUCCUUUCUUGGGAACGUUUUGGCGAGCAUGGAUGCUGUUUAUUUUAGUUGGACGCCCACUGCAAAAUCUGUUUUGGAGUUUGUCCGAUCUGUUCGUGAUGAUACCAAUCUGUUAUGAUCAUAUUGCAUUUUGAAGUUUUGGGUAUUUUUCUUUGGUUCUUUUCUACUUCCAAUUUCUGCUUAUUUUUUAUUCUUUCGUAUGUAUAUUAUUUUUUAAUGGUCACACGUUGAGCAAUGUCUUUCUUUUAAGUCAUUGGCUACUUUGUACAGAGAAGAACAAAGUGAACUAUGUUAUCGUUCUACUCUUUCUACCCCAUUUCUAUAAAGAAGCAAGAAAACACCUAACAGGCAUAUCAAUCUGCUUAAACAUUCAAUUGGCCAUUUAGUCUUUUGGGAUUUAACAUUGUGCCAUUCUUGUCGUUGCCCUUAAAUCUCCUCACAAACUCUUUGUUCUUCCAACAAUCAUUGAAAAAGAUCCCUAGAAUCGGAGCCCCAUGACUUUCCUUUUCUCCACGCCGGCCAGAAUUUUGCCCACUCUCGAAACAAAAUCUUUCCAACCCUAUUUUUCUUUACAACCUAUUUCCAAAAAAUUCAUUUCGCUUUUUGGAAAAUCAUCGUCUAUGUCGAAACCUGCAUCUUGGAACUGAUUGUUCUCGAUCAAGUCCAGUGCUGAACCCCCGAAUGGACUGCAAGGAUCACGGGUGAAGGUUUAUUUCUUUCUUAUCGUUGGUUAGAGUUUUUGUUUUGUAUUGUACUGCCUUGACUUAAUUCCAUUAUUUUUGAAGAAUUUAAAGUUAUGGGUUUUGAUGAUCCUUUCUUAGGAACGUUUUGGCAAGACUGUACACUGCCUAUCUGAGUCGGAAUCCCACUGCAAUAUCCAUUUUGGAGCUUAUUCGAUCAAUUCAUGUUGAUACAAAUUUUUUAUAAUCAUAAUGCAUUUGGAAAUUUUGGGGUAUUGUUCUUCGUUCCAUUUUUUUUUUCUACUUCCAAUUUCGUUUUCAAUUUCUGCAUAUUUUUUAUUCUUUCUUAUGUAUAUUGUUUUCUAAUGCUCAUAUGUGGUGCAAUGUCUUUCUUUUAAGUCAUUGGUUUUUUGGUGAAUAGAAAAACAAAGGGAACUAUGUCAUCGUUCUACUGUUUCUACGACAUUUCCAUAAAGAAGCAAGCCAGAUCAAACAUUCUGCCAUUCUUUUGGUUCCCUUAAAUAUCCUCACAACCUCUUUGUUCUUCCAACAAUCAUUAAGAAAAAUCCCUGUAAACCGAACCCCAUGUCUUCCCUUUUCUCCCCACUAGCCGGAGUUUUUCCCACUCUCCACACAAAAUCCUCUCAACCUUAUUUUUCUUGACUACCCAUUUCCAAAAUUUUCAUUUCCUUGGAAAUUCUUUGUCGAUACCGAAACCUGCAGCUGGGAAUCGAUUGUUGUCGAUCAUGUCCCCGGUGCUGAACCUCCCAAUGGACUGCAAGGAUCAACGGUUAAGGUUUAUUCUUUUGUUAUCGUUGGUUUGAGUUCUUGUUCUGUUUUUUUCUGCUUUGAUUUAAUUGCAUUGGUUUUGAAGAAUUUAACGUUAUGGGUUGUGAUGCAUGUUGAUAGCAAGCUGAAUCCUUUAUUAGGAAUGUUUUGGUGAGCAUGGAGUCAGUUUACCGAGUCGGAAUCCCACUGCAAAAUCUGUUUUGGGGCUUGUUCGAUCUGUUCAUCAUGAUACAAUUUGUUGAGAUCAUAUCGCUUUUAGAACUUUUGGGGUAUUUUUCUUCCUCCCAUUUCUUCUACUUCCAACUUCAUUUUUAUUUUAUGGAUUGAUCAUUCAAUUUCAGCAAACCCACUGGUUAUGGUCAAAAGCAUAUUUAAGUUGAAGAUAUAGUAUUACAUUUACCUCGUAAGUUUUUGGAUGAAUUGGUGAUUUAACAUGGUCUAGAGUGGAUAGUUUAGGAGGCUGUUAGGCCACCAUUGUUGUUUACCUAUAAUAGAAGAAAGAAAAAUAAGGCACGUUAGGAACCAACAACAGUUACUUAAAAAAGAUGACAGUUAUCUAAAACUGGAAGUUAAAUGGAUGAGAGGGAGGUGGGAAAGGGCAGGCAGUUUUUAGUAAAAGGAAGGGCCUGCAAUACUCCAUGAGAGAUAGGGGAAGCAGAGGGCUCACGAUCUUGUUCUGGUUUUAAUUGUAGUAUUUUGAAUUGUGUUUAUUUGUGUUUUGGAUUAGGAGGGUUUCUUUGCUUGUUGUUUGUAAUUUCUCUGUAAUUUUCUUUUUAUUGUAACUUUGAGUUUCAAAUGUCAAUAUAAUAGGGAACAGUACAUCAGUGUUCUAUCAAGGUUGUAUGUUCAAAAGUGAGUAGAUAGUUGAGGAGGUCCAAUGUUCAAAAGUGAGUAGAUGGUUUAGGAGGGUCCUAUGUUCAAAAGUUUGCUGGUGUGUAUCUUUGUUGGCUCGACAUGUUUUUAAUUUAUGAUUGUUGUUGGUGGAGAGAGCGGAAGAUGCCGGGGACAGCUUGGAGAAGAUCAAGCGGCAGCUGGCCUCUGGGUCUGGUCGGAAUUUGUUGCAGGGUCCCCUUCUAAAGCGAUCUGAAACAGUAAACUAACGCAUUGCAACUCUUUCUGUCUUUCCUUUUGUUUUGAAUUGAUGGUUACUGCUUAAUUGCGCUGUCUUUAGGUCUUCCAUUUAAAUCGUUCUGACUGUUUUAGUGAUAUUUGAAGACUUAAUUAAAUCACCUAGAAGUACUUAUUAAGAUUAGGACGUCGGGAUUUGUGAUUUCAAGGAGAUUAGAAAUGUGAGAAAUGCCCAUGUUCGUGAUCUAACUGUCGGCAUAUUUGUGUUUAUGAAUAUGGCCGUCGAUGUGAUAGUAUUCUCAGACUGUUUUGUAGUGCGCAUAUGCAGAAUUGUGGUCACAUUUGAUCAGCCUUCUAUUUUCUGCGUUUCUGUUCUUAGACAGCAUUUUUUUAUGGCAAUGAGCCUUCAUUGUAGCAAAUCUGAUUUUCUCUAUUACAAUGUUUGCAGUUGAGGAAAUGGAAUGAGCGAUGGGUAGUUUUGGACCCAACAACAGGGAAAAUGGAGUAACCAUACGUCCCAUUUACACUGUUUUUGGUCCUUCCUUGCUUGGUUCAAUGUAGUAAUAUGUUGGUGGAAACAGCUCAUUUCUAAUGCUGCUGCCGAUGGUGAUGGGGUCAAUGGACCUCUGCCAAGAGUGUUCAUAUCACAAAUUGUUGUGGAUUAGUUGAGUAAAUAAACUCAGGUGCGUUUUACCGAAUUCUCGAUAUGAAGAAAUCUGAAUAUAUUUUUUCCUUCUGAAAUUUGGCUACAAGCUGUAUCUGGGUGCUGCAGUAAGUGUAUUGUUAGCGAUGUAGUAGGCAUAAGGUGGGAAUAGGAUGCAUUUUGUGUUUUAUCCAUUUAAGUUUUUGGUUUAUGCAACAAAACCUUAGCUUGAAUUACAACUUCAUAUCAUUUUUCCUACUGCAUUCAGGACAUAAUCAGAAGAUACACUGAAUGUUCUUGCAUUGGGAUUAAGCAUGCUGCUUUGGUUGGUUCUCUGGGUUCCUUCACAUGGGAAAAGCCUUUGCAUUCAGAGUUUGAGCAAUUAGCAAGGCUUUUAAUCUCCCAUGACUCUGAAACUUAUGUUAUUUAGGUCACCAUAUUAUCGUGGAGAAUGAACCAAAUUUCAUUUCUGAAUUGUGAUUUCACCAAGAAUUUGAAAACAAAAAUGCAUAUUGUUUUCUUUCUGAUUCUCUUUUAUUGCGUAUUAUUUUUUAUUGGUCAUUUACCUCCCACAGAUGACAUGAAUAGCGCCAAACAACUACAAAGAGAACUGCCACACUCCUAUAAUUGCUGCUAACCUACCUAACUAAGAAUAUACGACAAUCUCGAAAAUGUGCCAAUGAGAGACAUCAUCAGAUCCAGAGAUCAAGUUUGCCAAGAACUACUCAUAGUAGAAUUUGCAAAUAUGUGGUGCAAACUGAGCCAAGAAUAGACAACUCCAACCUUUUUGGAAUAGACGUGGUUAUCAACCUUUUGACUCUCUUCUUCUUUUCUUUCCUGACUUGGAUUCACUGCCCUGAUCAUUGGAUGAAUUUAGUGACUUUCCCUUUGAGUUCUCCAUUGUUUUCCCAGAAGUUGAUGAAUGCUUCUGUUAGGAUUCUACACCCUUUUUAAUAAAAUACCCAACUAUGGCUAAACAGAGACAGCACCCUGUGAUCCUUUAUUUAUAUAUAUAGCCCAAAGUUACAGCUACAAUAAGGAAUGAAAACAAGAACAAUGAACAAUAAGAACAAACCUGCACCCUUCACAAGAAGGAUACCCCUCUCCUAUCGGCUGCUGCCGCCUCCCUUUUCUAAAAGAUAACCAAAAAGAUACCUAUCCCUAUUUCUCAAUCAUUCUAUUUAUACUCACCCUCAAAUUCCUACCCAGUGGGACCCACCUGCACAUUCUUUUAUUUCCCACUCAUUCUCUCUCCUUACAUGUUGGUGAGUUUCCCUUCUUACCCUUCCUAACAUACGUAUGUAUGAUUGGGGGUCUCACAACACCCCUCGGUUCCAAAUUCACCUUGUCCUCAAGGUGGAAUGUGGGAAACUGUUGAUUCAUUUGAUAGACAGCUUCCCAUGUGGCUUCAGUUUCUGGUAAAUUCUUCCACUUGACUAGCCAUUCGUUAGCUCCCAAUUCUUUGUUCCAGCGAAUUCCCAAUACCUGUUCUGGCCAUAGUUGUAAUUCGAAAUCUGUUGUCAACAUAGGUUGCUGUUGCUGCACAACCUUCUGCUUACCUAACUUGAGCUUCAACUGUGAGAUGUGGAACACAUCAUGAAUACUCGCCUCUGGUGGAAGUUUCAAUCUAUAGGCCACCUCUCCUAUCUCUUCAAUGAUUGUGUAAGGCCCGUAGAAUUUUGGCGCCAGCUUUUCACACCUUUUCCGAGCUAAGGAUCUCUGCCUAUAAGGUCUGAGCUUUAGGUAUACUUCAUCACCCACCUUGAACUUCAAUUCCCUUCUUUUGGUGUCUGCCCAUUUCUUCAUGCGGUUUUGGGCUAACUGAAGGUUCUCCUUCAAGGCGUUCAAUGCCAGAUCUCUCUCCUUGAGCAUUAUUUCUACCUCAUCAUUCUGAGUUUUUCGGGUUCCGUAGGAUAGAAUCGGGGGUGGUUGCCUUCCAUAUACGAUCUUGAAAGGGUUGGAACGUAUGGAUGAAUGGAAAGUAGUGUUAUACCACAGUUCAGCCCAUGGAAUGAACUUAUGCCACCUUUGAGGUUGCUCAUUGCAAAAGCAUCUCAAGUAUGUCUCCAGACAUUGGUUUACCCUUUCCGUUUGCCCAUCUGUUUGUGGGUGGAAUGCCGUGCUUCUUUUCAGUUUAGUUCCCAUAGUUGUAAAUAACUCCUUCCAAAAAUGACUAAUGAAAACUUUAUCCCUGUCGGAUACUAUGGAUUUUGGAACCCCAUGCUUGCUGAUGAUCUUUUCAAUGAAUGUCGUCGCCACUUGUUUAGUUGUGAAAGGGUGCUUCAUAGUGAUGAAAUAAGCAUACUUGCUCAAUCUGUCUACCACCACCAUUAUCACAUUCAUUCCCCCUGCCUUCGGUAACCCUUCUAUGAAAUCCAUUGACCAUUCUUCUAGUAUGGCUUCCGGAGCAGGAAGUGGAUGUAAUACCCCUGCUGGUUUCGUCGCCUCAUAUUUGUUUCUUUGACAAAUCUCACACUGUUCCACAUAUUUCUUAAUAUCAGCCUUCAUUCCCUCCCAGUACAGCUCUCCGCUCAUCCUUUUAUAUGUCCUCAAGAAUCCCGAGUGUCCUCCUAAGAUGGAGUCAUGGAAUGUAUGCAGCAAUGUGGGAAUCACUGACGACUUCUUUGAUAAUACUACUCUCUUCUUGUAGAACAGUUUCCCAUUCUCCCAGCUAAAUUUGCUAAUUCCCUCUGGAUUCUGUUUCAAUUCUUUAAUGGUUUUCUGUAAUUCCUCAUCUUGGUUGACUUCCUUGUCUAUCACUUCCAUGUCUACAAUGCCAGUUGUCGUCAAGGAGUUUACUUCCAGCGGAUAUUCCAUCCUAGGAAGGGCAUCUGCUGCUUUGUUUUGUAAUCCAGGUUGGUAUAAUAUUUCAAAAUCGUAUCCCAGCAGUUUGGUCAGCCAUUUCUGAAAUUGGGGUUGUACUUCCCUCUGCUCAAGGAGAAAUUUCAAUGCCUUUUGAUCUGAGAUAAUUGUAAACUUCCUUCCUAAUAGAUAAUGACGCCAUUUCUGCACUGAUAAUACUACAGGCAUCAGUUCUCUUUCGUAAAUGGACUUGGCCUGGGCUCGUGUCGACAAUUUCUGGCUGAAGAAGGCUAUGGGGUGACCAUUCUGUGAAAGUACAGCUCCCAAUCCUGUCCCUGAAGCAUCUGUUUCGAUUAAAAAAGGUAGAUCCCAAUUCGGCAGUGCUAGCAUCGGGAUAGUAGUCAUGGCCAUCUUUAAUUUUUCAAAAGCCUCGGUUGCUUGUUCAUCCCACGCAAAAGAAUUCUUUUGCAACAAUCUGGUCAAGGGGGCUGCAAUUUCUCCGUAUCCUUUCACAAACCUACGAUAAUAGCCCGAUAAUCCCAGAAAUCCUCUCAGACCCGUGACAUCUUUCGGCUGAGGCCAUUUCACCAUGUCUUUGAUCUUCUCCUCAUCAGCCUGUACUCCUUUACUCGAAGUUAUAUGCCCCAAAUAUUGGAUUUUGGAGUGAGCUAUGACACACUUCUUCUUAUUUGCAAAUAGAUGGUUAUCCCUCAACACUGCAAAUACCAUCCCUAGAUGUUUCUCAUGUUCUGAUAUAUCCUUGCUAUAUACAAGUAUAUCAUCGAAGAAUACCAAUACACACCUUCUUAAAAAAGGUUUGAAUACCUGAUUCAUCAAGGACUGGAAGGUGGCUGGUGCGUUUGUAAGACCGAAGGGCAUUACCAGAAAUUCAUAGUGACCCUCAUGUGUUCUGAACGCGGUCUUCUCAACAUCUUCCUUCUGCAUCCUUAUUUGAUGGUAACCGGACUUCAGAUCUAGUUUUGAGAAAACCGUGGCUCCAUGUAAUUCAUCCAGCAGUUCUUCUAUCACUGGGAUAGGAAAUUUGUCCGAUAUGGUUACUUGGUUGAGUUUCCGGUAAUCUACACAAAAGCGCCACCCUCCAUCUUUCUUUUUGACCAAUAAAACAGGGAUGGAGUAAGGGCUAUGACUGGGACGUAUCACACCUGCUUGCAGCAUUUCCACCACCAAUUUCUCAAUUUCCUCCUUCUGUACAUAACCAUAUUUAUAUGGUCUGACAUUGAUGGGCCUUUGGUUCGGUAAAACCAAUAUACGGUGAUCUAUUUCUCUCUUAGGGGGUAGUUUCUUUGGAUCCUCAAAGAUGUCUGCAUACUGUUGUAACAGAUUUUUAAUCAUUGGAAUCUCUUCCUCGUCCCCUUUCAUUUCCUGCUCCGCUUCCACCUCCGUGUCUACUUCAUACUUUUGGAAUUCCAACAGAAAACCCUGAUCUUCAUUUUCCCACGUUUUCUCAAUGGUUUUCAGGGAACAUUCUGCUUGGAUGAGGGAUGGGUCUCCUUUCAAGAUAAUUUUCUGUUUGCCUAAUCUUCAUGGUGCCUGUUGUAUCCAGCCACUGCAUACCCAAUAUUACAUCCACAUUUCCCAACUCAAUAGCAAAAAAAUCAGCCACCACCACCACCCCUUGUAGUUCCAAUUCCACUCUCUUGCAAACACCCUUGCCUGUACACUUGGUGCCAUCUCCAAUUGUAACUGCAAACGGGUUACCUUUUUCCAGAUAUAAGUUCUUUUCCUUUACUGUCCGGUUAUGUAUAAAAUUAUGGGUUGCUCCACUAUCAAUCAGCACUAUCACUCAUUUGCCCUUUAUAUUUCCCUUCAGCUUCAUCGUUCCCUUCGAUGCCAUCCCAUGGAUUGUCUUCAAUUCUAUUUCCUCCCCUUCAGCAAAAUCCAGAUGGUUUAAUUCCACUGUUUCCCCUGGUUCCUCUUCCAUCUUGCCUUCCUCUUCCUUGCUCUCCUCUUCAUUCAUGAUAAAUAACAUCAGCUCCCUUUUUUCCUUCACUCUACAUCUGUGCCCUGGUGUAUAUUUCUCAUUGCAUUUAAAACAUAGGCCCUUAUCCAAUCUGGACCUGAAUUCUGCGUCUGAAAGUCGUUUGAUAGGAGGUUCACUUUUUUGAUAACUACCCUUAAUAGGUAUAGUUACUUGUUUUAUGGGGAAAUCUGUCCUCCUCAUGUAGCCUUUGUCUGUUCCAUCUUGGAUUUUUCCUGCAUACUCUUCUUUUUUCUUUGGUCCACUGUCCUGCCCUCGGUCUUAGUCAAUUUCAUUGCUACAUUCCGAUCAUUGACUAGUUGAGCCUCCCUCAUACAAUCUUCCAAUGUUCGAGGGAAACGACUAACGACUUCUGCCUGAAGAUUGGGUUCCAGACCGGUCAGAAAAGCAUCUCGUAACACACUUUCCUCCAUGUGAGGGAGGGGAGCUGAAUAUGUGACAAAUUUCUUCACAUACUCACUGUAGGAUCCAUCUUGUUGAAUCCUAAUCAAGCGUGCCACUAGACUUGUUUGUCCCGAGUCCUUGAAGAAAUCAAACAUCCUCCCUUUCAAAUCUUCCCAUGACUCUACUUUCUUCCUAUUAUGCGUCCACCUGUACCAGUCCACUUCCUCUUGCCCAAAACUGACCACCGCCACUCUGAUCUUCUCGUUUUCUGGCAGGUUGUUCAUCUCAAAGAAAUGUUCUGCUCUAUAUACCCAGGAUUCUGGAUUUUCACCUAAGAACAUAGGCAUUUCUAACUUUGCGUACUUACUUCGAUCCACAUUGCUUCCAUUUACCUCAUUACAGACUUCCGAUUCUUCUACUUUUCCUUUCAACUUCAUGCUGGAUCCAUCAGAUGUUCCGGAUUCAUCUCUUUUCUUAUAGCUAUGAUUCUCUCUUAGUUCCUCUGUCAGUCUUUCCAUAGAUUUCUUCAUUUCCAGUAGCAUUUCUUUCAUGCUCAGCAGCUCCUUCUCGGUUCCUUCCAUUCGUUCCACCAUUUGUCUUUGUGCCAUGCGACGCGUCACCACCCCCAGUUUUUUUUUCUCUUUUUGUCGGGCUCUGAUACCAAAUGUUAGGAUUCUACACCCUUUUUAAUAAAAUACCCAACUAUGGCUAAACAGAGACAGCACCCUGUGAUCCUUUAUUUAUAUAUAUAGCCCAAAGUUACAGCUACAAUAAGGAAUGAAAACAAGAACAAUGAACAAUAAGAACAAACCUGCACCCUUCACAAGAAGGAUACCCCUCUCCUAUCGGCUGCUGCCGCCUCCCUUUUCUAAAAGAUAACCAAAAAGAUACCUAUCCCUAUUUCUCAAUCAUUCUAUUUAUACUCACCCUCAAAUUCCUACCCAGUGGGACCCACCUGCACAUUCUUUUAUUUCCCACUCAUUCUCUCUCCUUACAUGUUGGUGAGUUUCCCUUCUUACCCUUCCUAACAUACGUAUGUAUGAUUGGGGGUCUCACAGCUUCACAUCUCCACUUUCUUUUUCUUUUGCUUUUGAAGAUGUGAACUUAACCUUGGUGGAAAGAUUGGUAUUAUUAGACUUAUCGCCUGUUUUGGUAGACUUGCCUUUUGAAACAGGAGUUUUUGGGGUUUCUUGUUUGGACUUCCCCGUCUUCGAUACAUCUUGCUUGUUGGACUUUGCAACAGCGACAGGUGUGGAUGUCUCAUCGUCCUUAGAUUUGCUAGUCUUGUUGGAUUCGGCAUCAUCAUUCUUCGACUUGCCAGCGAUUUUUGGACCUGUGCUACCAAGUUUACUUCCAAUUUCAAGAGUGCCUUGAUCCUUUGAUUUACUUCCAAUUUUUGGAGGCUGGUUUCAGCAUAGGUGUGGUUUCCUUUUUAUCAUCAUCACCUGACAAUCUUUUCACGUUUUUUCCAGAAAUAGAUUUAGCUGAUCCCUUCUUUCUCUUGACCUCUGAUUGUUUUAAAGAACUCCCCCCACUCUUGCUGGUUCCAUCACCCUUCCUAACAGACUGCUUCAAUGUCUUAGUUUCAAAAUCACUUGUAGUGUCACUUUCCCUUUCUCCUGCAUCUUCAGCUGCAGCCUUAGCAUCAUCAGAAACUCCAGCAGGAACCUUCUCUUCAGCAUCUGAAUCGAGCUUUGCUCCUGAGUCAUCCAUUCCAUCCAAUGAUUUUUUUGAAACUUCUGCAGAUGAUGCCGCCCCCUCUUUAACUGUGUUGCCUUUCCUUUUUGCCUGUCCAAUCUUAUUUCCCUGUCCAGACUUAUUGUUACACCGAUCAGGAACACUUUCUCUAAGUGAAGGUGAAGCAACAUUUGCAGAUUCAAUCUCCAUAGCCUUGGCUGAGGAAGGCUUGGCAUCAGUCUCAUUUUCCAAGGGCAUGGAGGCUGUUUAUUUGAGUCGGAAGCCCACUGCAAAAUCUGUUUUGGAGUUUGUUCGAUCUGUUCAUGAUGAUACAAAUUUGUUAUGAUCAUAUUGCAUUUUGAAGUUUUGGGGUAUUUUUCUUCCAUUUCUUUUCUACUUCCAAUUUUUGCUUACGUUGUAUUCUUUCUUAUGUAUAUUAUUUUCUAAUGGUCUUGUUGUGCAAUGUCUUUCUUUUAAGUCAUUGGCUACUUUGUAAAGAGAAAAACAAAGUGAACUAUGUCAUCGUUCUACUCUUUCUACCCCAUUUCCGUAAAGAAGCAAGAAAACAGCUAUCAGGCAAAUCAAUCUACUUAAACAUUCAAUUGGCCAUUUAGUCUUUUGGGAUUUAACAUUCUGCCAUUCUUGUCGUUGCCCUUAAAUCUCCUCACAAUCUCUUUGUUAUUCCAACAAUCCUUAAGAAAAGUCCCUGUAAACCGAACCCCAUAUGUUCCCUUUUCUCCACAUCGGUCAUAAUUUUGUCCACUCUCCAAACAAUAUCCUUUCAACCUUAUUUUUCUUCACUACCCAUUUCCAAAAUUUUCAUUUCCCUUGGAAAAUCUUUGUCGAUGUCGAAACUUGCGGCUGGGAACCGAUAGUUCUCAAUCAUGUCCAGUGCUGUACCUCCCAAUGGACGGCAUGGAUCAAGGGUUAAGGUGGAUUUUUUUGUUAUCGUUGGUUAGAAUUCUUGUUCUGUUUUAGGACAUAAAUUCCAACACAAAGAAUGUUUAAGUGUUAGCUUUCUCUACUCAUAACCUACUCAAAUAUUAGAAAAAAGGACUUAACGACACAAAUUGCAUCCAAGUGUCCAGAUGCAACACUAUAGUGCCAAACAAACCUAACUAGUGUCCAAAAUGUGCCUAAGAUUUAAAGACAACCAAACGAUGCUUAACUGUGAGCUUUUCCAAUGCAUAAGCUACCAAAAAGUGAGAAAAAAAGGUCUGAACAACCUAAAAUCGCAACCAAGUGCCCAAAUGCAACUACUAUAGUGCCAAAUAAACCUAAGUAGUGUCCAAAAGGUGCCUAAGCUUUAAAGAAAACCAAAGAAUGCUUAAAUGUGAGCUUUCUAGACUCAUAACCAACUAAAAAGUUAGAAAAAAGAAUUUAACAACCCGGAAUGACAAUCAAAUGCCAAGGUACAACAACUAUAGUGCCAAACCAAGGUGCGUAAGCUGUAAAGGAAACAAAAGAAUGCUUAAGUGUUAGCUUUCCCGACUCAUAACCUAACAAAAGUUAGAAAAAAGGACUUAACAACCCGAAAUUGCAACCAAGUGCCAAAGUGCAACAACUAUGGUGCCAAAGAAACCUUAUUAAUGUCCAAAAGGUUCCUAAGGUUUAAAGACAGCAAAAAAAAUGCUUAAGUGUGAGAUUUUCCAAAUCAUAACUUUAAAAAAUGUGAGAAAAAGGACUUAACGACCUGAAGUGGAAAUCAAGUGUCCAAGUGCAACAGCUAUAAUGCCAAACCAACCUAGGUAGUGUCCAAAAGGUGCCUACGUUGUAAAUGCAAUCAAAGAAUGCUUCAGUGUGAACUUUCUCUACUUAUAACCUACCAAAAUGUUAGAAAAAAGGACUUAACGACUCGAAUUGCAACCAAGUGCCCAAGUGCAACAAAUAUAGUGCCAAACUAACCUAACUAGUGUCCAAAAGGUGCAUAAGGCUUAAAAUCAACCAAACAAUGCUUAACUGUGAGCUUUUCCAACUCAUAAGCUACGAAUAAAUGAGAAAAAAAUGACUUAACAACCCGAAAUGGCAACCAAGUGCCCAAAUUCAAUAACUAUAGUGUCAAACCAACCUAACUACUAUCCAAACGGUGUUAAGUUGUAAAGGCAACCAUUGAAUGCUUAAGUGUGAGCUUUCUUAACUCAUAAGCUACCAAAAAAUCACAAAAAAGGGCUUGAUGAACAAAAAUUUCAACCAAGUGCGUAAGUUAAACAAAUAUACUGUUAAAACAACCUAAUUAGUGUCUAAAAGGUGACUAAGGUUUAAAGACAACCAAAGAAUGCUUAAGUGUGAGCUUUCCCGACUCAUAACCUACCGAUAAGUCAGAAAAAAUGAUUUAACGACUCGAAAUGGCAAGCAUGUGCCCAAGAGCAACAAAUAAAAUGUCAAACAUACCUAAGUAGUAUCCAAAAGUUGCGUAAGCUAUAAACGCAACCAAAUAAUAUUUAAGUGUGAGCUUUCUCGACUCAUAACAAACAAAAAUGUAAAAAAAAAAGACUUAACGACCCCAAUUGGCAACCAAGUGCCUAAGUGAAACAACUAUAGUGCGAAACAUACCUAAGUAGUGUCCAAAAAGUGCCUAAGCUGUAAAUGCAACCCAAGAACUUGUAAGUGUGAGCUUUGUCGACUCAUAUCCUACCAAAAUACCUGAAAAAUAACUUAACGACCCGAAAUGGCAACCAAGUGCGCAUGUGCAAUAAUUAUAGUGCCAAACAAACCUAAGUAGUUUAAAAAACGUGCCUAUUAUAUAAACACAACCAAAGAAUGCUUAAGUGUGAGCUUUCUCAACUCAAAAUCUACCAAAAUGUCAGAAAAAGGACUUAACGACCCAAAAUGAAAAUAAGUGCACAAAAGCAACAACUAUAGUGCCAGACCAACCCAAGUAGUGUCCAAAAGGUGCCUAAGGUUUAAAGACAAACCAAGAAUGUUUAACUGUGAGCAUUCCUGAUAUGGAUCAAGAAAUCAUGAUUGAAUCAAAUGAAGAAGUUAAGGAGAUGCAAUGCUUGGAAGUUGAAGAGUUAUUUUGGGCAACUCAAAAGUCAUAAAUUUAAAUGUUUAAGAAAUAAUGUUUAUGUGUUUUUAGUUAUUAUGUUAGUUGAAAGGUUAUCAAAUUAAAUGUUUUGACCUUUCAUUUCAUAUUUUAAUUAGUAUAAAUAGGGUUGUAAUUUUUCCACAUUUAAAAAGAAGAAUUUGGGAUGAAAGAAAUCUGAAAAUUCUAGAAUGUAGAAUUUUGUUCUUGUCUGUUGUGAUAGAAUGCACAAACAUUUGAAGCAUUCAAGUGAGAGUUGAUCUACCUUACUUGUGGAGUGUUUUGAAGAUUAAGGAUUGAUGGGAGUUUCUAAUUUUGUUCGAUCCUUGGUUUCUUAGAUCAUCUAAGCAAUUUGUAUGUAGCCUAUCUUAGGGGUUGAAAUCAAAUUGGUUUUGCGGCUAGUGGGGUUGUGUUCUUUGAGUCUUGUUGUUUAACAUGAUUCUUAGAUCCAAUGCCUAGGGGUUUCUUAUCAAUUUCCAACACAUAACCUACCAAAAAGUGACCAAAAAGGACUUAAGGACCUUAAAUGGAAACCAAGUGUGCAAGUGCAUCAACUAUAGUGCCAACCAACCUAUGUAGUGUCCAAGAGGUGCUUAGGCUGUAAAGACUAUCAAACAAUGCUUAAGUAUGAGCUUUCUUAACUCAUAAACUACCAAAAAUUGAAAAACAAAGAAGGAAUUAACGACCAAAAAUGGUAAAUAAGACAAGAACUAUAGUGCUAAACCAACCUAAGUGGUGUGCAAAAGGCGUCUAUAGUGCAAAUCAUGUCAUUUUAAUUGAUCAAUUCAUAAGUUAGUCCUAGAAGUUUUAUGGUAUAGUGCUUGAUUUGGCAAUGCAUAGGUAAAGAAACCAUAGUGACUAAAGUUCACAAAUCAAAUGUAUAGUAUUGUGUUUGAAAUGACUUUAUAAGUGAAUAAAAACACUAGGAAAAAGAAAUUUAGUCAUAUAAGGGAUCAUCUAGCACACAGGUUUUUGUCAAGUUCCAAAUGUAGUAACACUACAACAAAAAUUAUCUACUACGACAGUUGUUUAUAUCACAAAAUGGAGGGAGGAAAAAAAAUUAUCACAAAAGGAAAAAAAACGCGCGGGAAAAGGCGAAACUUUUCGGAUAAUACUUUUCGCGACAGUUAUUUGACGUCAUAGUAUUGUAAUUGAAAAAAAAUUUAGAGGCCUAGAACCACAAAUGAAAGUCACGAAUGAACCAUCAUCAUUCUUCUUAAAUCGCCACUAAUCUUAAAAGUGCAAGCAUUGUAUAUAUGUUUAAUUUUUAAAAUAAAAAGAAAACAGUUCUAAAAAAGAAAAUGGUUAUCAAUUCCUAUCUGAUGAGUUGUGGUAAAAAUUAUAUCAAUAAAAUGAACAAGAAAAAAAGAAGUGUAAGGAAGGAAAAGUUGAAUAUCGUAGAACCCAACGAAUUUUGACCUAAUCGGCUUAACUCUCCUACAUUCUACAGGCUAUUGUUGCUUCGGCCGUGAGUGAAUAUUUUCCUACGCAAGUUCUGAUAUCGAAGGAACCCAACGCAUUCUGACCUAAUUGGCUUAACUCUUCUACUUUCAACUAGCUAUUGUUGCUUCGGCCAAGAGUGAAGAGUUACCUAUACAACUAUCGAUCCCGAAGGAACCCGACGCAUUCUGACCUAACCACUUUAACUCUCCUACUUUCUACAGAAAUUGAUGCUUUGGCCAAGAGUAAAAAGUUCCCUAUGUGAAUUCUGAUACGUAAAGAACUUGAUACAUUCCAACCUAACCAGCUUAACUCUCCUACUUUCUACCGGUUAUUGUUGCUUCAGCCAAGAGUGAAGAGUUCUCUACGCAAGCUUUGAUUCUGAAGGAACCUGACGUAUUCUGACCUAACUAGCUUAACUAUCCAACUUUCUACAGGCUAUUGUUGCUUCAACCAAGAGUGAAGAGUUCCUUAUGCAAUUUAGGAACCCGAUGCAUUCUGACCUAACCGGCUUGACUUUCCUACUUUCUACGGCCUAUUGUGGCUUCGGCGAAGUGAAAAGUUCUUUACGCAAGUUCUGAACUCAAAGGAACCCGAUGGAUUUUGACCUAACCCGCUUAACUCUCCUACUUUCUACCGGCUAUAGUUACUACAACCAAAAGUGAAAAGUUCCCUACGCAAGUUUUGAUCCCGUAGGAACCCGAUGCAUUGCGACCUAAUCGACUUAUCUCUCUAACUUUCUAUGGGCUGUUAUUGCUUCAUCCAAGAGUGAAGAGUACCUAAUGCACGUUCAUGUCUCGAAGGAACCCGAUGCACUCUGACCUAAUCGAUUUAACUCUCCUACUUUCUAUGGGUUAUUAUGGCUUCGACAAAGAUUGAAGAGUUCUCCACACAAGUUCUGAUCUCGAAGGAACCCAACACAUUCUGAACUAACCAGCUUAACUCUCCUACAUGCUACGGGUUAUUAUGGCUUCGACCAAAGAGUGAAAAGUUCUCUACGCUAGUUUUGAUCACGAAGGAACCCGAUGCAUUUUUGCCUAACCGACUUAACUCUCGUACUUUCUAUGGGGUAUUGUGGCUUUAGCCGAGAGUGAAGAGUUCCCGAUAAAAGUUCUGAUUCGGAAGGAACCUGACACACUUUGAGCUUUUCGGCUUAACUCUCCUACAUUUUACGGGCUACUGUAGGUUCAGCCGAGAGUGAAGAGUUCACGAACAAGUUCUGAUUCUAAAAGAACCCGAUUCAUUUUAAUCAAACCAGCUUAACUCUUUUACUUUCUACGGGCUACUGUGGCUUCGGCCGAGAGUGAAGAGUUCCUCACACAAGUUCUAAUCCCAAAGCAACUCGACGCAUUCUAACCUAAUCGGGUUAACUCUCCUACUUUCUACAUGUUAUUGUUGCUUCAACCAUAAGUGAAGAUUUCAUUAUGAAAGUUUUGAUCCGGACGGAACCCUACGCACUCUGAGCUAUCCGACUUAAUUCUCCUACAUUCUACAGGCUAUUGUUGCUUGGUCGAGAGUGAAGAGUUCACCAACAAGUUCUGAUCACGAAGGAACCAGACGCAUUCUAACCUGAUCGGCUUAACUCUCUUACUUUUUAUGGGCUAUUGUGGCUUCGGCCGUGAGUGAAGAGUUCCGGACACAAGUUCUGAUCUCAAAGGAACUCUAUACAUUCUGACCUAAUAUGCUUAACUCUUCUACUUUUUAUGGGCUAUUGUUGCUUCGACCAUGAGUGAAGAUUUUCCUACGCAAGUUCUAAUAUCGAAAGAACCGAAUGCAUUUUGACCGAACUAGCUUAACUCUUCUACUUCCAACGACCUAUUGUUGCCUCGACCAAGAGUUAAGAGUUCUAUAUGCAAGUUCUUAUUCUGAAGGAACCCGAUGCAUUCUGACCCAACCGUCUUAACUCCCCUACUUUCUACGGGCUAUUGUGGCUUCGACAAAGAGUGAAGAGUUCUCUAAGCAAGUUCUGAUCCUAAAGGAACCCGACGCAUUCUGACCUAACCGAUUUAACUCUCCUACUUUCUACGGGCUAUUGUGGGUUUAGUCGAGAGUGAAGAGUUGUUGAUGAAAGUACUGAUCUCGAGGGAACUAGAUGCAUUUUAACCUAUUCGGCUUAACUCUCCUACUUUCUAUGGUCUAUUGUGGCUUCAACCGAGGGUGAAAAGUUCCCAACACAAGUUCUGAUCUGGAAGGAACCCGACGCAUUUUAACCUAUUUUGCUUAGCUCUCAUACUUUCUAUGCGCUAUUGUGGCUUCAGCUAAGAGGGAAAAGUUCCUGACACAAGUUAUGAUACCAAAGGAACUCGAUGCAUUCUAACCUAACCAGCUUAACUCUAUUACUUUCUACGAGCUAUUAUUGCUUUGACCAUGAGUGAAGAUUUUCCUAUGCAAGUUCUGAUAUCGAAAGAACCAAAUGCAUUCUGACCCAACUGGCUUAACUUUUCUACUUCCAACGGGCUAUUGUUGCUUCGGCCAAUAGUAAAGAGUUCCCUACGAAAAUUCUGAUUUCAAAGGAACUCGAUGCAUUCUGACCUAACCGUCUUAAUUCUCUUACUUUCUACAGGCUAUUUUUGCUUCCACCAAGAGUUAAGGGUUCCCUACGAAAGUAUUGGUCUCGAUGGAACCCAAUGAAUUAUGAUUUAACCACUUUAACUCUCAUACUUUCUAUAGUAUUGCUUCGGCCAAGAGGGAAGAGUUCCCUAUGCAAAUUCUGAUAUUGAAGGAACCUGACACAUUUUGACCUAACCAGCUUAACUCUCCUACUUUCUACAAGUUAUUGUUGCUUCGGCCAAGAAAGCAUUCCCUACGCAAAUUUUGAUUCUGAAGGAACCCGACGCAUUCCGACCUAACCGGCUUAACUCUCAACCUUUUUAUGGGCUAUUGUUGCUUCGACCAAGAGUUAAGAGUUCCUUAUGCAAGUUCUAAUAUCGAAGGAACCAAAUGCAUUUUGACCUAACUGGCUUAACUCUCCUACUUUCUACAGGCUAUUGUGGCUUUAGCCGAGAGUGAAGAGUUCCAUGAAAUUUCUGGUCAGGAAGGAACCCGAUGCAUUUUAACAUAUUCGGCUUAACUCUCCUACUUACUAUGGGCUAUUGUGGCUUCAACUGAGAGUGAAGAGUUCCCGACACAAGUUCUGAUCCUAAAGGAACUUGAUGCAGUCUGACCUAUCCGAGUUAAUUCUCCUACCUCCUACGGGCUAUUGUUGCUUCGACCAUAAGUGAAGAUUUCCCUACGCAAGUUCUUAUAUCGAAAGAUCUAAACGCAUUCUCACCUAACUGGCUUAACUCUUUUACUUCCAACGGGUUAUUGAAGCUUCAGCCAAGAGUGAAGAGUUCCCUACGAAAAUUUUGAUCCUGAAGGAAAUCGACGCAUUUCUGACCUAAUUGGCUUAACUAUCCGACUUUGUACAGGCUCUUUUUGCUUCAGCCAAGAGUUAAGGGUUCCUUACGCAAGUAUGGAUCCCGAAGGAACCCGACACAUUCUGAUCUAACCGCUUUAACUCUCCUACUUUCUAUAUGAAAUUAUUUCUUUGGCCAGGAGGGAAGAGUUCCCUACGAAAAUUUUGAUACGAAGUGAACCCGACGCAUUCCGACCUAACCAGCUUAACUCUCCUACUUUCUACGGGCUAUUGUUGCUUCAGCCAAAAGUGAAGAGUUCCCUAAGCAAAUUUUGAUUCCGAAGAAACCGAUGCAUACCGACCUAACCGGCUUAACUCCCCGACUUUCUAUGCGUUAUUGUUGCUUUGACUAAGAGUUAAGAGUUUCCUACGCAAGUUCUGAUUCUCGAGGAACCCGAUGCAUUCUAACAUAAAUGGCUUAACUCCCGUACUUUCUACGGGCUAUUGUGGCUUCGGCCGAGAGUGAAGAGUUGUCGAAGAAGUUAUGAUCCCAAAGAACCCGAUGCAUUUUAACCUAACCGGCUUAAUUCUCCUACUUUCUACGAGCUAUUGUGGCUUCAAUCGAGAGUCAAGAGUUCCCGACACAAGUUCUGAUCCCAAAGAUUUCCUUGUGCAAGUUCGGAUAUCUAAAGAACCAAACAUGCAUUCUGACCUAACUGGCUUAACUCUUCUACUUUCAACCGGCCAUUGUUGCUUCGACCAAGAGUGAAGAGUUCCCUACGAAAAUUUUGAACCCGAAGGAACUCGACACAUUCUAAACUAAUUGGCUUAACUCUUCGACUUUCUACGGGCUAUUUUUGCUUCCACCAAGAGUUAAGAGUUCCCUACGCAAGUAUUGAUCCCGAAGGAACCCAUCGCAUUAUGAUUUAAUCGCUUCAACUCACCUUCUUUCUACAGGAAAUUGUUGCUUUCACCAAGAGUGAAGAGUUCCCUACGCAAAUACUAAUACAGAAGGAACCCGACGCAUUUCGACCUGACCAACUUAUCUUUCCUACUUUCUACAAGUUAUUGUGGCUUCGGUCGAGAGUGAAGAGUUUCCUACAAAAGUUUGAUCCUGAAAGAACCCAAUGCAUUAUGACUUAAUAGGCUUACCUCUCCUACUUUCUACCAGCUAUUGUAGCUUCGACCGUGAGUGAAGAGUUCUGAUGCAAGUUUUGAUCCCAAACGAACCCGACGCAUUCUAACCUAACAAGCUUAACUCUCCUACUUUCUACGGGCUAUUGUAGCUUCAGGCAAGAGUGAAAAGUUCUCUACACAAGUUCUCUACUUUCUAUGGGCUUUUUAUUAUAAGUGUAAAGAAAUAGGUGUAUGAAUUGGAUUGAUGAACACUUUUUUGAAUUUUUUUUAAGCUUAAAAGGAUAUUUAUGGAACUUUCAAUAAUUCAUCAAUAUUUUUUAAACAGAACUUUUCAAUAGUUGAUGAUUAUUUUUUAAACAAAACUUUAGCGACUUUCAUCUAAAACCAAAGACAAUGGUAUUUUUGAACCGUUUUCGAAAGUUUAAGGGCAUCUUUCAACUUUUAAAAGGAGACAUUUUUGACACAAACCACUAGGGGUAUUCUAACACUGACAACACUAACAACACUAACAACCCAGACUACCCAUCCCAAAUUUCGAGUAUUAUUACCAAAUAUGUUUUUUAACUUAUGGAUAUGUUGAAUUUUGAUAUUAUGAAAUUUUAGUAAUUGAUAUGUGUGGUAAAAAAAUUUAAGUGUUUAAGUUAAUCAAGAAUACACUCCGUUUACAAGGAGUACAAGGAGUCCAAGUAGAUAUUAGUUGUGUUUGAAAAAUUAUGAAAAAAAAGACCUAUUUUAAAAAAAAGUACAAUCAAGUGAAAUGUUACAUAAACUUCACAACAUAGUUAAUAAGAUAACACAAUAUUACAAGAUUUUGUUUACACGUAUACAUAUAUAUACCUCAUUUUUCCAUCCUCUCAAAAUACAUCAUGGAAAGAAUAAAACAAACACAAAAUCAAUAACAUGAGGCAAACCACAGUUUGAACCAUGCACAAUGCUCUCUCUUUCUAGACUUUUAAUGCACGGUCAUUCUGUUUUCCGGCACUGGUUGUAAAGCAGUUCUCACUUUCACGCCACCUCCAACAACUUUUGUGUUGAUGUUAUUAUUUUCCAUCUUCUUAUGGUUAAGUUGGAGUUUUUCCUUGAACAACUUCCUCAGCUGCCUUAGGCUAGUAUUAUCAUUCUUCACCACUAACUGAAUGAACUUUGCUUUGUUCUGUUCUUUUUCAGCUUCUUCUUCCUCAGCAUCUGGGUUGUCCAUUAGCAAACUAAUGGUUUGUUCUUCAACGGGAGAUUUGGCUUCUAUUGUUGGCCUAGGGAAUUGGUUUGCCAAUGAUUGAACUGCAUUGUUGUUGGAGGAUGUGAUAGUGAUUUCCACCAAAGCUUCCUCACAUUGAACAAUGGCAUUUGGGAUUUCUGGUUGUGAGUCGAUAGCUUCGACACUUAUGUCUUUAGGAAGAGUUUCUUCUUCCAUUUUCCAUUGGAUCUUGACAUCAACCAAAUCAUCAGAAACAUUCUUGGGGAACUCCUCCGUGGACUUAUUGAUAAUUGUAUCAUCUUCUUCAGCUUGAACGGAACUUUUCUCCAUUUUUGUUUCCUUCUUGUCUCCUUCAAUGUCAGCAUCUGAUGCUACAUUUCCGGUUGUGGGAUCUGAUCAUUUUCAUCUUGAUCGUCUUUCACUUCCAAAGAUUCUUCAUCACUGCUCAAGGCAUCAUCUCCAUCAACUUCAGUUUCUUCUUCCACAUUUUCGUGGGGAAGAGACAGUUCUUCAGCAGAGUUAUUCACGUGUGUUUUCUUCUUCAACAUCUUCUUCAAUUUUAUGUUUCAAUUCACAGGUAGACUCAUUUUGUUGAGAUUCAAAUUCCAUACCAAAUUCUUCUGCAAUGCUCGAUUUGUGAACUUCAGUAACAUCCAAGUCUUCAGUAGGCAGAGAAGAUUUGUCAGAUUCAUUGAUUUUCUCAGCAGAAAUCUCCACAGAAUCAUCAUCUUUCGAAACUUCAUUUACUUUUUCAUCUUCAGAGAAGCAUUGCACAUCCGAGUUAGCAUGAGGUGCCUCUGUUUUAGAAUCAUCAACGCUCUUUGCACUAGUUACAUUUUCAUCAAAAGAUUUUAACAGAUCAUCAAGAACCAUUUCUGGUUCCUUCUCUGAGAGUGCAGUAAGUGUAUUGUUAGCAAUGUAGUAGGCAUAAGGUAGGAACAGGAUGCAUUUUGUGUUUUAUCCAUCGAAGUUUUUGGUUUAUGCAACAAAACCUUAGCUUGAAUUACAACUUCAUAUCAUUUUUCCUACUGCAUUCAGGACAUAAUCAGAAGAUACACUGAAUGUUCUUGCAUUGGGAAGAAGCAUGCUGCUUUGGCUGGUUCUUUGGGUUCCUUCACAUGGGAAAAGCCUUCACAUUCAGAGUUUGAGCAAUUAGCAAGGCUAUUAUUCUCCCAUGACUCUGAAACUUAUGUUAUUUAGUUCACCAUAUUAUCGUCGAUAAUGAACCAAAUUUCAUUUCUGAAUUGCGAUUUGACCAAGAAUUUGAAAACAAAAAUGCAUAUUGUUUUCUUUUUUAUUCUUUUCUAUUGCGUAUCAUUUUCUAUUGGUCAUUUGUUGUGCAAUGUCUUCUUCUUAAGUCAUUGGUUACUUUGUAAAGAGAAAAACAAAGUGAUUUAUUUCAUCGUUCUACUCUUUCUACAACAUUUCCGUACAAAAACAAGAACACUGCUAACAGGUAGAUCAAACUUCGCUAAAAUUCGUUUCCCUUCUUGGAAGAUAUUCGUCCAUGCCUAAACCUGCAGCUGGAAACUGAUUGUUCUCGAUCAUGUCCAGUGCUGAACCCCCAAAUGGAUUGGAAGGAUCAAGGGUGAAGGUUUAUUUUCUUCUUAUCGUUGGUUAGAGUUUUUCUUUCGUUUUGUUCUGCUUUGAGUCAAUUCCAUUGUUUUUUAAGAAUUUAAAGUUAUGGGCGUGAUGAUCCUUUGUUAGGAACGUUUUGGCAAGACUGGAGACUGCUUAUCUGAGUCGGAAUCCCACUGCAAAAUCAUUUUGGAGCUUAUUCGAUCAGUUCAUGUUGAUACAAAUUUCUCUUGAUCGUAAUGCAUUUGGAACUUUUGGAGUAUUUUUCUUCCUUCCAUUUAUUUUCAACUUUCAAUUUCAUUUUCAAUUUCUGCGUAUUUUUUAUUCUUUCUUAUGUAUAUUGUUUUCUAAUGGUCAUUUGUGGUGCAAAUUCUUUCCUUUUAAGUCAAUGGUUAUUUUGUAAAUAGAAAAACAAAGUGAACCAUGUCAUCGUUCUACUCUUUCUACAACAUUUCCAUAAAGAAGCAAGAAAACAAUAGUCUUUUGUGAUUUAACAUUCUGCCAUUCGUGACGAUACCCUUAAAUCUCCUCACAAUCUCUUUGUUCUUCCAACAAUCAUUAAGAAAAAUCCCUAGAAAUCGAACUCCAUGUCUUCCCUUUUCUCCCAACCGGCCAUAAUUUUUCUCACUCUCCAAACAAAAUCGUUUCAACCUUAUUUUACUUCACUACCCAUUUCCAAAAUUUUCAUUUCCCUCGGAAAUUCUUUGUCGAUGUUGAAACCUGCAGCUGGGAAUCGAUUGUUCUCGAUCUUGUCGAGUGCCGGUUCUAAUGGAUUGCAAGGAUCAAGGGUUAAGGUUUAUUUUUUAGUUGUCGUUGUUUAGAGUUGUUGUUCUGUUUUUUUCUGCUCUAAUUUCAUUGCAUUGUUUUUGAAGAAUUUAAAAGAUAUGGGUUGUGAUGAUCGUUGAUAGGGAGCUGAAUCCUUUGUUAGGAAUGUUUUGGUGAGCAUGGAGGCAGUUUAUCUGAGUGGGAAUCCCACUGCCCAUCUUUUUUGGGGCUUGUUCGUUCGGUUCAUAAUGAUACAAAGAACUUUUUGGGUAUUUUUCUUCCUUCCAUUUUUUUUCUACUUCCAAUUUCAUUUCCAAUUUCUUGAUUGAGCAUUCAAUUUCAGGAAAUGCACUGUAUACUGUCAAAAGCAAAUUUCAGUUGGCAAGUGGUUUGGAAUAUCAGAAAAAAGUAAUGGUAUAGUUUAUAAGGUAAUUUUGAGGUGAUUUAAGAAAAAUUGGUUGUUCGGCAAUCAAUUUUUCUACAUUACCUCGACUCUACCUUAAUAGAGGACAUGUGUGUCUUCUAGUUUCACAUUAGUUGGGUCUUUCUUUUCUAUUGCAUAUUAUUUUAUGUUGGUGAUUCGUUGUGCAAUGUGUUUGUUUUAAGUCAUUGGUUACUUUAUAAAGAGAAAUACAAAGUGAAUUAUUUCAUCGUGUACUCUUUCUACAACAUUUCCGUAAGUAAGCAAAAAACUGCAAACAGGGAGGUGAAACUUUCUUUAAAAUUCAAUUGGCCAUUUCUUCAUUUUUGAUUUAAUAUUUGUGUCAUGACCCUUAAAUCUCCUCACAAUCUCUUUGUUCUUCCAACAAUCAUUAAGAAAAAUCCCUCGAAUCUGAACCCCAUGUCUUUUCUUUUCUCCUCACCAGCUAGAAUUUUGCCCACUCUCCAAACAAAAUCUUUUCAACCUUAUUUUUCUUUACUACCCAUUUCCAAAAAUUUGAUUUCCCUCCUCGAAAAAUCUUCGUCCAUGCAGAAACCUGCGGCUGGGAGCUGAUUGUUCUCGAUCAAGUCCAGUGCUGAACCCCCAAAUGGAUUGCAAGGAUCAAAGGUUAAGGUUUAUUUUUUUGUUAUCGUUGGUUAGAGUUUUUGUCUUUUUUUUUCUGCUUUGAGUUAAUUUCAUUGUUUUUGAAGAAUUUAAAGUUGUGGGUUGUGCUGAUUCUUUCUUAGGAACGUUUUGGAAAACCUGGAGACUGCAAAUCUGAGACGAAAUUCUACUCAAAAUCCGUUUUGGAGCUUGUUCUAUCUGUUCAUGGUGAAUCAAGUCCGUUUUGUUCUGCUUGCACUUUCAUUUUGAAUUUUUGCAUAUUUUUUGUUCUUUUCGAUGUAUAUUGUUUUCUAAUGGGCAUUUAGUGUGCAAUGUCUUUCUUUUAAGUCAUUGGUUACUUUGUAAAGAGGAAAAAAAGUGAACUAUGUCCUCGUUCUACUCUUUCUACAACAGUUCCAUAAAGAAGCAAGAAAACUGCUAAAACAGGCGGAUCAAACUUCCCUAAACAUUCAAUUGACCAUUUAGUCUUUUGGGAUUUAACAUUUUUCCAUUCUUUUUGUUUCCCUUAAAUCUCUUCAUAAUCUUUUUGUUCUUCCAACAAUCAUUAAGAAAAAUCCCCGUAAGUCGAACCCCAUGUGUUCCCUUUUCUCCUCACCGGCCAGAACUUUGCCCACUCUACAAACAAAAUCAUUUCAACCUUAUUUUUCUUCACUACCCACUUCCAAAAUUUUCAUUUCCCUAUGAAAAUAUUUUCCGAUGCCGAAACUUGCGGUUGGGAACCGAUUAUUCUCUAUCAUGUCCAAUGUUGAACCUCCCAAUGGAUGGCAAGGAUCAAGAGUUAAGGUUGAUUUUUUUGUGAUUGUUGGUUAGAGUUCUUGUUCUGUUUUUCUGUCUUGAUUUAAUUUUGUUGUUUUUGAAGAAUUUAAAGUUAUGGGUUGUGAUGAUCGUCUGUGCAUGUGCGAACAUGUUGAUUUUUUUAGUGAUGAGAUUCUUCCAAUUUUAAAAUAAUAAUUUCGUUAUCUUGAUGUUUAAGCCAUUAAUGUUAUUUUGAGAUAAAAAUAGCGAACAAGUUGAUAUUUUUUAAUUUUGAAUUCAAUUAAGGUUAUUUUGAUACAAAAUCUAUGUUGAGAUUCUCAAAUUCUGAAAAAUAAUAAUUUGGUUAUUUUGAAAUUUAAAUUCAAUUGGGUUAUUUUGAAAUUAGUAAGAUUGAAUAAAGUUAUUAAAAUAUUGAAUCAAUUAGUUGAGUCCCAAGAUAUUAAAAAAAAAGUUGCAAUAUGGAUUGAUGUAUAUUUUUCAAGUAAAAAUUAAUUAAAAGCUGAUAAAUGACAUAAAUUAAUUACAACGUAGAAACUAAAUAAUUACAGUUGGAGAAGGUGGAUAUUUUGUAAAAUACCAUGCACGUGCAAAAAAUGUUAUUUGCUAAAAUUCAAAAGAAAAAAUAGUUUUUCCAUUUUUUAAAAUAACCCAUAGAAAAGUUGUUAUAUCUCUUAGGACAAAGAGUGUGGAUCUACAGGUCCAUAUUCGACUUAUUUUUUGUUGGUAAAAUUGCAUAAAACCGCAUUAUAUUGAAAUAAUGACACUCUUAAACCAAUAUUGAUAGAAAUUAUAAUUUAAUUAAUGUUUUUAAGUCAAAUGAACAUGAUUUUUACUCCUAAACAUAAUUAUUGUAAUUGUUUUUUAAUCUUAAUUCAUUUACACAUCUUUGUGCAUAUGUGUGCGUGCGCGUGUGCGUGUGGGUGAGUGUGCGUGUACGCUAGCGUGUCCGUGUGUGCGCAUGUGCACGUGUGUGUGUGUCUGUGUGUGCUCGUGUGCGCGUGUGCUUGUAUACGAACAAGUUGAUAUUUCUUAAUGUUGAGUUUCUUUCAAUUUUAAAAUAAUAAUUUAAUUAUCUUGAUAUUCAAGUCAUUAAUAUUAUUUUGAGAUAAAUAUAUCGAACAAGUUGAUAUUUUUUAAUUUUGAAAUUCAAUUAAGGUUAUUUUGAUACAAAAUCUAUCGUUGAGAUUCUCAAAUACUAUUAAAUUAUAAUUUUGUUAUUUUGAAAUUCAAAUUCAAUUUGGUUAUUUUGAAGUUAGUAAGAUUGAAUAAAAUUAUUAAAAUGUUGAUUCUCAAAUUAUAUAAAUUUGGUUACACUAGAAGAAAUUUGCCAUUCAAUAUCGGUUUAAAAUCGACAUUAAUGAUCUUUGGUGUCAGUUCGGAACGACAUUAAUGAUCUUUGGUGUCAGUUCGGAACUGACAUCUAUGCUAGCGUUAUUAAAGGCCUUUAAUGUCGUUUUUGCUUUGAUGUCGGUUUAAAAACGAUAUCAAAUGCAUCAGUAAUGUCGGUAUGGUCAUUGAUGUUGGUUUAAAACCGACAUUUUUUAUGGUGCUAUUGUUGACCUUUAGUGUCGGUUUGCCUUUGAUAUCGUUUUUAAACCGACAUUAAAGUCUUGUUUUUUGGAUCUAUUUUUACAAAAAAAAUAUAUAAUUAUUGCAUUAUUGUUCAUUUUUUAUAAACUGACAUUAGAUACGUGUAAAUAAAUAUUUUUUUCUCACACCAACAAAUCAAUAAAAUUAAUAUUAUUUUAGGAACUACAAUAUUUUUCUUUUACAUUUGUAUAUAGAAAAUGAAAUCUUAAUAUUGCGUUUGUAUAUACAUUCUAUAAUAAUACAUGAAACUAGAUCCUAAUACAAGACUUAAAUAAGAAACCUUAAACGCUUUCACAAUCUUCAACUUCAACAAUUGCUUCCAUCUACUUAGCUUAGCUUGGCUGGCUAUCUAAGACCAAAAUAUACUUUACAACCUGGGGAAGAUUAAAUCUAGAAUUUGCAAAAUUAGUACAUAUUAUUUAAAAUCAAACUAAACAGACUGCAAUCUAAAUGUGGAAAAUUAAAAAUUACCACAAAGUUUCAGUAGAGUAAAUAAUGUAGCAGCAACAAAGAAGACAAUUGAAAUGGCAACCCAAAAGUGCUGCAAAAAUAAAGAAGAAAAUAAGCUUUGAUCAAACAACUCAUUAAGAAGAAGAAAAUAACCUAAUUUGGUUCUUCAAAGAUCUAUAAGAAAAAGAGGAAUACAACUAAAGAAUAAUUAUACCAUCCUCGACUCUUACUUCAAAGCAAAUUUUGAAUGUUCAAUUUAGCAAUGCUAGUCUAUAGGCUUCUUACUCUUAAUUGUAUAAAUUUACCCAUCAAUAGCAACAUUGUUUUUAUAGAGAAAGUUAAACAAUGGAGAUGAUAAAUAAUCUUACAAACUCCUAUUGGAUCGUUUUUCUUUUCAAAUGAAAAUAGUUAAUUUAUUUCAUUUAUGGAAGGUGAAAAUCUCAAAUAUAUAGUAAAAGAACAUGGAAUAUAAGGAAGCCCAUAAAAAGAAGAGACUCCACUAGCUAGGUAUUGAUCAAAGAUAAAUAUAUGGAUAAAUAGAUGCAACCUACAAAUAUAUCAAAACAGACUAAUACUCAAACUAAACUAAAGAAAACAAAAACAUUUACUACUAAAAGAUAAAAUAAAACACAAUUCAAAACAAUUAAUUACCAAGAUUGAUCUCAAUCGAAAACCAAAACGCAUUACAUUAUGAAGAUAUUGUGCUUCACAUAACACUCCAAAUAGCUAUACCAAAAUUACUUACUCUACAUUUUCCAUUUUGGCAAAUCCACCUACAAGAAUGGUAGUUACCAAGCUCAUUUCUAUGUCUUCUCUUCUUUCAUUUUUCUAACAAAAGAUAGUAUGAAUAAGGCUGCACAUUUGAAAAAAUAAAGACAAUUAAUAAUCAAUAAUGCUACCUAGCAGUCACAAGUUAACAAUCAAAUGAAGAAACCCAAGGAUUUUUGCAGCGGAAGCACGAUGAAGAUUGGUUGCCGUUCGCGAUCUAGGGUCACAGAUUGAGAAGAGAAGAAAAUUAGAAACCAACUUGGAGAGAAAGAAAAGAAAAAUUGAUAGGGAAAGAGUAGAGUAAGAAAGAGAAAAGUAAGAAAGAGAAAAGUAAGAAAGAGAGGAAAAUUUUAGUUUUUAAAACCUAACAAUUUUUUAAAAAGAAAUUAAAAAUGAGGGGUCAUUAAUGUCAGUGUUUACAAAAUACAAAAAAUUAAAAAAAUAAAAUCAUUAAUGUCGAUUUAAAAACGACAUUAAACCCUUAUCAUUAAUGUCGGUUUGAUCCACCUUUUCAAAAACGACAAUAAAGACAAUUUUUCAUUUUUUUCACCUGACACUACAACCCAGAUUUGUUGUAGUGUUAUUAUGGGUUGAUGUAUCUUUUUCAGAUAAAAAAUCCUAUUUGCUAAAAUUCAAAAGAAAAAGUUGUUUUGUCAUUUUUUAAAAUGGCCCAUAAAAACGUUAUUAUAUCUCUUAUGACAAAGAGUGUGGAUUUACUAGUCCAUAUUUGACUUGUUUUUUGUUGGUAAAAUUGGAUAAGAUCGCAUUAUAUUGAUAUAAUUACACUAAUGACACUCUUAAAUCAAUAUUAAUAGAAAUUAUAAUUUAAUUAAUGUUAUUAAGUUAAAUGAAUAUAGUUUAAAAGUCAUUCUCAACACAAUUAAUGUAAUUGUUUUUUAAAUUUAAUUCAUUUUCACAUCUUUGUGCAUAUGUACGUGUGUGCGUGUGUGUGCGCAUAUGUGCGAGUGCACGUUUGCCCGUGUGGGUUGAUGUGCGUGUGCGUAUGUGUGUGUGCUUGUGUGCAUGUGUGUAUGUGUGUGUAGAUGUGUGUGCAUGCGCAUGUGCGCAUGUAUGUGGGUGUGUACGUAUGCGUGUGCGCGUGCGUGUGCUUGUGUGUGCGUGUGAAAGUGUGGGUGUGUGUGUGCUCGUGUGUGUUAGUGCGUAUGUGUCCGUGUGCAUGAGUGUGCAUGUGCGUGUGCGUGCAUGUGUGUGGGUGUGUGUGUGCAUGUGUGCAAGUGCGCAUAUGUUUGUGUGGGUGGGUGUGCGUAUGUUCGUACAUGUAUGUGUGUGUGUGUGCGCGUGCGUGUCUGGAUGUGUGUGUGCGUUCAUGCGUGUGUUCGUGUGCGUGCAUGCGCAUGGGCGUGCUUGUGUGUGGAUGUAUGCAUGUGCGUGUGCGAGUGCACGUGUGCCAAUGUGGGUGGGUGUACGUGUGCUUGUGUGUAUGAGUGCACAUGUGCCCGUGUGGGUGCGCGUGCGUGCAUGUGUGUCGGUGCGUGUGUGCAAGUGCGCAUGUGAGCGUGUGUGUGCAUGUGCAUGUGAGCGCGCGUGUGUGCAUGCGCAUUUGUGCGCGUGUGUGUGCUUGUACGCGCAUGUGCCCGUGUAGGUGGGUGUGCGUGUGUGUGAGUGCGCAUGUGCCCGUAUGGAUGGACGUGCGUGUUUGCGUGCAUGUGUCUGUGGAUGUGUGCAUGCGUUCAUGCGUGUGUUCGUGUGUGUGCACGUGUGUGUGUGGGUGUGUGCGUGUGCGUGUGCAAGAAAAGGAAAAAACAAUGAUUAUUUUGAUGAUGCUACUCGAGAUUGUGUCUCUCGAAUCGUAAGUUUGCUUGCGAUUUACUUAUAUACAAUAUUUAAUCUUUUGUUAACUUAGUUAAUGAUGAAUACUUGUAUUGUUCUAUGAGAUGCAUUAGCUGAAACACAUAGAGAUGAGGACAUAUUGACUGAGUCAUUGGGCUCUAAGGAGCAUGGUGGACGUGUACGUGGCAUGGAUGGUUUUGUCUCUCAAUCACUAUAUUUCAAGACAGUGAAAGGGAAAGAGAAAAUUGCAAGUUCUCAAGUUGUAGAAGAUGACUCAAAAAGCAAAAGUUACAAAAAGGGUCAUAAUCACUUGAGAUCGUCCAUCAGAAGUGUUAACAUAGAUCUCUAUGCCGAUGAGGAUUUGGGCAACACACCUAUGAACGAAGAAGUGAAGGUAAUUAACUUUGUUGUCACUUUUAAAAUUUUAAUGUUUAUAGGAUAAAUUGUUCUUAAUGAUGCUUUUAAUACUUGUAAAGUAAACACCGUGCAAAUUGGCUAUAGGAACAAUUAAUAAUAUUGUUGCAAUAGCAACCGUACUUGAUGAUAGCAAUGGUGGUCCCAAUGUUAAAAUCUUGGUGGACUUGCUCAUAGGAGGAGAUUGUAGUUUACCUAUUCCAGUGAAGGGCAAGAUAGAGACUUUAAAUCAAGCAUUAGGUAAUAUUGUUGAAUGACCUCGUUGACUUGUUUAUGUGCUAUUGAAGCUUUGAUAUUUAUUUGUGAUUGUAUUUUAGGUUUUGAUAUUAUUUUGUUUGUGCUUGGAGCAUUCAACCCCAAAUGAUGUUCUGUAUUCUUCAAAUUACAUAAAUGUUAAUGGAACCAUUAAGCUCUUAUAUGGACAUGUCGUGAACAAUAUGAAGGAUGUAGAUAUGGUUCGCAUCCUAAUGAACGAGCUAAUAUUCGGUAAAAACAAAUUCAUUUAUUUAGCUCGUUAGGACUUGCUCCAUUAUUGCGGCAUGGUAGAAAUAGGCUAUAUGUGCAUCCUAGCAUACAUUACGUAAGUAAACAUCUUUUACUCAUCUUUAUGUCCAAUACUAUAGCUAUAGUUAUUUUGUUCCUUUUUAACUAAGGUUGCUUUUACUUAGAUAUCUUUGGGAUGAAUGUGAUUGUGGAAGCAAGUUUUUUGUUAUGACCAAGCAAAAAUAACAUCACAUAUCAAGGAUCGUGAUCUCCGAUCCAGAAAUUUUGCCAACCAGUUAGAAGCGGCUACCUUGGAACAAAUAGUUCUAAUUCCGUAUAAUACUGGGUAAAUAAAUAAGAUUAACACAUUAUUAUGUUUUUCAUUGAGGUUAAAUGUAUACUCACAUUGAAGAUGUUUAUUGUAGUUUUCAUUGGAUGUUGCAUGUCAUCGAUCUUCGAGAGAACUGUGUUUAUGUUUUGGACUCUCUUCAAAGUAAAGUUAACGAAGACAUCCAUGGAGUCAUAAAUGUGACUUAUGAUUUACUUCUUAUUUGACUUCAUUGUCUUCUAAUUCUAAUGUUUCCAAAUGUAUAGAGGAUUAAAAACAUGGCAAGCUAAGCAUGAUUUACAACAUUAUCGGUCAAAUCCGAAAUGGAAACCUAUAAAGGUAAUUUGCAUUGACACAUAAUUAUUUUCAAUGAAACAUAAGAAUAAUUUGUAUGUAAUUUAUAUACAUGCAGUGUCCUCGUCAAUUGGAUUCGGUUGGGUGUGGGUAUUAUGUCCAAAAGUAUAUACAUGAAAUCGUGCAUAUUUCUAGUACUCCCAUCACUAGCCUUGUAAGUUUCUACUUUCACUUUUUAUAUGUUACAAAUUACAUAAAUUAUCUAAACUUAUUCUUUUCAUACCUUUCUUUUUACGUAGUUUAAUACAAAAAAGUGCAUAUACGCAAGAGGAGAUUGACGAGAUUCGAACAAAAUAUGCAAGCUUUGUUAGCCGAUUUGUGUAAGCUUUUACACUUUUUUUGUAGUAUAUAAGUUACUAGUACUAAUACUAAUUGUUUUAAUAUAUAAGCUACGAGAUUCUAGUACUACUUGUUGUACAUACUUUAAUUUUGAGGUUUUCUGCUUGUAGUAGUUUAUGAAUAAGUGUUGUAUUGUAGUGUUUUAGGUGUUGACUUUAGAGUGUAUUUGUUGUAGUACUAUGUGGAAAGUGUGUAUUAGUGGAGGAAUUUGUUGUACACAUACUUUAAUACUUUACAUAUUAUUUACUUGAUUGAUAUGUGUAUUUUUGUAGUAUUAUGAAAGUGUGGAAAGUGUAUUUUUGUAGUUUUCCAUGGAAGUGUGGAAGUGUAUGUGCUGGUUUUGUGGCCUCUUACCAUGUUGAAUUCUAUAGCUAGAAAUAGUAUUAGUUUGCCAUUGGAUGUGUGGAAGUGUAUGCUGGUUCUGUAGGGGUUGAUCUUCCUUGUAGGUGAAAUGGAAAUAUUGGUUUGCCAUGGAAGUGUGGAAAUGUAUGUGUUGGUUUUGUAGGUUUCUUACAUGUUGAAUUCUAUAGCUAGAAAUAGUAUUAGUUUGCCAUUGGAUGUGUAGAAAUGUAUGCUUGUUUUGUAGGUGUUGAUCUUCUUCCUUGUAGGUGAAAUGGAAAUAUUGGUUUGCUAUGGAAGUGUGGAAAAAUGUAUAUAUGUUGGGUUUUUAGGUGUUGAAUUCUGCAGCUAGAAAUAUUAUUAGUUUGCAUCGAAGUGUGGAAGUGUAUGUGCUGGUUUUGUAGGUUUGAAUUCUAUAUAGCUAGAAAUAGUAUUAGUUUGCCAUUGGAUGUGUGGAAGUGUAUGCUUGUUUUGUAGGUGUUGAUCUUCUGCCUUGCAGGUGAAAUAUGGAAGUAAUAUAUAAGGUUUGCCAUGGAGUGGUAGACAGCUAGCAAUCAUGCAACAAUUAUUUUUUAUACUUUUUUAAUAUUCGAUGACGAACAUUUCAUGUCGUAAUUCGUAACAAAUAAUGUCGAUUUCGACACCAUGAAAAAUAAUUAAAAUAAAUAAAUUAAAAAAACAAACAAGGCUUUGAUGUCGGUUUAAAAACGACAUUAAAGGAAAACCAACAGUAAAGGUCAACAAUUACGCCAUAAAAAAUGUUGAUUUAAAACCGACAUCAGUGGCCAUCAAUGAUGCAUUUGAUGUCAUUUUUAAACUGACAUCAAAGCAAAAAUGACAUUAAAGGCCUUUAAUAACGCUAGCAUAGAUGUCAAUUCCGAACUGACACCAAAGGCCAUUAAUGUCGGUUCUAAACUGACAAUAAAGAGCAAAUUUCUUCUAGUGCUUGCUCCAUAUUAUAAGUAGAUUUUCAUUUAGCUAACUGCUAAAGUGAACUUAUGGACUUCCACUUAGGGUUCAGUCGUUAUAUUCUCGAUAGUCGAGCCCCAUAUUAUUCUCGAUAGUCGAGCCCCAUAUUGUUUGCAAUGGAAUGAGUCCUCACAUUAUAACCCUUGAGGAGACGAACAUGAGAGCUUUUCCCUUCUCGUAACACGAAGAAGUGAAAGAUGUAGAGACAAUAUUUGGAAAAGUUCUUUUCAACCUUUUAUGCUACUAGUGUGAGGAAGAAAAUUUAUGGCAUCACACAAGGAAAGGAUGAAUCAGCUUUACGAUUAUUGGGGGAGAUACUUGGCUCAGUGCCAAGUUUUUCAUCAUUAGGUACAGAACCAUAUGUUGAUUCAAUAUUUAUAUGGGUGAUUGUUGCAAUGAGAUAAAAUGAUUAUUGAUAUGGAGGCAUGAGGUGCUCUUAAGGAUAAUACGACAACUAAAGUAAAUAAAUUGAUUUCACUUUGAAAUGUAAAUUUAUUAGGUCCCUUCCUAGUAUGUAAAGGGUAUUAAGGUUAUUACAUAUUGACUGUAAUUUGAAAUGUUCAUAUUUACUUUGAAAAUUAGUAUAAUGUAUGGUGAUAUAUUAUAAUAUAAAAUUUAUCUUUUAAUUGAACUUUAUUAUAUAAAUUUAAUUUUGUAUAUGAUUUAAAAUUAAUUUAUGAAAUAAUAAAUAUUUGAAUGAGUUCAAAUAUUAAUUUAAUAUGAAUUAAAUUUGUAAUAAAACUAUAGAUUAAAAUUUAAUACGUAUAUGAUACAAAUUCAAACAAUAGGUUAUGAGAGAAAUUCAUAUAUGAGUAUGAUUCAAAUCUAUAUUAAAUCAAAUAUAAAAUAUUUAAUUUAGAAAUUAAAUAAUUGAAGAAUUAAUUAAUAAUUUAGUUUAAUUCUAUUUAAUUAAAUUCAAACUAUUGGUUAUGUGAGAGAUAUUCAUUUAAAUGUGAUUUAAAUGAAAUAUUAAUUAAAUGUGAUUUAAAUAAUUAUUAUAUAUAUUAACUAAUUAUUUUAGUGUUAAUCAAAUUUAAGUGGAAUUUUCAAAUAUACUAAUUAAAUUGAAACUAAUUAGCAUAAUAAUUAAAUUCUCUAUAGCACAUUUGAGUCUUUUUGUAAAUAGUUUCAAUUUUUUGCUAUAUUUUGUAAAUAGUUUUAACUUUUUUGCUAUUUGUGAUCAUUAAUUUAAAUUAAGAUAAUAACUUCCAUAUGUGGGUGUUAUUUAGAGAAUGUGGGAUGCUCCCGUAUUCCUAUAUCCAAGUGGCGGUGAUUUCCAAUUAAAUAUUAAUUAGAUUAAUUUAAGAGUAAUUUACAUAAAUGUAGAAAAAUCCAAAAUAUUUAUGGUUCGUAUAACAAAAUAAGAAAAGUCCAUGAUGCGAGAUUAUUUUUUCACAAAUUCCAUAGACGUCCUUGCGAUUUAUAUCUUCGUUGUGAUUUAUUAAUAACGGGUCAUCUCGAUGCAAUUAAGGUCGAGAUCGAAUAACUAAAGGCAAAAAAAUUUCAUUUCGGAGCAUCUCAAUGUAAUGUAUGCCCAAGAUUAAAUAAAAUAAAGACAGAAUUCUUUCAUCCCGAGCCAUUUCAGUGCAAUUAAGGCCUGAGAUCGAAUAACUAAAGGCAGAAGUCUUUCAUAAUGUAGCAUCUUAGGACAAUGUAUGCUCGAGACUGAAUAAAAUAAAGGUAAAUUUGUUUCAUCCCAGGCCAUCUCUCGGUGCAAUUAAGGUUCAAGAUCGAAUAACUAAAGAUAGAAGUCGAUCGCUCCGGUUAUUGAGGUGUUGUUUCUCUUCAACAAUCAGGACUUAGUGUUAGUAAAUGGUGAAUGAAAAUUAUACUCAAUCUAGGCGAUAUAUCACUAAGCAUGUUAACUGCAUGUGAAUUGCUCACUAGACCUUCAUAUCGUGUGGCAACUAAGUCCUCUUGAGUACAAGUUUUCUUACUACUUGUCCAAGUGCAAGUGAAAUGGUAGGUUUACCGGGGUGAUCCCGGGUCGAACAUAAGGAAUUGAUUCAAGAUAUUAAUUUUAGGUAUUACUUAUCAUCUAGGCAGUAUAAAAGAAUUAAAGAAUAACGAAUGGUAUAAAAGAAAUACAAGAACAAACUACCACUAGAUAUCUACGCUUAGAGAUUCUAUAAAAGGGAAUAUGGAUGACAAAAUAGAAAUGGGAACUAACUUGUAUGCAAGAAAGAGCAAAGGAAUGUCUUUGUGUUAUAAUGCGAUUAAGUAACACGACAACUUUAAUAGGAUAUAUCUCGCUCAACUAACUUAUAAUUAAGAAGUGCUCCUCUCAGAGUCAUUAAACGUCACAUAUGGUCACCUCUCAGAAUCCAUAUGAUUAAGUGUGCUUAGGAGAGAUAUAUCUAGAAGAUUUCACUUAUAAAACGUAUAGAGCAUCGCAAUUAAGGACAACAACCUCUCGGUGCCUAAUGUUCACACUUUUUCAUCUCUCGGUAUACAAAUGAUGGAAGUUAUCUCACUAAGGUGGAGUUCGUCGCGAAACUCCCCCUUGCACGUAUUAGCCUUAUCCUUGCUACUUGCCCUCUCGAGUAGUUGGCGAUUGACGUUGGCUAAGCGAUGAGCAUAGCCUAACUAAUGCGACGAGAAUUAUAAACUGAACUUCUUAUCAAUAACUUAUCGCUAAAUUAAACUACUAAUAACACAUUGACAAGUGAAAAGUAAAGAGGUAUUGAAUUGAAAAGGUAUAAACAUGUAAUAUAUAAAAGAACCAAGCGCAUUUUGACCCAACUUGCUUAACUUUUCUACUUCCAACGGGCUAUUGUUGCUUCGGCCAAGAGUGAAGAGUUCCCUACGAAAAUUUUAAUCCUGAAGGAACUCGACGCAUUCUAACCUAAUUGGCUUAACUCUUCGACUUUCUACGAACUAUUUUUGCUUCCCCCAAGACUUAAAAGUUCCCUACGCAAGUAUUGAUCCCGAAGGAACCCAUCCCAUUCUGAUCUAAUCGCUUCAACUCACCUACUUUCUUCAGAAAAUUGUUGCUUUCGCCAAGAGUGAAGAGUUCCCUACGCAAAUACUAAUAUGGAAGGAACCCGAUGCAUUCCGACCUAACCACCUUAUCUUUCCUACUUUCUACGUGUUAUUGUGGCUUCGGUCGAGAGUGAAGAGUUUCCUACGAAAGUUUGAUUCUGAAGGAACCCGAUGCAUUAUGACUUAAUAGGCUUAACUCUCCUACUUUCUACCAGCUAUUGUGGCUUCGACCGUGAGUGAAAAGUUUUGAUGCAAGUUUUGAUCCCAAGCGAACCCAACGCAUUCUAACCUAACAAGCUUAACUCUCCUACUUUCUACGGGCUAUUGUAGCUUCAGGCAAGAGUGAAGAGUUCUCUACACAAGUUCUCUACUUUUUAUGGGCUUUUUAUUAUAAGUGUAAAAAAAUAGGUGUAUGAAUUGGAUUGAUGAACAUUUUUUUGAAUUUUUUUUAAGCUUAAAUGGAUACUUAUGGAACUUUCAAUAAUUCAUCAAUAUUUUUUAAACAAAACUUUUCAAUAGUUGAUGAUUAUUUUUUAAACAAAACUUUAGCAACUUUCAUUUAAAACCAAAGACAAUGGUAUUUUUGAACCGUUUUCGAAAGUUUAAGGGCAUCUUUCAACUUUUAAAAGGAGACUUUUUUUACACAAACCACUAGGGGUAUUCUAACACUGACAACACUAACAACCCAGACUACCCAUCCCAAAUUUCGAGUAUUAUUACAAAAUAUGUUUUUUAACUUAUGGAUAUGUUGAAUUUUGAUAUUAUGAAAUUUUAGUAAUUGAUAUGUGUUGUAAACAAAUUUAAGUAUUUAAGUUAAUCAAGAAUACACUCCAUUUACAAGGAGUCCAAGUAGAUAUUAGUUGUGUUUGAAAAAUUAUGAAAAAAAAUCCUAUUUUUAAAAAAAGUACAAUCUAGUGAAAUGUUACAUAAACUUCGCAACAUAGUUAAUAAGAUAACACAAUAUUACAAGAUUUUGUUUACACAUAUACAUACAUAUACUGGUGGUUAAAGUAAGAUUAGAUUUGAAUGUAAAUUUAACCGAAAGUUAUGCCAUUCAACUAGAGUAAUAAAAUAACUAAAGAGCCUCAAUAAAUUACAACAAAUGUGAUGGUACUUUGACACCGGAAGCUCAACCAUUUGAAGGAAAGUUCCAAACAAUGGAUAAAAGGAAGCAUACUAAAACACAAGUAAAACAAGAGGAUUAUUUUUAUUGUCUUCCAUUAUCUGAGAGUGGAAUGCAAACAAAACAAUGCAAAAGCACCAUUCAAGACAUCUGACUAAUUUAUACAAAGUGUAAAUAAGACACCAAUACAAUGUUGAACAUUCUCCAAAACAAGAUGCAACAUACACAUCAUUCAUUUGGCUAUUCAACGGGAAUAUGUCACGUUUUUUGCCAUAAUUAUUCUUGUUUCAUGUUUGCCCACGAUGGCAGGACAAGACUUUCAGGUAAAGCAAAUCUUGGUUUUCCACUGUCAAAAGGCCUUGGCUGCUUGCAGGUAAUACUUAGUUUUCCAUUUUCAACCUUAAGGUUGCACUUUAUGUUUAAAUUGUCCAUCCGAACAUCCUUUUCUUUUUCUUUUUCUUCUUUCCUUCGGGUAAUAAACAAUAGUGACCUUGAAGAAUUAAGAGAAUUGGGGUUUGGCACCUUUGGCACUUUUUAUCAUGGAAAAUGGAGGGGAACUAAUGUUGCUUGAAAAUGAGUCGAUGAUAGGUGUUUUGUUGGGAAGCCUUCUAAACAAGAUCGCAAGGUUGUUCAUUUUAAGUAAUUGGCUUUUCUUUUCUUUUGUUAUUCAUGUAUUUUCUUUUUGUUCAUUGACUCAGAUCCUUUUUAUUGUUUUAUACUGUACCAAUGAGCAGAUUUUUAGAAUGAAGCAAUUAAGUUUGCUGAUUUGCACCACCCAAAUGUGGUACUUUUUAUGGUGUCGUGCAUGAUGGGCUUGGGAGAUCUAUGGCCACAAUAACAGAACAUAUGGCCAAUGGUUCGCUCAUAAGUGCUUUGUUGAAGAAUGAAAAGUAACAAUUGUUCUCAUUUGUUUGCUGUUUAAUUGGCUAUUCUUUUCUUUUGUUAUUUGUGUAUUUUUCUUUUUGUUCCUUGACUCAAGUCCUUUUUAUUGUUUUAUAUUGUACCAGUGAGAAGAUUUUUAGAAGUAACAGAAUUUAUGGCUAAUGGUUCGCUCAUAAAUGCUUUGUUGAAGAAUGAAAAGUAACAAUUGUUCUCACUUUUCAUAUGUUUAAUUUAAUUUGUUAGAAGUUAGUUGCAGUAUAAUGUAUCUUCACCCUUAUAUUAAGCAUAAAAUACAAUUGAUGCAGGAGUCGUGAAAAGCGGAAGCACCUCUUGAUUGCUAUGAAUGCGGCUUUUGGAAUGGAACACCUACACAAAAAGAAUAUUGUGCACUUUGAUUUGAAAAGUGAUAAUCUACUGGUCAAUCUUCGAGAUCCUCAUCACUCAAUAUCCAAGGUUUGUGUAUUGUUGAUAAUAGCAUAAUUAUCAUUGUAGUGCAUUUCAUUUAGUUAAACUCUUGAUUUGAUUUUUAAACAAACCAGGAGGAUAACCAAUUUUUAUAGUUAUUGUUGUAAUUAACACAAUUAAUUGUCAAAUAAAAACUGUAUUUGAGUAUUAACAAUUUUUUGUUUGACUAAUUAUAGUAUGUUUUAAGAAGAAAAUAAGCUUGGCUUGUCUUAGAUAUACGAGAGAUAAAGUAAUGUUUUUAACUAAAAAUGCCUUAAACCAUCAAUGGUCUCAACUCCUCCCAAGACCUCUCAAAACCCUUACUCUCUUCUAGUCACAUGUUCCAUUAAAAAAAAAUCUAGUGAGAUAUUUCACAACCUUGAUCACAUAAGACUACAAUCUCUAUUUCAAACCAAACUAACUCUAAAGGGCUCGACAAAAGUUGGAAAUCAAGGUAGCAAACUGCCAUCUCUAAAGGAUGCGAUGUGAUCUAAUUCCUUAAAUGCUCUCGUGCUAUAAAUGCAUGGGUGCAGUCCAAACACAAAGGAAGAUUGUCCCUAUAUAUAAUCAUUUUUUAUAGGAAGCAUAUCUGAUAUAAUCUAUAAUGUUAACUCCCUAAUGCAAAGUCCUUGCUUCUAAUUAUGCCACUCUAGAAACUUGACAUUCUUGGAAGUUUCUUCGUUUACCGUGAGGUGGAGUUGAUAGUAAUAAUAUUGAUGGUGUUGGUUGUGUAGAAACCAACCUAAACUGUAACGAACGAGACCACCUCAAAGUCAUGAAUCAUGGAUGUUGGAAUUUAAUCAGUUGCUUUCCUUGUUAUUAGUACAACUUCCCAUGCUAAUAAACCUUUUUGGUUGUUUGGAUGUGAUAAAUUCCAGUUUUAAGUAUCAAACUCCCCAUGAGUGUCGAGCAUUAUGAACUAGCUAGUGCAACAAUCUUGAUGACAUCAAUAUUAGAUCAAAGUUCUCUCUCUAUAUAUUUUUCUUUCUAUGUUUUGAUCUGAAUUUUGAAGUAUGUAGUAUGUGUUGGCUGAGGAUUCUAGAACUAACAGAUUUCUUUUUCUUUUUCUAGGUGCUGUUUAUGGUAUGAGGCCAUUAGAUUUAAGGUAAUACUAUCUCCCAUAAAUUCAACCAUGGCUCUCUAACUCUGUUAUGACAAUCUAAAGUUUCUCAUCAAAUUAUCAUGAAUAGUUAAUCUUUUUCCAGUUAACUAGUGUUUUAUCUAAGCAUCUUGAAACUAAUAUGAGAUUUCGGCACUGCCUUGCUAGGAAUUCUAUUAUCAUGGGAGAUUACCAAAGUUAUGUUUUAUUAGCAUGGGAUCAAAAUUCGCACUCAACCAACUUUGAAGUGAAAAAUAAAAUACUACAGAUUUUGUCCUUGUCGAAACAAAUUUCAUAAUCUUUUCUCAUAUUUUUAUAUUCUUCUUCAUGUCAUUCUAAAUGACUUUGAGGAGAGGAAAACUCAUAGAUUAUAGGAAAUUAUUCGUAUUCCUGAAUAUUUCUACGUUUGGUUCAAUUAUUCCAUUCUUAUUAUGUUAAGUUUUAGUUUUAAAAGCCCAAAGGUUUACAAGAAAAGAAAAAAAAAAGACUUGAAACAGUUUUUGAUGAUGAUAGAUGAGAAUGAAUUAUUGACUAAACUUGUAUCUGUUGUUGCAGGUGUUAGGACUAUUGAAAAUUAGAUAUAUUGGAUAAAAAACAACACUUGGAAGUACUGCCAUAUUUGGCCUUUUCUUAGGGGCUGGGAGUUUGAUACAUUGUGGAAAGUCAUAUUAAAUCACAAGGUCCUGUAUUACAAGUUAUGUUUAUGUGAUUAUUACCUUAAUCUUACUUUUAGCCAGCAAACAAGAACAUUUAUUGAAGUCGUGGAUCAUUGAUGCACAACUAGGUUCGACAUUAUGUUUGGCUUGGCGUGCAUUCCAUUGAUACACUUCGUCUCGUGCAUUUUAUGAAUACUUUAUGCAUUCAUCAAUAGUAGGUAUCUUGAAAUCAUUAGAGCAAUAAACAUGUUGCAACCAGAAUUUGACCGCUUAUGUUAUGAUGCGAGCUAAAUUAUUUGUACAGGAUGGCCAAAUUCUUUUUAUUACCUUUCUAUGUAUAGUACCCGUCGUGUAUUUAAAUUCCAGAAAUGAGAAACAAGAGUUUCACGGAGAAAAUGAAUGCACUGGGACAUAGAAAAUGAAAAGCCAACCAAAGGAGUCCAAACUACUACAAGAGAUAAUUAGGCCAAAUAGACUAGUACAGAACGUGUUAGUGGUCGAGUCCCUCACAAAGGUGUUAUAUUAAUGACCUCUCAAAACCUCUCUAAAAAGUCUAUUGUCUCUAUGUCACGUUUGACCUUGGAUUGGAGACCACCAAGGAUUGAACCUUUUAGAGACCCUCAAUCUCUCAUACCUCUAUCAUGUGGCUAUUGAAACCUUUAAUGGUCUUUAUAAAAUGUAUUUUUGUUGAUUAGGGAGGAUCGCUGUAAGGACUUUUGUUUUCUUUUUCCUCCCUAAUUUGGGAUAAUGUUGUUCUCUUUAACUCUUUUUACUCCAUUUGUUUCAUUUGAUUUUUCAAAUAUUGGUACAAGUUGGAUUUUGUUUCUCCCUUAUUAAACAUAAUUGAUUUUUUUUUCUUCAAUUCUUGACCUAUACCUUUCUGGUUGCUUAAGCUCAUAUGUAAGUUUGUUUUUUGUUGUAUGAUUGAGUUUUUCUUUUACUGUACUUUUGAUGUCUAUGCCAAUGAGCGUUCAAUUCUACUUGUACCAUGAUUUGCAGGGUUGACAUGCAAAAAUUUCUUAAAUGCUAAGCAACCCCUCACAGUGAGUGAAAGAGUUGAGAGUGAAGGUGAAAAUACAUCUUUCACUUCUAAAUCAAGUACUUCGAUAUCCAUGUUUUUUUUUUUUAUAGAAAAACCAACUCAAAAUUUGACAACUAAAAUUUUGGAAUUUUGACUAAUUCCUACAAACACAAUAUUCUUAUGCUUAAAAGAUCAACAAAACAUAGUAAAAAAAUGGAAGAAAGUAAGUUUAAUUUUUUAAAAAAAAGAAAUUAAAAUAAUUACUAAGCAGAUGAAAUCUUACCUUUCAAAAACAUAAUUAAGAGAGCUUACCUUUCAAUAUCAUGGUAAAAGAUAUAUGAAUGGAUGUGUUAUUAUUAUACUUUAGUCUCUUGAUGGUAUAAUUUAGUCAAUAAUUUGAUGUAGAAAAUUGAUAGUAAAUAGAAAUUUGUAGAAAUAGAGAAAAAAGAACAUAUUGUCUUUAACUAUAACUAUCCCACAAAGAAACACAGAAACAAGGUUUAUGAAGAAAACAAAAAUUCCACUUUAAUCACAUUUAUCCAUUUUUUUUACAAUAAACUCCAUUUUAGACUUUUGGCAGAUCCCCACACCUUCACCACAACAUUACAAAUUAGUAAUAAUAAUAAUAGAGAAAGAAAGAAAAAAGCUAAAUUUUUUAUAAAAAAAAUUCUACCCAACCAAAACAUGCAAGAAGUUGGUUAUAUAAAGAGAGUGAUUUUAGAGGAAAGCUCCCAAGUACAAAAGACCACUGAAAAGAGUGGCUCUCAAUUUAUUUUGUUUUAAUUUAUGAAGUCGAAAGCUCAAAUAUGUGCUUAGUGAAAUAUAAAUAUAUAAAGUUUCAUAUAACACUUGUAAUUAAACUUAGGACAAUACAAACCAAACCAAGAUAACAAGUUCACAAAAUAAAAGUAGAAAGUCAUCAAAUCGACAACUGGUCCAACAUUAUCUUUUAAGAGAACCUUGCAAUACUCCAAUUUAAGUUUUACCUCUAUGGCAUCCACCCUAUGGAAUAUGAUUUGCAUAAGCUUUACCUUGUCUCGAUUCCAUAGUUCAGGGAUAUCUUGCAGUUCUUUCACGACUUUAGCACGCAAUUCAACCUCUGUUACACACUUUUCUUUAAGUCAAUUUGCAAUUGCUUUUAAUUGUCAUUUCUAACUUCCAUUGCAUUACUUAUCACAUCUAUCCCUUCAUAUUGUUGGCCACUCUUUUUUCUCUUACUUUCACUUCAAUAAUUUCUUCUUUCAUCUGAUCAACCUGCACGUAUUUCUAACAUCUCAUCUGGUGACAUAUCAAGUCAUUGGCUAUACAUUGUCGGGAUGUCUUGAUCAUGUGAAUCACCCAAGGGAACACCAUCAUUAAAAUUGUAAUGCACAUUACAUCCCACAUCAGCAAAGGUCUCUGAACAUGCUCAUGUUUCCCGAUCUUUGCCGAAGACAUAGGACAGAUCAUCAUAAUGUGGAAAUGAUUUGUGUAGAAGGCUUUUGGCUCCAGGAUGACUCUAUACAAACAUAAUUAAGACAUAUUAGAUGAUGAUUGGGAUUAUAAAAGUACAUAAAAUUGUACUGUGAAAUUAAUACCUUGACCCAACUAUCAAACAACUCUCGCUCUACAACGAUGCAUUGAUAAUCUUCGUUCCAUCCAAAGCUACACUUUAGAAAAUGUGCAAAACUUUAUUCCAAACUUUAUUCCAUGUACACUUUAGAAAAUUUGACUUUGCAAUUUCAUUACAAAUUAUUUGUUCCGCAUAUCAACUAUGUAGAAUUAAGUUAGGAAAUAAUUUUCAAACACACAUGAUUUAGUAUUGCACAAUUUCCGUGGAUAAUAAUAAGUUACAAAUAAUAAAUGCGAAAUCAUUCUAGGAAAGUAAUGAAUUACAAAUAUGGUCGUUAGAAAAACAAAUAUUAAAAAUAAUUUGUAAUGCAUUUUAGGGGGUGUUUUUCAAAUAUUUGAAAAUGAGAAUAACACUUUCAAUUCAAUAAUUUACUUUCAAAUUUGAACAAUUAGACUAUGUGAUAAAUUUAAAAUUAAUUUAAGUAUUUGAACUAAAAUUGUCAUUUGAAAGUAUAACACACAAACUAUUUUUUUCAACGAUGAUUAAUUACAAAAAAAAAAAAUUAAUUAGAAAACUUUACUACACAUUUUUAUCACACAUUAUAGAGUCUACCUUUUUAAAAGGGUAAUUCAUAGGUUUAGGCAAUGUAAUUCUUUAGAUCAACCACACAUAAACUUACUUUGAUUACACAAACUAUUCUAUUCUUGGGCUAUUAUAAUUUGGUAUAAAAACCAUGAAUAACACACAAACUAUAGAGUGUUUAAGAAGUUUGGCUAAAUUAGAUUAUAUUACUGCUAAAUUUAUAAAUUUACUAAUAAAUUCCCAUAGCAAUAUUAUUAUAAGCAAAUGGCCAAGUAAAAUAAACAUAUUUUUUCUUGUUUGUCGUCUUGCGAUCUGUCUUUGAUGUGUAAGGUCAUCAGUUGUCACCACAUAAUGGAUCCACAAUAACUAGUUAUGAUACUUACCGUAUUUACAACUUCCAAACAUGAGUUACUUAUGACACUUUAAUUAUUAUUGGAUGAUCAUAAGAUGAUAGAACAUACAUCAUUUGAUAGUAGACAAUUAUCAUAUUUUCGACUAAUUCAUGAGUAUGAUCUUUCCUGUUGUCAAAGUACAAUAAUGAAUAGAAUAUGUUUUGCCAUUUUAUGCCAUUUACUUAGGACGACUGCUAGAUUAGUUGGAACAUAAGUUACAGAUGUAGAAGAGAUGAUUGUCAUGUUCUUGCAUAUAUUAGCUAAUGACUUGAAAAAUCUAAUAAUACAAAGGGAAUUUGUACGGUCUGGUGAGACUAUUUCUUUUGAAUUUUCUGAUGGCAUUAUUGCUUCCGUCCCCUAUUCGUACAUCAAGUUUGUCGAAUAUUCGUUACUGCCUUAGUAUAAAGGUAACCAAAACAAAAAAUUGAGAUGAGUUUGAGAAGAAUAGAAAAAAGAACAUCAUAUUCCAAACUUGUACAGGUGAAGGAGUAUCACAUAAGGGAUGAGUUUGAAGUAGGGAUUGGUGUGAGCAUCUUUGAAAGUACAUCCAAACAACAACAAAUGGAAAAUGGUUGAAGCCAAAUUGCUACAAAUAGAAGGACAAUUAGAGGUUUAAAUGCGAUGUGGAAGUAGGAAUUCCACACCCUUUAAAAUAAUUUCCAAUUUGAAUAAUUGGUGCAAAUCUAAUUAGUGUGUCUGAUUGUCAAUUCUAUCUAUACUUAGAUAUAUGUAUAUAUAGCUGAAACACUUACUAAUAUAAUAUCGAAUAUAUCUAACCUCCUCCCUAGAAUGUUCACCGAAGUUGGGCAUCGUUUUUUUUUUUUUUACAAGCGGCAUCAUUAGUAGUUGAUGUAUCAAAUUUGAGAAUAUAUGCAAUUAAAUAUUGUGAUAUCAAGGAAGAAAUGUCCAAAAGAGAAAAGCCCAACUGAAGAAGCAUGUAAUAUUUUUUUUCCACGUUUACUAACAAUCUCCUCAAAACAUUCCUAACUUAAUUAUUACAUGUGCAAUAUCUUGGGUUCACAUGAACCUUGUCCUUUCCUCAAGGUUGUACCAUGAAAAUUGGGGGCAAAAAUCAUCUAUGUUCGUUCAUAUGGUUUCAUGCUCCAAGAGCCCUUGCAACUUACCAAUAGUUCUUUGGUGUCGGAUUGGGGGUAUCCGACUAUGUUGGCUGGUUUUGCUAUCUAUUCAAAAUAUUUAGUUAGGAUUUUGUUUCUUUAGGGGAUGAUUUUGAAACAAAUGACACCAACAACAUCAAAUAGGGGCAAACACAAUUAGAUCAAGAAAAUAGCCUCAUAGGAAAGAGCUUUACUGUCAAGAUUCAAACCAAUGUACCACUUAAAAGGUGGAGCCUAGAAAAAUAACCAAUUGUAUUUAUUAGAUAAAAACUUAUGGGGUAAAAAUUAGAUCAAUUAUAUCUAUAAAUAUAUUAUUAUAGCUUCAUAGAACGAGAGUCAUUCUCCACUUGUGAUCUCUUCACUUGUUGCAUUUAAUUAUUUUUUGGCUUGAGCUCGUGAAUUCAGUCCUUGCUUCCAAUCUUUUUAGACUUAUUUGACAACUAAUCACUUUCUGCAUUUUCAAAUUUAAAGAAAAUUUAUAAAAUUUGGAUUGAACUUCAUAAACUAUGGUUGGAUUUGGAACUCAUUGGUUGACUUCAACGUUUAAGAGUCAUAAAAGACACAACUUACUUUCUCACCUGUCACCACUAAGCCUACGACAACAUCUUUUUAUAAGAUAUUCAGUUAAUCUUUAGAUUGUUUACCGAAUAAUCGUCUAUUGUUUUGUAAUUGAUCCCACCAAGCGCUUGCGCCACCUUGAAGUUUGAGAGCAACUAAUCGGACCUUCUUAUGUUCGGGUGUAUUGGCAUAGUCGAAAAAAAUUUCUACGUUCUUGAUCCAAUCAAGAAACUUCUCCACGUCCAUUCGACAAUCAAGAAAUUUCUACGUUCUUGUGUUCGGGUGUAUUGGCAUAAUCUUAAAUCCAAUAAAUCAAGUUCCAAGGCUAUUUUUGAAUAAACUUGAACUUUAUGUGUAAACAUAAACGUGGAUCAAGUUCGAGUAUAUAGCCUAAAUAGUCUAUAGUAUAUGAAAUAAAGGUUGGGCGCCUUAUUUAGAGAAACUAUGGAUGCGGCCCACUUUGUAGUACAAACGAGGUGAUCCUAAUCGUUCAUGUAGAGACAUGAAAGUGGGGGCAUCCUAUGUAAAAUGUUUACAUAAGACUGAACCAUGAAUUAGUCUUUUUUACGUUAUAACACCGUUUACUGUUUAAAACUGACUAUCUCAAUUAUUGAUGACCUAGGUAACUUAGACUUAAUCCUGAGUUAACUAUGAACUCCUGUUCACACGAGAUUAUCCUUAGAUCUGCAUAGGUGAGGGCAGCUCAUCAGCGUUGGCCCAAUAAGCCUCCCAUUUCAGGGGUAAGAUCGGGUGGAUAGCUGGGAACAUAGGGUACAAGAUGGAAUUCACUCCUACCCGCUUUAGGGUUAGUAGAUAGGUUGUUCUCUUAAGCACUGAAUCCAAGUCUUGAACAAGGGGCCCCACCCUCUCAUUGGACCGAGAGGGAUUAAGUUUAUAGGAUUGAACCUUAAACCAAUUGUUCAAUAGUGGAUUAGUGGGACUUAAGGAGCAAGAUGUAAUCUUGGGGGUAAAACGGUAUUUUGACCUAGCCAAGGUUACGAGCAACCUGUGAAGGAUUAACUUACUGAUUAUGGUUUUAUCAAAUGGACACAAAUAUAUCUAUAGUGAGGGGAGUGCAACUACGGGACUUUAGUGGAAUGACCCGUUAGUUAACGAAUGUUGAUUAACUCGGUUUAAAAGAGUUUAGCUAGUUAAUCUUGAAUCGUUGGAGCCCAUGAUCUAUAGGUCCAUUAGGUUCCUCUGCUAGCUCAUAUGGAUUAAACUUAGAACAGUGUGAUGAAAUAAGUCGAAUUGUUCGAAUUGGGAGAAGAAAGGGAAACCGACAAAUAUAGUGAUAUAGUCGUCGGUCUUCUAAUUAGAAAUAGAGCUUUAUGUUUUACAUACUAUAAGUAUGAAUGCGGAUUCAUACUAAGAAGCUCGAAAUUGAUAGAAUUGGUCAAAAAUAGUAAAAAGUCAAAAUGUUGACUUUUGACUUUGAAAAGUCAAACUUUGACCGGCCUUAUAUUCAAAUGUGAUUUAAAUUUUGGAAAAAUGAAUGCGGAUUCAUGCUCGGGAGGUUGGAAUUAGUCAAGACGGACAAAAUGGUAAAAAGUCAAAAUAUUGACUUUUGACUAAGAAAAGUCAAAGUUUGACUUUUGACUAGAAAUAUCUAAUGACCAUUUUACCCUUGGACUAAGUUAGUGGGAAAAUCCAACAUUUUGUUGGAUAAUCCCACUAACUCUUAGUGGGAUAUGUGGCUAUAUGAGAUAUAGACACCUAGCCCACUAAGUUCCACUAAUUGUUAGUGGAACAUUAGGUGUUGAGAUUUGGCAAAUGAAUUGCAUGCAUUUUUUCAUGUAAUUAGGUUAUAAAUAGAGGUGUUUUCAAAUGUUGAAAAAACUUUUGCCUCUUUUAUCAUUUUCAUCAUCUCAACAAAAGAAAAAAGAAAGCUUCCAAUCUCAUUUUAUCUCCAUUACUUUCUACACCAAAAUUGGGUCCCACAACCCGGUUCUUUGUCUAGAGGAUAGCAGUUGAGUACUAGUGGUGGUCUCGGUUAGAAUUGGUAAGAAGAUAUCAAACCUUUUGAAAGCUUCAAAGGUAAUAUUUCUUAAAACCCUAAUUUGAUUAGUUUAUGGUUACAUGUUAAUUGUGGCAAUUAGGGUAGAAAUUCGAUUCUUUUUCCGCUGUGCAUGACUUAGUUCUAUCAUGUGGUAUCAGAGCAUGCUUCAUUUUUACCCAAUUGCAUGUGGUGGGUUCAUAUUUAUUAGAUAAAUUUUGGUUUGAACUAAAAUGGAUAUAUUAUGAUUUUGGCUCUAGAUUAAGUGUUUUUGUUCUAAUUAUUGUAAUUAGCCUUGUUAAUGGCUUAUUUUUAUUGUUGCAAAGUGUUUGUAAUUUUUAAAAAAAGAAAAAAAGUCAUUAGAGUUGAAGUUAGGCUGUAACUGGUUCAACCGGGUGAGAGAAUUGAAAAAAAAUGAAGAAAAGAAGGUCACAGACCCGAAAACCCGCCUUGACCCGCUUCGCGACCCGCACGCGCCCGCGCGCCCGCAUGCCCGCACGCCCUCCUGCGCCCGCGCGCCCGCCUGUGUCCGCAUGCGUCUGCGCGCCCGCGUGCCUGCCUUCGCCCGACCCGUGUGCGCCUGGGCCGGUUCAAGCGGUUUCGGUUGGUUUUUCAGCCGGUUCAAAGUUUUUGGGAGUGGUUCUGUACUACACCAAAGUAAUUAUGUAAUAAUUUAGUACUUAGCUUAAUUUAGGAGCCAAAAAUCAGUCCAUUUUAGGGUGUUUUUUUUUAUUUAUGCAUGUGAUGUAUGAUUAAAUUACUUUAAAUUUGUAUGUGCAUUUUGAAUGUCAUAUAGAUUUAAAAUCCCACCAUAGGUUAACAUGUUCAUGCAUUAAAAUGUAUGAUAUAAAGGUUAUAUUGUAUUGUAUGCAUGUUAAUUGAUUAAUAUGGAAAUUAAAAUCCCACCAUAGGUGUUUGCUUUUCAUUCUAGGUCAUAAAGCUUGGGUGUGACGUUUCGGCAUUUUCAUAUGCAAGCCUGCCAGAGCUGAAAAUGUUCAAAAUGUAUUAUAGGGGAGGCAUACCAGUUGAAUCCCCGCUCGAGCAUUAGUUGUACUCUUUGCAAGCAACCCUUUUCGUGGCACGCGUGCGGGGCCUGUGAGCUGUCCUCGAGAGGUGCCUGCCAAUGUUGUGGGCAUAUGUCCUGGUCACCCUUGGGCUGUCUCGGGACCACGUUGGGCUACUCCUGGGCCAUGCUAAAGGAGUCGUGGCACGUAUUGGCGCAAUUUUGCGGGUGAUUUUUGGGGUCAAAGCUUCACAUGUGACAUCAGGCUUACUUCUUUUCAUUUCUUUCUUUUUUCUUCUUCUUUCUUUUUCCCGUUUUAAAUUUUAUCUCUAAACCAAACUCCAACUAACUCUAAUUUAUGUUUAGGAACUUGUAAUUUUGGAGUACAAUAUAAGUAUAAUUGUUUGUGUUAUAUUGUUUUUUUUUUAUUAUUAUUACUAUUAAAAAUAGCCAAAUUAAUUAAAAUAUUUAUAAAGUAUUUUAAAAUUUGAUAUUCGAUAGAUCGAUCAAUGUCACUAAACAUAUAAGGGCUUAUCAAUAUCUAUUAUUAAUAUAAUCUAGUAAAUAUUUUGUCGAAUUUAUUAUUUGUGACAGUUUUUUUCUAUUCUUUUUUACAUAUAUUCAAUAUAUAAAAUAUCAAUUUUUUGAAAAUUUCAUAUAGGAUUAUUAACAAGUUUAACAAAUAGAUAAAAUGAUUUUCAACAUUAUUCUAAUACUAUGCUUUAAAUUAUGUAAGAGAUAAAUCUCUAUAAAUCAUAGAUGAAUUAUUUUAGAAUGGAAAACAAUACAAAAAUGUGAGUGUUGAGCAAGAAAUUUUGACCAAUUAAAUUACGUCACAUCAUCACAGUAAAUAAUGAUGAUUAUACUUUUGUUUGAGUUUGGAUAAUUAAGUUACUCAACCCAACCCAAUUCAGAUCCAACAAAACAAAUGGGCUCAAGCCCAAGUCCAAGAAUCAAAUGGGCCCAAGUCCAAACUCAUCUCGCAAAUGGGCUCAAAUCCAAGCCCAAUAAGCAAAUGACCCCAAUUUCACCUAAAGCCCAUGAAAUGUCUAUAAAUAGAGACCACUGUCAUUCAUUUUAAAAGGGGUCUUUGGUUGAAAGAAGAAUUGAAGCUCUGAAGAAUUGAAGAUUCAAACUUCUACAAGCUCUCAAGACGUGCAAGUUUGUAUCAACUUCGAGAUCAACAACUUCUGAAAGAUUGAAGACUUGGAAAAUUAAACUUUUCUUGGAUUCCAGAAGAUCGAAGUUCAAAUCAACGUGCAACUACAACAUCCUGAAGAUCGAAAAUAAAAAAGUUCUAAGUUUUAACUUGUAUUCGAGAAAAAACAUCAAAAGAGUAAAUACUAGAGGUUGUAUUCACAAUAUUCUUUAAUAUAUAAAGUUCAACUCCACGAAAUACAUUUCUUCAAAAUCUCGUGUGAACAGUUUGACACGUCCAGUGAGACAAUCUCUACCUUUCAUCUCUUUCUCUUUUGAAGAACAUCUAAAGAAAUCAUGUCGAUUGACGAACAAAUGACAUCGGCAAGCAGCCAAAUACUCACAGCCGCUCAAGGGAGACUCAAUCAUCUGAGGAAAUGCCAUCCUUUGAGGCCGCAAAGAACAUUUGGGAGCAACUGUCCAAGCCACCAAAAGGUGGAAUUAUAGUCGAAGAAAAUCCUGUGAUUGACGAACAAAUUUCCUCCUGUGAACGCUCGAAUGAGAAGAUGCCUCAUCCAAAUAUCAUGUCGAUUAUGGUGACUGACGUGGAUACAAGUGAAGACAUAAUGACUGAGCUUAAAAAGAAGAUCAACAGGCUCAUGAAGGUCGUUGAAGAAAAGGAUAAUGAGAUUGCAUCUCUCAAGAAUCACAUCGAACGUCAUGAUGCUGAAUCAAGUCAUACACAUACUAUCAAAAAUACUGACAAAAGGAAGACAAUUAUGCAAGAAAGUCAACCACAAAAUUCAACCUCAAUUGCAUCAAUAUCUAUUCAGCAAUUGCAGGAGAUGAUUGCAAACUCCAUCAAAACUCAAUAUGAUGGACUUGCUCAAACUCUCUCUCUAUAUUCCAAACCAUAUACGAAGAGGAUCGACAAUCUCAUAAUGCCGAAUGGAUACCAACCACCCAAGUUCCAACAGUUUGAUGGAAAGGGUAACCCAAGACAACACGUUGCUCACUUCAUUGAAACAUGUGAAACUCCUAGUACGAGAGGAGAUUUGUUGAUAAAGCAGUUCGUUCGAACUCUGAAAGGAAACGCCUUCAAAUGGUACAUCGACCUGGAACAUGAAUCCAUUGAUAGUUGGGAGUAACUUGAGGGGGACUUUCUCAAUCGCUUUUACAGCACCCAGCGUAUCGUCAGCAUGAUGGAGUUGACAAAUAGCAAAUAGCGAAAGAGGGAGCCAGUCAUCAACUACAUAAACCGAUGGAGAGCUCUAAGCCUGGAUUGCAAAGACAAGCUCAUAGAAAUGUCUGUAGUCGAGAUGUGCACCCAAGGCAUGCAUUGGGAACUUCUCUAUAUUUUGCAGGGGAUAAAACCACGCACGUUUGAAGAGUUGGCGACUCGUGCCCAUGAUAUGGAACUAAGUAUCACUCGUAGAGGAGCAAAAGAUUUUUUGGUUCAAAAAAUGAGGAGUGACAAGAAUUAAAUUGAUGACACUAAAAAGAUUACAGAUAGUGUCAUAAAUGAGUCUAUGGUUGUUCAUGCAACCCCUUUGAAAUCUUUCUCUAAAAGAAAAGAAACAAAAUUUGAAGGAAAGCAUGAUAGAGAGGAAAAGCGACGCCCUUAAAGAAAGACAAGAAAAUUUUUAUCCAUUUCCUGACUCUGAUGUUGCAGACAUGUUAGAGCAGCUGUUAGAGAAGCAACUUAUUCAACUGCCAGAAUGCAAACGACCGAAACAAGCAGAGAAAGUAGAUGAUCCUAACUACUGCAAGUACCAUCGGGUCAUUAGUCAUCCUGUUGGAAAGUGUUUCGUGUUGAAGGAGCUGAUUAUAAAGUUGGCUCGUGAAAAGAAGAUCGAGUUAGAUAUGGAUGAAGUAGCUCAGACAAAUCAUGUUGCAAUUGAGAUGACUUCAAGUGUUCCGCCAUCAACACACCUUUAUGAUUAAUGGAAAAACUUGGUCCAGUUUGGGACUUUUGAACCUGUACAUGUUCGAUUCCAACAAAGGAUCGUGACAAAGAAAUCUCAAAACAAAGAAAAGCCUAUUGAAGAUGAUUGCGAAGGAUGGAUAGUCAUGACUCGUAAAAAGGGGAGACAAUCAAUUUUCGUACAAACGAAGUCGCACUUCCAUCAGAAGCAUGGAAAAGGAAGCAACUCUCGUAAAAAUGAGAAAAGAAAUAAGAUGUGGAAGUCUAAGCCUAUCAAAGGAAAAGACGAGGACUUCAUCCGACAUCGACGGUCGAUAACUUUGAAAGAAUUUCUCCCAAGAAGCUUCCUUGAUGAUCAUCCAAAGAAAGUAUUAGAAGUCCUUGCAUGUCAUGUUGUCAGUAUAACAGAAGUCGACAACAAUUAUGCAUCUUCUGAAGAAAUCGACAAUUCAAAUGAAAUUAAGCAAAGGACUUUUGUCUUUGAUCGUAUCAAGCCUUCAAUUACUCAAUCUUCAAUUUUUCAAAGAUUGAGUAUGACCAUGAAAGAAGAAGAAAACCAAUGUUUAACAUCUACUUCCACUCAAACUUUAGCUUUCAAAAGGCUAAGUAUCUCCACAUCAAAGAAAUAUCAACCUUCAACAUCUGUUUUUGAUAGACUAAAAUGACAAGUGAUCAACAUGAAAAAGAGAUGAAAACUUUGAAGGUAAAAUCACUUCAUGAAGAAAAUAAUGGCGAAGAUACGCAGUUGUGUCUCAUCACGCAUGAAGAGGAAGUUAUUUGUUGACAUAAACACAGAAGGUCCCUUGAUCGUGAAGCCAAAAAUUAUUAUAUUCACCAAUUCUACAAAUGAAGAAGGUGAACAAAUUUUUUACGAAAAUAUUUGUUAAAUGUGUAAAGCUCCUUAUCGCAAAAGCCUAAAUUGCAUGAUGCUCUUAGUCCACAAGAGCUUAAAAGGUGAAUAACAAAAAAAAAAAAAAAAAAACAACAACUCAAUUGAACUACGUUAUGACUUGAUCUCUGUGUUAUAAAAAGGAUACGUAGGCAGCUUAAAGAUUACUUUAAGUUCAGUCGCACGAAAAAAAAAAAUUAUGCUUCAUCGUGAUGAUGUAAUCUCAAUAGAAAAUGAAAUUCAUGAACAGUUACAACAGAAAAGAAAUGGGACAAAUGGGGCAAAGUCAAAGUAGCGAGCUCUACCUUUUCUCGCAAGUGUUGCAGCUGAAAAGAUAUUCAUCUUCAUCUUCUCUCAAGUGUUGCAGCUGAAAGGAUCUUUAUCUUCACCUUCUCCAUGUGUUGCAGCCGAGAGGAUUCAUCUUCACCUUCUCCAUGUGUUGCAGUCGGAAGGAUUUAUCUUCAUCUUCUCCAUGUGUUGCAGCCGAGAGGAUUCAUCUUCAUCUUUUCCAUGUGUUGCAGCCGAGAGGAUUCCUCUUCUCCCACGUAUUACAGCCGAGAGGAUUCAUUUUCAUCUUCUCCCACGUGUUAUAGUCAAAAGGAUUCAUCUUCAUCUUCAUCUUCUCCCACGUGCUGUAGCCAAAAGGAUUCAUCAUCAUCUUCUUCCACGUGUUGCAGACGAGAAGAUCAUCAUUUUCAUCUCCUAGGUGUUGCAGUCGUUAUCAUCUGCAUCCUCGAUGUGUUGCAACCGUCAUCAUCUACAUCUCUGAUGUGUCACUGCCGACAUCAUCUGCAUCUUCGAUAUGUCGCUGUUGUCACCAUCUGCAUCUUCGACGUGUCGCAACCAUUACCAUCUGCAUCUUCGACGUGUCGCAGUCGUCAGAAUCUCCAUCUGCAUGUGUUGCAGUCAUCAUCAUCUGCAUCUCUGAUGUGUUGCAACCGUCAUCAUCUGCAUCUUCAAUGUGUUGCAGGCGUCAUCAUCUGUAUCUUCGAUGUGGCUGUCACCAUCAGAAUCUUCGACGUGUCGCAGCCGUUAGAAUCUUCAUCUCCAUGUAUUGCAGUCAUCACCAUCUGCAUCUUUGAUGUGUUGCAGUUGUCAUCAUCUGCAUCUUCGAUGUGGCCGUCAUUAUCUUCGAUGUGUCGCAGCCGUCACCAUCUACAUUUUCGAUGUGUCGCAGCCAUCAGAAUCUCCAUCUCCAUGUGUUACAGUCAUCAUCAUCUGCAUCUCUGAUGUGUCGCAGCCAUCAUCAUCUGCAUCUUCGAUGCGGUCGUCAUCAUCUUUGAUGUGCCGCAGUCGUCACCAUCUGCAUCUUCGACGUGUCGCAGUCAUCAAAAUCUCCAUCUCCAUCUUCGAUGUACGAAUUUUCAUCUCCAUCUUCGUCUUCCAUGUGCUCCAGUUGGUCGAAUCUCCAUCUCCAUUUUCGUCUUCGAUGUGUCGCAGUCAAUUGGAUCUCCAUCUUCGAUGUGUUGCAGCCGAUCGGAUCUCCAUCUCCAUCUUCGAUAUGUGGAUCUUCAUCUCCAUCUCGGUCUUUCAUGUGCUGCCGUCGGUCGAAUCUCCAUCUCCAUUUCUGUCUUUGAUGUGCCGCAGUCGAUUGGAUCUAUAUUUACAUUUUUGUCUUCGGUGUGUUGCAGUCGAUCAGAUCUCCAUCUCCAUUUUCGUCUUCGAUGUGUCGCAGCCGAUCGGAUCUCCAUCUCUAUUUUCGUCUUCGAUGUGUUACAGCCGAUCGGAUCUCCAUCUCCAUUUUUGUCUUCGAUCAAGCUUGGUGUGCUCCACCAUAUAAAUUGACCAAACUUCGUAUAACAUUUUAAUCACACUUAUGUCCAAAUGCAUAGUAUGAUUAAAUUGACAUAUUAACUAGAACCAAAUCCAAGAACAAAUUCACUUAUUUCAGCUUAUCGUUUUCAAGAUUCACCCAUCAUAUAAACGUGCACAAAUCUCUAAAAGGAGACAUUUGUUGAGCAAGAAAUUUUGACCAAUUAAAUUACGCCACAUCAUCACAAUAAAUAUGAUGAUGAUUAUACUUUUGUUUGAGUUUGGAUAAUUAAGUUUACUCAACCCAACUCAAUUCAUAUCCAACAGAAAAAAUGGGCUCAAGCCCAAGUCGAAUAAGCAGAUGGGCCCAAGUUCAAACUCAACUCACAAAUGGGCUCAAGUCCAAGCCCAACAAUCAAAUGGGCCCAAGUCCAAGUCUAGCAAGCAAAUGAGCCCAAGUUCACCUAAAGCCCAUGAAAUUUCUCUAUAAAUAGAGACCAUUGCCAUUCAUUUUAAAAGGGGUCUUUGGUUGAAUAAAGAAUUGAACCUCUGAAGUACUGAAGAAUUGAAGAUUCAAACUUCUACAAGCUCUCAAGACGUCAAAGUUCAUAUCAACCUGGAGAUCAACAACUUCUGAAAGUUGGAAGAUUAAACUUUCCUUGGGUUCCAUAAGAUCGAAGUUCAAAUCAACUUGCAACUACAAUAUCCUAAAGAUCGAAGAUCAAAAAGUUAUAAGUUUUAACUUGUAUUCGAGAGAAAGCAUCAAAUGAGUAAAUACUAGAGGUUGUAUGCACAAUAUUCAUCAAUAUAUAAAGUUCAAUUCCACGAAAUACAUUUAUUCGAAAUCUCGUGUGAACAGUGAGAAUAUGGUUAACCAAGUUUAAAUAUAUAAUGCAACAAUACAAACGUAGUGACCAUAAUCACAAAAUUUAAACCGAACUCAAACAACACAUGAACAUAAAAUAAAAAGCAACAUACCAACAUUGUUUACUAUCGAAUAAUAGUCCAAAUCAAGUCAUGGAUUGGUCAAACAUUAUCUUUAGGAGAAUAUUACAAAGAAAAAAAAGUAUGAAAAAGUGCAUUUUAUAAAAUAUUAUUAUAACUAAACUAAAAGUAUUUUCUUGAAUAACCUAAAAAAUCUCAUUUUUGUUUAACAUUUUUUCUAAAAACUUCUUAAAAUAAAAACACAAUCGUGUUUUAAAAUAUAUAUUUUAAAAAAUAUUUAUACGUACAAAUUUCUUUUGUUUGUUAUAUAUACUAAAAAAUAUUUUUAUAAAAAAUCUUCAAGACUAAUCGAUGACAACGGUCGUCGAAGUUGAUUAUCGGAAGUUCGUCGAUGGAGUCACUAGAGAUGAUGGUGGGAGAUUGGCCGACCAUGAUCAUUGAAGAUUAGCCUAAACCCAAAAGAUAAAUAAUUUUUUUGUAAUAAAAGUAAACUAACAUUUGACUGAACAAUUUUCUCUAUUCCUUUUGACUUCUUUUGGAUUUUUUUUCUUUUUCAAAAUAAGAAUGGUCACUUUGAUUCUCAAUUUUGUCGGAUUAUAAUAAUUUAUACUCAAACACAUAAUAUAAUAACUCGUACUAUAAUAAUUUACACAUAAACACAAAUUAUAAUAACUAAUAUUAUAAUAUUAUGUACCCUAAACACGACUAUAACAACUUAAACUAUAAUACUAUGCACCAAACUUCUCCUAAAAGAAUUUGUUUAUAUGAAUAUGAUGUCUCUCUAAAGAUGAAGAAACAAUUUAUUUAUAGAGAGUGAUAUUGCAAAAAGUUAGUGAAACUUAGGAGUGAGCAUUGACUUUAAAAAAAUCAAUUCAAACAAUCGAAAUUAACCAAAUCUAUUUAUUAUUUAAUAUUAAAUAAAACAAACCGCUCAUAGUAAUUGUCUCGUUCCUAGAUUUGGUCGAUUUCCUAAACCUUAAGUCUAUAUUUUCAUUCUAUAGGUUUUGUUUACGGCACUCGGGUGAAAAAAUGGCGCCCAAGGGAAAGAAAACCAAUAGCCCUACUAGCGACAGCGACGAGGACGAAACCUUCUAUUACCGGUAUCCCUCCGCCCCCUCUUCUGACCCGUCGCUGCCGUCGUCUUCACAGUCGCACUUCUCAUCGCAAUCGCACUCACACUCACACUCUUCCACUAAGUCUGGCGGUGGUUCUGGAGGUUUGGUUCCUUCGAAGUCUACUCUCUAUGUUUCCAAUUUCGACUAUUCACUCACUAAUUCCGACCUCCACACUCUCUUCUCCAACUUUGGUAAGAUCGCUCGUGUUACGGUGUUGAAAGAUCGACAGACUCGCAAGUCUCGCGGCGUUGCCUUCGUCCAGUUUAUUUCUCAGGAUGACGCGGUGAAGGCCGCGAAACAGAUGCACGGGAAGAUUUUGAAUGGCCGUGUUCUUAAGGCUGCUAUAGCGACUGAUAAUGGUCGUGCCGCUGAGUUUAUAAGGAAGAGGGUUUAUAAGGAUAAGAGUAGGUGCUACGAGUGCGGCGCAAUUGAUGGGCAUUUGUCUUAUGAAUGCCCUAAAAAUCAAUUGGGGCCAAGGGAGCGACCAGAACCGAAGCGGGUAAGAAGGGGUGGAGUUGGUGCUAGGCACGAGGAGGAUUGGGGAUCGGAUGUUGGAGAAGGGUUUGAGGAUGACAAUUGGGCCUCGGUGGUGGACGGAGAUGCAGACCAGAGACUCCUGACUGGCGGUGAGAACAUUGUAGAGAAGAAAAAAGAGAAGAAAGCAAGUUAUUUCAGUGACGAGAGCGACGAAGAUGAUUAACUGAGCCUGUCUCUUUGGGAAGAGUUUGUAAAAGGUGCGUGGUUUUUACUAUUGUAUUGUUUUUAUCUGCCGUUCCAUUAUAUUUUGAACCUCUAUUUCUGGUUGAUUUUGGUGCAUGAUUUUUGGGUGGCAUUGUUAGAUGAGAUAAAGCUUACAGAGUUUAGAUUUUGGGCUGCCGGGUGCGAUAAGUAAUAAUGAGUUACAGGUAUGUAGUCUACACUUCGUGGUAAUGUCAGGAGUAGUCAGGAUUGGAAUACUAACUCUUAACCUAUGGCACUUGCUCUCCACCAAUAGGUUAGUAAUUGAAACUAGAAAUGUUAUGUUGAAUUCAAAGACUCUCUUUGGAGAGCUGAAAUGUAUGAGUUUAAUUACAAAUCGGCUCUAAAACGCUGAAUCCAACCAUUGGUUAUUGAUUACAUUACAUUACAAUCUCAUCCGAUGACGGUCUACCGAAUACCCCAAGGAUUUAGGCACCGCUGUUAACAGUAUAUGAGCACUACACUGGAAUUUGGAAGUGGUAAUAAAUACUCAUCUUCCAAUGCCUCCUGUUUUCUUUUAAGAGUUAAGGAUUUCUGCAGUCAGAGAGUAUAAGUUGCUUAUUCAAUCUCAUGAGCAUGAGCAAUAUUUGUAUUUUUGUACAUUUUGGAAUUCCCAUAUCAUGAUCUCGGCGUUUAAUGCCAAGGGCUUGAUUUCCCAAUGUGCCAAGACUUGUCCAAAGGAUUCUUUGAUCAAACAUUAUUGUUAUUAUUAUUCUUUUUGAGGAGACAUUUCUUUUAUCAGAAACAUAUAAAUAAUUUCAUUGAUGGGAUGAAAUUACAAAAGAGCACAUAUGCUGCGAGAGAUUACAAAGAUUAUUCCAUUGUGAUAUAAGAGAAGUAAGAUUGUAAUAAUGAAAGUGUGGGGUGAAUUUACACCAAGUGAAGGUUGUAUACAAAAGAUGAUCGAAAAGUGAGUGAAGUCGGAUUCCUUAUCUUUGAAAGUACGAUGGUGGCAUUUGUUUCAGAUGAGCCAAAAGAGAACUCUUCACUAAGAUUAGAUGAAAAGCAAGGGUGGGGAACUCCAGAAAACCCAAGGGACUUGGGAGAAAAAUCAAUCCAAUGACAUCAAUCGAUAAUGAGAGUGAAGUCAUUACUUAAACCUUUAAAGUGGAUACACGUUCACCAAUUUUAAGGUUCAUACCUUGUGGUUUGGAUCAGUGUUAGGUGGUCUGCUCUCUUCUAGUUAGCAUCAUAGUUCAACAUUUUAACCUAAUAUAUUGUAAUCCUCUUCUUCCUACUGACUAUUUGUCCAUUUAGGCACAUUUUCUAAUAAUUUUGCUUUUAGUUUUGUUUGUUUUCUUCUGUUCAAAGACUAGGAAAGAAAAAGUAGUUUUCAAGAACAUUUUUAUCAAUUGUUCAAAGAAGUUUAGUCAUAAGUAAUUUUCAUAAGCAUAAUUUUGUGAAACAAAAUUGUUGCCAAAUAGAGGCUUAAGUUUUUUUAGCUUUCAACUUGACUUUGUGAUCAAUCUCUUCAUGUUUGAAAGAAGAAGGCAUUUGCCACAUUUUAGCGAAGAAGGCAUUUGCCACAUUUUAGCUUUCUCCCCUUUACCACUUUGUUUUAGUGGAGCUACGUGAGGAAAAGGUGCCAUGUCUCUGAACUAUUUUGAUUUAUCAUUCAUAUAAUUUCUUACUUCUAAAUCUCUGAUGUACCGCAAAAAAUAUUGCUAAUAUAUUUGAAUCUAUCUAUUCUAUAACUUAUAUUCUUGCACUUUCAAUGCUUUGAUCAUAGUCACAAGAUGUGUGUGGAAACAACAAAAUGCAACCUUAAACAUAUUGGGUUAAAGAAAUAUUCGAUAUCACUGAUUUCAACUUUUGAUUAUCACUGAUUCAUCUAUAAUUUUGGCUGGAUCCAUGAUCUUCCUAACUCAUAGUAGUAUAUGUUUAUCAUAACCAAUACGUCUUACUGUCGUUACAACAUCUUUGUGGGUUUUUGUUAUUGUUUUGCUUUGUUUUAGCUGUUGGUUUAUUUGACUAGUGACUUACAUGAGAUUUAGUCUACCUUGACAUUUCUCAUAACACGACCCGUCCUUGUCUUCUGAGCUAAGAGGAUCAGGCUUAGUCAAGUCUACCGUCACAUUUCAAUUUAAUGAUCUAUUAUGUUUGAUUUUUCGUGAAUUUGUGUUACUUAAUAUGAUCUAUUUUGUUUCUCGCUUAUCAAAUAAUUGGAAUCAAGAGGAGAUUUGUUUAACAUUUGAUGAGAAUGGUGAUGCGUUAAAGAUUCGAUUUUAUUGCCAAGUGUCUUCGUGAGAUUAUGUCUUUCGGUAGUGUUGAAAGAGCUACUGUUUCUAAUUUUGGUUCAUUUCUUGUUAUGGGAGAUUGGUUUAAGAUAUGGAAUAAAUGUAGUUCAUUUCAGGGUAAUGAUGUUGCAAAGCUUUUUAAUAUUCCUUCACACAACCAUGGUUCCCUGUAUUCAGUCACCUUUAUUUUCUUGUGGCAGGCUACAUUAAGAUAUAUCAAGGUUGGAGACCAAAGUUGAGAGGCUAAAGUCGGUAGUACAAGUUAAAGAUAGGGAGAUUGCAACAGUUACACGAAUAGUACAAUCUCGAGACUUGUCUAAAUUCCAUGAUUUCUCUCUAUUUAACAUUGAACAAGGAAGUUCUUUUCCACAGGAAGCCAAAGGUAAGGCUGCUUUUAAAGCUCAAAUUGACAAGCUACAGUAGGAAAAUGUUGAACUCCAGAGAAGGGUUAUUGGCAAUCAGGUUAUGGUAGUUGGAUGCUGUGAGAUAGAUACUAGUUUCUAUGUAAUAAUUUUAGUACUAAUGUUGUUUUCUGUUUGUGUGCAAAGCAAGUAAGAACUCAACAAAUACAUGAGAUGAAGAAGAAAGAAAAGGAGUACAUCAAAUUGCAGGUGAGAACCUACAGGGUAUAGGAAUACCUACAGGAAAGCUGGAUAUGUAUGUUGCUGCUGCUGGCAUAAACCCUCAAAGAGUAUGUUUUUCUUAGACAAGCUCAACGCCCUCCCUUCAUCCAAUGGUUGUUUAUCCAACUUGAUUUCAAUCAGUUGUGGCUAUUGUUUUAAUUGUUUAUAGGAUUGCCUGCAUUCAGAUUGUUUUAUCUUCUCAUGUUGGGCUACUUCCAAGAAAUUUUUUAAGCGAAGGGUGGAUAAUAGCUCGCUUGUUUAGUCUAAACUUGGGGGAUUUCAAAUUUUGCCCAAAUUUCAAAAUUUUUCAAAAGUUUUUCAUUACAAUAACGAGCAUCAUAACUUCUUAGAUCUUGCAUAAAAGGCAUGACUGUCAACCCUUGAGCACUAAGCUCGGGUUUGUGACGUGAGAUUCUGAAUUUUGAGAAUAAGCUUAUGUCCUUUUUGUUUUUGCUAAGUUUCAACUAAUACACUCGGUAUUUAUCUUUGUGCUUAUGUGAUAGAUUUGUUAUGCACUGUAGUGAUGUGGGGUGUUUCCUUAUUUUCUGCAUCUUAACUACCUUAUUUCCUGCAUUUUAACUAUCUUAUUUCCUGCAUCUUAAAUACCUUAUUUUCUGCAUCUUAAAUACCUUAUUUUCUGAAUCUUAGUUGGUACUGAAAUUUGGUUUGUUUCAGUGAAAGAGGCACUAUCAGCAUUGACAUGUACAUGUGAUUUUAGGCAUGAACCAGGAGAGUGAGAGUUUUAGUGUGCCGUGUUUAGAAUUUGCCGAUAUCUUUUUCCCGUUCCAGCAAGUAUUCCUGAUUGUGGGGGUAACUCUCAAGUCUGCAGUCUUUUCUUCAUGAAAUUUGUAGAUUAUCUAAGAAUACUAAUAUCAUUUAAUGUUGACAUUUUUUUAGCAACUUUUCUUAACCCCACUUUUUGAAUUUCAUUAAGUUUACUCUUGUUUAAUUGACAGAUUCUUCCAGUAAUGCUAGAUAUUGGUACUAACAACGAGAAGUUACUUAAUGAUUCUCUUUGUAAGUGAAAGGGAAACCUUCAUGUCGUUUAUCUCCAUAUUUUCCAUGUAAUGUAUUGUGCUUAUAUUGAUCUGUUUCUGUUGUCAAUGGCGAUAUAUUUGGGUUUUUUGUUGUUGUUGUGGUGGUGGUGGUGAAAUAUUUUAUUUAAGUCUCUAGUUAAUAUUUAUGCUUACUUAACAGAAAAUUUGUUGCUUGAGCUUGCUUCAUUUGGUUCUUUUACUUGUUUAAGUCCUCCUCUAACUAAUUAUACAUUUCGUCCUUUUACUUGUUUAAGUCCUCCAAAAAGUAUUCAUUACUUUAAUAAAUUCCCUCACCAGCAUCAUCACCUCUUAUUCAACAAACUGUUUUUUCCCAAAAGCAAAAAAGGAAAAAAAAAAAAAAGAUAAAGACAAUCAAGAACAACCAUCAACUACAUGAAAAAAAAAAGAGAAGAAAAAGAUAGCUACCGAAAAACAUUACUACCCAUUUUCAUUAUCAUCAUCCUCUACUAUGCUUUUCCACCUUCUUCUAACCCAUUUUUCCAUUGCAGGAUUUAUUGGAGUUGAGGAGUCCCACAAUCUUUAUGUUCUGUUUGUUUUUCCAUCACUUUUUCAAGGCUGUUCAAUUGGAGUUCCAUCUUCAGGUAAUAUUAAUGUGUUUGUUUCUAAGAUAAUUUUGUUAAACACUUGUUUUUGUUGUCCCCAUCCACCAGCUGUUUGGUGAAAUGCCGCAUUGAAUAAUUUUGUGGGUUCUUGGGAAGCGUGUGAUCUAUGUGUUGUGGAAUUUGUAUAAUUAGUUAGAGUGAUUUAGGAAAACUUUUGUAUUUGUAGUUGAAUAGAUAAUUCAUUCCAUAUUUAGAGCAUGAUUAAGAGUUAUUUUGAAAUUGUUAAAAUUACUUCAAAAGAUAUUUGGAUAAUUUAAAUGACUUUCUAUUGUAUGUUGAUCACGUUUGAUAGAUCGAAAACUUUUCUUCUUCUUCUUCUUCUUUGUUUCUUCCUGCUGCCUAUUUGACCUGCAACUUUGAGUGUAGUUGCUUGGCUGUCUAAUUGCCACCACUCAAAGUCACUCCUUCGCCUUCUUAUCACUCUUAAUUUUCUUGACAACAAAGUCAAACUGCUACAGAACAAUCGAAUUUUCGUUUGAUUAAUUUUCUAUCCACAGGAGGCUUUUGUAUGUUGAUCACCCUUGUUUUCUUUGAAAAGUUUAAAAUUCCAUACACGAUAUAUUGGGAAACUUUCACAUUUCUCGGGACAUUAAAAGCUCAAGAGCAUUGAUUUUGAGCAAAAUAAAAAUGAAAAUCCCUUUUAAUUUCCGGCAACACCAUAUUUGAAGUUCAUUGUAUUUUCUUCUUCCAACUACAGGUUGACGUGAUUGUCUUGACAGAUGGAAGUCGUAUUCUUGGCCUCGGUGACCUUGGAGUUCAGGGAAUAGGAAUACCUAGAUUGGAGGGAGAAGAGUAUCUAUCUAUUGUUGAUGAAUUUAUGGAAGUCGUGGAUACAUGUUGGCCUAAAGCUAUUGUUCAGGUUUAUUGGUUAAGAUAUCAAAUUUUUAACUGUGUUCACUGCCAGUAAUCAGUAUCGUAAUCUCGCAAUUUGAUUUUGAAUGAUGCCAGUUUGAGGACUUUCAAAUGAAAUGGGCUUUUGAAACAUUACAACGUUAUCGUAAGAGGUUCUGCAUGUUCAACGAUGACAUACAAGUGAGUAGUUCAUGUUGUAUUCAUGCAGUUGAUAAUUACUUAAAAGGACAUUCAUUUUCGUUUAUUUCAUUUCAUAAAGGGAACUGCUGGUGUUGCUCUCGCUGGACUAUUGGGAAAUGUGAGAGCUCAAGGGCAGCCAUUGAGUGAUUUUGUUAACCAAAAGAUAGUAGUGGUAGGGGCUGGAAGGUAUUGUCAGCUGUUUAACUUUAACAUUUUCUCCAAAUAGCAAUACUGCUAACUAUUUAGGGAUCGUAAGCCUUGUCCUCUUUGUUGAAACAAAAGUGGUUGUUUGAAUGAGGAAUUACUAUUACUAUUACUAUUACGUGAAUAUAAGAGAAAUGAAAACUUUGGAAACUAUAGUUCAAUCCUUUUGGUUUAACCUUCAUUUGUUUCAACAUGCUGUUUUUUCUCCUCUUUCAACUUCAGUGUUGGGCUCGGUGUUCUUAACAUGGCUAUUCAGGCUGUUUUGAGAAUGGUAGGGAACAACGAUUCUACUGCAAGAAAUCGAUUUUUUUUCUAAUAGACAAAGAUGUAAGAAUCUUUUUCAAACUUUCAUUUCUCAAUUUAUGCAUCAGUCUGUCCAAGUUUUUCCUUCCAUGAGAGUUACUGAUUUCAGAAACCAAUCGGAUGGGGUUUGGAAUUUGGGUAGCUUUAUUAUGGGUUAAUUUGUAUGACGCAGUUUCGUGUGAAAAGUAUGAGGCAGUUGAAGAAGUUAAAUGACUUGUGGUGGUAGUAAUCAGUGUCAAACUCAUGUGGUUUUUAACUUACAAAGAAAGAGGAAAAAUAUCAACUUAGUCCGAUGCAGAUUAGGGUUUUAAGUCUUCUAUCUAAUUGUUUGUGUGAUAAAUGCAGUUACUUUAUCAAAAACAAAGAAGAAAAGGAAGGGACCACAAGAUUCUUUAGUAUUUUAAUUUUAUUGCAUUACAUUAUAUUCAAUCUUCAUUUUUCUUGGUUGUGCUGCAAAUGGUGUUUCUUCUAUUAUGGAUUUGCAUUAUACAACAUUGCCAUAUUAAGUCAUAAAGUUAUGAAAAUUAGAAACACACCCUUUGUAGGAGAGAACAUGAUCCUUCCUUUGAAGUAAAUUGAGAGAAUUUCCUCUACUGCCUCAAUUUUAAGGCUUGAGGUUUGAAGAACAAGGAUGAAUAAUCAACGAAAAAGGAAUGAAGAGGUUUCUCGUUUAGGGAAAAUAGCGAUUUUUCGUUUUUCAUACUUCCAAAACGACACAAGUAUGAACUUAUUGUGUAUUAAAUUGAUCGAGAGGCCUUCCAAUUGUUUGUUAAUCUAUAGUUUCUGUCUCUAUUUUAAUUAACUGCUACAUGUAGAAGCCUAACUAACUUAGUUAGAGUUCUAUCAAAAAAAGGAAAGAAAAAAAGGAAGAAGAAAGAUCAUGUGAUAAAUUUAUAGAAAUGCCAUGCAAUUAUUUUCUAACUAUUAAUUUAUGUUUCUGUGGUAAAUUACUGCUACUAGAAAUCUAAUUGUGUUCGGUUAGUUAGACUUCAUGGGUUUGAUUUUUUUUUUUUUUUUUGUUAAAGAGGUUCCAUAAGUAUACCGAUGGUUUUGAAAUUUUGAUUUGAUGCAUGUCUGAGAAAUUUCAAGGCUAAAUUAUACAGAAUACCCAUAAACUUUGUACUUUAUAUAAAAAUACCAUUGAAAAUACACCCAAAACAUAAACUACCAAAAGUGUUAAAAAUACAGUUAAUAUAAUUAUCCUAAUUUUAGUAAUAAAUGAAAUUGAGAGAACUUUCUUUGAUUUUCAGGAACAAGGAUGAAUAAUCAAUGAAAAAGGAAUGAAGAGGUUUAUCCAUGCAAGCUUCAAACCAAAGCCAAGGAUGUCGAUCCUUCCAGGGGAGUCCAAAGUUCUCCCUUAUUUUUCUCCCUUUAUUUUGAUUUUCAAAAGUUUGCAAUUUUUUAAGUGGGGGUGGGCAAUUGCUUGCAUGUUUAGUCUAAACUUGGAGGUUCAAAUUUUGCCCAAAUUUCAAAAUUUCUAAAAAAAAUUUCCUUACAAUAAUGAGCACUAUACCUUCUUAGAUUACUUAGAUCUUGCAUAAAAAGCAUGACUAGCAACCCUUGAUCACUGAGCUUGGGUUUGUGAUGUAAAAUUCUGAAUGUUGAUGAGUAUAUGUGCUGAAAUUUGAGAAUAAGCUGCCAGUGUUUUUUGGUUUAAGCCCAUUUUUAGCGAUAUCUUAUGGAGAUGUGAAUGCAUGAUUGAGAAAAUGGUACGUGUGUUGUGAAUGCUUGAUUGCAUGCAUAUAAUAAAUAAGUGCAUGGAUACUUUUCUAGCUUUGUCUUCCUUUGUUUCUUUGCCAUGACUUACCUAUGAUGCGCUUAGUCCAAACCUAGCCUAGAUAGAGUUAAAAAAGGAUAGGAGGUACUCUUUAGAAAUUGAGAUGGUUUUAACAAAUUUGUCUUGUCAAACAUGAGUUUGGAGCCUCUUGUCUAGCCACAAUGAACUAAAUCCCUUUAGAAAGGGUGGGCAUUAACAAAUCUUGUUGUCACUUCGAAGGGAGCAGUCAAACUUAGAAACUAAGUGUAGAACCAUAGAAAGGUUACCCCAUCGGUUAUUGUGUGCGUACCAAAGAAAGAAAAGAGAGACUUGCAAAUGUAAAACUUAAGACAGCGAGACAAUUAAGAGCUAAAAAAAACAAAGAACAUAUGCAUUAUACAUCAGAAAAAUCCCAUAAAAAAAUGAAGGGAAACUUCACUUUUGGCCUAACCAAAAGCAGACCACCUACUCUUAGCGUUCUAGACAUAGCAUUGAGUUUGAUGAGGGCUUUGAAAAUAGGAGGAAUCCUCCCCGUUCCACACUAGGGGAAAAACGAGACUUGUCACUCCGAAGGGAGCAGUCAAACUUAGCAUUGAGUUCAAGGUAUCCUUCUUAGAUUCUUGAAUCAUGACUACAUUAGGACUACAAUAGUUGAUGAAUUUUUUAAGUGCACGUUUAGAGGGGUCGUUCAAACUCCUAGUGCUCCAGGAGACAACCUUCAUAAUGACUGGGAGGAGGAAAAGGCAGUUGCACAUCUAAUUUAAGCCAUAAUGAUUCCACAAUCACCGACUAUAGACACUAAAUCAUUAGGCAAAUCCAGGGGAAUUUUAAUAGGGAGAAUAUCUUCAUCAUUGAACAAGACAUUCAGAUCCAUCCCAUUAAUUUCUUGGACUAAUUUAGGGUCAACUUCAGUGUUGGGGACUGCCAAUUUAACUGAUCUCCACAGUAAGUUGAUUAAGUUGGGGAACACGAGACAAGGCAUCUGCUGCUUUGUUUUCUAGUCCCGGUUUAUACACGACAUCAAAAUUGUAGCCAAGAAGCCUAGCAAUCCACCUCUGAUGUCGAGGUUGGAUAACCCUUUGUUCCAAUAAAAGUUUCAAUGAUCGUUGAUCAAUUUUCACUACAAACCUCCUGCCCAAAAGAUAAGGUCUACAACAUUGCACAGCCAAAACUACAGCCAUAAAUUCCCGUUCAUAAACUGGUUUAGCACGACCCCUCAUAGCUAAUGUCAGGCUAAAAUAAGCAAUUGGCCGAUGAUUUUGAAUUAAGACAGCAUCUACCCCGUAUCCAGAAGCAUCGGUCUCUAUUUCAAAUGGUAAGGAAAAAUCUGGCAGUGCUAAGAUUGGGAGAGUCAUCAUAGCCAUCUUUAAAUUCUCAAAAGUUUCAGCAGCUACAACAGUCCAUUCAUAAGCUCCUUUCUUCAAUAAUUGAGUCAAAGGAGCAGCCUAAUUCAUUACAAAUCUUCGAUAAUAUCCUGUCAACCCAAGAAAUCCACGAACUUCACGGACAUUUGUGGGCACGGGCCAUUCUUUGAUAGAUCUAAUUUUCUCGGGAUCGACCUCUACACCCUUGCCCGAAAUUAUAUGGCCAAGAUACUCCACUUUCAUUUUGGCAAACCCACACUUGUGCAUAUUAGCAUAUAAUUUAUUCUCUCGCAGCACCUCUAACACCCAUUCUAAAUGUUGAAGAUUUUCAUCCAAACUUCUGCUGUAAAUUAAAAUAUCAUCAAAAAAGACUAAGACAAACCUGCGUAGGUAAGGUUUAAAGAUACUAUUCAUCAAAGCUUGAAAUGUUGAUGGUGCAUUGGUGAGCCUAAAAGGCAUGACAAGAAACUCAUAAUGCCCCUCGUGAGUUCUAAAAGCUGUUUUCUCCACAUCCUUUUUACACAUUCUAAUUUGAUGAUAUCCCACCUUGAGAUCAAUCUUCGAAAAUAUAUUAGCCCCAUUAAGUCAUCAAAAAAUUCCUCUACUACUGGAAUAGAAAACUUGUCUGGAACGGUCACACUAUUCAACGCACGAUAAUCUACACAAAACCGCCAACUACCAUUUUUUUUCACCAACAAGACCAGGCUCGAAUAUGGACUAGUACUAGGUUUUUAUGCCAGAUGCCAUCAUUUCAUCAACUAAUCUUUCCAUCUCAUCCUUUUGCUGGUAUGCAUAUCUAUAAGGUCGAACAUUGACUGGAUUAGUCCCCUUCUUAAGAUGUAUAUGAUCUUCAAUGGUACGUUGUGGUGGCAACUCUCCAGGCCAAUCAAAAACAUCUUCAUACUUAGCUAACACGGCUGGAAUAGACUCAUGAAUGGUAGACACUUCAUCAACCCCAUACAACGCUGCAAAUGCCAUUCCACCUUCCAAAGAUCUACACUCAAUCACAAAUCCCUAAUCAAGUUCUGUCCAUGUCUUCAUCAUGUGCUUCAAACUCACCCUAGCCUUCGUAAGACUCGGAUCUCCCCUUAAUACAACCUUCUUCCCAUUUUGUAUGAAUGUCAAGGUAAGUUUUCGCCAAUCUACUUCAGUUACUCCUAAUGUAUGUAGCCAUUGCAUAUCAAGAAUGACAUCCCCCCCCCCCCCCCCCAAUUCCAAUGGCAGAAAAUUAUCCACAACCUUCCAUUCACCCAAUAGCAGUUCCACUUGUUUACAAAUUCCCUUCCCUUUUACAGCAGAUUCAGACCCCAAAAUAACCCCAUAAUCAGAAGUUUCCUGCGACUGCAACAACAAUUGAGUUACUAACUUUUCAGAUAUAAAAUUAUUGGUCGCGUCGCAAUCUAUCGAUACUACUACUGACCAAGCAGAAACCUGGAAUUUUCCAUCCGCUGCACGUUUGAAACUUGAUUCUCCCAUUAUCACUUCUCGGUUCUCAAUCUUUUGGGCCAACUUCAUCAUUUGAGCAAGCCCCAUAGGUUCCCAACAUUCCAUGUCUACCUUAAUCCAUGGUUUCAAACCAUUCAUAAAUGUUUCUUCUAAGACAGCCUUUUGUAGAAAAGGCAAUGGUGCUACUGAUUUAUCAAAUAAAUUCCAAUAUUCUUCCACUGUAAUUUCUUUCUUGAUCUUUAAAAAUCUUCCCAGAAUUAAUCCCUCACGACUCGAUCGAAAUCAAACAAUAAGUCUCUUCUUUAAAUCGUCCCAAUUAACAAACGGUUCACGAUCUUCAUGAGAUCUAUACCAAUUCAAAGCUGCUCCAUCAAAACUAAUAAUGGACACAGUCAUUUUCUCUGACUCACUCAGUUUGUGUAUCUGAAAGUAUCUCUCAGCCCUAAAAAACCAAGAAUCAGGAUCAUUUCCCACAAAAACUGGCAUUUCAAUUUUUUUAAAUUUGCUUUGGUCGCCUGCAGAAUCUUCACCCUCCAACUUGGUAUGUUUUUCCUCAGAUUUUCCUCCCAUCAUCGUCCAAUCACUGACAUCAACCAUGCUGUCAACUCACUUGAUGGUCCUUCUAGUACUUCUUCCAUCGUUGUCUUCCCUUUGAUCAUUCCUUCAAUAUAUUUCAACAGUGUUUCUGGUUGCUGUUGUUGCUUCUCAGCCUGUACUCCUAACCUCUCAAUACUCUUCGCCAAAGAUGACAUGUUUUCCUUGAUUGUUGGCAGAUCAUGUAAUUCUGCUCGAAUGCCGGAUAUUUCUUGAUCUACCAUUUCCAACUUUUCCUCAAUUCGCUUUUGAGCCAUGAUAUAGAACUUCAUAGAUUCGAUUUCUCCGAUACCAAAAUGAUAGAACACCAAAUAGUGUGUUCUACUAAUUUAUUAAUCAGCCAAACAUUUACAGAAAACAGGUUCUAACACAGUCUUGAAAACAAAGUACUCGACAAUUUGGAAGACAGAAAGCCCUAGAAGAGUGAAUAUCACGCUUUGGAGAAUGCGAAAUGGACUAUGAACUGUGCAGAAGUUUUGCAAAUGAAACCUCCCUUUCUCAUACAAAUAUGAUGAGAUAAACUGUGAGAGGAAGGUUUCAUUUGCAAAACUUCUGCACAGUUCAUAGUCCAUUUCGCUUUCUCCAAAGCGUGAUAUUCACUCUUCUAGGGAUUUUUGUCUUCCAAAUUGUCGAGUAUAAAUGUUUUUCAAUUGGGGAGGCAAUGGAGAGAUGGUUGACUAAUGAAUGAACCAAAAACUUCCCAUUUGAUUCUGAUUUCUAGGUUCUUUUAUUUUGGGAGACUUGAAAUUCAUAUAUUUCUUCAACUUUUAGAAGUCUCCUGAAAUUUAGAGCCCAUGAAGUAGUGGAAGAGUCCCAAAACUCCUUUACAUCUCUAUUAUUAGAGUUCAAAGACAAUCUAAAUGAUCUUGAAAAGAAACAACAUCUGCCCAAAAAUCAUUCCAAAAUGCUAUUCUUCAACCAUCACCGAACUUGAACAAUGCCUAGGAAUCCACUUGAAGCUAGCAUCUCGAAAUGCUAAUCCAGGGACUAUGGAGACUGCAAGUGACAAUUCCUUUAGUAUGCCAUCCAAAUUAACUUUCUCCAUGGAUACUCUUCACCACUUUAGCCCAAAGGGAAUUCUUUUCAUUUAUAAAUCUCCAUCCCCAUUUAGCAAGAAGGUUGCAUUUUUUUAACGUUGCACCAUCGACGCUGAGUCCACCAUCCUCUUGCGAACAAGACACCACCUUCCAAUUAAUCACUUUAUGAAUCAUCUUUUCUGGCAUUAAGAAUAUAGACAUAUAGUGUGUAGGUAUAUGUGAAAAAACCGACUUAGGAUUUGCUAGGUCGUUUUGAAAACUCAAGUAAUACCUAGACACGUUUUGAGCACGUUUUAGGUUGGUUUGAACUAAGUUUGCUGCAAUUACACACCUGGUUGCCAUUUAGGGGCUUGUAGUGCUUUUUUCACAAUAUUUGAACUUUUUUCGUAGGGCAUGAGUUACGAACCUACACGUAAGCUGUUUUAGGACAUUUUGAAAGUUCAAGUGAUACUUAGACACGUUUUUAACUCGGUUUAGGUUGGUUUGAAACUAAGUUUGUUGACCUUAUCCAAUUGGUUGCCAUUUUCGGUCUUGAAGUGCCCUUUUCACACUUUUUGAACUUUUUGGUAGGCUAUGGGUUACCAAUUUACACUUAAACUUUGUUUAGUUGUUUUGAAAGUCCAAGUGAUACUUAGACACGCCUUGACCACUUUUUAGGUUGGUUUGGAACUAAGUUUGUUGCACUUGCGCACUUGGUUGCCAUUUUGGGUCCUGUAGUGUUUCCUUUUUUUCCAUACUUCUUGAACUUUUUGGUAGGUUAUGAGUGACAAACUUACAAAUAAACAUUAUUAGGUCGUUCUGAAAGUUCAAGUGAUACUUAAACACGGUUUGAAAUUUUUUUAGAUUUGUUUAAAACUAAGUUUGUUUCACUCGCAUACUUGGUUGCCAUUUUAGGUCUCAAAGUGCAUUUUUUACGCAUUUUGAACUUUUUGUUAGUUUGUGAGUUACGAAUUUACACUUAAGGAUUGUUAGGUCGUUUUAAACACAUUUUGCGUUGGUUUGAAACUAAGUUUGUUGCACUUACACAUUUGAUUGAAAUGUUGGGUCUUGAAGUACUUUUUUUCACACUUUUUGAAAUUUUUUUAGGUUGUGAGUUACGAACUUACGCUUGAGUAUUGUUUGGUCGGUUUGAAAUCUUAGACACGUUUUGCACUCUUUUUAGGAUGGCUUGAAACUAAGUCCGUUGCACUUACAUACUUCGUUGCCGUUUUGGGUCUUGAAGUGCUUUUUUUACACUUUUUGAAAUUUUGGUAGGUUGUGAGUUACAAACUUACACUUAAGCAUUGUUUGGUCGUUUUGAAAGUUGAAGUGAUACACACACGUUUUGAAUACAUUUUAGGUUAGAUUGAGUUUGUUGCACUUGGUUGUCAUUUUUGCUCUUGAAAUUCUUUUUUCAACCUUUUUGGUAGAUUAUGAGUUACGAACCUACAUUUAGGAUUUGCUAAGGUCGUUUUGAAAACUCAAGUAAUACCUAGACACGUUUUGAGCACGUUUUAGGUUGGUUUGAACUAAGUUUGUUACACUUACACACUUGGUAGCCAUUUUGGGUCUUGUAGUCAUUUUUUCACACUGUUGGAACUUUUUUCGUAGGUUAUGAGUUACGAACCUACACGUAAGCUGUUUUAGGUCGUUUUGAAAGUUCAAGUGAUACUUAGACACAUUUUUUUCAAGUGAUACUGUUUUAGGUCGUUUUCAAGUGAACUUUUUUCUUCUUGUAUUGACUGUUUUACUAUUUCUUCAUGGUUUGUAUUCAUGGUAUUUAUUUUCGUAAUGAAUCUUUCAUGUUCUGGUAAACAUUGCAGAAACACAUAAUUUCAGCAAUCUGUCAAAGAGUUGAAGGAGAAGACAGAAGUACUUAAAGGUCACAUGAAGACCUAAAAGUUAGGUAAUUUUUUGAAAACUUUUUUCUUCGUCUUGCUUAGUUUUAGUGGUAUUUGUUAACAGGCUGAGACACACUCUUGUAUGCCAAGGCUGGGUGGCCAAUUCAAUGGAUGGCCUGAGACGGUGAAAUGACGAGUGUAGAACAAAGUAGACAAUCGAGCAGAUUUACAAGUAGGAGGAUGGUGUUUGGUCUUACUGUAAAGCUACUGCUAGAAAGGUGAUUCUCCCUUUAUUUACACAUGUUAUCUAUAUUUAAUUACUGUUUUUAUGUGAUGGUGAAUAAAUAUUUAAGUCGUUUCAAGUUUUUACAUCAUGCUUGAGUUAAUACAUUUCCCAACUCGCACUAAUUUUAAAGUUGAGACUAAGUUUGUUGCACUUACACACUUGGUUUCCAUUUUGGAUUUUGGAGUGCUUUUUCUACAUUUUUUGAACUUUUUGGUAGGUUAUGAGUUAUGAAGUAACACUAAAGCAUUAUUAGGUCGUUUUUAAAGUUCGAGUGAUACUUAAACAUUUUUUAACACCUUUUAGGUUGUUACAAACUAAGUUAGUUUUACAUACAGCCAUGGUUGCCAUUUUGAGUCUUGAAAGAUUUUUUUUCACACUUUUUGAAAUUUUUGGUAAGUUAUGAGUUAUAAACUUACACUUAAGCGUUGUUAAGGUGUUUGAAAACUUAUACGUGUUUUCAAUACUUGUUAGGUUUGUAUAGAACUAAGUUCGUUGCACUUACACACUUGACAUUUUGGGUUUUGGAGUGUCUUUUUAAAAAAUUUGGAACUUUUUGCUAGGUUAUGACUUAUGAACUUGUAUUGAAUAUUUGUUAGGUCGUUUUGAAAGUUCAAGUGAAACUUAGACACGUUUUGAACUCGUUUUAGGUUGGUUUGAAACUAAGUUUUACACACAUUUGAUUGACAUGUUGGGUCUUGAAGUACUUUUUUCAUACUUUUUGAAAUUUUGGUAGGUUGUGAGUUACAAACUUACACUUAACCAUUUCUGGGUCGUUUUGAAAAUUCAAGUGAUACUUACACACGUUUUGAAUACAUUUUAGGUUAGAUUGAGUUUGUUGCACUUGGUUGUCAUUUUUGGUCUUGAAAUGCUUUUUUCAACCUUUUUGGUAGAUUAUGAGUUACGAACUUACACUUAGGAUUUGCUAGGUCGUUUUGAAAACUCAAGUAAUACCUAGACACGUUUUGAGCACGUUUUAGGUUGGUUUGAACUAAGUUUGUUGCACUUAGACACUUGGUUGCCAUUUUGGGUCUUGUAGUGCUUUUUUCACACUAUUUGAACUUUUUUCAUAAAUUAUGAGUUAUGAAUCUACAUGUAAGCUGUUUUAGGUCGUUUUGAAAGUUCAAGUGAAACUUAGACACGUUUUGAACUCGUUUUAGGUUGGUUUGAAACUAAGUUUAAAACACAUUUGAUUGACAUGUUGGGUCUUGAAGUACUUUUUUCACACAUUUGGAAAUUUUGGUAGGUUGUGAGUUACAAACUUACACUUAAGCAUUGCUUGGUCGUUUUGAAAAUUCAAGUGAUGUACACGCGUUUUGAAUUCAUUUUAGGUUAGAUUGAGUUUGUUGCACUUACACACAUGGUUGUCAUUUUUGGUCUUGAAAUGCUUUUUUCAACCUUCUUGGUAGAUUAUGAGUUACGAACUUACACUUAGGAUUUCCUAGGUCGUUUUGAAAACUCAAGUAAUACCUAGACACGUUUUGAGCAUGUUUUAGGUUGGUUUGAAUUAAUUUUGUUGCACUUACACACUUGGUUGCCAUUUUGGGUCUUGUAGUGCUUUUUUCACAAUAUUUGAACUUUUUUCGUAGGUUAUGAGUUACGAACCUACACGUAAGCUGUUUUAGGUCGUUUUGAAAGUUCAAGUGAAACCUAGACACGUUUUGAGCAUGUUUUAGGUCGUUUUGAGUAAAUGGUAUGUAUGUUGUGAUUGUUUGAUUGCAUGUAUAAUACCUUAUUGAGAUGUGAAUGCUUGAUUGAGAAGCUGAUAGAACACCAGGUAAUGGUUCUUAUUUGUUCAUUAAGCAACCAAACUAUUACAGAAUACAAUACUCAAACUAGUCUUGAAAACACAGAACAAACAAGUACUAUUACAGACAAUAACCAUGUACAAAAUAAAACAUUCAAACAUCAAAAGUAGUUUACGAUAAUGGAAAACACUUUCUAAGAUUAAAGUAACUGAACAACUUCUGAAAUUCUGCUCUCCAGAAAAUACAGCCCUUCCACUUCCAGAAACUGAUUAACCAACCCCCAUCUUUCCUUCCAAAAUAAAACAUUCAAACAUCAAAAGUAUGUAGGAAGGCUAACCAGAACUGAGUUGCAUAAGGUUUGUCUUCCGCCUCUAGAGAUGUUAUAUCUUUUCAUCUAAGAACAAAAUUGAUCACUUUUUUUCCCUUGACAAUCUCUCUAGUUUCUAGGUUAGGUUAAGUGAUGGGAAUGACUAACCACACUCACAAACGUUUAUCUGUAUGGCUAUUGCAAGCAUGCUACUUGCAUAGACAAUCCAUUUCUAAAUAGUUGCAUAGAAUGUUUACUUAUUGGUAUUAAAUAUUCUUGUUUGAAUAAGAGGUUUUCUUUAAUGGUUAAGUAAGCUCCUGAAGGUGACAAGUACAAGGUUGCACGAACGUGGGGCCGUAUCAAUAUUGUUACUCGGAAAUGGUUUGAUCAGUCCAUGGCCAGAAAAGGUAGUAGUUCGGGUUGUAUAUUUGAAAACCGAUAUGAUAUUUGAAUUGUUGGCAGUUAUUUGUCUAAUAAUUUUAUUAGUUUCUAACUUGUUUCAAAUCCUUUUAUUCUCAUUUUUAAUUGAUAGGAUGUUUUAAUGAGGAGCUGUACCCUGUUGGUAGCGUUUCUGGAACUUCAAAUAAAUUGACAAGGGGUUGCUUGACUGCUCACAAUAGCCAAGAAAAGGAUAUUGGGAACUUGGAAGCUGUACCGUCCUCAUUUCUUACCGAUUCAAAAUUCACAGCAGUUGCUGGUCCUGGGUUUUCAGACAUGGAUGUUAAAGUUACUCUUUCACAGAGCACGUCUAUGUUUUCAGAUGCUUCUAAUUUUAUAAAUGAGGUUGAUGUUGAAGUGCCAGUCACGAUGGGAAGGAAUGAAGAAAACACUGUUAAUUGUCUUGCAAAUGACUUUUAGUCUGAAGAAAACGACCUAUAUUUGUCAGCAUGUAGAAUAAAAGUUGUUGGGUUUGAAGCUUCUGAGAUGCGGAAGAUUGUAAAUAUGAUUCUCAGAGGUGGAGGCUCCCGAUACAUGGUUUUCAAUGACAAAUUAACACACAUAAUAGUUGGAGAUUCGUCAGAAAUGUAAUUAUCCUUUUACUUUAAUCGCAACAUAGGUUUUGUGAACUUUAUUGCUUGAAUUUGUGAGCUCGCCUGUGCUGUGAGCUUUUUGAUUUCAUUUGAAUGGUCUAUCCACCCAAUUGAAAAUUAGUUUUAUCAUAUUUCAAAUGGCAGGGAGAAAAAGGAGGUUAGAGAUAUUGCUACUUCAGGAGUUGUUCAUGUGGUUAGAUCCAACUGGCUUGAAGAGUGUGACCGUCAGAAGAAGGAGAUCCCUAUUCUUGGUAGACACAUGGCAUAUGAUGAACUUAUUCCUAAAGGUUUGAUAUGCAGGACUCGUAUUCUAAGCUAUCUGUCUUUUGAAUAGCAACCUUAAACUACCAUCAUGCAGAAUAACUGCACAUUUCAUUUGGAUGCAUGACUAAUAUUUGUUUGGAGAUCCCUAGCCUGUUUGUCUUGUUCUAAAUUUUCUGGCUGUUUACUUUGCAGCAUCUAGUAAAAUGAGCACCAUUGUUAUGGAUCAAAAUAAAGUUCCAAAUGUUCAUCCAAUCGUGCCAUCAAAUGUGUCAGAAGGAAAUAUUCAUGUUAGCAUUGGAAAGACGUCAAUAGCAGUGGAAAGAAUUGAAGAAAAAAGUGAAACAAAAGUGAAUGGAGACAGGAAAAUGAAAUUAUCCCAGAAAAGCCAACAAUGUGUAGCAAAUGGUACAAACAAGAGUUGAGAAAAGAUGGGGCGUGAUUUCAUGGUUUCAAAUGGGAAGUCAUCAUGUGUAUUUAAGGGGAAAAUAUUUUGUUUUUCUAGUUCCUUUCCAGAAGAUCGGGUAUGUUGUAAAGAUUCUUUCCUCUUAUUUCAAACAGCAUGAUUAAUGUACACUAUGCACUUUAGGUUUUAGAUGUAUUAUUGUGGUAAAUAGCAUCCAUUUUUUUAAAAAAAUAACAAAGUAGAAGCCCUGUAUUCAAUAUCAAUUGACUUGAGUAAAGAGUAGUUCAUUACUGCUCCAACUCCAUGAUUUUAAAAGCAAGUCAAUGGUGCAGAUAGGAUUCUAGAUCUACUGUUUCUUUAACACUCCGAUCCUGUUAAGAGAAUGAUAUAAAAAAAAUGGAAAAAUUACCUUUUUAGUCCCCAAUUUUAUAGAAAUAGGUUUAUUGGUCCUUGAGUUUUCAAAAUGUACUCUUUUAAUCCUUGAGUGCUUAAUGUUAUACUGGAGACUCUCAAAACCAAUUUUUAGAAGAAGUUAUUCUACCUUAAAAAUGUAUAAAGUUAUAUUGGGGACUUUCUAAACCAAUUUUUAUAAACUUAGAGACUAAAAAGGUGCAUGACCAAAUGGGUCUAUUUUUCUAAACCUGGAGACUAAAAAUGUACAUUUUUAAAACUCAAGAACCAAACACACGUGUUCUUCAAAACCAAAACUUGGGGAGUAAUUUUCCUAAAAAAUUUAAGAUAGUGCCAAAUGUCAUUUAGCAUGUGAAAUAAUUACGAUUUUCAUUUUUCAUUUGAGGAAUAUGCCUUCAAAUUUUUUUUACAUUUUAUUUUUGAACACUAACAAACAUGCAUCAACUUUUGACUUCCAUAAUCCCAAAUAUUUUUUAUGUAUAUUUUGAGAUCAUAUUUGAAAUUCUCCUACUAGAGAGCUGAAAUUGUUGAAUGGAUAAAUCAAGGGGGAGGCGAGGUUGUUGAAGAUCACAUGAAGCAGAAAGUGCACUUCACUGUUGAAUGUCAUGGUGGGAUACCAAGGAGUACAGACGUUCAUAGUACUUAUGUGUCAAGUCAUCGGGUUCGAUCAUGUUUAGAGGUAAGCGAUAAUUAAUUGUCUUAUUUGUGAUUUCCGUUUUAGAGCUCUACUAUUGGGUUUUGUUUGUGUUUCCCUUUUUGGACAUAAAAGUCCACACAAGGUUGAAUAGCAUAUUUUGUUUCAUUUAGCCACUGCAAGUUUGGAUUGUGUUUGGGUUGGAGCUUUGAAUUUUGAGGGACUUUAGUUUUGUGUUGAGCCACGCUCUUAUAAUAUGAAGGAUGGAUACUGUUUUUUCCAAAACCAAACGCACAUCAGUUUUCUAAGAUUACAACAACUGUCCUCCCAGUGUAAAAAAAGGUAUCCUCAAACCAACCAAAAGAAGGGGAAUAUGUGAGCAAGAUUUAUAGUUAAUAAAUCAUCAAAAGUAAAUUAGAGUUGGACUCGAGAACUCUUGCUGAUGUAUAGGAAAAGCAGACAAGGUAUGGGAAUAUAAAUUAAAACAGCCUUUAGAUGAAAAGGGCUGCUACAACUGAUCCUACCUCAAAUGGCGGUACCAAAAUAUAGGACUUGAACCUCAGUCUUCUCCCUCGCCCGUUGUUCUUGGCAAUGUUAAAGUAUCUCAAUUCGUACACAUUCAUCUCCUUGUUUGAAGCAAUAACUCAAAGCCAAUCUCUAAUGUUGUGUUUCUUGAAAUUCUUCUUAGCCAAGUAUUUAAGAUUCCUCUUGGAGAAGUAGCUAUUGGAGUUGAUGUUGAUCUUGUUCUUGUCCUGAGUGAUAGUGACUGAGUCAUCAAGUGUCUCUGCCACCCCAGCUUUGUUGGUCUGAUGAGGUGAUGGCCGUGAUCUUGUCCUCAACUGGCAUCACACAAUCAAAUGGUCACAUCCUUAUUUUUUCCCUUUGGGCCACCAGAUGCGGCUGGUCGAUGACUCAUUCUGCUUCUGCUCUGCUACUUGUUUCCCUAACUCUGCAUCUGUAUAGAACAAUUGGCAUAAAUGGUGGAUACUAUUAAAUUGGAAAAUGGAGAUUCAAUCAGUUCUAUCAUUUUGACCUUUUGAUGUUUAGGGGAAGGUGGUAACAUAAAUUUACCUUCUCAGACUAUCCAUUAAGGUUGGUCUGAAAAGAAAAGGGUGGUCUAUCUUGGAAAACAUAUUUGGUUGUUCUCUUUUUUCUUCACUCUGUCUACAUUUUGGAAAUAUGAGUGCUAUCAUUGUGUGAGAGGUUUCUUUAUUGACAAAAUUAAUUGGAGUUCAACAUUUGAAGAAGUCUUUCUAUGACUGUCCCUUGAACUCCAAAGGUUUGCACUCCAUCCCUGUGCCAAACAAAUAGAUGCUUCUUAUAUAUUUUUCUCUGGAAUUGAGAAAGUAUUGAUGCACACUUCUGUUAAAUGCGUUAAAUUACGGCUUUGAAGCCAAUUUUGAAUGGAUAGCUGGCGUAGAAACUGCCAUUAUUGAUGAAAUUUGAUACUACUGAUGAUUUUUAAUUUUAAUUUUAUAUUAUUAUUAAUUUCGUAGCCUAAUUAUGUUCAAUAUCUUAAACUGAUAUUUGAAAUGAGAAUUGAAUUUUUAUCUUGUUUUUAUUUGUUUACUGACUAUUUCAAAUAAACUCGUUAUGAAGGAUGGAUGUUUGUGGGAUACCAAUGGGCACAUUUUCUAUUCUCCUCUUCCUUGCUGUGUCCCUUUGCCUGGAUUUGAAAACAUACGGUUUUGUGUUUCACAAUAUGAUGACAAAGACAGAGUAUUGUUAAGAAAUCUGUGUUUUGUACUUGGGGCCAAGUUUGUGGAGAAGCUGACAAAGAAGGUAACCCAUCUAAUAUGCAAGUUCACCGAUGGGACAAAUUAUGAGGCUGCUUGUAAAUGGGGGAAACAAUGCAUUACAGCUGAAUGGAUAUAUGAGUGUGUCAGCCAGGUACCUUUGCGAUUUUGUUGCUUUUCAAUUAUAUAUGUUCACGUACAUGCAUAUCCUGGUAGAAUUCUAGACCCAUUGGUGUAUCCUUCUAUUAGGAUUGAUGUUUUUUAUGUUUAAACUUUUGGUUUCCUUUGCAUUUGGUUUAAUCCUUAAUCGUACCAGAUUUUCCCGCCAGACUGUUCGCUUGUUGGUCAAGACCAUUCAGAAACUUCUCCAAUUGGUGCUUUAUCUAACCAGUGGUCAAAAAGGUAAUUUUUGCCGUUGUCUCCUUGAUCUUCUUAUGGAAAGACCAUGCUGAAUUGAAGUGUUUAACAAGAACGGUCGCUGCCUGGAAAUAUAGUGAGACCAUUCAACGAAGUCGUUAUGAAAGAGUUUAUUUUCACUAUAAGAGAAAUAUUUUUUUUUAUAUUCUUUUAGUCUCUACUGAUGAAUUGCUUCCUAGAACAAUAUAAUUUAUAAUUUCUUUCAAAAUAGGUUCGUUUGAGUAAUAGUGUUAAUUAUAAAACUCAAAUCACACCGUUUGCAAUGCUUGAAAACCAGUAUUCACAAAUAAAUGCUAUCCUUGAGCAUUAACUUUUUUCAUGGGACAUUUGCAAAAAUGGUAAAACAAGUUAUAACUUUAUUAUUUGUGAAAAUGAUCAAAUAAAGUCCAGCCCACCCAUAUAAAAGCCUGGAUUUGAUUAUUUUUGCUAUAUUUUCAAAAUCACAAACCUUAAAGACAUUUUUACAAAAUACCUAAACUAAUUUGCCACCCAAUAUAGUUUUCCUUUUUCAUUUUAGAAAAACCAGGUUUGGAAAUAAAGGCAGUAGGUUAUUUCUUUAAAAACUAGCCAUUAAAUAUCCCUGUAUUCUAAGUGGAUCUUAGCAUAAUGCAAGCUUUAGUGUUUUUUCGAGAAAGACUAUUAUGUUCAAACACAAUUCAAUUUUGCCUUUGUAACUUGGUUUUUGAGACCUUUGUGUCUUGUAUUUUCUCAGAGCUGAAAGAAAAGAAGAUGUCGGCAAUUCUACUACUGAAGAUGGGACUGUGGGCAUAUGUGAUGGCUUUAGUGAAACACAAACAGAGUCUCAGGUGUGUGCUAUGCAAUCCAGAAGGGGGAAUGCAACUAUACCCAACUCACAGGUUGAUGACGGUGAAUGGGAGCUGUAUCCACAAGUAACUGCUCUAUGCAUUGGAAAUGCUAAAUACUUUGGCGUGGUAUGAAAAUUGUGCAAAUGCCGAUCCUUCCAACAGGAGUCUAGAGGUAUAAUUCGUUUCUGUGGGAUUUUAUUUGAUCACUUUUUCCUUCCUUGUCUUCUUAACUAUGUGAUGCUUUUCUUUGCAGGUAGUAAUUCUUCAGGAUUUCAAGUGGUAUGACUUUAUUCUGAAUUUACACAAAAUAUACAAUGGGACAUAUUUGACGGUGAAAAACGUAACAUCAAGAAGGUUAGUCAUCUCUUUAAAAAUUAUAAUGUGCCUAGAUUUUCCAUUUUGUAUUUCAAUUUUUCUCUCUCCAACGGUCUGUUUUAUGUUCGAGACUUGUGGAAGCAGAGGUGAAGAAACUAUAAUUGAACUGGAUUUGCAUGGAGCAUUGUGAUUUUCAUUUCUGUCAAGUUUUUGCUUGAGAAAAACUUACACUCAAACUUAUAUGGAGAUGCUUUAUUUACCUAGCAGAGAAGCCCUAAGAAAAGUAAUAUUGUUAAACCUUCUUACUUCUGGCAUUCUGAUGUAUCCUCAACCAAAAUUAGAAAGUUAUAUGAUUAUCCUUUUUUCCUUGUUAAAUCUUUGUCAACGUUGAUGAACUCAAUUAAUCGAUAUCAAUGUAACUCAUCCAUGGUUGAACAUAUGAUUGAGCAUGAUUUCACAUUUCAGCUCCACCUCAUUAAAAUUCAUUGUUUGGCAAUGAUGCCCUUUUCUCAAUCAAAACUUCCUAUUUCUGCUUCUGAGCUUGUUCGUCUGCAAUGCAACUAUCAUCAGUUUAUUGUUUUGUUGUUCAAGCAGCGUUCGUUUGAUCGAAGUGGAAGAAGUUUCUUGCAGCGGCAGCAUAUAUGUUCAAUCUGAUGGGGAACACUUGGGGUUUCUCCAAGGAAAUUCCAUAUUCUACCAGCUGCCAUUGAAAUGAUAUGCUGAACAUGAGCUCCCUUUUGCGGAGAGAGAAAAACAAUAAGCAAAAGUUUCGUAGCCGUAGGACCCUUUUUUUCUAACGUGGACUCCUCUCUCAAAUUAGAGUAGACAAAGUAAGUUGUUAUUUUACUUUUUUUUGUAUCGAAACCUUCUUUAUACAAAAGUUUCAUACUUUCAUCCAUGGCCAAAUUAGAAAAUAAUGUUCACAAUUUCUUGUCUUGUUAAAUGAAAUUUCACAUUUUUUGAAAAUUUUGGAUUAUAAUUAUUUGAAAAAACAAAUUUUUUUUUGCUAACUUUACUGAAAAUUUUGUUGCUUUACGGGUUACCCUUUUAGUUAACGGUUCUUAUUAGACAAUUUUUUUACCUAAGUUUUUCUCUUUGAAAUUUGAUUUUUUUUAGUCUAAUUUUUUUUAAAAAAAUAUUUGUUUUAGUUCUAAUUUUUUUUUUUUUUUUUGCGUUUUAAAUGGGCUUUAUGACAAAUAAUUCAAAUGUUUCUUAAAUGGCCUUUUCUUCUCUAACUCCUUUCUACUUUUUCCCUCCUCCCCCCUUCUCUCUCUCUCAUUUCAAAUUUCUUCCCCCACUUCUUCUCUAACGGGCUUUAUGAAAAUAAGCUUGGCUUGUCUUAGAUAUACGAGAGAUAAAGUAAUGUUUUUAACUAAAAAUGCCUUAAACCAUCAAUGGUCUCAACUCCUCCCAAGACCUCUCAAAACCCUUACUCUCUUCUGGUCACAUGUUCCAUUAAAAAAAAAUCUAGUGAGAUAUUUCACAACCUUGAUCACAUAAGACUACAAUCGCUAUUUCAAACCAAACUAACUCUAAAGGGCUCGACAAAAGUUGGAAAUCAAGGUAGCAAACUGCCAUCUCUAAAGGAUGCGAUGUGAUCUAAUUCCUUAAAUGCUCCCGUGCUAUAAAUGCAUGGGUGCAGUCCAAACACAAAGGAAGAUUGUCCCUAUAUAUAAUCAUUUUUUAUAGGAAGCAUAUCUGAUAUAAUCUAUAAUGUUAACUCCCUAACGCAAAGUCCUUGCUUCUAAUUAUGCCACUCUAGAAACUUGACAUUCUUGGAAGUUUCUUCGUUUACCGUGAAGUGGAGUUGAUAGUAAUAAUAUUGAUGGUGUUGGUUGUGUAGAAACCAACCUAAACUGUAACGAACGAAACCACCUCAAAGUCAUGAAUCAUGGAUGUUGGAAUUUAAUCAGUUGCUUUCCUUGUUAUUAGUACAACUUCCCAUGCUAAUAAACCUUUUUGGUUGUUUGGAUGUGAUAAAUUGCAGUUUUAAGUAUCAAACUCCCCAUGAGUGUCGAGCAUUAUGAACUAGCUAGUGCAACAAUCUUGAUGACAUCAAUAUUAGAUCAAAGUUCUCUCUCUAUAUAUUUUUCUUUCUAUGUUUUGAUCUGAAUUUUGAAGUAUGUAGUAUGUGUUGGCUGAGGAUUCUAGAACUAACAGAUUUCUUUUUCUUUUUCUAGGUGCUGUUUAUGGUAUGAGGCCAUUAGAUUUAAGGUAAUACUAUCUCCCAUAAAUUCAACCAUGGCUCUCUAACUCUGUUAUGACAAUCUAAAGUUUCUCAUCAAAUUAUCAUGAAUAGUUAAUCUUUUUCAAGUUAACUAGUGUUUUAUCUAAGCAUCUUGAAACUAAUAUGAGAUUUCGGCACUGCCUUGCUAGGAAUUCUAUUAUCAUGGGAGAUUACCAAAGUUAUGUUUUAUUAGCAUGGGAUCGAAAUUCGCACUCAACCAACUUUGAAGUGAAAAAUAAAAUACUACAGAUUUUGUCCUUGUCGAAACAAAUUUCAUAAUCUUUUCUCAUAUUUUUAUAUUCUUCUUCAUGUCAUUCUAAAUGACUUUGAGGAGAGGAAAACUCAUAGAUUAUAGGAAAUUAUUCGUAUUCCUGAAUAUUUCUACGUUUGGUUCAAUUAUUCCAUUCUUAUUAUGUUAAGUUUUAGUUUUAAAAGCCCAAAGGUUUACAAAAAAGAAAAAAAAAAGACUUGAAACAGUUUUUGAUGAUGAUAGAUGAGAAUGAAUUAUUGACUAAACUUGUAUCUAUUGUUGCAGGUGUUAGGACUAUUGAAAAUUAGAUAUAUUGGAUAAAAGACAACACUUGGAAGUACUGCCAUAUUUGGCCUUUUCUUAGGGGCUGGGAGUUUGAUACAUUGUGGAAAGUCAUAUUAAAUCACAAGGUCCUGUAUUACAAGUUAUGUUUAUGUGAUUAUUACCUUAAUCUUACUUUUAGCCAGCAAACAAGAACAUUUAUUGAAGUCGUGGAUCAUUGAUGCACAACUAGGUUCGACAUUAUGUUUGGCUUGGCGUGCAUUCCAUUGAUACACUUCGUCUCGUGCAUUUUAUGAAUACUUUAUGCAUUCAUCAAUAGUAGGUAUCUUGAAAUCAUUAGAGCAAUAAACAUGUUGCAACCAGAAUUUGACCGCUUAUGUUAUGAUGCGAGCUAAAUUAUUUGUACAGGAUGGCCAAAUUCUUUUUAUUACCUUUCUAUGUAUAGUACCCGUCGUGUAUUUAAAUUCCAGAAAUGAGAAACAAGAGUUUCACGGAGAAAAUGAAUGCACUGGGACAUAGAAAAUGAAAAGCCAACCAAAGGAGUCCAAACUACUACAAGAGAUAAUUAGGCCAAAUAGACUAGUACAGAACGUGUUAGUGGUCGAGUCCCUCACAAAGGUGUUAUAUUAAUGACCUCUCAAAAUCUCUCUAAAAAGUCUAUUGUCUCUAUGUCACGUUUGACCUUGGAUUGGAGACCACCAAGGAUUGAACCUUUUAGAGACCCUCAAUCUCUCAUACCUCUAUCAUGUGGCUAUUGAAACCUUUAAUGGUCUUUAGAAAAUGUAUUUUUGUUGAUUAGGGAGGAUCGCUGUAAGGACUUUUUUUCUUUUUCCUCCCUAAUUUGGGAUAAUGUUGUUCUCUUUAACUCUUUUUACUCCAUUUGUUUCAUUUGAUUUUUCAAAUAUUGGUACAAGUUGGAUUUUGUUUCUCCCUUAUUAAACAUAAUUGAUUUUUUUUUCUUCAAUUCUUGACCUAUACCUUUCUGGUUGCUUAAGCUCAUAUGUAAGUUUGUUUUUUGUUGUAUGAUUGAGUUUUUCUUUUACUGUACUUUUGAUGUCUAUGCCAAUGAGCGUUCAAUUCUACUUGUACCAUGAUUUGCAGGGUUGACAUGCAAAAAUUUCUUAAAUGCUAAGCAACCCCUCACAGUGAGUGAAAGAGUUGAGAGUGAAGGUGAAAAUACAUCUUUCACUUCUAAAUCAAGUACUUCGAUAUCCAUGUUUUUUUUUUUAUAGAAAAACCAACUCAAAAUUUGACAACUAAAAUUUUGGAAUUUUGACUAAUUCCUACAAACACAAUAUUCUUAUGCUUAAAAGAUCAACAAAACAUAGUAAAAAAAUGGAAGAAAGUAAGUUUAAUUUUUUUAAAAAAAGAAAUUAAAAUAAUUACUAAGCAGAUGAAAUCUUACCUUUCAAAAACAUAAUUAAGAGAGCUUACCUUUCAAUAUCAUGGUAAAAGAUAUAUGAAUGGAUGUGUUAUUAUUAUACUUUAGUCUCUUGAUGGUAUAAUUUAGUCAAUAAUUUGAUGUAGAAAAUUGAUAGUAAAUAGAAAUUUGUAGAAAUAGAGAAAAAAGAACAUAUUGUCUUUAACUAUAACUAUCCCACAAAGAAACACAGAAACAAGGUUUAUGAAGAAAACAAAAAUUCCACUUUAAUCACAUUUAUCCAUUUUUUUUACAAUAAACUCCAUUUUAGACUUUUGGCAGAUCCCCACACCUUCACCACAACAUUACAAAUUAGUAAUAAUAAUAAUAGAGAAAGAAAGAAAAAGCUAAAUUUUUUAUAAAAAAAAUUCUACCCAACCAAAACAUGCAAGAAGUUGGUUAUAUAAAGAGAGUGAUUUUAGAGGAAAGCUCCCAAGUACAAAAGACCACUGAAAAGAGUGGCUCUCAAUUUAUUUUGUUUUAAUUUAUGAAGUCGAAAGCUCAAAUAUGUGCUUAGUGAAAUAUAAAUAUAUAAAGUUUCAUAUAACACUUGUAAUUAAACUUAGGACAAUACAAACCAAACCAAGAUAACAAGUUCACAAAAUAAAAGUAGAAAGUCAUCAAAUCGACAACUGGUCCAACAUUAUCUUUUAAGAGAACCUUGCAAUACUCCAAUUUAAGUUUUACCUCUAUGGCAUCCACCCUAUGGAAUAUGAUUUGCAUAAGCUUUACCUUGUCUCGAUUCCAUAGUUCAGGGAUAUCUUGCAGUUCUUUCACGACUUUAGCACGCAAUUCAACCUCUGUUACACACUUUUCUUUAAGUCAAUUUGCAAUUGCUUUUAAUUGUCAUUUCUAACUUCCAUUGCAUUACUUAUCACAUCUAUCCCUUCAUAUUGUUGGCCACUCUUUUUUCUCUUACUUUCACUUCAAUAAUUUCUUCUUUCAUCUGAUCAACCUGCACGUAUUUCUAACAUCUCAUCUGGUGACAUAUCAAGUCAUUGGCUAUACAUUGUCGGGAUGUCUUGAUCAUGUGAAUCACCCAAGGGAACACCAUCAUUAAAAUUGUAAUGCACAUUACAUCCCACAUCAGCAAAGGUCUCUGAACAUGCUCAUGUUGCCCGAUCUUUGCCGAAGACAUAGGACAGAUCAUCAUAAUGUGGAAAUGAUUUGUGUAGAAGGCUUUUGGCUCCAGGAUGACUCUAUACAAACAUAAUUCAGACAUAUUAGAUGAUGAUUGGGAUUAUAAAAGUACAUAAAAUUGUACUGUGAAAUUAAUACCUUGACCCAACUAUCAAACAACUCUCGCUCUACAACGAUGCAUUGAUACUCUUCGUUCCAUCCAAAGCUACACUUUAGAAAAUGUGCAAAACUUUAUUCCAAACUUUAUUCCAUGUACACUUUAGAAAAUUUGACUUUGCAAUUUCAUUACAAAUUAUUUGUUCCGCAUAUCAACUAUGUAGAAUUAAGUUAGGAAAUAAUUUUCAAACACACAUGAUUUAGUAUUGCACAAUUUCCGUGGAUAAUAAUAAGUUACAAAUAAUAAAUGCGAAAUCAUUCCAGGAAAGUAAUGAAUUACAAAUAUGGUCGUUAGAAAAAAAAAUAUUAAAAAUAAUUUGUAAUGCAUUUUAGGGGGUGUUUUUCAAAUAUUUGAAAAUGAGAAUAACACUUUCAAUUCAAUAAUUUACUUUCAAAUUUGAACAAUUAGACUAUGUGAUAAAUUUAAAAUUAAUUUAAGUAUUUGAACUAAAAUUGUCAUUUGAAAGUAUAACACACAAACUAUUUUUUUCAACGAUGAUUAAUUACAAAAAAAAAAUUAAUUAGAAAACUUUACUACACAUUUUUAUCACACAUUAUAGAGUCUACCUUUUUAAAAGGGUAAUUCAUAGGUUUAGGCAAUGUAAUUCUUUAGAUCAACCACACAUAAACUUACUUUGAUUACACAAACUAUUCUAAUCUUGGGCUAUUAUAAUUUGGUAUAAAAACCAUGAAUAACACACAAACUAUAGAGUGUUUAAGAAGUUUGGCUAAAUUAGAUUAUAUUACUGCUAAAUUUAUAAAUUUACUAAUAAAUUCCCAUAGCAAUAUUAUUAUAAGCAAAUGGCCAAGUAAAAUAAACAUAUUUUUUCUUGUUUGUCGUCUUGCGAUCUGUCUUUGAUGUGUAAGGUCAUCAGUUGUCACCACAUAAUGGAUCCACAAUAACUAGUUAUGAUACUUACCGUAUUUACAACUUCCAAACAUGAGUUACUUAUGACACUUUAAUUAUUAUUGGAUGAUCAUAAGAUGAUAGAACAUACAUCAUUUGAUAGUAGACAAUUAUCAUAUUUUCGACUAAUCCAUGAGUAUGAUCUUUCCUGUUGUCAAAGUACAAUAAUGAAUAGAAUAUGUUUUGCCAUUUUAUGCCAUUUACUUAGGACGACUGCUAGAUUAGUUGGAACAUAAGUUAUAGAUGUAGAAGAGAUGAUUGUCAUGUUCUUGCAUAUAUUAGCUAAUGACUUGAAAAAUCUAAUAAUACAAAGGGAAUUUGUACGGUCUGGUGAGACUAUUUCUUUUGAAUUUUCUGAUGGCAUUACUGCUUCCGUCCCCUGUUCGUACAUCAAGUUUGUCGAAUAUUCGUUACUGCCUUAGUAUAAAGGUAACCAAAACAAAAAAUUGAGAUCAUUGAACUUUUAAAAAUUGAGAAGAAUAGAAAAAAGAACAUCAUAUUCCAAACUUGUACAGGUGAAGGAGUAUCACAUAAGGGAUGAGUUUGAAGUAGGGAUUGUUGUGAGCAUCUUUGAAAGUACAUCCAAACAACAACAAAUGGAAAAUGGUUGAAGCCAAAUUGCUACAAAUAGAAGGACAAUUAGAGGUUUAAAUGCGAUGUGGAAGUAGGAAUUCCACACCCUUUAAAAUAAUUUCCAAUUUGAAUAAUUGGUGCAAAUCUAAUUAGUGUGUCUGAUUGUCAAUUCUAUCUAUACUUAGAUAUAUGUAUAUAUAGCUGAAACACUUACUAAUAUAAUAUCGAAUAUAUCUAACCUCCUCCCUAGAAUGUUCACCGAAGUUGGGCAUCGUUUUUUUUUUUUUUACAAGCGGCAUCAUUAGUAGUUGAUGUAUCAAAUUUGAGAAUAUAUGCAAUUAAAUAUUGUGAUAUCAAGGAAGAAAUGUCCAAAAGAGAAAAGCCCAACUGAAGAAGCAUGUAAUAUUUUUUUUCCACGUUUACUAACAAUCUCCUCAAAACAUUCCUAACUUAAUUAUUACAUGUGCAAUAUCUUGGCUUCACAUGAACCUUGUCCUUUCCUCAAGGUUGUACCAUGAAAAUUGGGGGCAAAAAUCAUCUAUGUUCGUUCAUAUGGUUUCAUGCUCCAAGAGCCCUUGCAACUUACCAAUAGUUCUUUGGUGUCGGAUUGGGGGUAUCCGACUAUGUUGGCUGGUUUUGCUAUCUAUUCAAAAUAUUUAGUUAGGAUUUUGUUUCUUUAGGGGAUGAUUUUGAAACAAAUGACACCAACAACAUCAAAUAGGGGCAAACACAAUUAGAUCAAGAAAAUAGCCUCAUAGGAAAGAGCUUUACUGUCAAGAUUCAAACCAAUGUACCACUUAAAAGGUGGAGCCUAGAAAAAUAACUAAUUGUAUUUAUUAGAUAAAAACUUAUGGGGUAAAAAUUAGAUCAAUUAUAUCUAUAAAUAUAUUAUUAUAGCUUCAUAGAACGAGAGUCAUUCUCCACUUGUGAUCUCUUCACUUGUUGCAUUUAAUUAUUUUUUGGCUUGAGCUCGUGAAUUCAGUCCUUGCUUCCAAUCUUUUUAGACUUAUUUGACAACUAAUCACUUUCUGCAUUUUCAAAUUUAAAGAAAAUUUAUAAAAUUUGGAUUGAACUUCAUAAACUAUGGUUGGAUUUGGAACUCAUUGAUUGACUUCAACGUUUAAGAGUCAUAAAAGACACAACUUACUUUCUCACCUGUCACCACUAAGCCUACGACAACAUCUUUUUAUAAGAUAUUCAGUUAAUCUUUAGAUUGUUUACCGAAUAAUCGUCUAUUGUUUUGUAAUUGAUCCCACCAAGCGCUUGCGCCACCUUGAAGUUUGAGAGCAACUAAUCGGACCUUCUUGUGUUCGGGUGUAUUGGCAUAGUCGAAAAAAAUUUCUACGUUCUUGAUCCAAUCAAGAAACUUCUCCACGUCCAUUCGACCAUUGAAGGUAGGGAGAUCCACUUUCAUACGUAUUUCUUGAUCUUCUUGAAAGUAUGGUCGAAGUCCAAGCCUUUGUUGAGGUUCUUGAUGAAUGUUCAGCAAGUUGUCUUCAUCGGAAGAGUCAGAAUCGUUUAAGAAAUGUCCAGGUACGUUGUUUCCAUACAAUCGAUUAUUGUGGAUGUGAAUAGAUUGAUUUCUUAGUAGUUCUUGGUUUACAGCAGGGUUUCUUGGUCUUUCUUGUCUUUCUUGGUUUGCUGCAAUUGGGUUUCUUGAUCUUUCUUGUCUUUCUUGGUUUGCUGCAAUUGGGUUUCUUGGGGGCUGAAUUGCUUCUUCUAAACGUUGGACAUGAAAUCGGGUAAAAAGGUUUGUUAAUUCUACUAACGAUUGUUGUAUAUCUGACUGCCCUUUUCGAAGUUCUUCAACAACUUGUUCUACCAACUGCAAGCGUUGGUUGAAGGAGGCUUCCGCGUCCAUGGAUAAGAGUGGUAGGAUCCAAGUUUUUUGAGGGAAGAGUGAGCUAGGAUCACGCUCCGAUACCAAUUGAUGCAGUAAUUGCAAAGCUAGAAACCUUUAUGUAUAAUGCCUCUUUUUUUUUUAUGUCUUAUUAAUGAAAAUGAGAAGCCUUUUUAUAGGCUGGAGAUUACAAGAGUUGUUAAACUAACUUGGGGUUGAGUUAGUUUAACUUGGAGUUGAGUUAGUUAUAACUAACUCAAGAUACAAAAUUGGUAAUUCAAAUAACUAAUCCUAAACUAUAAAAAUGGUAAUUCAAACCCCUCCUCUAGGAUAAAACUCAAGAAACAUCAAGAAGGGAGAUGUUCUACAUCAAAGUGUAGAGAACGAUUCAGAAUCCUUGGUGAAAGGAAUGAAUGAUAACUAAUGUGUGUUUAUGUGAAAUUGUUAUGUUAUGAGUAUGUUAAGGAUAAAGAAAGGUUUAUGCGAGAUAAAAUUAUUUGAUGCUGUUUAUGCGAAAUAAUGUUUAUGAAAAGGUAUUGCGAAAAGGAUUUCAUAAAACCUUAGUCUUUUAGACAUUCUUUCAAAAAUUCAUCUUCCAAGAUGAGGUGUUUAGGCCAAGUAGAGAAGAAGGCUGAAGGAUUUGCAGCGAGAUGACCAGACGUUUUGAAAAUAGUUAAGCAUUGGUUGUUUGGUCAAAGUGUUGUAAUUAUGUAUCAAACACAUGUUAUUAAUAAACAUCUUGGUAGGUAUUUAUUAUACUUGCUGUUUAGGUUGACCACCGUUGCGUUUUGAGUUUUGUUAAUAGUAUAAAAGGAGUUGAGAAUAAUAUUUUGCGAUAAGAAAAUUUCAAACUUGUAACAAACUCACAUCCUAUUCCUAAUACUUUGACAUUUUCGUUGCAGUACGGUUUGGGAUGUGACAUGUACACAUGACUGCCUAGCUUAAGUCAUCUCGUUGAGUAAAGCCAUCUCGCCUAAGCUCAAAUGGCCACUCAUGACAACUCUUUAUAUAGAGGUUUUCUUGCCUACACCUACAAAUCUUCAUGCUUGGCGCCUUGACAUGUUCUUGGAGGUUCUUACCUUACUACUUGGCCACAUAAUUGAAUCCUUAGAGAUUCUUUUGCCUUUCCUUUGGCCGCCUAUUAUGUCCAUCUUGCCUAGCGUUCCUUGUGUGCUUAGAGGUUACCUUGGCAACACCACACCUCUCAGCCACACACACACACACACACAACCUUGGCCAUCCAAUACCUUUCUUUAGAGGUUCUCAUGCUUUUCUUAGUCGCCUAGAAGUCUUGCACGCCUACUCUCACAUUUAGCCAUAUGUUGUACUUUGUUUUCCACCUUGACUUUUAAUGACACACAAACCAACUUUCCAAGGAAUUCCCUUUCAUUUUCCUAUUAACUCAUAUUCUCUUUUUUUUUAUCAAGUCCUUGCUAGAGAAAGUGGACUUUGAGUUGUUGGACUUUAGUAUUGCAUGGACAUUCAAUUUUGAAUGAAAAAUCCUUAUAAAUGGGGCAUUUGAACUAAUUUGAUGGGUUAACUAUUGAAUUUGGGCUUUCACACCAAAUGGAAUUUCUUUUUCUUAUUUACUUUUUUAAAACAAAGAAAAUUAACCACGCCCAUUUUUUUUCAUCUAUUUCUCUCGUCCGGUUCUUUCAUCCAAUGGGUCCCACAACUCGAUUAUGAGUCUAGAGGAUACUAAGUCAAACUUAGUGGUUGUUUGAAUAAAAUGCAGCUUCGAAUGUAAGUAUUCUAAAAACCUUUUUUUUGGUUUAGUCUUGUUAAUUAAGCCCAAUUAGGGUAGAAUUUCGAUUCUUUUUCUGUUGUGCAUGUCUUAGUUCUAUCAGUAACUCCCUUCAGGGUGAUAGCUCUCAUCAGCAGACUUUCCAUUGUUGGUUUCUUCCUGAGUCAUCACUGUAUUGUUGUUUUCCACAAUAGGUAGGGUGAGUUGCAGUUUUACAUGAAACGCAUUGCUCAACCCACACUCUUUUCUCACUAGUUCCUUAUUCUCAAUCUUCAACGCAAAUUUCAUCAUCUGGGCCAACCCAAUCGGUUCCACGGUUUCCACUUCCAUUUUUAUUCAUGGGCUAAGCCCAUUCAUCAAAGUCUCCUCUAACACUACCGUUUGAAGAAAUUCUACCAGAGCUAAAUAGCGAUCAAAUCGGUUACGGUAUCCUUCUACAUUCGUUUUCUGUUUGAUUGAGAAAAAUCUUCCAACCAAAGUUCCUUCUCGAAUUGAUCGAAACUGUACAAGCAUUCGUUCUUUCAGGGCUGCCCAAUUCUUAAAAACUUCCAACUCUUCUUGUGCUUGGUACCAAUCCAAUGCCAGAUCAUCAAAACUAAUAACGCCUGUGGUUAAUUUCUCUGAAUCGGUAAGAUCAUGUAUCUUAAAGAAGCGAUAGGCUCUAAAUGUGAGACCCAUUUCUAAUUUGAGUAAUGAAGUAAAAUUUGGCUAGGUAUUAAGAACUUGGCAUUUGAAUAAAUCCAUGAAAAGGAUUAAGUGAUAAAAAAUUUUAUGGUUAAGUAUACGUUAUUGCGAUUCAGUGGGUAGUUCGCGAAGGAAGUUGUGCGACUCAUUUCUAAUUCGAGUAAGGAAGUAAAAUUCGGCUAAGAAUUAAGAAGUUGGUGUUCGAAUAAAUCCAUGGAAAGAUUAAGUGAUAUGAUCUUUUACGGUUAAGUAUACUUUUUUGCGAUAAGUGGGUAGUUCGCGAAAGAAGUUGUGCGAUAAGAAGCGAAAAAGUCUUUGCGUAAGUUAAGAAAUGAAAGUUUUGAGUGUUAGACUAGGAGUUUUGGGUGGUCUUCGUGAGAAGAACCAAGUGUUUCGUGGAGAAGAAGUCUACGAGGAAGCCUUGGAGUUUAAGUUCACGAUAAGAGUUCUAUGCGAGUAAAAGUUGGUUAGUUCACGUGGAACGUUUCUUAUAAUAAAAAUAUAAUCAAGAGAUAAGGUUAUUCACGAGAAAUGUUAAGUGGUUGAAUUUAUUCACGGUUUGGGUUAGGCGGGAAGCAAGGUCUGUAAAGAAAAUGUCAAAUCUGAUUUGACAUGGGUUAACAUGUAAGAUAAAGGAUUUGAGCAUGACUAGGUUAAAUAUUAAGGAUUUGCAUGACUAAGUUAGUAUAAGGGAUCUAUAAAAUAAGAGAAUUUAGGUAACUAAGGAGGGGAUGACGAGAGUUUUGUUGAAAUGUUAAAGUGUUGUUGGUUUAGCCAUGCAAAAAGAUGGUUGUGAGAAGGACUUCUUUAGUAAAGUUUGGUGAGUGCUUUUCAGUCAAAAGAAUUUAUGUUAAGAAACUUUAUUACGAUUUCUCUUUACUCAUUUGAAAGAAGAAUUCAUAUAGGAAUGUUUCAGAAAGAUUUCUAUGAAAAGUUAUGUUUUCAAGCAUUAUUUAUAAUGUUAAAGCUUGAUUUGAUGACUAUGAUUUCAAUAUUAUGUUUCUUUGAGAUGAUGCUAACUUUUAUGUGCACAUAAAGAGUGAAGGCCACUAUGGAGUGUACGAACUACAUGGUAAUAAGAAGCUGACUUAUGCAUUGAAAUGAGCGUAUAAAGCUUAGCGGUAUGAGCAACAAAGACGAAUUUGUAUGUUCUCAGAUGUUGUUGAUACAGUAGUCUAAACGUGAGGUAAUGAGACCAAGCGUAGAGAACGAUUCGGGAUCCUUGACAAAAUGAAAUGAUUUUUUAAGCAUAAAGAAAGGUUUAUGCGAAAUGAAAUAAUUUUUCGGUAUAUUUAAAUGAUUUGAUAUUAUUUUUACAAAAUGAUUAUGAAAAGGUAUUUAUUGUGAAAGGUUUUCAUAAAACCUUAAAGGAUUUUUAAAAAAAAGUGGACCAUUCAACUUAGUUCCCAUCCACUAUCCUUUUCUCCAACAUGAAACUUUAUCUUAGUAAAACUUCUUGAUCCACUAUUUUACAAAAAUAUUCAAAACAAUACCAUACUACACCAAAUGUGAUAUUUUGGUAACACUUAAAAUGGUCAGAAAUACCAUUUUCCUGACUUUUUUUUCGUCGAUCAUUAAAGAAAAAGUAUAGAUGAUGUUUCACAAAAACUUCCAAACCAUUGUGUUAGUUAUCGUUUUGGAUGAGGGUUGGGGUAGAGCAUCAAUACUCAAAGGUUGUUAAGAAUUAAGAACUAAGACUUGAAGACGAAACCGCCUGCCUGGUUGACAACAACACCAUCCCACUAGAGUGCACAAUGAUGAUUUAUUGCAUUAAGAAGAAGAUGGUAGUUAACCUUAGUGCCAUAAUAAGAACCUCAAUCCUCCCUUUGAUGAAAGCACCUAAAGGUGUCAUGCCUUUCCCCUCGACCACAUUGAAGCUCUCUGUCUAACACUACAAGAAACGAGGGCUCUCUCGAUGCAUAAAAUCAUUGAGAGAUAUAUAAAAAGCGUCAGAAAAGGCUUUUCUGACGCAUAAAUAUACGUCGGAACACAAGUCAGGAAAAAUUUAUCGGGAGUGCGUCGAGAGUUUCUAGAGUUAGUAGAUAGGUUGUUGAGGAAAAAUUUAUUGUGAUGGUCAUGGAGGUGCUUUCUCGCAUGUUGAAUAGCCCGCCUCAAAAUUUUCAAUUCCACCAGUUUUGUGAGAAGGUCAGAUUAACUCAUCUUACUUUUGCAGAUGACCUGAUGAUCUUUUGUGCUGCUGAUAAUCAUUCUAUGAGUUUCAUAAAAGAGACUAUUAAGAGGUUUGGUGAGCUUUCGAGACUGUUUGCUAAUCUUGCUAAAAGCUCAAUUUUUCUUGUGGGGGUUAAUAGUUUGGAAGCUUCUCGGCUUGCUGCUAACAUGGAUUUUUCCAUUGGUCAUCUCCAUGUUCGUUAUCUUGGGCUUCCUCUCCUCUCUGGAAGAUUUCGGAGCUCCCCUUAUUCAGCGUAUUACGAGUCGUAUUCGGUCUUGGUCUGCUAGAGUGUUAUCUUUUGCAGGUAGACUUCAGCUUGUUCGCUCAGUCCUUAGGAGCCUUCAGGUUUAUUGGGCUAGUGUGUUCAUGCUUCCUAUGAAAGUCCACAGAGACGUUGAUAAGAGCUUGAGGGCUUAUCUGUGGAGAGGUAAGGAGGAGGGAAGAGGUGGUGCUAAAGUUGUCUGGGAUGAGGUUUGUCUUCCUUUUGAUGAAGGAGGUCUUGCUAUUCGCGAUGGAUCUUCUUGGAAUAUAGCAAGCACGUUGAAGAUAUUGUGGUUGCUACUUGUUAAAUCUGGUAGUUGUGGGUUGCUUGGGUGGAAUCAUAUAUCCUUAAAGGGAGAUCGCUGUGGGAGAUCGAUGCUGGGGUGGGUCGAUCUUAGUACUUUAGGGCAAUCUUGCAUAAGUGGGAUAUCCUUAAAGCUCAUGUUAAGAUGGAGGUGGGCAAUGGAAGGAAGUGUAGAGUGUGGUUGGAUCCAUGGAUUCAGGGUGGGCCGAUUAUCCAGCAGUUUGGGGAGAGGGUGAACUAUGAUGCGGGUAGUCGGCGGGAUGCGUGUUGGAAUUUUUUGUCCUAAAACUCGUAGUUUGUAAUCAUAUUCUGUUUCAAUAAAGUUGUUAUUGAGAAAUUAAAUAUUAUAAUCCUAAAUCCAAUAAAUCAAGUUCCAAGGCUAUUUUUUGAAUAAACUUGAACUUUAUGUGUAAACAUAAACGUGGAUCAAGUUCGAGUAUAUAUAGCCUAAAUAGUCUAUAGUAUAUGAAUUAAGGUUGGGCGCCUUAUUUAGAGAAACUAUGGAUGCGGCCCACUUUGUAGUACAAACGAGGUGAUCCUGAAUCGUUCAUGUAGAGACAUGAAAGUGGAGGCAUCCUAUGUAAAGUGUUUACAUAAGACUGAACCAUGAAUUAGUCUUUUUUUUAAGUUAUAACACUGUUUACUGUUUAAAACUGAUUAUCUCGAUUAUUGAUGACCUAGGUAACUUAAUCUUAAUCCUGAGUUAACUAUGAACUCCUGUUCACACGAGAUUAUCCUCAGAUCUGCAUAGGUGAGGGCAGCCCAUCAGCGUUGGCCCAAUAAGCCUCCCAUUUCAGGGGUAAGAUCGGGUGGAUAGUUGAGAGCAUAGGGUACAAGGUGGAAUUCACUCCUGCCCGCUUUAGGGUUAGUAGAUAGGUUGUUCUCUUAAGCACUGAAUCCAAGUCUUGAACAAGGGGCCCACCCUCUCAUUGGCCCGAGAGGGAUUAAGUUUAUAGGUUGAACCUUAAACCAAUUGUUCAAUAGUGGAUUAGUGGGACUUAAGGAGCAAGAUGUAAUCUUGGGGGUAAAACGGUAUUUUGACCCAGCCAAGGUUACGAGCAACCUGUGAAGGAUUAACUUACUGAUUAUGGUUUUAUCAAAUGGACACAAAUAUAUCUAUAGUGAGGGGAGUGUAACUACGAGACUUUAGUGGAAUGACCCGUUAGUUAACGAAUGUUGAUUAACUCGGUCUAAAAGAGUUUAGCUAGUUAAUCUUGAAUCGUUGGAGUCCAUGAUCUAUAGGUUCAUUAGGUUCCCCUGCUAGCUCAUAUGGAUUAAACUUAGAACAGUGUGAUGAAAUAAGUCGAAUUGUUCGAAUUGGGAGAAGAAAGAGAAACCGACAAAUAUAGUGAUAUAGUCGUCGGUCUUCUAAUUAGAAAUAGAGCUUUAUGUUUUACAUACUAUAAGUAUGAAUCCGGAUUCAUACUAAGAAGCUCGGAAUUGAUGGAAUUGGUCAAAAAUAGUAAAAAGUCAAAAUGUUGACUUUUGACUUUGAAAAGUCAAACUUUGACCGGCCUUAUAUUCAAAUGUGAUUUGAAUUUUGGAAAAAUGAAUGCGGAUUCAUGCUCGGGAGGUUGGAAUUAGUCAAGACGGACAAAAUGGUAAAAAGUCAAAAUAUUGACUUUUGACUAAGAAAAGUCAAAGUAUGACUUUUGACUUGAAAUAUCUAAUGACCAUUUUACCCUUGGACUAAGUUAGUGGAAAAAUCCAACAUUUUGUUGGAUAAUCCCACUAACUCUUAGUGGGAUAUGUGGCUAUAUGAGAUGUAGACACCUAGCCCACUAAGUUCCACUAAUAGUUAGUGGAACAUUAGGUGUUGAGAUUUGGCAAAUUAAUUACAUGCAUUUUUGCAUGUAAUUAGGUUAUAAAUAGGGGAAUUUUCAAAUGGUUGAAGACUUUUGCCUUUUUUAUUAUCCUCCAACAUCUCAACAAAAGAAAAAAAUUCUCUACCAUCCAAUCCCAUUUUAUCUCCAUUUCUUUCUACACCAAAUUGGGUCCCACAACCCAGUUCUUUGUCCAAGAGGAUAGUAGUUGAGUACUAGUGGUGGUCUCGGUUUGAAUUGACAAGAAGGUAUCAAAGUUUUUUGAAAGCUUCAAAGGCAAUAUUUCCUAAAACCCUAACUUGAUUAGUUUAGGGUUACAUGUUAAUUGUGGCAAUUAGGGUAGAAAUUCGAUUCCUUUUUCCGCUGUGCAUGUCUUAGUUCUAUCAAUGCGAGGCUGGUGGAUUUCAUGGGUCAGGAUGGUGAUUGGAGGUGGCCGUUUGUUUCUUUGGAUUUGAUGGACAUUUGGGAUAGGAUUCAGGGAGUGAGGCCGAGUCCGAGUGUUGAGGAUAGGUGGGUUUGGGUGCUGGGGAGUCAUGAUAGUUUUUCGGUCGCCAGUGCGUGGGAGACUAUUCGUCCUCAUAAUAGUAGGGUUGGCUGGUCGAGUUUACUAUGGGGUGGGGAAAUAUUCCUAAGCACUCCUUCUGUGCUUGGUUGGCCAUCAGGGAUAGGUUGGGUACUAGAGAUAGGUUAAGUCGGUGGGAUAGGUCGAUUCCUUUAUCGUGUUUGCUUUGUGGAGGGAACUAUGAGUCUCGUGAUCAUUUGUUUUUUUCUUGUCAUUUUGGGUGGGAGAUUUGGUCGAGGAUCCUUUUGCUUAUGUCAUCUUCUCAAAGAAUUGGUUAUUGGGGGUUGAGUUAUCUUGGAUUUGUAAUCAGGGUAUUGGGAAGAGUGUGAGGAGAAAACUGUGGCACCUUCUCUGGUGUGCUACAAUUUAUUUCAUUUGGCAGGAGCGAAAUCAUCGUCUUCAUGGAGGUGCUGUUCGAGAGCCUAUGGUUGUAUUCCAGCUGAUUCGGUCGUGUAUUAAAGUGUGUGCUGCUUCUUGGUCCGAUGGUGUUCAUGGUCUUAUUUAAUGUUCUUUUCGUUUACUUGUCCCCGGGCUGUGGGGUUUCUCUUCUCUUUAUUAUCUCUGUUGUCUUUCUCUCUUCUUCUUGUCCUUUUAAUGUUUGGAACACUAGUUGGUUUCUUUUGGUUUUAGUUCUUGUCCCCGAGAUGUGGGGUUGUUUUGGGUACUUAUGGGUUGUUUUGUCUAACUACUUGUUCUGUGAGUGUUGUUCGCUCUUGUGCCUUGACCUCAGGCUGUGAGGUCCACCUUGUUGUUGUAUAAUAUUAUCAUUACCUUUAAAAAAAAAAAAUCAAACUCAAUGCUAAGUUUGACUGCUUCCUUCGAAGUGACAACAAGCCUCGUUUUCGCCCUACUGUGGAUCGAGGAGGAUUCCUCCUCUUUUCAAAGCCCUCAAUCAAACUUGACGUUAUGUUUAAAACACUAAAAAUAGAUGGUCGAGUUUUGGUUAGGCCAAAAGCGAUGUUUUCCCCCAAAAGCUCUAAUAGCUAGGGAACUCAACAUGUUCUACUUAACCUAACCGACUUGACUCUGUAUUUUUUAUGAGCUUUUUUAAUGCAUAUUGCAUGUGUUUUUUUUUUUAUAAUUGUUGAUUGUAAAGUGGUCUGCAUUUACGAGCCUCUUUUCUUUCUUUGUUAUGAAAUGCGGUAACUAGGCGUUGCUAGAACCGAUGGGGUAACAUUUCUAUGGUUCUACACUUAGUUUCUAAGUGUGAUUGCUCACCUCUAAUUUUCAAAACACUUAAUUUCUAAGCACAUACAAUGUUCACCUAGAAAAAAAUGAAAAUUGUUGUAGUUAAGAUCAAAACUAAAUAGUUAUGAAAUAAGACAUAAGAGAUUCGAUUUUAACAACCUUCCCGUUGUACUUGGGAUCCACUCUGGCUUUGUGCUGGAAAAUUGGUUUAGAGCUGAUCAUAAGCUUUCAGUUGCUCUUCUGUAACCUUUAGAUACUCUUCAAAGCUAUAAGCUUUGCUUCUUGACAAAGAAUCUUCUACUAUUAAUACAUAAGAAAAUUCUAUUUCAUAAACCCUGUAUCAUAAUUGAGGCUGUAGAAUGAUUAUUCUAUAACCCUACCGAUAGUUUCAUUCUUAACAUUCAUAGACACGAUGCAUGGCAGCUAUCCAAUUCUAUUUCAUGUUCUCGAGAAUGGCUCGGUUUAACAAUAAUGUUAAUUUUUGUUUUCUAUUUUAAAAUAAUAACGCUGCUUACUAAUCUUUUUUUUUUCCAUUUGGCAUUCUACUUUUUCUACUCAGCUUUCUUUCCCUAGUGAUAACAAAUAAUACGGGUGAUAAAAAACUUAAUCACUCACUUGGUUCAGCCACCGAAAGCCCUUCUGCUUUAGAAAUAGAAGAUGGGUUUGAGUAGGUAGAUUUACUUGCAUUGUAUGUGCUGUUCAUUGAACUCUCAAUUUCAUUGAGACCAAUUUCUCACUCAAACAUGGUCUUGCAUUCUCUAGAAACGUCCUACAAACAAAAAUGAAGAACAAAAAACUACAAUAAGGUCUAUGAAAAAGUUAUAAAGGAAAAUCUCAAAAACUGAUAUGUAAGUCAUAACAACCUUAAGUUCUCUUAUCGUGGGUUAAAAUGCACGUAAGGUUUUUCCAAGAGUCCGAGCAACCAGCAUGUAAAUAUGAGGAAGUUAAGUCAACUAAAUUUGUUUCUAUAAAUUUACUCGUAUUAACAUUAUCAUUGUUAUAGACUUGACAACUUCAAAUUUAUCAAUAUAAAAUAUGCUUUAACAAAACGUACCUUGAGGUUCCUCCAACCUUAUUAAAAAAGAAAAUAAUCCAACAAUUUAACAAAUUUAUAGUGCAUAUUAUGUAUAUCAAUUGAUCACAACAAAAUAAGAUCGAACAAAUACCCAUGAGUAAUAUUUAGCCACCAAAUGAAUAAUGAUGAAAACCUGAAAACAAAACCGAGAAAAAAAAAGGAAACAAUUCAUCAACAAAACAAAUUUAGGGGACUAAAAAAUUGCUUACCUUAUUACACACUUCAAAAUAUUAAGAAAAGUGGAGGGAAAAAACCAACCAAUAAUCAAAAAAUAAACUUCAACACAAAUAGCCAUAAAUUUUCUUCUUUAAAGGUAUCACAAAUAAGUCCAUCAGUAAUAACAAAAUAAAAAAGGGCAAUGUGCAAUUGAAUUCUGCAGUCGUAAAGCUAUGCUAAAGGCAGUAUGAAAUCAAACUUGAGCACUAACAAGAAAAUUUGCAAAACAAAAAUUACUAGACAUCAUUAACUAAAGUACCAGCACAACAAUGAAUGUGUAACCUCCGCAAGAGCAAACCCGAAUGGAGAAGAACAUGAAGAAAUAUAUAAAUAGAAGAAACAUAAAAGACAAACAUGAAACACAUGGAAACAUACAAAGGGGAUAAAUAAAAGUACAAUUAUGAAGUGAUGAAGCACAAAUACAGGUACCAACAGAACUAGAAUACAAGUCUUACCCUAUCUCGACUGUCGAGGAGUGUUAACCAACCGUCAGAAGGUUGGUUUUAUUUUUUAGAAAAAAUUAAUGUUGUCUGAAUUCUUUUUCAAGCCACUAACCAGCCCCUCCUUAUCUAUGAUCGGCGAUCAACUCCUCAACCUCUAAUUACAUUUAAAAGAGUGAUGCGAACAUUGUGUGAAAUCCCAAACCUUUGAUGGAUCCCACCAUCACUCUCUUUCUAUCCCCUUCAAAACCUCAUUAUUUUCAAGAGAGGCCUCAAAGCUUCUUCCAAUUAACAUAAAAGAAGAAUGAAAGAGAAGGAGAGAAAGGGAAAGUGGUUCAAAAGCUAUGGAAAAAAAAGUAAAAGAACAUGGUCUACUCAUUGGCACAUCUUACACAGAUGAUAAUGUUAGGGCAAGGCAAUGAGAGACAGAAUGCUUUUGGAGCCUUCUCCUCUACUUUCGAAGAUUUUAAUAAACUAAAAUAUGCAAAUGUUACAAGAAAGAUCUUUGGAGAUUUGAAAUAAUCCAAAAUAAAGAAAAAGGAAAACCCCAAUAUGUACAAAUUUCAGAAUCUAAAACUUGAAAAGUGAUUGAAUGAUGAGAUAUGUUUGUACAAUCAAUUAUAGAGACAGUGAAAUAUUAAAAAAAAAUGAAACGUACCAAGAUAAAAAGAAUAGCAACUAGUAUUAUGACCUUUGUAUGUCUUCAAAAUACAAACAUCAAAAUGAAUCAAGAGAUCUACCACACAAAUAAUGGUAUCAACACAAAUAAAGCAAUUGUUUUAUUGAAAAUAUUUGAGUACAAUUAAACUAAGCAUGCUAUUGUCCUUGACAAAUUUACAUUCUUCUAAUCGAACAAAAUCUGACCUUUAAAUAGUGAUAGAAACUGAAGAUGAAAGCAAGUUCAGCUACAACUUCAGACCGUGAUAUAUAUGGCAGAACCUAUAAAAAAAAGAAGAAUACCUAACUAUAUAUACACAGAGGAGAUCUGACGCUUACUAGCACAUCGGAGGCUCAAUCGAUUUAUAUUUAAUUGAAAGACAAUACCUAUAUUUUAAUGCAUACACAUUGAAUAGCCCCUGUUUCAAUCCAAUUUACAAAACUACCUCCAUAAAAUUACAUAAUGGGGGAAGUUCGACCGGAUGCACUGUGCUUUACCAGAACCACAUGAAAUUAUUAGAACAUAGUUCAUUCAAGUAACUUUCUAUUCAAUAAUUGAAACAAAUGGAAAGAGGACAAUUGAAUAUUAAAUAAAGAUGGAAUUAAUUGGGAACUCACGGAGUAAUGCGAUUCGUUCGGGGCUCACCGCUGGAGUUGAAAGAGAGACAAGGAUUAGAAAGGAAAGGAAGAGGAGCGUCUGAUAAUCCAGCGGAUUCUUUGAUGAGUGGAGUAGUAGUAGUAGUAGUGGAGGUUCCAAGGACAUUGAAGUCAAUCCGGUGAGAGUGACGGAAUCCAGAAGGUUGAGGUUGAAGAGAGUAGAAAUUGCAACCAAAAUCGGUGAGGAUAGUGGAUUCGAAAUUGCGAGGGAAGAAGAAAAGAGCAUCACAAGUCGAAGUAGAGGAGGAAUCAACACUGGUUAAACUGGUUUUGGUUGUACGAACAAAGAAGAAUUAGGGUUUGAGAAGAGAAAGGGAAAAUGGAGUGUACGAACAAAGAAGAAGAAGAAGAAAUGGAAAGGACGCGCUAAGAGAAGAAGAUGGAGAGUGAUGGGUGAAAUGGGUAUGAUAGGGUUUCGAAAAUGGAGUGUACGAAGAAAUGGAAAGGACGCACUGAGAGAAGAAGAUGGAGAUUGGAUCCGCGACUGAGAGAAGAAGAUGGAGAUUGGAUCCGCGACUGAGAGAAGAAGAUGGAGAUUGGAUCCGCGACUAAGAGAAGAAGAUGGAGAUUGGAUGCGCGACUAAGAGAAGAAGAUGGGGAUUGGAUCCGCGACUAAGAGAAGAAGAUGGAGAUGGAUCCGCAAAAUGGGUAUGAUAGGGUUUCUUCCUUACAGAAACGGAAAUUGAGAGAUAGGCCAAAGAAGACAAGAGAGCAAGAGAGAAGGGGGGAGGAGAGGGAGACUUGGCGGUUAGAGAAGAGGGGAAAGAAAUUUGAAAUGAGAGAGACUCUACAUGUAGGGUUUUUAUUAUAAUUUUUUUUUUUUUUGAAAUUUUGCUUAAUUGGAUCUAGAGAAUUUUGCGUAUCCGGUUCACCGACUCAUAUUAGCCGUCCAUUCGUCCAUUGUUUUGUCAUUUUUUUUCAACAAACUAAAUGUUUUAAGCCAUUUGCAAAUUAGAUUUUGAUAAAUCGAUAAUCAUAUUUUUUUACAAUAUAGGACUAAAAAAACUAAUUUAAUAUAUAUAUAUAUAUAUAUAUAUAUAUAUAUAUAUAUACAUAGAACAGUAUUUAGUUAAAUUACAAAAAAAAAGAAAAAUUCUUUUGAAUUUUGUAGUUUGUGUAAAAAAUUAACCUUAAACUUUGAAAAGUUAAAAAAAAAUUGUUUUGAACUUUUAAAAAUUAUUCAUAAAUACAUCUACAUACGUAAGAUGAAGGUAUUGGCAUGCUUCUCUAAAAAAAACUUUCCAAAAAGAUGUCGUGUGACUUUUGAAAAGAAAAAUUACAAACGCGGUCGUUUUUAAACAAACUAGAUAUAUCAAGUUUUUUUUUUUUUUUUUUUUUGAGGUGAGGGAAUCAACCUUUCUUCUUCUUUUUAAUCCCUUUUACUUUUAGUUUAUUUCUUUAUUUUUUUUCCUUUUUUCACAAUUUUGUCAUAUUCGUAAUAUGCACAAAAUAUGUGUCAUGAACUUUUUUUUUUUUUUUUUUGUCAUUUGAUGCAAUUAGUCUUUUUCUUUUAAUGUUUUAAUUUCUUUAUAUUAUUCGUACUUCUCAACCAAAUUUAUUUUAAUUUUAAAAAUCCUAAUUUUAGAACUAGAGUCAGUUUCGAAUACAUCAUUUAAAAAUGAGUCAUUUUGACAAAGUUAGACUUAAACAUGCUAAGUAAGCUAUUCACCACCCCCACUUAAAAGCUAAGCACAUAUUCAUCAAUUAUAUCACAAAUAUAUCCACAAACCCGAACUCAAUGCUCAAGGGUUGACAAUCACGCUUUUUAUACAAGAUCUAAGUAAGCUAAGAAGCUAUAAUGCUCAUUAUUUUAAGAAAAAAAAUUUUAAAAGUUUUUAAAUUUGGGCAAAAUUUGAAAUCCCCUCAAGUUUAGAUUAAACGUGCAAGCUAAGUAAGCUAUUACCCCCACUUAAAAACAUGUUUUGUCCUCAAAACUUUUGAAAAUCAAAGUAAAGGAAAGAAAAGUAAGGGGGAACAUUGGACUCCCCUAGAAGGAUUAACAUCCUUGACUUUGGUUUGAAGUUUGCAUGGAUAAGGCUCUCCAUUCCUUUUUCAGUGAUUUGUAUUAAUAAAAUGAAUUUGUAUAUAUAUAUGAAUGAACACAAGUUUUCCUUAUUUGAACCCAAGUGCAAAUCCAAAUAAGGUUUCUUGGUGAGUCUAGAGUCGAACGUGAGGACUUAUACUAAAAAUAUAUUUGUAUUUUAAAAUGAUCUUAAGGUGAUUAAUAACAUACGCAACUUCAUCCACCUGCAAGGGGGGAGGGGAGUCAUCCACUAUAGAUAAGCUCCACUUGUCUCCCUCACCCAACUUCAUAAGGCUGCCAAAAGAGUUAGGCAUAAUCACAUCCACAUGUUUACCCUUCUUUCGAACAUAAACCAACUCUCUUUUCUUCCUAAUAACGAGUAAUUUCAUCUCGAUUACCUACCUUCUUUUCCUUAAUAUGCCUAAUGGGGGAGCUAUUAGUCUUACUUUCCUCCAACUGUUUAAAGUCUAACACCACAUUCAUAAGACACAAUUGUCAGUUCCUCCUCUUUGUUUGAAACCACCUUGCUCACAUCCUCCUCUUGAUGAACUUUGUUUUCCACAAUCUUAGGACACUUACCACUAGAAUGCCCAAAAGACCGGCAUAAAUUACACUUUCGAGGCUUCCACUCGUAAUUCACAGUCAUAACGAAAUCCUCUCCCCUAAGUUGAAUUGUAAAUUCAGCAGCCAUAGGAGAGUCCACAUUUGAUUCAACACAUACUCAAGCAUGUGACAACCUUCUCUUAUCGAAUUUUAUGUUGUUGUUGAAUUUAAAGAAAUCAAAUGAUUAUAAAUCAACUUUUAAAAAAUUAAAAAUUUGUUUCUAGACAUCCAUAUUCUUACCGAUUAAAAUUCAACUUACAUAUUCUCUUUUUUACUUAAUAUCUAAAAUUUACAUAUACUUUAAAAUUUAUUUCUUGUCUUUUCAUUUUUUUUCUCAUAUUUCAUUUUUCAAGAUUUAAAUAGUUUUUUUGUUUUAUCUGUACUUUUUUGAUAGGUUAUGAGUUAUGAGUUAUGAGCUUAUAGUUUAGCAUUGUUAGGUCGUUUUGAAAAUUCAAGUGAUACUCCAAGGUUAUUCUUGGAAUAUUCUUUUACAUUAUAUUUGUUAAAUCACUAUUUAAUUUAUUAAGAGCUUGAUAAAUAACCACUAAACUAAAACCAUAGAGGAUAAUUGAUAGACCACUAGUACAUGUUCUAUCACUAACUAACAGACGGUAAAACUUUGUUAUAUUUGUGAAUAUCUUCAGCAAUUUUAUCAUUUAAGACAAUUUUUCGUAUAAUAUCGACAUGAACAUCGUAAGAAAACUCAAAUUAAGUAAGUUAAAUUAAAAAAAAAUUGUAUGAAUGUUUCGAGAACCAUUAAUUAUAAAUUCAACAUUUUUGAAUGAAAAAUUGGAUUGGUUUGUGGUGACGGCUAACAUGCAUGUCUAACAAUUAUUUUCAAUUUCUAAUACUUUCAUCCAUUGCCAAAGUUGGAAACUAAUGUUUUUAUCUUAUUAAAUGAAAUUUCACAUUUCUUGAAAAUUUUGGAUUAUAAUUAUUUGAAAAACAAAAAUAUAUAUUUUUUGCUUUAUCGUUACUGAAAAUUUUAUCUCGUAAAAUUUGAUUUUUUUAGUCUAAAUUUUAAAAACAAAAUAUUUGUUUUAGUUAUAAAGAAAUUGUUUUGGGUUUUAAAUGGGUUUUAUCACAAAUAAUUCAAAUAUAUUUUAAUCCCUCAUCUCCCCUUCUCUCUCACUCACGUUUCAAAUUUCUUCCCCUACUUCUUCUCUAACGGCUCUCUCUCUCUCUCUACUUUCUCGUCCUCUCCCUUCUCUUAUCUUCUUCGUCUUCCUCAAAAUCGCCCUAACAGCGUCGGAUUUCUCAACUGUCGAUCGAGUGACAAUCAUGCCUGCCUGCUUGACAAAGCCUUUUCGGUCUACCAAUAAAGGAAAAACGAUUGCUGGUGACACGAAAGCUGUGCUCAACGCUCUUUUUCCUAUUCCACUGCGCGUCGUGGUCUUUCCCUUGCUGGUUGGAUGACUACUAUGGACGAAGAGCACAACUACUUCCAGUCUCUGAUCGAUAAGUACCCAAGGAAGGUAAAUUCCAGCGGAGAAAGUCGAGAGCUCCUUAGUUGAUCACAAAUCCUUCCAAAUUCUUUGUUCGUAGACUAAUUUGAAAUCCUUCCAAAUUCUUUGUUCGUAGACUAAUUUGAAAUCCUUCCAAAUUCUUUGUUCGUAGACUAAUUUGAAAUCCUUCCAAUAUGGAUCCAUGCUGUCUUUUAUAUCCAUAAGAUACCAAUUAGAUUGUGUUAAUUAUUGUUUAUAAGAAAAUAUUUGUGUGCAGAGUUGCAGUGGGUAAAUCUUAAUGGCUGGCAGAAAAUUGGUUCGGGAUAUAUUACUCUCAACACAAAGUAUUUUUUAUCAGUUUACUUCCCAUCGGGUAUUUGCUCUUCCUAUGCUUUAUCCUUAUCCCAUCUUUCUCCGCUCUAGUCUUCAUAGGAUGGAUUUCUGUGGUGUAAAUUUAUUCAUCUACUUUGUUUGAUUUAUGGUUGCAUUUAGGGAGAAGGUAAAUUACAUAAGCCAAAGUAGUUAUGGAAAACAUCUCCAAUUUACAGCAAGUUAAAGAAAAAAAAGAAAGAGAAAAACAGCAGUUCAAAAAAACUGGGCAUCUUGCUUCUUUCUUAUUGAAAGUUCUGCCGUUCCUUUCAAGUCAAAUUGACCACAAAAUGCUCAAAUGAGAUUCUUCAAUAGUAAUAUGUAACAAAAAUAUAAUAUGUAAAAGAAUUUUUUUGAAACGUGGGAGAGAAGCGAUAACAUUAUCCUUCAAAAAAUUCAGGAGUAAAUAUUUAUGUGAAAGGACAUAUUAUUUGGCCAUUUGACCUUAUUUGUUAUUGAAUUAUUUGGUUGGAAAUGAUAAACUAUACAUUAUUGUUUGCUUCAGUUGUGAUCUUGAUUAUGGGCUAUUUGGUAUUUUGCCUACAAACUGUAUAGUUAAUUAUCUGUUAGCUUUUGUUUUCCUGUCACAACUUUAUGUUUAUGUGGCUAAUUGUAGCCGAAAGUUUUAUUUAUCAAUCUUAUUUUUCACAGCAUAAAUGAAACUGUGUUUCAAGAACAAGGUGCCGCUACAUCAUUCAAGGAAAUUCGUCGUAGAGGUCCGUAAGUUUUUUCCUUUGGAGAUGUGAUACUAACCUGUUUGAAUAAAGGAAUCUGACUUGGUCUUUUCCUCUUUAACAUUAUGGAUUAGGUCUUUCUCUUUACCAGAUUUCGUAGCUGAAGUUUAUGAAGUAAUCAAACCGGUGUUAACUUCUUAUAUAAAGGUUAGUGCUAACUGCUAAGCUUAUUUCUAAGAUGAAAGAUGCUUUUAUCCCCUCCCCAAAGAAUAUCAUUACUAUUUAUGUUGUGUUUCUGCUAACUAAUUCUUGCAUAGCAUCUGGUUUGAUAAUUAAAAUAAAGUUUCUGACAUGGAGGUUUUCAAGUUGUAAUAUAUAUUUUUAUGUUUUAGAUAGAUUCUCAAACUUUGAAGAAACACUACAGUACUGGGGUAAUUGAAUGUUGUAAGGCAGAGCAUCGGGCUUUCCAGAGCCAAGGUAUCUUCUUCGAUAACAAGGUAAGGAUAGUCCUGAUACUACCUUUCUUUUGUUAUUGAAGUUUAUUGUUCCUUUUGUUGGGGCUUGGUGGUUGUGCACCUAUAUUGAUUUGUACUUCUGUUAAUUAAUUAUAGUCAUUCUCUCUUGUCUGAGUAAUUAUUGUCAACCAUUUUGUUAGCAAAGGCUUCCCAUGGAUAUUCAGUUUGUUGUGCUGCAUGUCCACGAUGAUUUUCGUGAUUUUAGUUCUAGAUACAUAAAAAGGGCCUUUGCAUCACGACAUGAAUGACUAUUUUUUAAUAUGAACCUACAAUGCCCCAAAUGAAUGCUGGAUUAAAUUAGAUACAGGGUAGAUAGAGAGUGAGAUGGAGAGUGUUUGUGUGCUUUAGAGCCAUCUGUCCCUAAAACAUAGUUUCUUCCCCCCCCUAUAAGAAGUAAGUUUAUUGAUGUAUGUAAUUUACAAAAGGUUUGGUGGAACACCUACAACAAUCUUUUUGAACUUUUUGGUAGGUUAUGAAUUACGAACUUGUAUUGAAUAUUUGUUAGGUCGUUUUAAUAAUUCAAGUGGUGCUUAGAAAAUGCAACCGAGCUUAAACAAUUCUGCACAUUUUUCUAAAAUUUUUAGUUUAACCUUUUUAAUAAAAUUCGAUGGAAAAUCUUGUUUUCUUUUUGUAGGAAUAAAGGAAAAUGAAAUAUAACCAAACUUGGGAUCUUUGCAAGCAAGCUUCCAUGAAGAAACUAGGUUACAAGGGGAGGUCUUCUGUUCUCCUUUUUCUUUUUUUUUUCCAUCCGUAGAAUCUUGCUUAAAAUGCUUUGAGGACAAUGCAUAUUUUUAAGUGGGGGGUGGGGUUGUAGCCUUGCACAUUCCAUGUCCUUUGGGAAAUUUUCAUUUUGCAAAUUUUGCUAAAAAUGUCAAAAUUUAGAAACUUUUGCAAUGCUCUAUGCUUAGAAUAAGUACCAUGUCUACUUCGCUUUUUAGCAUAAAAAAGCAUGUAUGCCUAACGCAUGAGAACGGAGCUCAGAUUUGUGAUUGUAUUUGUUAUUUGAAUAUGUUACAUAUGUUGAAAAUGCAUAUAUUGAUAGCUUAGAAAUGAGUAGAACACUUGGUUCAUUUUCUGAAUAUUGUGAAUUAUGUACAUAAUAUAUGUGCGGUUCUCUUUUUUAUCUCAAUUUUAAUCCCCUUUUUUGCCAUAUUCUAAUGCCUUUUUUAUAUUAAUUUUAAAUCCCUCUUUUGGCCAUACACAUUUGUAUAAGAUUGUUUGAAAGCAAAAUAUGAUUGUUAGGUCAGGUAGAAAGCAAAGUCGGCAAGUUCUUAGAGUUCUUCACCCAACAUAACAGCCGAUAAAAACAAAACAAUACGACAAAGCUGCUAAGGGUUGCAAAACCCCCCCCCCGCCUAGUGGGCCACUAGAGUUCCCAGCAUGGCAGCCGGUAGAAAGGGAGCGAGAAAAAAAAAGAGGGAGCCAAGCCAGCCGCUUAGGUCAAGUAAAAUGCGUGCCGAGAUCCCCCGGUUUCAGAGUUUUCGUGGGGAUCCUCUCCGCUUUUAUUGCCUAAGCAAAACGAUCCCGCCUAGUAGGUCCUUAGAUUUCUUCACCAAGCAUGGCAGCCGUAGAGAGGGAGAGAGAAAAAAAGAGGAGCCAAGCCAGCCGCUUAGAUCAAGUAAAAUGCGCGCCGAGAUCCCCCGGUUUCAGAGUUUUCGUGGGGAUCCUCUCUGCUUUUCUUGCCUAAGCAAAACCUGACCCCCGCCUAGUAGGUACUUAGAGUUCUUCACCCAGCAUGGCAGCCUGUGAGAGGGAGCGAGAAAAAAAGAGGGAGCCAAGCCAGCCGCUUAGGUCAAGUAAAAUGCGCGCCGAGAUCCCCCGGUUUCAGAGUUUUCGUGGGGAUCCUCUCCGCUUUUCUUGCCUAAGCAAACCCGAUCCCGCCUAGUAGGUGCUUAGAGUUCUUCACCCAGCAUGGCAGCAGGUAGAGAGGGAGAGAGAAAAAAAAGAGGGAGCAGCAAGCCAGCCGCUUAGGUCAAGUAAAAAUGCGCGCCGAGAUCCCCGGUUUCAGAGUUUUCGUGGGGAUCCUCUCCGCUUUUCUUGCCUAAGCAAAACCCGACCCCGCCAAGUAGGUCCUUAGAGUUCUUCACCCAGCAUGGCAGCCUGUGAGAGGGAGCAAGAAAAAAAAGAGGGAGCUAAGCCAGCCGCUUAGGUCAAGUAAAAUGCGCGCCGAGAUCCCCAGGUUUUAGAGUUUUCGUGGGAUUGAUCAUUCAAUUUCAGCAAACCCACUUGUUAUAGUCAAAAGCAUAUUUAAGUUGACAAUGGUUAGAAGAUAUAAUAUUACAUUUACCUCAUCACAUCUCUUUGUUCUUCCAACAACCAUUAAGAAAAAUCCCUGUAAACCGAACCCCAUGUAUUCCCUUUUCUCCUCACUCGCCAGAAUUUUGCCCACUCUCCAAACAAAAUCAUUUCAUUUGGGAUGUGAUGCAUGUUGGUUGGUAGGGAGCUAGUUACAUUGUUUUUGAAGAAAUGAAAGUUAUGGGAUGUGAUGCAUGUUGGUUGGUAGGGAGCUGAAUCCUUUCUUAGGAACGUUUUGGGGAACAUGGAGGCUGUUUAUUUGAGUCGGAAGCCCGCUGCAAAAUCUGUUUUGGAGUUUGUUCGAUCUGUCCAUGACGAUAAAUUUGUUAUGAUCAUACUGCAUUUUGAAGUUUUGGGGUAUUUUUCUUCCAAUUCUUUUCUUCUUCCAAUUUCCACUUAUCUUUUUAUUCUUGCUUCUGUUUAUUAUUUUCUAAUGGUCACUUGUUGUGCAAUAUCUUUCUUUCAUUUCGACAAAGUUGGUUAGUGUUCUUUUUCUGUUUUUUUUUUUACCUUGAGUUAGUUACAUUGUUUUUGAAGAAAUGAAAGUUAUGGGAUGUGAUGCAUGUUGGUUGGUAGGGAGCUGAAUCCUUUCUUAGGAACGUUUUGGGGAGCAUGGAGGCUGUUUAUUUGAGUUGGAAGCCUACUGCAAAAUCUGUUUUGGAGUUUGUUCGAUCUGUCCAUGAUGAUACAAAUUUGUUAUGAUCAUACUGCAUUUUGAAGUUUUGGGGUAUUUUUAUUCUUUCUUCUGUAUAUUAUUUUCUAAUGGUCAUUUGUUGUGCAAUGUCUUUCUUUUAAGUCAUUUGCUACUUUAUAAAGAGAAGAACAAAGUGAACUAUGUUAUCUUUCUACUUUCUACCCCAUUUCCGUAAAGAAGCAAGAAAACAACUAACAGGCAGAUCAAUCUGCUUAAACAUUCAAUUGGCCAUUUACUCUUUUGGGUUUUAACAUUCUGCCAUUCUUGUCGUUGCUCUUAAAUCUCCUCACAAUCUCUUUGUUAAAUCCCUGUAAACCGAACCCCAUGUCUUCCCUUUUCUCUCAAUCGGCCAUAAUUUUUCCCACUCCCCAAACAAAAUCGUUUCAACCUUAUUUUUCUUCACCACCCAUUUCCAAAAUUAUCAUUUCCCUCCGAAAUCCUUUGUCGAUGCUGAAACCUGCUGAUAGGAAUCCAUUGUUCUCGAUCUUGUCGAGUGCCGAACCUUCCAAUCCACUGCAAGGAUCAAGGAUCAAGGGUUAAGGUUUAUUUUUUAGUUAUUGUUCUGUUUUUUUCUGUUUUGAUUUCAUUGCAUUGUUAUUGAAUAAUUUAAAGUUAUGGGUUGUGAUGAUCCUUUCUUAGAAACGAUUUCCCAGUCCUGGAGGCUGCUUAUGUGAGUCAGAAUCACACUGUAAAAUCCAUUUUGGAGCUUGUUCGAUCUAUUGAUGGUGAUACUAAUUGGUUAUGAUCCUAUUGCACUUGCAACUUUUAGGGUAUUUUUCUUCCAUUUCUUUUCUACUUCCAAUUUCAAUUUCAAUUUCUGCAAAUUUUUUAGUUUUCAUAUGUAUAUUGUUUUCCAAUGGUCAUUUGUUGUGUGGUGUCUUUCUUGUAAGUCAUUGGUUACUUUGUAAAGAGAAACACAUUAUGCACUAUGUCAUCGUUCUACUCUUUCUGCAACAUUUCCAUAAAGAAGCAAGAAAACAGCUAGCAGGCAUAUCAAACUUCCUUAAAUAUUCAAUUGGCCAUUUCGCCAUUUUGGAUUUAACAUUAUGCAUUUGUGUCGUUACCCUUAAAUCUCCUCACAUCUCUUUGUUCUUCCAACAAUCGUUAAGAAAAAUUCCUGUAAACCGAACCCCAUGUAUUCCCUUUUCUCCUCACUAGCCAGAAUUUUCCCCACUCUCCAAACAAAAUCAUUUCAGCCUUAUUUUUGUUCACUACCCAUUUCCAAAAAUUUCAUUUCCCUAUGAAAAUCUUUGUCGAUGGCCAAACCUGUGGCUGGGAACCGAAUGUUCUCGAUCAUGUCCAGUGCUGAACCUCCCGAUGGACUGCAAGGAUCAAGGGUUAAGGUUGGUUUUUCUAUUUUUGUUGGUUAUAGUGCGUGUUCUGUUUUUCUUUUUUACUUUGAGUUAAAUCCUUUGUAUUUGAAGAAAUUAAAGUUAUGGGAUGUGAUGCAUGUUGGCAGGGAGCUGAUUCCUUAAAAGUAGGUUAGUGUUCUUGUUCUGUUUUUUUUUUUACCUUGAGUUAUUUACAUUGUUUUUUGUAGGGAGCUGAAUCCUUUCUUGGGAACGUUUUGGGGAGCAUGGAGGCUGUUUAUUUGAGUCGGAAGCCCGCUGCAAAAUCAUUUUUGGAGUUUGUUCGAUCUGUCCAUGAUGAUACAAAUUUGUUAUGAUCAUACUGCAUUUUGAAGUUUUGGGUAUUUUUCUUCCAUUUCUUUUCUUCUUCCAAUUUCUGCUUAUCUUUUUAUUCUUGCUUCUGUUUAUUAUUUUCUAAUGGUCACUUGUUGUGCAAUAUCUUUCUUUUAAGUCAUUGGCUACUUGUUGUGAAAUGGUGUCACUUCUUAGGAACGUUUUGGCGAGCAUGGAUGCUGUUUAUUUUAGUUGGACGCCCACUGCAAAAUCUGUUUUGGAGUUUGUUCGAUCUGUUCGUGAUGAUACCAAUCUGUUAUGAUCAUAUUGCAUUUUGAAGUUUUGGGUAUUUUUCUUUGGUUCUUUUCUACUUCCAAUUUCUGCUUAUUUUUUAUUCUUUCGUAUGUAUAUUUCUUUUUAAUGGUCACUUGUUGUGCAAUGUCUUUCUUUUAAGUCAUUGGCUACUUUGUACAGAGAAGAACAAAGUGAACUAUGUUAUCGUUCUACUCUUUCUACCCCAUUUCUGUAAAGAAGCAAGAAAACACCUAACAGGCAUAUCAAUCUGCUUAAACAUUCAAUUGGCCAUUUAGUCUUUUGGGAUUUAACAUUGUGCCAUUCUUGUCGUUGCCCUUAAAUCUCCUCACAAACUCUUUGUUCUUCCAACAAUCAUUGAGAAAGAUCCCUAGAAUCGGAGCCCCAUGUCUUUCCUUUUCUCCACGCCGGCCAGAAUUUUGCCCACUCUCGAAACAAAAUCUUUCCAACCCUAUUUUUCUUUACAACCUAUUUCCAAAAAAUUCAUUUCGCUUUUUGGAAAAUCAUCGUCUAUGCCGAAACCUGCAUCUUGGAACUGAUUGUUCUUGAUCAAGUCCAGUGUUGAACCCCCGAAUGGACUGCAAGGAUGACGGGUGAAGGUUUUAUUUCUUUCUUAUCGUUGGUUAGAGUUUUUGUUUUGUAUUGUACUGCCUUGACUUAAUUCCAUUAUUUUGAAGAAUUUAAAGUUAUGGGUUUUGAUGAUCCUUUCUUAGGAACGUUUUGGCAAGACUGUACACUGCCUAUCUGAGUCGGAAUCCCACUGCAAUAUCCAUUUUGGAGCUUAUUCGACCAGUUCAUGUUGAUACAAAUUUUUUAUGAUCAUAAUGCAUUUGGAAAUUUUGGGGUAUUGUUCUUCGUUCCAUUUUUUUUUCUACUUCCAAUUUCGUUUUCAAUUUCUGCAUAUUUUUUAUUCUUUCUUAUAAUGCUCAUAUGUGGUGCAAUGUCUUUCUUUUAAGUCAUUGGUUUUUUGGUGAAUAGAAAAAACAAAGGAACUAUGUCAUCGUUCUACUGUUUCUACGACAUUUCCAUAAAGAAGCAAGCCAGAUCAAACAUUCUGCCAUUCUUUUGGUUCCCUUAAAUCUCCUCACAACCUCUUUGUUCUUCCAACAAUCAUUAAGAAAAAUCCCUGUAAAUCGAACCCCAUGUCUUCCCUUUUCUCCCCACUAGCCGGAGUUUUUCCCACUCUCCACACAAAAUCCUCUCAACCUUAUUUUUCUUGACUACCCAUUUCCAAAAUUUUCAUUUCCUUGGAAAUUCUUUGUCGAUACCGAAACCUGCAGCUGGGAAUUGAUUGUUGUCGAUCAUGUCCCCGGUGCUGAGCCUCCCAAUGGACUGCAAGGAUCAACGGUUAAGGUUUAUUCUUUUGUUAUCGUUGGUUUGAGUUCUUGUUCUGUUUUUUUCUGCUUUGAUUUAAUUGCAUUGGUUUUGAAGAAUUUAACGUUAUGGGUUGUGAUGCAUGUUGAUAGCAAGCUGAAUCCUUUAUUAGGAAUGUUUUGGUGAGCAUGGAGUCAGUUUAUCCGAGUCGGAAUCCCACUGCAAAAUCUGUUUUGGGGCUUGUUCGAUUUGUACAUCAUGAUGCAAUUUGUUGAGAUCAUAUCGCUUUUAGAACUUUUGGGGUAUUUUUCUUCCUCCCAUUUCUUCUACUUCCAACUUCAUUUUUAUUUUAUGGACUGAUCAUUCAAUUUCAGCAAACCCACUGGUUAUGGUCAAAAGCAUAUUUAAGUUGAAGAUAUAGUAUUACAUUUACCUCGUAAGUUUUUGGAUGAAUUGGUGAUUUAACAUGGUCUAGAGUGGAUAGUUUAGGAGGCUGUUAGGCCACCAUUGUUGUUUACCUAUAAUAGAAGAAAGAAAAAUAAGGCACGUUAGGAACCAACAACAGUUACUUAAAAAAGAUGACAGUUAUCUAAAACUGGAAGUUAAAUGGAUGAGAGGGAGGUGGGAAAGGGCAGGCAGUUUUUAGUAAAAGGAAGGGCCUGCAAUACUCCAUGAGAGAUAGGGGAAGUAGAGGGCUCACGAUCUUGUUCUGGUUUUAAUUGUAGUAUUUUGAAUUGUGUUUAUUUGUGUUUUGGAUUAGGAGGGUUUCUUUGCUUGUUGUUUGUAAUUUCUCUGUAAUUUUCUUUUUAUUGUAACUUUGAGUUUCAAAUAUCAAUAUAAUAGGAACAGUACAUCAGUGUUCUAUCAAGGUUGUAUGUUCAAAAGUGAGUAGAUAGUUGAGGAGGUCCAAUGUUCAAAAGUGAGUAGAUGGUUUAGGAGGGUCCUAUGUUCAAAAGUUUGUUGGUGUGUAUCUUUGUUGGCUCGACAUGUUUUUAAUUUAUGACUGUUGUUGGUGGAGAGAGCGGAAGAUGUCGGGGACAGUUUGGAGAAGAUCAAGCGGCAGCUGGCCUCUGGGUCUGGUCGGAAUUUGUUGCAGGGUCCCCUUCUAAAGCGAUCUGAAACAGUAAACUAACGCAUUGCAACUCUUUCUGUCUUUCCUUUUGUUUUGAAUUGAUGGUUACUGCUUAAUUGCGCUGCCUUUAGGUCUUCCAUUUAAAUCGUUCUGACUGUUUUAGUGAUGUUUGAAGACUUAAUUAAAUCACCUAGAAGUACUUAUUAAGAUUAGGACGUCGGGAUUUGUGAUUUCAAGGAGAUUAGAAAUGUGAGAAAUGCCCAUGUUCAUGAUCUAACUGUCGGCAUAUUUGUGUUUAUGAAUAUGGCCGUCGAUGUGAUAGUAUUCUCAGACUGUUUUGUAGUGCGCAUAUGCAGAAUUGUGGUCACAUUUGAUCAGCCUUCUACUUUCUGCGUUUCUGUUCUUAGACAGCAUUUUUUAUGGCAAUGAGCCUUCAUUGUAGCAAAUCUGAUUUUCUCUAUUACAAUGUUUGCAGUUGAGGAAAUGGAAUGAGCGAUGGGUAGUUUUGGACCAACAACAAGGAAAAUGGAGUAACCAUACGUCCCAUUUACACUGUUUUUGGUCCUUCCUUGCUUGGUUCAAUGUAGUAAUAUGUUGGUGGAAACAGCUCAUUUCUAAUGCUGCUGCCGAUGGUGAUGGGGUCAAUGGACCUCUGCCAAGAGUGUUCAUAUCACAAAUUGUUGUGGAUUAGUUGAGUAAAUAAACUCAGGUGCGUUUCACCGAAUUCUCGAUAUGCAGAAAUCUGAAUAUAUUUUUUCCUUCUGAAAUUUGGCUACAAGCUGUAUCUUGGUGCUGCAGUAAGUGUAUUGUUAGCGAUGUAGUAGGCAUAAGGUGGGAAUAGGAUGCAUUUUGUGUUUUAUCCAUUUAAGUUUUUGGUUUAUGCAACAAAACCUUAGCUUGAAUUACAACUUCAUAUCAUUUUUCCUACUGCAUUCAGUACAUGUUCUUGCAUUGGGAAGAAGCAUGCUGCUUUGGCUGGUUCUCUGGGUUCCUUCACAUGGGAAAAGCCUUUGCAUUCAGAGUUUGAGCAAUUAGCAAGGCUUUUAAUCUCCCAUGACUCUAAAACUUAUGUUAUUUAGGUCACCAUAUUAUCGUGGAGAAUGAACCAAAUUUCAUUUCUGAAUUGUGAUUUCACCAAGAAUUUGAAAACAAAAAUGCAUAUUGUUUUCUUUCUGAUUCUUUUUUAUUGCGUAUUAUUUUUUAUGGUCAUUUACCUCCCACAGAUGACAUGAAUAGCGCCAAACAACUACAAAGAGAACUGCCACACUCCUAUAAUUGCUGCUAACCUACCUAACUAAGAAUAUACGACAAUCUCGAAAAUGUGCCAAUGAGAGACAUCAUCAGAUCCAGAGAUCAAGUUUGCCAAGAACUACUCAUAGUAGAAUUUGCAAAUAUGUGGUGCAAACUGAGCCAAGAAUAGACAACUCCAACCUUUUUGGAAUAGACGUGGUUAUCAACCUUUUGACUCUCUUCUUCUUUUCUUUCCUGACUUGGAUUCACUGCCCUGAUCAUUGGAUGAAUUUAGUGACUUUCCCUUUGAGUUCUCCAUUGUUUUCCCAGAAGUUGAUGAACGCUUCACAUCUCCACUUUCUUUUUCUUUUGCUUUUGAAGAUGUGAACUUAACCUUGGUGGAGAGAUUGGUAUUAUUAGACUUAUCGCCUGUUUUGGUAGACUUGCCUUUUGAAACAGGAGUUUUUGGGGUUUCUUGUUUGGACUUCCCCGUCUUCGAUACAUCUUGCUUGUUGGACUUUGCAACAGCGGCAGGUGUGGAUGUCUCAUCGUCCUUAGAUUUGCUAGUCUUGUUGGAUUUGGCAUCAUCAUUCUUCGACUUGCCAGCGAUUUUUGGACCUGUGCUACCAAGUUUACUUCCAAUUUCAAGAGUGCCUUGAUCCUUUGAUUUACUUCCAAUUUUUGGAGGCUGGUUUCAGCACAGGUGUGGUUUCCUUUUUAUCAUCAUCACCUGACAAUCUUUUCACGUUUUUUCCAGAAAUAGAUUUAGCUGAUCCCUUCUUUCUCUUGACCUCUGAUUGUUUUAAAGAACUCCCCCCACUCUUGCUGGUUCCAUCACCCUUCCUAACAGACUGCUUCAAUGUCUUAGUUUCAAAAUCACUUGUAGUGUCAUUAGUUUACAUUUACAUUUACGUUGAAGAUAUAAUAUUACAUUUACGUCAUUAGUUUUUGGAUGAAUUGGUGAUUUAACAUGCUCUAGAGUGGAUAGUUUAGGAGGUCUGUUAGACCACCAUUGUUAUUUUACUUAUAAUAGAAGAAAGGAAAGUAAGGCACGUUAGUAUUCAACACAGUUACUUAUUCAAAAGGAUGACAGUUAUCUAAAACAGGAAGUUAAAUGGAUGAGAGGGAGAUGGGAAAGGGCAGGCAGUUUUUAGUAAAAGGAAGGCCUGCCAGAAUUGUUCUGGUUUUAAUUGUAGUAUUUUGAAUUGUGUUUAUUUCUGUUUUGGAUUAGAAGGGUUUCUUUGCUUGUUGUUUGUAAUUUCUCUGUAAUUUUCUUUCUAUUGCAACUUUAAGUCUCAAAUAUCAAUAUAAUAGAAACAGUACAUAAGUGUUCUAUCAAGUUUGUAUGUUCAGAAGUGAGUAGAUAGUUGAGGAAGUUCUAUGUUCAAAAGUGAGUAGUUUAGGAGGGUCCUAUGUUCAAAAGUUUACUGGUGUGUAUCUUUGUUGGCUCAACAUGUUUUGAAUACAUUUUAGGUUAGAUUGAGUUUGUUGCACUUGGUUGUCAUUUUUGGUCUUGAAAUGCUUUUUUCAACCUUUUUGGUAGAUUAUGAGUUACGAACCUACAUUUAGGAUUUGCUAGGUCGUUUUGAAAUCUCAAGUAAUACCUAGACACGUUUUGAGCACGUUUUAGGUUGGUUUGAAUUAAGUUUGUUGCACUUACACACUUGGUUGCCAUUUUGGGUCUUGUAGUGCUUUUUUCACAAUAUUUGAACUUUUUUCGUAGGUUAUGAGUCACGAACCUACACGUAAGCUGUUUUAGGUCGUUUUGAAAGUUCAAGUGAAACUUAGACACGUUUUGAGCAUGUUUUAGGUCGUUUCAAGUAAAUGGUAUGUAUGUUGUGAUUGUUUGAUUGCAUGUAUAAUACCUUAUUGAGAUGUUAAUGCUUGAUUGAGAAGCUGAUAGAACACCAAGUAAUGGUUCUUAUUUGUUCAUUAAGCAACCAAACUAUUACAGAAUACAAUACUCAAACCAGUCUUGAAAACACAGAACAAAUAAGUACUAUUACAGACAAUAACCAAGUACAAAAUAAAAAUUCAAACAUCAAAAGUAGUUUACGAUAAUGGAAAACACUUUCUAAGAUUAAAGUAACUGAACAACUUCUGUAAUUCUGCUCUCCAGAAAAUACAGCCCCUCCACUUCCAGAAACUGAUUAACCAACCCCCAUCUUUCCUUCCAUCUCUCCCUUUUAACCUCCCUCCUGUAACUAACUGUUGUCCCCACUAAGGUGGUUUCCACUUCCUCCAAUUCCAUCACCUGUGCACGUGCAAUUCCACUUGUCUUUCUUCUGCUAUAUUGUAUUGCAAUUGGUGGUCUAUCAUUACUCUCCCUCUCCAAAGACACCUUGUUCUCAAGAUGGGAAAUGAGGAAGCUUUUGGGUAAAUUAACACAAUUCUCCCAUGUAGCCUCAUGAGGUGGUAUUCCUUUCCAACUAACAAGCACUUCCCACUUCUUUGUUGCUGGAUUUUUAGGAUAGCCAAAAUUGUCUGCUGGUAGUAACUCUUGAAAUGUAGGAACAUUAUCAAUUCCAUAUAGUUCGGUAAAUGUCAUUCCUCCCUCCAUAGCUCGACAUUUUGUCAAGAAACCGUAAUCAGAUGGUGUCCAUGUCUCCAUCAUGUGUUACAGACUCACUCUAGUCUUUGUCAAACUCGGUCACCCCUUAUAACAACAUUCUUUUCAUUUUGUAUGUAAAUUAAAGUGAGUUUCCGCCAAUCCACUUCAGUUACCCCAACGUGUGCAGCCAUUGCAUUCCAAGGAUGACAUCAUGAUAGAACACUGAUGUAGUGUUUCUAUUAUAUUGACAAUUCAAACACAACUUACAACAUAAGCAAACUGUGAACCUCAGAAAAUGAGUCACGUUACAUAUAAUUCACAAACAGCAAACAAAGAAAACCUCCUAAUCCAAAAUUCCGAACAACAAAAUACUAAUAAGCAAACCAGAAUAUAGAACACCAAUCUUCUGCUUCCCCUGUCUUUCAAGGAGUAUUGCAGACCUUUUCCUUCACUCCAAAAACUCACUUUAACAAAGAGGCAGCCACAUUUUCAGGUAUAGAAAAUAAAGUAGGUAGUAUGUAGGAAGGCUAACCAGAACUGAGUUGCAUAAGGUUUGUCUUCCGCCUCUAGAGAUGUUAUAUCUUUUCCACCUUUCAAGUUUCUUGUGAAUUCGAUCAAUGACUGGUUGCCAAAAAGACUUUUGUCGAGGGUAGCCUCCCAAAAGGAGACCUAAAUAUAUAAUCAGAAGCUUUUCUACCUUGCACCCUAUCAGAUUUGCUGUUUGAAACAAAUCUUCCUCUCCCACAUUAACGUCGCUAAGGGCUGAUUUUUCCCAGUUUACUUUCUGCCCCAAACACCAUUCGAAUAAACUAAUGACGUUUUAAAGUUUAAGGAGCAUCUUAACAUCAUACUUACAAAAGAGAAGAGUAUCAUCGACAAAUUGAAGCAAAGGGAGGUGGAUCAAGUCUUUGCCAACAAGGAAACCGUCAAACUGGCUGUUAAUAUAAAGCUUGUUUAUGAUUUCUCCUAAAACCUCACUUACUAGGAGGAAUAAAAAGGGGGGAGAGGGGGUCCCCUUGGCGGAUACCUCUAGAUGUUGUUAUCCGGCCUCUAGGCUUACCAUUGAUGAAGACUGAAUACUUUGGAAUUUUUAGGCAGCCCAUUAUCCAUGAUAUCCAUUUUGAACUAAACUUUUUCAAAGAUAAAUUUUUUUCUAAAAAGUUCCAAUUCACCCUAUCGAAGGCUUUUUCCAAGUCAAGUUUUAAAAUCCAUCCUUUUUCCGUUUUGCCCUAUAAUCUUCCACGGCCUCGUUAGCAAUUAAUAUUGGGUCAAGAAUUUGCCUACCUUCAAUAAAGGCGCUUUGAGUGGGGCUUAUAAUUGCAUCCAUAACUUGUUUUAGACGUUCAGAUAAAACCUUUGCAACGACCUUGUAUGCUAACGUAGUAAGGCUGAUUGGAUGGAAAUCCUUGACUAGAGUCACAUUCUCUUUUUUCUGCACUAAACAAAUAAAGUUUUCUUGGAUGCAAGCAUUUAAUCUUCCAUUUCUGUGGAAAUCAGACAUUAGUGAUUUGAAGAUAUCCUUGAAAAUAGACCAUUGGGUGAUUAGGAACUUCACUGUGAAGCCAUCCGGGCCCGGAGCUUUAUUGUUGCCAAGUGCCUUUAAUGCCUUAAAGAUCUCCUCCAUUGAAAAUUGGGUAACAAGAGCCUCAUUCUGAAUUGAGGAAACACAAGACCAAUUACUGUUAAUAGGGAUGAAUCUGUCCCCCAGAAUUCUGGUAUAAAGGGACUCAAAAAAUUCCACCACAAGCCUUUCAAUGUCGCGGAAUGAAGUCGAGACAACCCCAUCAUCAUUUUUUAAUUCAGUUAUGAGGUUCCUUCUUUUUUUCGCAUUUAGAAACCGGUGGAAGAAGCCCGUAUUCUCAUCACCCAAAGAAAGCCAAUUGAGUUUACUCUUCUGAAUAAAAUUACGCUCUUCGUUUUGAUAAAUACUAAGUAAUUCUGCUUGCAAAGCAGCUCUAGAAUUCAACUUUUCUUGAUUUAAUCCAAUCAACUCAGCCACAGAAUCAUAUUUUUCUAAUUUUGACAUCAAGGAUUUCUCUGUUUUUUUUUUUACCUUAGCUUGCGCAGCAAUAUUCCAAGCUUUUACUGCCAAUUUAACUGAUCUCAACUGCUCAUGAAGAAUGAAACCAGCCCAUCCCUGGAAGUUAGAGUUGCUCACUGUUUCAACAAUAAUCUGAUUAGAAUCACUGGACACCAACCAACUGUUACAAAACCGAAAAGGAGAGGGACCCCAAAGAAAAGAACCAGCCUCCAAGAAUAAAGGAAAGUGAUCCGAGAAGAUGCGUGCUUUUCGAGAAACCCGAGAAUUUUCAAAACAAAUAUCCCACAUCUGAUUUAUGAAGAAUCUGUCUAAUAAUGAUCUUCAAGGAGAAUUACCGUCUCUAGACCAAGUGAACCUUCCAUUUUGCAAUGGAAUUUCCAUGAGAGAAACCACUAUCUGAUCGUAAUUCUAAUUAUUUACUUGGCCUUGUUUCUGUUGGCUUUUUGGCCCUUAAUCUCAAAUUAAUUUAUUUUAAUUAUUCAAUUAAUUUAUGUUUUGAUGAUAACAAAUUUGAUUUUUUUAUUGACAAUUUUAUUAAUUUGAAUAGACCAUACCGUAGAGCUUGGAAAAAUGAUUCUAACGCCUCUUGAAUCACCCAAAUCGAAGUUUAAAUGAAGAAAAUAUUGCUAAAAGAAGCUUAACGAAAAAAUACCCGAGAUGGUGACGUGGCGACCAAGCAUUCAAUUUGAACCAAUUAGAGAAAGCCACUUGGAGCAAUGAAGAAGUAACAAAUGUGGCUUUUUGUUAUGUUUUAUUGGCUUUUAUAAAGAAAAUGAAUUUAAAAGAAAAAUGAUUUUAAUAUUAUUAUUUUUUCUUGUGUCUAACGGCUAGUUUUUUUUUUAAAAAAAGGGUGAAGUUGCUUUAUUGAUUUCUUUUUAAACAAAAUAUUUUGAAAAGACAUAUUAUUAUAUUAUUAUUUGUAUUGUGUCUAACGGCUAAUUAAGUUUAAAUCUCAACCAUUCAUUUUUCUUUUACUUAUAUCUAAUGACCCAAAUGAUUUUGAAUUUAUCUUUCCUCUCUUUUUAAAUACUUCACAUUUACACAAGAUCAAACAUCUUUACAAUCCUCAAGCAAAAAGCCAACAUUGUUAUUCUCUCUAAAGCUUCCAAUUUUUAUUCUUUUCAUCUUAUUCUUGAGAGCUUCUUAUUGUAUUGUGAGGAUUAAAUUUGUGAGCUUCAAAUUGUAUACUCACUCUUUUAGAGAGUUUUCUUUUGUGUGAUUUAAAAAUUUCAACAUAUUGUAACGGUUGGAUCCUAAUCCGUGGAAAGGAUCGGGUUUGCUCUUGAACCCGAAAAAGGAGCAAGAAUCGGUUCAGCUCAAAUCCGUGGAAAGAGUCCAAAGAAGAUUUUCAAUCAAAAUCCCAAGGGGUGCUUGAGAAAGUGGAUGUAGGUUGAGUUUAACCGAACCACUAUAAAAUUACGGUGUCUUCUUCUCUAACUCUUUUCUAAUUAUUUUUUAAUUUAAUUUUAGUUACAUAUUCUUAUUGGUUGAGUUUGAUUGCAUACUUCCAUUCAUAUCUUUUUAUCAAUCUUGUUAUUUAACAAAGUUUACAAAGUUCUUUAUUUAAAUUUUAGAAAAUAUCUAAUUAGUUGAUUUUACUUUUUAUUUGUCAAAAAGUUUAUUUAAACCCUAUUCACCCCCCUCUAGGGUUGCCAUACCGAUCCAACAGUUUCUUUGUAGGCAGUGAUAGAAAAUACCAGAGCAAAUGAUAUACACAAGCGAGUUCCCUUUUUAGUACCGUUUACUAGCAGGGUUAAGAUUUUCACUGUAAGCAAUUUAUUUUUUUGGUUUCCUUAUCCAUAAUAUUGAAUUUCUUGGAUGACUGUUAGUUAUAGAAAUAUGUAAGAUAUUUUUUAUUUAUGGUUACUUUCUCUAUAACUCAUUUCACAGACACAACUAGCAGCAGCUAGGCAAAGGAAUGGAUCUCUUGCUGUUUUUGCCAGAAACCGAUUUAGAAUUCGACGAAAUCAUAUAUUGGAAGAUGCUUUAGUCAGAUGAGUGCAUUGUCUGAAGUUGAUCUUUGAAGAUCGGUAAUUUCAGACUUCCAUGAUUUAUGAAAAAUGAAAUUGUUAUCUUACUUUUUUCUAUCUUUUUCUUUGCCCUCGUGAAAACGACCCUUUCCCUCUUCUGCAUCAUAUAGUUGCAGAGUUACUUGUAAUUGUUUAUUAGUUUUUUCUUGUUUGUGUUGGGUCAAUUGCUUCAGUUUUCUGCAUGCAGAUACGUGUGUCUUUUGUUAAUGAAUUUGGAGUUGAGGAGGCAGGAAUUGAUGGUGGUGGUAUUUUUAAAGAUGUCAUGGAGAACAUUACACGGGCAGCCUUUGACGUGUAGUAUGGUUUAUUUAAGGUUAUCACGACAUUCCUUAUUAUUAGCAUGGCAUGGCUUUGUUAAUCCUGUAGUAUUAUUGGAUAACAUAGUUGUGAGAUCACAUUUCAAUAUAAAAAUUGGUUGCUUGAAAUCUAUUUCAUAAAAUUUCAGUAAUAUGUGGGUAUGUAUUGUUCAUUUUUUCUAAUAUAAGUUAUUUUCUGCAUGGUAAUCCAGCAAAUUGCUGACCAUUUGCUCUACCCCAAUCCUUGUUCGGGAAUGAUACAUGAGCAACAUCUCCAGUUUUUCCAUUUCCUCGAAGUUCUUUUGGCAAAGGUAUGGCCAUAAUUCCCAAUCAUACAUGGAAUUUACUUUGGUUGAUUAGUUUUUUCUUUUUUUGGAUAAGGAUAUCCUGGUCUUGGCCUUAUCAUGGAAGAUUCUUAUAUAUCUUUCACCCCAUACUUUGGUUGAAUUUUGGAACAUUAAUGUAUCGCCUGACAUUCAUAAAUACAAUGUCAUAAUUUGAAAUCUGCUGUCUUCCUACAUUAUGCAUGUUUUUCUGUUAUUGAAGUUGCUGCCCGGUUGUGCUAAAAGUUCUCAAGCAGUCAUGCUAAAAGAUCUCAAUCACAUUAAAUGAUUUUUGACAGGAUGUUGUUGUUUUACCCUUCUUCCUGUAGGUCAUGUUUGAAGGAAUUCUUGUUGAUAUACUUUUUGCAACAUUCUUCUUGAGCAAGUUAAAACAGAAGUAAGGUUUUUAAAGAUUUACUGUCUUACUGUUUUGUAUUUUGUGCUGAUCCACUAAUCGUAGUAUUGAUGGUCAUGACAAUGACUAGUUGCAAGUUACUUGAAUUUUUAGGGUUCUAAAAAUCUUACAUUUUAUUAUGGGUGCACUGCCUACUAAUGAGAUUGUCAAUUGCUAACUUCCAAAUGUUGAAUUUGGGAUUUCCAUGCUACAUUCACUUUCUUGAUCUGCAAUUACAGAGCUACUCUAUACUGGAAUAAAGUCUGAUCUGAACUAUACACUGUUUUUUAUGCUGUAAUUGCAAAGCUAGGAAAUCUUUAUGUAUAAUGCCUUUUUUUUCAUCAUUUAUUAAUGAAAAUGAGAAGCCUUUUUAUAGGCUGGAGAUUACAAGAGUUGUUAAACUAACUUGGGGUUGAGUUAGUUUACUUAUAACUAACUCAAGAUACAAAAUUGUUAAUUCAAAUAACUAAUCCUAAACUAUAAAAAUGGUAAUUCAAACACCUCCUCUAGGAUAAAACUCAAGAAACAUAAAGAAGGGGGAUGUUCUACAUUAGCUUUUGUCAAGGCUUUAGCCAAAAUUUUAUUUAUCAACUGUGGGGGAGGAUUUGAGAGCUCCCCAAUCUCUACACACUUCUCUAAUGAGAGUCUAUACCAAAAUCAUAUGUCCAAAAAGAUACCCAUACCCUCCCACUCAAGAAACUUAAGUAAUUGCUUAGAGAAAUAACAAAAUACUUGGCCCCACUCUAACAAACACAUUCCUAAGGGCCCACACAAAUAGAAAAAUAUCAACUAACUCUCAAUCAUUCUUUCUUCUCCUAUUCUUGUCUCUACGGGAAUACACCUUUACUAUGGGAGGUCUAUCAUUACCCGCCCCCAAAUAGCCACCUUGUCCUCAAGGUGGAAUUCAGGAAACUGUUUCUUGAAUAAGAGCAGCUUGUUCCCACGUUGCACUUUCAAGUGUCCCCUCACUCCAACGGAUCAAAACUUCUAAGUUGUCCUCCUUUUCUAUUGUUUUGCGAACUCCCAAUACUUCUACCGGAGACACUUGCAUAGACAAAUCAGCAGCCAAAUCUUUUGAAAUUGGGAAUAAUGGCCUGUUUGAACCCACGACCUUGCGAAGAACAGAAACAUGAAAGACCGGGUGUAUAAGCGAUUCCUUGGGAAGGGCCAAACGGUAUGCAACGAAACGAAUUCGUGCCACGAUCAUAAAUGAACCAAUGAAUCUUGGGGCCAAUUUGGAGUGCUUAAAACGGCUGAGAGAGGACUGUCGGUAAGGGCGUAACUUCACAUAAACCCAAUCAUGAACCUCAAACUGCACCUCCCGUCUUUUAGCAUUAGCAUAUUUGACCAUUCGCUGCUGUGCUUUCAGUAAAUUGGCCUUCAAAACGCCCAAAAUUUCAUCUCUUUCUUUCAUCAAAUGGUCUAACUUCAUCAUUCACCCGGCUCGAGCCCUUCACAUAUGGUAAUAUAGAGGGGGGUGGUCGCCCAUAGAGGGCCUCGAAGGGGUCAUCAAUGUGGCUGUACGGACUGUUGUAUUAUAGCUUAAUUCAGCCCAAGCUAGCCAUUUAACCCAUUGUUUAGGUGUGUUCAUAGAAAAACACCCUAGAUACGUCUCCACCCCUCGAUUGACAACUUCCGUUUGACCAUCUGUUUGGGGGUGGUAAGUGGUGCUUCGUCUCAACUGAGUUUCCAACAACCUCCACAACUCUUCCCAUAAUAGACUUGUGAAAAUACGAUCACGAUCCGACACUAUACUUCAGGGCAUCCAUGCAAACGAAUAAUCUCUCGCAUAAAAACAGCAGCAACCACUUUUGCACCAAAUGGAUGUUUCAAGGGGAUGAAAUGUGCAUACUUGGAAAGAAGAUCCGCAACUACCAAUAUAACAUCAUAACCCUCGGAUUUGGGGAGGCCCUCAAUAAAAUCCAUACUAAUAUCUUCCCACACACGGUCCGGAAUGGGUAAUGCUUGAAGGAAACCAGCCGGAGUUAAAGACAAGUAUUUGGCUUGCUGACACACGGAACAUUCAGCAACAUAGGUGCGGAUAUGGGCUGUCAUACCUCGCCAAUAUACCUCCCUUGUUAGACUUUGAUAUGUUUUCAAUGCACCAUGAUGUCCCCCUAUCUGGCUGUUAUGGAAUUCAGCUAAUAAUAAAGUAAUAUUAGGUGAAUCCUCCUCCUUGUAGCGAAUAUCCCUCUGGAGCUUGUUGUCCAUUUAUCAAGGAUAGUCGAAUAUUGUUAAGAGAUUCAUUUCCAGCCACUUGAUCGAUGAAAACUGAAGGGUUUAGCCGCCCACAAUACUUACGAGGCCCAAUUCAAAUACGGUGGUAAUCUCUAUAAGGCAUCGGCCGCUUUGUUUUCCAAUCCUUUCUUGUACUCAAUCACAAAAUCAUACCCCAAUAGUUUAGCGAUCCAUCUCUGAUAUUCUCCCCCGAUAGCCCGUUGUUCAAGAAGAAACUUCAAACUUUUCUGAUCUGUACGCACCACAAAAGGCUUACCCAAUAGAUAUGGUCGCCAUUUUUUAACAGCCAGCACUAUUGCCAUAAGCUCCCGUUCAUAAACAGCCUUAAACCUAUGGGUAAUAGGUAAAGCUUGACUGAAAAAGGCCACUGGUCGUUGAUUUUGCAUUAGGACAGCCCCAAUACCCACACCCGAAGCAUCAGUUUCCAGCACAAAACUUUGUGAAAAAUCAGGAAUACCUAGCACUGGGACAGACAUCAUUGCUGACUUUUAACUGCUGAAAUGCGUUCUCGGUCGUUUCAUUCCACUUAAAGUUACCUUUUUUUAACAGUUGUGUCAAGGGGGGCAGCACAAUAGAACCGUAGUUUGCAACGAAUUUCCGAUAAUACCCCGUUAGCCCCAAAAAAACCCACCUAGCUCCUUCACGUUCUUGGGUGCUGGCCAUUUAACCAUCGCUUCUAUUUUUGUUGGAUCCGCUGCCACCCCCUCUGAAGAAAUAACAUGGCCCAAGUAUUCAAUUUUGUCAACCGCAAAUUGGCAUUUUUUAAAGUUGGCUACCAGUUGAUGAGCUACUAGAGUUUCCAAAACCAUUGCCAAUUGGUGCAAAUGCUCGUCCAAGGACUUGCUGUAAAUUAAGAUGUCAUCAAAGAAAACCAAAACAAACUUGCGUAAAUAUGGGCGAAGAACAUCACUCAUGAUUGAUUGGAAUGUUGCCGGAGCGUUUCAACCCAAACAGCAUCACAAGGAAUUCAUAGGGCCCCUCGUGGGUUCGAAACGCUGUUUUGUGAACAUCGGCUGCCCGCACAAAUAGAAAAAUAUCAGAAUGCUUGUUUUUCUUUAUUUAUUUUGUAAUGUCAAUUAAUUGGCUAAUUAUUUAUCAGAAUGCUUGUUGAUAUCGCUGCAUGUUUUAUUUUGUAAUGUUUGUACUUUUUAGUUGUGAUUUGUGAAUAUGCUAGGAUUGAUUUGAUUUGCUCUUCUGACUGUUAAGAUCGGAAUGAUGUUGCUCAUCUGAAAGUAGGCAGCAUCAUGUGCUUGAAGACUUGUAGAGUAUGGAGAGUGAAUGGUCAAAUUUGAGGAAUCAUAUCUGCUGGCUUUGUAGUCCAAACAGGUUGUCUGGCUAACUUUCUUUUUCUCAUUUUCAACCAAUUAGGAUAGCUGUCAUGUUUUUUGAAUUCCUUGCCAUUCUUGAGUAGUAACUUGGCAUUUAUUUAUUAAAAGGUUUUAAUUAAGAUUGUGGUGUUCAUAACUUUGUAGUCACACUAAAUAACUUAAAAGAGUUAGUUUGACAGUUGACAAACAUGAUAGUAAUGUGAUAGUGAGUGCAAGGGUAAAAAGAGUUGCUUCUGUUGGGUUAAAGUGAUGUUUGUGUUUUUUAGUGUGAUGUGUUUUGUUUUCAAGUUCGUUAGUAGACGUAUUACUUAAUUGAAAAUUUUGAUACCAUAGCCAGUGUAGGGGAAGAUGAAUGGAGGGUGCUAUUAGACUAGUUAAGACUUAUAUGUAUCCUAAUUUUAGUAAUAUAUAAAAUUGAGAGAAUUUCCUUUGAUUUUCAGGAACAAGGAUGAAUAAUCAAUGAAAAAGGAAUGAAAAGGUUUAUCCAUGCAAGCUUCAAACAAAAGUCAAGGAUGUCGAUCCUUCCAGGGGAGUCCAAAGUUCCCCCCUUAUUUUUCUCCAUUUACUUUGAUUUUCAAAAGCUUUUAGGACAGAAAAAGCAAUUUUUUGAGUGGGUGUGGGUAAUAGCUUGCUUAGCUUGCAUGUUUAGUGUAAACUUGGGGGUUCAAAUUUUGCCCAAAUUUCAAAAUUUUUCAGAAUUCUUUCCAUACAAUAAUGAGCAUUAGCUUAAUUAGAUCUUGCAUAAAAAGCAUGAUUGGCAACCCUUGAGCACUGAGCUCGGGUUUAUGAUGUGAAAUUCUGAAUUUUGAUGAGUAUAUGUGCUGAAAUUUGAGCAUAAGCUGCUGUCUUUUUUGUUUUAAGCUCCUUUUAGCUAUUUCUUAUUGAGAUGUGAAUGCAUGAUUGAGAAAAUGGUAUGUGUGUUGUGAAUGCUUGAUUGCAUGUAUAAUAAAUAAGUGCAUGGAUACUUUUCUAGCUUUGUCUUCCUUUGUUGCUUUGUCGUGACUUACCUAUGAUGCACUUAGUCCAAACCUAGCCUAGAUAGAGUAAAAAAGGAUAGGAGGCACUCUUUAGAAACUGGGAUGGUUUUAACAAAUUUGUCUUGUCAAACAUGAGUUAGAAGCCUCUUGUCUAGCCACAAUGAACUAAAUCCCUUUAGAAAAGGGUCGACAUUAACAAAACUUAUUGUCACUUCGAAGGGAGCAAUCAAACUUAAUUAGUAACUAAAUGUAGAACCAUAGAAAGGUUAGCCCACCGGUUCUAGCAAGGCCUAGUUACCACAUUGCAUACCAAAGAAAGAAAAGAGAGACUUGACAAUGCAAAACAUAAAACAGUAAGACAAUCAAGAGCUAUAAAAAAAGUCAAACAAAAGUAGAAAAAGUCCAUAAAAAAUGGGGGAAAACUUCACUUUUGGCCUAACCAAAACCAGACUACCUACUCUUAGCGUUCUAAACAUAGCAUCGAGUUUGAUGAGGGCUUUGAAAAGAGGAGGAAUCCUCCCCGAUCCACAUUAGGGGGAAAACAAGGCUUGUUGUCACUUCGAAGGGAGCAGUCAAACUUAGCAUUGAGUUUGACGAGGGCUUUGAAAAGAGGAGGAAUCCUCCCCGUUCCAUAGUAGGGGGAAAACGAGGCUUGUUGUCACUCCGAAGGGAGCAGUCAAACUUAGAAACUAAGUUUAGAACCAUAGAAAGGUUAGCCCACCGGUUCUAGCAAGACCUUGUUACCACAUUGCAUACCAAAGAAACAAAAGAGAGACUUGCAAAUGCAAAACGUAAAAAGGUUAGACAAUCAAGAGCUAUAAAAAAACAAACAACACAUGCAAUAUACAUUAGAAAAAUCCCAUAAAAAAACAAAGAGCCAACUUGGUUCGGUCAGGUAGAAUGUGUUGAGUUCCCUAACUAUCAGAGCUUUUAGCAGAAAACUUUACUUUUGGCCUAACCAAAACCAAACCACCUACUCUUAGCGUUCUAAACUUAGCAUCGAGUUUGAUGAGGGCUUUGAAAAGAGGAGGAAUCCUCCCCGAUCCACAUUAGGGGGAAAACAAGGCUUGUUGUCACUCCGAAGGGAGCAGUCAAACUUAGCAUUGAGUUUGACGAGGGCUUUGAAAAGAGGAGGAAUCCUCCCCGUUCCAUAGUAGGGGGAAAACGAGGCUUGUUGUCACUCCGAAGGGAGCAGUCAAACUUAGAAACUAAGUUUAGAACCAUAGAAAGGUUAGCCCACCGGUUCUAGCAAGACCUUGUUACCACAUUGCAUACCAAAGAAACAAAAGAGAGACUUGCAAAUGCAAAACGUAAAAAGGUUAGACAAUCAAGAGCUAUAAAAAAACAACAACACAUGCAAUAUACAUUAGAAAAAUCCCAUAAAAAAACAAAGAGCCAACUUGGUUCGGUCAGGUAGAAUGUGUUGAGUUCCCUAACUAUCAGAGCUUUUAGCAGAAAACUUUACUUUUGGCCUAACCAAAACCAAACCACCUACUCUUAGCGUUCUAAACUUAGCAUCGAGUUUGAUGAGGGCUUUGAAAAGAGGAGGAAUCCUCCCCGAUCCACAUUAGGGGGAAAACAAGGCUUGUUGUCACUCCGAAGGGAGCAGUCAAACUUAGCAUUGUGUUUGACGAGGGCUUUGAAAAGAGGAGGAAUCCUCCCCGUUCCAUAGUAGGGGAAAACGAGGCUUGUUAUGAGGAUUUUCCCUUGGGAAAUUAUUAUAAAAGUGACAAAUGAAAAUAUUGAUUGGUUUCUGAACCACUGUGGUGCCCUUGUUUGUUAUUUUCCCUUAUGUUGCUUUAUGCUUGGUUUUCUAAUUGAUAAUAUCAUCUUAAAGUGUUCUAAUUGAUAGCACAUAUCUCUUAGUGUUAGUACUUUCUUACCUUUCUCUCUCUUACAUAUAUAGGGGAUAUGUUGAGCAUUUUCGCUAGCAAGGAUUAUGUACUUAACAAGGCCUUAGUGGAUUAGAGAGUUAAGAAAUUUGCAUAUGCUUGCAUCCAGACUGUACACCAUAAUAGGUAAUUAGUUUUUUCCAUUUCAACAUUCCUUAUUAAAAACUUAUCCUUUUUAACGUUUUGAAUGGAAGAACAGAUGUUUGAUCUAUCAUUGUUGAUUUUGUUGGCUUUCUAUGCUAUGAUCCUUUAAUUGUAUAUGAUAUAUUUCUUUUGUUGAAAAGUGAUAUAUUUCUUAGAUUUUGUUCAGAUAUAUAUAACUGACAUAAAGGUUUUUUUACCUUCAGCUAACGAAUUCAGACUAAUCUUAUUUAUAUAUAUGAUAAGUUGUCUUUAUUUUUCCUCUGAAUUAUUCUUACUUGAUGUUGUUCUUGAUAGAAACCAAUUGAGGAAUCAACUUUUGGCUGCACCUGUGAACUCUAACACACCUGCAACUCUAUUGUUAGACACAAUUAUUUUCUUAUUACAACCUGAACUCCCAUGGGUUUGUAAAAUUGUUGGUUACUUCCUGGAAAGAAAUGCAUAUGCGUUGAUUAGGGAUAUCACUUUGACAGGGAAGGUAUAAAUGUACUUCCUUUUUCUUCUACUUGCAAGUGGUUUUUUUUAUAGAUAUUCUGUUUUGCCGUGGAUUAUCCUCUGCAGGUGUUUUCAGAGAACUAAUUCACACUCAAACUAUUGCAGGAAAGUGCAGAUUCACAUUCCAAGAGUUCAUUGGCUUCUCUAGAACAUCUGCUGUCUCUUUUGAGUUCUCAUGUUGGUAAGAAGCCAUGUUGUUGCCCACGUGUUGAUCCCAAUUGGAGUUUCUCCUCUCAAAUUCUUACUCUUCCUUUACUGUGGCGGACAUUCACAUUUCACACCUCUCUCUACCCAAUGGACAAAGUUGCAUGUGUCAUCCUCUACUAGGUUUGUGUACCUUGCUGUUUGGAUAUAAUGGCGUUAGUAAUGGUUUAAAGGUCAUGUUUUCUCAAUAACGAGAAACAUAACAUGCAUGUACUUCAUUUAAAAAAGAAAAAAAAAACUCUAUAGAUUUUUUUUGAAAAGAUCUUUUUAAGUACAACUUGGUGUGGGACAUAAAAAAUUAUGACUAUUCUAGCAUACAGAAUGGAGUUAGUUCCAGUACUCUGGAGUUUUAUUAAAAAGUGCCACGAGAAUAAAAAAUGGUCAUCCUUUUCAGAGAAAUUGGCAUAUUUAUCAGGAGAUGCACCUGGUUGGCUAUUACCUUUGGCUGUUUUUUGUCCUGUGUACAAGUAAGAUUAUCUUCUUUAUUCCUGUUCCUCUACUUUUGAAUUUCGCUUUAAUUCCUCAUCUGAUGUUAUAUAAUUAUAUGGUAUGUUAUAAGAUUCGGCAUGUCCUGAUCACUUCUUUCCUUAUCAAUCAGGCACAUGCUCAUAAUAAUUGACAAUGAGGAGUUUUAUGAGCAGGAGAAGCCACUAUCGUUAAAGGACAUCAGAUGCCUGAUCGUUAUUUUAAGACAGGUGAGCUCUUUAAUUCCAUCAUAUGUCCAAAAAGAUACCCAUACCCUCCCACUCAAGACACUUAAGUAAUUGCUCAGAGAAAUAACAAAAUACUUGGCCCCACUCUAACAAACACAUUCCUAAGGGCCCACACAAAUAGAAAAAUACCAACUAACUCUCAAUCAUUCUUUCUUCUUCCUAUUCUUGUCUCUACGGGAAUACACGUUUACUAUGGGAGGUCUAUCAUUAUCCGCCCCCCAAAGAGCCACCUUGUCCUCAAGGUGGAAUUCAGGAAACUGUUCUUGAAUAAGAGCAGCUUGUUCCCAUGUUGCACUUUCAAGUGUCCCCUCACUCCAACGGAUCAAAACUUCUAAGUUGUCCUCCUUUUCUAUUGUUUUGCGAACUCCCAAUACUUCUACUGGAGACACUUGCAUAGACAAAUCAGCAGCCAAAUCUUUUGGAAUUGGGAAUAAUGGCCUGUUUGAACUCACGACCUUGCGAAGAACAGAAACAUGAAAGAUGGGUGUAUAAGCGAUUCCUUGGGAAAGGCCAAACGGUAUGCAACGAAACCAAUUCGUGCCACGAUCAUAAAUGGACCAAUGAAUCUUGGGGCCAAUUUGGGGUGCUUAAAACGGCUGAGAGAGGACUGUUGGUAAGGGCGUAACUUCACAUAAACCCAAUCAUGAACCUUAAACAGAACCUCCUGUCUUUUAGCAUUAGCAUAUUUGACCAUUCGCUGCUGUGCUUUCAGUAAAUUGGCCUUCAAAACACCCAAAAUUUCAUCUCUUUCUUUCAUCAAAUGGUCUACUUCAUUCACCCGACUCGAGCCCUUCACAUACGGUAAUAUAGAGGGGGUGGUCGCCCAUAGAGGGCCUCGAAGGGGGUCAUCAAUAUGGCUGUACGGACUGUUGUAUUAUAGCUCAAUUCAACCCAAGCUAGCCAUUUAACCCACUGUUUAGGUGUGUUCAUAGCAAAACACCGUAGAUACGUCUCCACCCCUCGAUUGACAACUUCUGUUUGACCAUCCGUUUGGGGGUGGUAAGUGGUGCUUCGUCUCAACUGAGUUUCCAACAACCUCCACAACUCUUCCCAGAAUAGACUUGUGAAAAUACGAUCACGAUCCGACACUAUACUUCGGGGGCAUCCAUGCAAACGAAUAAUCUCUCGCAUAAAAACAGCAGCAACCACUUUUGCACCAAAUGGAUGUUUCAAGGGAAUGAAAUGUGCAUACUUGGAAAGACGAUCCGCAACUACCAAUAUAACAUCAUAACGCUCGGAUUUGUGGAGGCCCUCAAUAAAAUCCAUACUAAUAUCUUCCCACACACGGUCCGGAAUGGGUAAUGCUUGAAGGAAACCAGCCGGAGUUAAAGACAAGUAUUUGGCUUGCUGACACACGGAACAUUCAGCAACAUAGGUGCGGAUAUGGGCUUUCAUACCUCGCCAAUAGACCUCCCUUGCUAGCCUUUGAUAUGUUUUCAAUGCACCAUGAUGUCCCCCUAUCGGGCUGUUAUGGAACUCAGCUAAUAAUAAAGUAAUAUCAGGUGAAUCCUCCUCCUUGUAGCAAAUAUCCAUCUGGAGCUGGCUGUCCAUUUAUCAAGGACAAUCGAAUAUUGUUAAGAGAUUCAUUUCCAGCCACUUGAUCGAUGAAAACCGAAGGGUUUAGCCCGCCCACAAUACUUACGAGGCCCAAUUCAAAUACCGGUGGUAAUCUCUAUAAGGCAUCGGCCGCUUUGUUUUCCAAUCCUUUCUUGUACUCAAUCACAAAAUCAUACCCCAAUAGUUUAGCGAUCCAUCUCUGAUAUUCUCCCCCGAUAGCCCGUUGUUCAAGAAGAAACUUCAAACUUUUCUGAUCUGUACGCACCACAAAAAGGCUUACCCAAUAGAUAUGGUCGCCAUUUUUGAACAGCCAGCACUAUUGCCAUAAGCUCCCGUUCAUAAACAGCCUUAAACCUAUGGGUAAUAGGUAAAGCUUGACUGAAAAAGGCCACUGGUCGUUGAUUUUGCAUUAGGACAGCCCCAAUACCCACACCCGAAGCAUCAGUUUCCAGCACAAAACUUUGUGAAAAAUCAGGAAUACCUAGCAUCGGGACAGACAUCAUUGCUGACUUUUAACUGCUGAAAUGCGUUCUCGGUCGUCUCAUUCCACUUAAAGUUACCUUUUUUUAACAGUUGUGUCAAGGGGGGCAGCACAAUAGAACCGUAGUUUGCAACGAAUUUCCGAUAAUACCCCGUUAGCCCCAAAAAACCCACCUAGCUCCUUCACGUUCUUGGGUGCUGGCCAUUUAACCAUCGCUUCUAUUUUUGUUGGAUCCGCUGCCACCCCCUCUGAAGAAAUAACAUGGCCCAAGUAUUCAAUUUUGUCAACCGCAAAUUGGCAUUUUUUAAAGUUGGCUACCAGUUGAUGAGCUACUAGAGUUUCCAAAACCAUUGCCAAUUGGUGCAAAUGCUCGUCCAAGGACUUGCUGUAAAUUAAGAUGUCAUCAAAGAAAACCAAAACAAACUUGCGUAAAUAUGGGCGAAGAACACUCAUGAUUGAUUGGAAUGUUGCCGGAGCGUUUCAACCCAGACAGCAUCACAAGGAAUUCAUAGGGCCCCUCGUGGGUUCGAAACGCUGUUUUGUGAACAUCGGCUGCCCGCACCCGAAUUUGCUGAUACCUAACUUUAAAUCAAUUUUGGAGAAUAUGGUUGCCCCAAAUAAUUUGUCUAACAGUUCAUCAACAACAGGAAUUAGAUACUUAUCUGGUAUAGUGGCAAGAUUCAGUGCUCGGUAAUCAACGCAAAAUCGCCAGCUACCAUCCUUUUUCUUAACAAGGAGCACUGAAAAGGCACUUUUGCUUGGCUGAAUUAUUCCGGCUAGCAGCAUUUCCUUAACUAGUUUCUCUAUCUCAUCUUUCUAAAAUUGGGGAUAACGAUACGGGCGCACGUUCACUGCACGAGCCCCUGGUUCUAAUUCAAUAGCAUGAUCAUGAUCACGAGGUGGGGGUAAUUGAUUGCUUGGUUCAAACACAACGCUAAAGGACUGAAGAACUUUUUGAAUUUCUGGUUGUAGUUUACUCAAGUAGUCUGCUAUGUGUUCCCUUGCUUCGCCCACUCCCCACUGUACAACUGCACUUAAUUCGAUUGACACGCCUUGAUCUUCCUUCUCAAAGGUUUUCAUUAUCGAUUUCAGUGACACUUGGGAUCUUACUAAACUUCUAUCCCCUUGAAGAAUUACCACCCAUUCACCCAGUGAGAAUUCCAUCUCCGACAACUUGUAAUAAAAAAUUACUUUCCCUAACAUUUCCAACCAAGUAACUCCUAAUAUAACGUCGGCACUCCCGAGUGGUAGAGGGAGAAAAUCGUGAGUGAUUGAUAAAUUGGCGAUUGUCAGGUUUACAUCCUUACACACACUGGUUGCUUGGACUACGCCUCCGGUUCCCAGAACAACCCCAUAUGCAUCCAUGGUUUCUACUGAAAUUUUUAGCUCUUUGACUACCUCUUCUGCAAUAAAAUUGUGCGUGGCUCCCCAUCGAUCAGCACCACAACCUCACGUCCCCUUAUUUCUCCUUUAAUUUUUAUGGUUUUCGGCGAAUUGAAACCUACCAAUGAAUUUAUCGACAGAUUCACUAUUUUUGUAUUGACUUCCUCAUUCCCGUUGGUUUCGAUUUCUUCCCCACUUGAUCGGUUUUGUCACUUAAGUCUUCCCCUUCUUGUACAGCAAUGAUGUUCAAUUCACGUCUUUUGCAGCGGUGCCCUAGACUAAACUUCUCGUCACAUCUAAAACACAAACCUUUUUCCUUCUUAAUCCGCACUUCGUUGUCAGUCAUUCGGCGGUAUGGUUGAGACAACGUACUCUUCGCGCCCGAUUCCUGCGAUGAAGUAAUCGUCGUGGACGAGUACGACGAAUUUCGGCUAGGGUUAAUCGUAAUCGUUCGUGAUGUAGCGACCCGAUCUGAGGCCUUUGACCCAGUUUGACUUCUCGACCUGCUUGGCCCACUAUUUGACAUUUUAAUUGAUAAAUUAGGGUUUCCACUUGCCCCAUGAAUUCUCUUCAAUUGAACCACUCGAUCAUCUUCUCAAUUAUUUGGGCCAUUAACAUUUUAGCCUCUAGGCCCACUGGAUUCAAUUUUCAGAUCUCACUUUGAAUCUCUUCCUUCAGCCCACACACAAACUUACUUUCUAGGGCUGCAUCACUCAUAUCUUUAAGGCCGACCGAAAAUUGUUCAAAUCGCCGCGGUAAUCCCUCACGGUGGUCUCCUGCUGUAAUUUCAUCAACCUUGCGUGUUUAUCUCCUUGGUCGGACGCUUUGAAUCUGGCCCACAGAAGCUAUCGGAAUUCUGUCCAGCUGCCGAUUUUCUUUCUAUCCUCCUUCCAUUGAUACCAGUCCAAAGCUUCCCCCUCCAAGCACAGGACCGCCGCAUCCAACUUAUCUCUCUCCGUCAGAUAUUCACCACAAAAUAGCGCUCCACACGUUGUAGCUAUCCAUCCACAUUCUCUUCUUCCUCCCCUUUAAAUAUCGACACCUCCAGUUUUCGUAGCCUCAUGUCAAAAAGGGGUAUCUCACGAUAUUUGGUGCACAUGGUACUCCAACUCCCUCAUCCACCACCGGGUUAGUUUUUUGUUCACCUUCUUGAACUUGUUCCUCAUUCAUUAUUCCCUUUCCCUUGUCCGUAAUCAUUCUUUCACUAGAUGUGGAUCCUUUUGAAGCACUUCCCAUCACUCCCAUCCUGUGUAUUAACAAUUUCAUUCCUCACUCAAUUUUUACAGAUUAUCCUCAAUCUUUUGUUCAGCCAUUGUACUUCGAACUUCUGCUUCCGCAAAUUGUUUUUUCAUCUUCCUUUCAAAUGCUAAUUGUCGUUCUUCUACUUGUAAAAAUUUUGCUUCUACUCUACUUUCCAUUUCAGUCGUCCCUGUGGUUACUCCCUCUUAACCUUCUUCCAGUUCAACUAUCCUAGCUUCCAUCUUACCAACCAUACCAGGAAAGAUGGCUCUGAUACCAAAAUUGUUAAGGCUUUAGCCACAAUUUUAUUUAUCAACUGUGGGGAAGGAUUUGAGAGCUCCCCAGUUUCUCCACGCUCUAAUGAGAGUCUAUACCAAAAUCAUAUGUCCAAAAAGAUACCCAUACCCUCCCACGCAAGACACUUAAGUAAUUGCUCAGAGAAAUAAUAAAAUACUUGGCCCCACUCUAACAAACACAUUCCUAAGGGCCCACACAAAUGGAAAAAUACCAACUAACUCUCAAUCAUUCUUUCUUCUUCCUAUUCUUGUCCCUACGGGAAUACACCUUUACUAUGGGAGGUCUAUCAGCUUUCUAUAUAAUUUAUGAGAGUUUAAUAUUGCAUGGUUGCAUGGUAUAAAGAUGGAAUAAUAUUUAACCCAACAUUGAAUAUUUCCAAUUUUAUCAUCACAACAUGUAUAACUAUCUAAAUGACUUGCCAUCCUUGGAUCCUGAAUUGUAUCGCCACCUUAUUUUCUUAAAGGUGUGUAUUCCCUGGUAUCACUUUUAGCUGAUACCACACUUAGCCUGUUCAUCAAUGAUCUAGAUCAAUCUAGUAUCCUGGUAGAAUCUUUUUCUCACUUCUUAUCUUAAAUUAUGAAGGUGACAUUCCUGAACUAGAGCUAUAUUUUGUUAUUAUAAACAAUGAAUAUGGAAAGCAAAUUGAAGAAGAGCUACUUCCUGGAGGAAAAAACCAUCGUGUCACCUGUGAAAAUGUCAUCACAUUCAUUCAUCUUGUUGCCAAUCAUCGUUUGAACUUUCAGCAUAGUUUGUCCCUUGUUUAUCCAAUGUGUCUCCCUACUCCAAUGUUGAUUGAAAACAUGUCCUCCUCAGAUACGACAGCAAAGUUCUCAUUUUUUGAGAGGGAUUCAGCAGCUUAUACAGAAAGAAUGGAUCAACAUGUUCAAUGAGCAUGAAUUCCAGGUAUCACUAUACCGUUUGAAGAAAUUCUACCAGAGCUAAAUAGCGAUCAAAUCGGUUACGGUAUUCUUCUACAUUCGUUUUCUGUUUGAUUGAGAAAAAUCUUCCAACCAAAGUUCCUUCUCGAAUUGAUCAAAACUGUACAAGCAUUCGUUCUUUCAGGGCAGCCCAAUUCUUAAAAACUUCCAACUCUUCUUGUGCUUGGUACCAAUCCAAUGCCAGAUCAUCAAAACUAGUAACGCCUGUGGUUAAUUUCUCUGAAUCGGUAAGAUCAUGUAUCUUAAAGAAGCGAUAGGCUCUAAAUGUGAGACUCAUUUCUAAUUUGAGUAAUGAACUAAAAUUUGGCUAGGUAUUAAGAAUUUGGCAUUUGAAUAAAUCCAUGAAAAGGAUUAAGUGAUAAAAAAUUUUAUGGUUAAGUAUACGUUAUUGCGCUUCAGUGGGUAGUUCGCGAAGGAAGUUGUGCGACUCAUUUCUAAUUCCAGUAAGGAAGUAAAAUUCGGCUAAGAAUUAAGAAGUUGGUGUUCGAAUAAAUCCAUGGAAAGAUUAAGUGAUAUGAUCUUUUACGGUUAAGUAUACUUUUAAGGUUAUGACUUAUGAACUUGUAUUGAAUAUUUGUUAGGUUGUUUUGAAAGUUCAAGUGAAACUUAGACACGUUUUGAACUCAUUUUAGGUUGGUUUGAAACUAAGUUUUACACACAUUUGAUUGACAUGUUGGGUCUUGAAGUACUUUUUUCAUACUUUUUGAAAUUUUGGUAGGUUGUGAGUUACAAACUUACACUUAAGCAUUGCUUGGUCGUUUUGAAAAUUCAAGUGAUACUUACACACGUUUUGAAUACAUUUUAGGUUAGAUUGAGUUUGUUUGCACUUGGUUGUCAUUUUUUGUCUUGAAAUGCUUUUUUCAACCUUUUGGUAGAUUUAUGAGUUACGAACUUACACUUAGGAUUUGCUAGGGUCAUUUUGAAAACUCAAGUAAUACCUAGACACGUUUUGAGCACGUUUUAGGUUGGUUUGAAACUAAGUUUGUUGCACUUACACACUUGGUUGCCAUUUAGGGUCUUGUAGUGCUUUUUUCACACUAUUUGAACUUUUUUCAUAAGUCAUGAGUUAUGAAUCUACAAGUAAGCUGUUUUAGGUCGUUUUGAAAGUUCAAGUGAAACUUAGACACGUUUUGAACUCGUUUUAGGUUGGUUUGAAACUAAGUUUAAAACACAUUUGAUUGACAUGUUGGGUCUUGAAGUACUUUUUUCACACAUUUUGAAAUUUUGGUAGGUUGUGAAUUACAAACUUACACUUAAGCAUUGCUUGGUCGUUUUGAAAAUUCAAGUGAUACUUACACAUGUUUUGAAUUCAUUUUAGGUUAGAUUGAGUUUGUUGCACUUACACACAUGGUUGUCAUUUUUGGUCUUGAAAUGCUUUUUUCAACCUUUUUGGUAAGAUUAUGAGUUACGAACUUACACUUAGGAUUUGCUAGGUCGUUUUGAAAACUCAAGUAAUACCUAGACACGUUUUGAGCACGUUUUAGGUUGGUUUGAAUUAAGUUUGUUGCACUUACACACUUGGUUGCCAUUUUGGGUCUUGUAGUGCUUUUUUCACAAUGUUUGAACUUUUUUCGUAGGUUAUGAGUUACGAACCUACACGUAUGCUGUUUUAGGUCGUUUUGAAAGUUCAAGUGAAACUUAGACACGUUUUGAGCAUGUUUUAGGUCGUUUUGAGUAAAUUGUAUGUAUGUUGUGAUUGUUUGAUUGCAUGUAUGAUACCUUAUUGAGAUGUGAAUGCUUGAUUGAGAAGCUGAUAGAACACCAAGUAAUGGUUCUUAUUUGUUCAUUAAGCAACCAAACUAUUACAGAAUACAAUACUCAAACCAGUCUUGAAAACACAGAACAAAUAAGUACUAUUACAGACAAUAACCAAGUACAAAAUAAAACAUUCAAACAUCAAAAGUAGUUUACGAUAAUGGAAAACACUUUCUAAGAUUAAAGUAACUGAACAACUUCUGUAAUUCUGCUCUCCAGAAAAUACAGCCCCUCCACUUCCAGAAACUGAUUAACCAACCCCCAUCUUUCCUUCCAUCUCUCCCUUUUAACCUCCCCCCUGUAACUAACUGUUGUCCCCACUAAGGUGGUUUCCACUUCCUCCAAUUCCAUCACCUGUGCACGUGCAAUUCCACUUGUCUUUCUUCUGCUAUAUUGUAUUGCAAUUGGUGGUCUAUCAUUACUCUCCCUCUCCAAAGACACCUUGUUCUCAAGGUGGGAAAUGAGGAAGCUUUUGUGUAAAAUCAUCACAAUUCUCCCAUGUAGCCUCAUGAGGUGGUAUUCCUUUCCAACUAACAAGCACUUCCCACUUCUUUGUUGCUGGAUUUUUAGGAUAGCCAAAAUUGUCUGCUGGUAGUAACUCUUGAAAUGUAGGAACAUCAUCAAUUCCAUAUAGUUCGGUAAAUGUCAUUCCUCCCUCCAUAGCUCGACAUUUUGUCAAGAAACCGUAAUCAGAUGGUGUCCAUGUCUCCAUCAUGUGUUACAGACUCACUCUAGUCUUUGUCAAACUCGGGUCACCCCUUAUAACAACAUUCUUUUCAUUUUGUAUGAAAGUUAAAGUGAGUUUCCGCCAAUCCACUUCAGUUACCCCAACGUGUGCAGCCAUUGCAUUCCAAGGAUGACAUCAUGAUAGAACACUGAUGUAGUGUUUCUAUUAUAUUGACAAUUCAAACACAACUUACAACAUAAGCAAACCGUGAACCUCAGAAAAUGAGUCACGUUACAUAUAAUUCACAAACAUCAAACAAAGAAAACCUCCUAAUCCAAAAUUCCGAACAACAAAAUACUAAUAAGCAAACCAGAAUAUAGAACACCAAUCUUCUGCUUCCCCUGUCUUUCAAGGAGUAUUGCAGACCUUUUCCUUCACUCCGAAAACUCACUUUAACAAAGAGGCAGCCACAUUUUCAGGUACAGAAAAUAAAGUAGGUAGUAUGUAGGAAGGCUAACCAGAACUGAGUUGCAUAAGGUUUGUCUUCCGCCUCUAGAGAUGUUAUAUCUUUUCCACCUUUCAAGUUUCUUGUGAAUUCGAUCAAUGACUGGUUGCCAAAAAGACUUUUGUCGAGGGUAGCCUCCCAAAGGGAGACCUAAAUAUAUAAUCGGAAGCUGGAAUAAAAAGAGAAAGAGUAUCAUCGACAAAUUGAAGCAAAGGGAGGUGGAUCAAGUCUUUGCCAACAAGGAAACCUUCAAACUGGCUGUUAAUAUGAAGCUUGUUUAUGAUUUCUCCUAAAACCUCACUUACUAGGAGGAAUAAAAAGGGGGAGAGGGGGUCCCCUUGGCGGAUACCUCUAGAUGCUGUUAUCCGGCCUCUAGGCUUACCAUUGAUGAAGACUGAAUACUUUGGAUUUUUUAGGCAGCCCAUUAUCCAUGAUAUCCAUUUUGAACUAAACUUUUUCAAAGAUAAAUUUUUGUCUAAAAAAGUUCCAAUUCACCCUAUCGAAGGCUUUUUCCAAGUCAAGUUUUAAAAUUCAUCCUUUUUUUCCGUUUUGCCCUAUAAUCUUCCACGGCCUCGUUAGCAAUUAAUAUUGGGUUAAGAAUUUGCCUACCUUCAAUAAAGGCGCUUUGAGUGGGGCUUAUAAUUGCAUCCAUAACUUGUUUUAGACGUUCAGAUAAAACCUUUGCAACAACCUUGUAUGCUAACGUAGUAAGGCUGAUUGGACGGAAAUCCUUGACUAGAGUCACAUUCUCUUUUUUCUGCACUAAACAAAUGAAGUUUUCUUGGAUGCAAGCAUUUAAUCUUCCAUUUCUGUGGAAAUCAGACAUUAGUGAUUUGAAGAUAUCCUUGAAAAUAGACCAUUGGGUGAUUAGGAACUUCACUGUGAAGCCAUCCGGGCUCGGAGCUUUAUUGUUGCCAAGUGCCUUUAAUGCCUUAAAGAUCUCCUCCACUGAAAAUUGGGUAACAAGAGCCUCAUUCUGAAUUGAGGAAACACAAGACCAAUUACUGUUAAUAGGGAUGAAUCUGUCCCCCGGAAUUCUGGUAUAAAGUGACUCAAAAAAUUCCAGCACAAGCCUUUCAAUGUCGCGGAAUGAAGUCGAGACAACCCCAUCAUCAUUUUUUAAUUCAGUUAUGAGGUUCCUUCUUUUUUUCGCAUUUAGAAACUGGUGGAAGAAGCCCGUAUUCUCAUCACCGAAAGAAAGCCAAUUGAGUUUACUCUUCUGAAUAAAAUUACGCUCUUCGUUUUGAUAAAUACUAAGUAAUUCCGCUUGCAAAGCAGCUCUAGAAUUCAACUCUUCUUGAUUUAAUCCAAUCAACUCAGCCACAGAAUCAUAUUUUUCUAAUUUUGACAUCAAGGAUUUCUCUGUUUUUUUUUUACCUUAGCUUGCGCAGCAAUAUUCCAAGCUUUUACUGCCAAUUUAACUGAUCUCAACUGCUCAUGAAGAAUGAAACCAGCCCAUCCCUGGAAGUUAGAGUUGCUCACUGUUUCAACAAUAAUCUGAUUAGAAUCACUGGACACCAACCAGCUGUUACAAAACCGAAAAGGAGAGGGACCUCAAAGAAAAGAACCAGCCUCCAAGAAUAAAGGAAAGUGAUCCGAGAAGAUGCGUGCUUUUCGAGAAACCCGAGAAUUUUCAAAACAAACAUCCCACCUCUGAUUUAUGAAGAAUCUGUCUAAUAAUGAUCUUCAAGGAGAAUUACCGUCUCUAGACCAAGUGAACCUUCCAUUUUGCAAUGGAAUUUCCAUGAGAGAAACCAUGUGAAUAAACUUAUUGAAUAAUGACAUUCCUCUAGUACUUCUGCCAAAAGGAAAUCUUUCCCGGGCCCAACGAGUGAUAUUAAAAUCCCCACCUAUGCACCAGGCCACGGCCGAACAAUCAGCCAAGGAAGACAAUUCGGGCCAAACCAAUUUCCUUUCUCUGCAACCACAAGGGCCAUAGACAUUUGUGAUCCAACAAACCUUUUUGCACAAAGUGAGGCAUUUGAUUGACAAAGAGAGGCGUCUUUUAAUGACCUCUGUUACAGAUAUUUUACUGUUGUCCCACAUGGUAAGAAUUCCCCCAGAAGAUCCAACAGAAGCCACAUAAUCCCAGCCAAUAUCCUUAGAACUCCACAAUGAUUUUAUAAAAGCCGAGUUCAAGGUGUCCUUAGAUUCUUGAAUCAUGACUACAAUUGUUGAUGAAUUUUUUGAGUGUUGCACGUUUAGAUGAGUUGUAAUAUGCAUUAUGCAUAUAUGUGGUUCUGAGUUUGUAUAAAUAUUAUUUCUUAUAGUGUAUUUAGUUUCUUUAAAAUAAUAAUAAUAAUAAUAAUAAAUAUAAAAAAAAGUUUCUUUUACGAAAUUUUAUACAUUGUCCAACUUUUUACUGAAUCAAACUCCAAAAAUAUUGAAUCCAAAAAUAAUUAAAGAAAUUGUAAUGUAUAACCAAAGAACUUGUAUAUUUUGUAAAUACAACAUAGUUCUGAUUUUUUUUUUAUCUUUCACUUUUUUUUUGUCGUGAAAAAUUGUUUUAUAAAGGAUUAGGAGUUUAGUGAAAUAACUCUCAAAUUCCCUAAUGGAUAGCUAGUUUUAAUACUCCUAACGUAUGCAACUUUAGUGGAAUCUGGAUGGAUAUUAUUGGAAUAACUCCUAACGUCAAAUAAAAAGCCUACAUCAGAAACUUCUUUUUAAAGGAACAUGACUCUUUUAAUGGAUAAACAAGUCCUCUGGACGGGGUCCAUAUGAGAAAAGAAUUCUAGAAAGUUUCUUAUCAAUGAUCUUUGUCAAUAUUCUUCCUUUGCAAAAUGAACCAAAAAUCUUUGCAAUAUUCUUCGUACCUCCUACUCAUCCUCUAGACUUGUUUAUCCAUUGAACAAAAACAAAGGCUCCAUAAGAUAGGGUAUUUUUGGGAUAUUGCCUAAAAUCAAGCGAAAAUCUUCUAUAUAUUUUUUUGUGCCCAACUCUUCUAUCUUAGAUUUUUAUCUUUCUAUAUAUUCUCAUUUACAAAGAUCAAGCCUAGGUCUUGAACUUUUUCCAUGAGAAGUGGAACCCUCUAUUGAGGUGCUGAGAACGAUAAUGUACGAGUCAGUCUGUGAAAAACUCACAACUACUACGUGGGCUUCUUCAUCCUAAUCGAAUUUGCGGAAAUUCCAUCAUCUAUCCCAUGAAAGGGAAAUAGAAUUGAUUAUGUAUAAUAAUCAGUGACUUUGAAAGGAGUGCAAAAGAAAGGCAGAGGAGAAAAGGCGAGACCAAAAGCUUUACCGUCUUCUUUUGGAGCAGGAAGCCUCAUUCCUUCUUAUUUCCUUUUAUUCAUUCCCAGUUUCAGCUCUUCUUGCUAAGGAUGGAUCACUCUUUCAUUCGUGAGGUUAUUAGAUAAGUGGCUUAAAAGGAGAAAUAAUAGUCGAAAUACCGUAGGUAUUAGCUCGAAUUCAGAAAUGCAAGGUUUUGACUCCCUCGCUCCUAUGCCUUCCUAUGCCUUUCAUCCUAAAGUUUCUGAAACUUCCUUUUAUUUCCAGGUAGACUUUUGAGAGCAGGAAGACAACUAAUCGUGCUGGUUGGAGUCUCCAACGAGUAUCUGGAUCUCCCCUCCUCCUCAAACCUUUUUUCUUAAAUGCGCUUCUCACGCAUAUUGAAUUGUGCCUCUUGGCACUACCCAUAAUGAUCCUUCUCAUUAUUUAAGUGCAUUUGAACUUCUAAGUCGAUCUCUUGUGAUAAAUGGACAUGAUACCUUCUUACAGAAAGACAAUUGUACCAGUUUGUAAUUAGGUUCUGCGUUGAAGACCUUAUUUGUAAAGCUCUCUAGAAAAUAGAUGAAAACGAAGUGAAAGAAUUUCAUUUUGAUGCUUCACUCAAUUUUUUGAGGUUGAAAAAGAACUGAAGGGGUACGAUCGACCCACGGGGUGUGGCUCAUGGUGGUUAAGCUAGUGGCUAUCUCAUUGCUUAUGAGAAUUUCACAUUCAUACUCUUCAGAAAGGUUUUCUCGUAUUUGGCAUCCAACCUGAAUGACAUCUAGAAUGGUUAAUAAUUUCUUCAUGCCUUGCUUAGCUUCUUCUUGAUUCCCAAACUAACGAGACAAAGGCAAGGAAAAGAGGUUCAAAGAAUAUUGACAGUCGCGGCAAAGGUUGAGGUCUCAAGAAUCUUCCCCUAAUCUCAUAUACUCUAUGGUUGUCCUAUAUUCAUGUAUAUCAAGAAAAGCUAAAAGACAGACACCCAUUCACUUGUCUUAGUGUACAUAAAGUCAAAUUAUUCGAUUUGACAUUCUUCCAUUUCCUAAAGUCCUAAAAACAAGGUGCGUGCAGACGCGAGGUUCUAAUUGAUCAGUAGUUGAAGGAGAGAAAGUAGCUUAUUUCUAAGAAAUUCUUAUUACUAUGGUAUGAUGAACAAGUAAGAAGGAGGGAAGGAAAAAGUCCCAACAAAAGGAACCUACGACAAGGAAGGAAAGCCUAUUACCCACAAGAGUGCAGAAUCAAGGAAAAGUUGCGGGUACGAGCUCUCUUUCAUUCGUCGAACUCAAGCAAUCUCCGUUUAACACCUCUACUAAACUGAAUUAGUUGGCUUUUCCAAACUAGUAAAAAGACUAGAAACCUUGGACCUAUGGCUAUCCAACCAGGUCUUUCCACAUAAAGGGGAAAGAGGUAGAAAGGAAUAGCGAAGAUGAGUUAAAGAUCAAGAGGCAUCAAAAUGAAAUUCUCCUUAUAUCUUUUCUUUCGAGAUGAUUAACUUCCUUAUUUUUAUAUCUUGAGUCUAUCUUCUUCUUUCUUUAUGUAAGACCCAAACUUUGGGUAGUGUAGUCUUUUUCAAAGAGUUUAAGAGGUUUGAAAGAAGGAAAGUUUUUGGUUCAAUAUCAAAGAAUAGUACUUUUUAGGCGUAUUGGGUUGACUUGGCAAAAUGGUUUUAGAGGUUAGAAAGGGUUUUGAGUGUUUAAGGUUGGCAAGAAAGAAGGAUUAAAGAGGUUAGGUGUUUUAGCUAACUUCAGAAAGGAGUUUCUCACAACUCGGAAAAUUACACUCAAUCUAGACUUGAAAAUUCAUAAUUUGAGUCUAGUUUAUUGAAGAAGGUUGUUGGGCGUUUUGGAUAUGAGAAAGUUGAUGUUUGGACAAAAGAAGGCAAGAGGGUCAGUUUGCGAGUGAAUCUGAGCAAGCUACACUCUUAGAACGCUACAGAACGCAUCGUUUGGCGUUUUCUUCCCUCAAAAUUUCAGGAAAAAUUUUUUAGGGAAGAAAACACAUUUAGAGAAACUUUGUAGAAGAAAGUUUUGUCAAAAUAGUUAUGGAUUUUAAGUUAUAACUUUUCUAAGUUGGGUUAUGUAGUUUGGGCGAGAAACUAGGUGAGAUGACCUUGGAAGUUAACUAUGCGUUUUGGACAACUAUGUGGCAUGAUAAGGGCAAGCGGUUUAAGGUUUUAGUGAGGUGUAAAACCUUGUUAGCAUGCAUUUUAAGGUGUAAAGUAAGUAGGAGGUUCCUUAAGAAGGUUUAAGGUGAAUUUAAGCAACGAUGAGGUGUCAACUUGUACUCAUGCAAUGAACUCUAUAAAUAGGCCAAAUUUAGUAUUAAGUUUCUCACAAUCCACUCGAGUGUUUUAAGUGAAAUUAGUCUUAAAAGUUUUCAUUUUGAGUCUAUUUUCUAAGUUGGGGUUUUUGAUUUAAUUUGAGUAACGGAGAGUUGCGUUUUGGCGGUAGAAAGCAAGAAAGGUCAGAAUACAGGUGGUUCUGAACAAUGUGGACUUCCAGAGGGCUGUAGAGUACAUCCGUUGGAAUCUGAAGUUGAAAAUUUUAGGUAUGAAUAACAAGACGUUUUUCAACAACUUUGUAGAAGGCUAUAUGUUUAUUUGAGUUCUGGAUUUGAAGUUCUAAAGCUCUUCCUAAUUAUGGUUGAUUAAUCAUUGAUGUCCUUAAAAGUAGAAACGUGACAUAUCAUGUAUGCCCUUAAGUAUCUCAGGCUUGUGUAGGCCAAGUUCAACAAAGAAAAUCAAUUAUGUUUAAUAAGGAAGAAAUAAAAUAUAACUUGUACAAAUAUUCUGAAAAUCAAAUGAAUAAAUGGAGUAAACACAAACUAUAAUUAUAAACAUCCAGAAGGGUCAAAUGUCUACGAAUAGACUAAUGAGAUUCAAAAAUACCAGUCAUGCUUGCAUAACUGACUGAAAAAAAUGUAAUGUUUCCAAAAGAUGCCGCAUAUCUCAAGUCCAUUAUAAGAAAACCUAAUGUUCUUCAGUUUGUAGUAUCAACAAUGCAUGAGUAGUGUUAAACAUGUCAUUUCAUUUAGUUUGCGAACUACUAUGGCCUUCCUCUAUUCUCAUUCAUUCAUCAUCGAUCAAACAAAGUUAAAGAAAUUUGAUCACAAAAGCUCUUUCAAACAAAAAAAUAAAAAUAAAAACAAACAAAUAAUUCAAAAAAAAUUAAUUAUACCAAACAAGGAAUAAUUAACUAAACAAAAUGUAAGGGAUGAAUCUUAAGAAAACAAAUUACUAAAACCAUAUCUCAUACAAAUUUAGGGGGUUUUUUUGUCUAUCAAAUAAACCAAUAAAACAAUGAACUUCAAGAAUUAAAAUUCACAAAAAUAAUUCAAUAAAAGAAUGGCAAAAAACCUCAAUAUCACAAAAUUAAUAAGACGGAAUAGAUGCAUUCUACAAACUUGUUUUAUUGCAUGCUCACCACCCCUUCCAAAAUUUAUUUGAUAAAAAUUUAGUAAACUUAAAACACAGACAAUAACAAAAUUGUUGCAAACCUGCAUUUACUGGUCAAUGUCUUUAAAUCAGCAUUCUCUGACGUCAAUUCUUGAUUUUUAACUUCAUAAGCAUCCACCUAACCAUGAGACAAUUAUGAGAAUAUUUUAUUUAACCACUAACAAUCAUGCUCAUGCACAGACAUUUAAAAUAGAGGUUUUAACAUACUAUCCUUUUAUAGAAAUCGUUAUCAGUUUUCUUGCCAUUCCAAGUUCCACGUCGUCACCCUUCUUUCUGUUCAUAUCAUACAUUACAAAAGCCAGUAAAUGAAAGGAAUGAUCCAUUAUGGGUAAAAUAUUGAUAAAUAACUAAAAUAUACUUGUAGCAAAUUCAUUAUCUCCGUUCCUGAUAUAGAUUCUUUCUUUUUCUCCAUUAAGACUUGACUUGGUUUAGACAUACAAAAACUCCUAUCUAACUUGAAUCCAACUUGAGCCUAGAACCGAAAAAUAACUAAAAGGUUCUCACCUGCAAUUUGAUGUACUCCUUUUCUUUCUUCUUCAUCUCAUGUAUUUGUUGAGUUCUUACUUGCUUUGCACACAAACAGAAAACAACAUUAGUACUAAAAUUAUUACAUAGAAACUAGUAUCUAUCUCACAGCAUCCAACUACCAUAACCUGAUUGCCAAUAACCCUUCUCUGGAGUUCAACAUUUUCCUACUGUAGCUUGUCAAUUUGAGCUUUAAAAGCAGCCUUACCUUUGGCUUCCUGUGGAAAAGAACUUCCUUGUUCAAUGUUAAAUAGAGAGAAAUCAUAGAAUUUAGACAAGUCUCGAGAUUGUACUAUUCGUGUAACUGUUGCAAUCUCCCUAUCUUUAACUUGUACUACCGACUUUAGCCUCUCAACUUUGGUCUCCAACCUUGAUAUAUCUUAAUGUAGCCUGCCACAAGAAAAUAAAGGUGACUGAAUACAGGGAACCAUGGUUGUGUGAAGGAAUAUUAAAAAGCUUUGCAACAUCAUUACCCUGAAAUGAACUACAUUUAUUCCAUAUCUUAAACCAAUCUCCCAUAACAAGAAAUGAACCAAAAUUAGAAACAGUAGCUCUUUCAACACUACCGAAAGACAUAAUCUCACGAAGACACUUGGCAAUAAAAUCGAAUCUUUAACGCAUCACCAUUCUCAUCAAAUGUUAAACAAAUCUGCUGAAUCAGUACAAAACCACAUGUUACUUGGAUCAAAUGCAACGGUCCUUACCACCCAAGGUGACUACUUAUGACCUAUACACCGAAAGACAAGUGUUGAUUUUUAUGGGCACGAAGUGGCAGAAUAUCCCAUGCAAGAUACACAUAAUAAUUCAUAUGAGAUGUUAAAUCAUAAAUGAGAGAAUAAUAAAGUCAACAGAAAGAGACAUAAAAACGGCCAGUAUGCAAUUAUCAUUUCAGUUACUAUUCUGUUAUUUUCAACUAUUAGUAUUCUUUUUUCUCAAAUAUAAUGUACUUUCUAACUCCAUGUGGCGUUUAUUUCAAUCACUGCUUCAGAAAAGCAAGCUUAAGAUUUUGUUUCUAUUUAUUUUUUAUAAGAAGCAGGAAUGUAUAUAUUCAACAAAAGAGCCGAAAAAGAACAGUGCAUAAAAAGUUAUCCAAUGGAGGGAGAUGGACCAAAUUUGGAGCUUUCUUUGAAGUUUCUCAUAGAGUAUUUAGCAUCUAUAGGCUACCGACUAGAGGCUAUUUAUCCUAUAAGUUGUGGAAUACAGGACGUUUAUAUACAAGUUGAAUUAAAUUGGACCAUGAGGUUGUAAGGUUAAAACUUCAACCUCAUCCCACUUUUUUCUCAUUUAAAUAAAUUACAUCUGAAACACUACUGAGAUCCAUGACAAAAAACACAUAGAGCAAUAGGAAAAAUAUAUAUAUAAUAUAACUAACCCUACUAUUUCUCCAUGGAGCAUGCCAAACCGAACGUUGUCACUUGCUUGGAAUUCUUUCCAUAAUUGCAGAUAUUGACCCUAUAAGACCACGGAUACUAAAAAUGUGAAAAGAGCAGGCUUAAAGGGUGUCGCCUAACAAAUAAAGCUCAACAAUGAGGAGCUUUAGGAAUGUCGAAGGCCCAUUCACGGUAUCAAUCAUAUGUGAUAUGUCCAAAAAAAAGGGGGAGAGCGUGUACUACAAAAUCAAGAACUGAAGAGCUUUCAACAUGUCAUGCUUGAUGAUUUGACAACUAAUUACAUAGGUUUCUAAGUAUCAUAUUGAUGUCAACCAGAGGCCUUAACCCCUGAAACAUAGGGAAGGAAGCAAGCAAGAUUAAGACUCCAGCUAUAGCACAUAUAUAGUUAAAUUUCAUGAUUUUCAUCCAUUAGAAAGGUAUAAAAAAAUUUAUAAACCUUCCAGAUGAACCAGAUGCAGAAACAAUAGUUGAACAUCUACCUUUAAGGCCACCAUCGUUUCUGAAAAUAAAAGAUAAUAUAGAUAGAUUAGUGACAAUUCUACCAAAUAAAAACAGAACUAAAUAAAAAAAUAUUAAUUUACCCCUUACGUUAAAACUAUAAACCAAACAAAUGGGAAAUGGCUGAAAAUUUAAGAUUUGAAUCAAAACAAAGAAUACAUUCAUCACACGUACCCCAAACCUAGAUUUGAAGAUUUAUUCGUGAUUUAGGCUCGACAACAUCAAUAAAAUGAAACAGUUCCCACCACAAAUAUGGAUGUCAUUUGCCAAUUGUUUCUCUGUACAGUCGCUCAUACUUCUAAGUUAUAACAAUUCAAAUAAAGCUCGUGAUUCACAUCAAAAAUUAAAUUAAAUACAAUACAAGAUAAAACAAUAUUACAACAAAGAAAGAUCCACUAAUUUUCAAUCCCUGUUACCUAGUUAGCCUAUGUACAUUAGUUUUCUUCAUCAGACUCAAAAGACUGGUGUUUUCUCAAAGAUUCAAUCACAUUCAAACGUGAAGUAUUUGUGCCAUUGUUUCCACCAGUACGAGACUUGAGUUUAGGCAAACUUAGAGAACCGAGAGGCGGUGUCGAAGUCCCUCUGUUCACUUCUCUAAGCACAGAUUUUGCUGUGGCUGCAGCAGCUGCAUCAGCAAUGGCUGAAGCAACUUUCGAAUCAUUUUGAAGUUUUGAGGUUAGGUUGUUAAGAACACUUACAGCUUGAGGAGGAGCCUCAGGAGAAAGAUAGUUAGUUGACUUUUGCAUCUCGUUGACUGCCUCAGCAACGGCUGACUUGGCUUUGGUACAUUCAUAUCUUUGAAUGUCAUAGAGGAGCUCUUUCUGAAGUUGCUUAUCAGCUACCAAUAAGUCAUCAAUUUCGUUCUUGUAGUCCUUGAGAAGAACUCGAAGGCAUUCCAUGAGGGAACCUAUUAUUAAAGAAUAUGAAUAAAAUGUUAAAUAUGUCUUAGGAUCAAUUUGAAAGGACUUUUUAAGUGUUCAAAAACACUUUUUAAAGCACUUACAAAACCGUCCCAAACAGGCACUUCACAUUUCAAUUUAAAUUAUUUAAGUUUUGGAGUAUUCGUACCUAUAAGGGGGCUAUUCUUGCUUUCCAUUAGCCUUUUUAACUCAAUGAAGAUGGGUAUGGUGUUUUGUAUGAGACUCUUUCUCACUGCGUGAGUGAUGACCUUUCCUCUAGCAGCAGAUGCUCCUCCGCUCUCACCCCUUCCUCACCUACAUCACCAGAUUCUGAUGAUGAUACUCGAUUUAUUGAUAGUCGAAUCUCUUUACAAGCAAGAAUCUCAAAGGUAUCCUGCGCUUUCAGCCAUGGGGAACUAAUGAGAUUCCAGAUCGCAAAUACUGACAAAAGAAAAUUAGAAUAGCAGCAAAAUUAUUGACUAAAGAUGAUUGAAUGCUUUUGAAUAUGGACUGUAAAAUAGAACGUGCAGUAGUAUCAUCUAUAUUGAGUAUACCAUCGGAUGCUGCAACAAGAACUUCUGCACAUAACUUUGCAAAGGUGGCCAGAAGAUGCUCGGGAGCCAUUUGUUUCAAAAGAGAAACAUAAAUGCGCAUUCUCCUGGACCUCGACCUUUCAUCAUUGCCUCUUCAAAUAUAAAGUUGGAAAGAUAGACAAAAGAUAAUCAUUUUCCAUUACAUGUAACUGUAUAAUAAGGCACAUAGUUCAAACAUUCCUUACCGGAUGGAGAAUGGUCGACUUUCAGCUCGUGAUGCCUUCGAAUCGCUAUGUCCAGAAUGAGCACGAUAGUCAUUCAAAACAUAAAUUGCUUCUAUGAAACUGUUGUAAGCCAAAAGUGGGGCCUUCACUGCAAAUUCAGUUUCACAUUUCAAUUCCAUUGCCACGUUGGAAUGGUAUGACCAAUAUUAUAACCAUGACAGUGGCUAAAAAUGUAAAAUUUUAUAACCUUUCAAAAUGUUACCAAAAAGGUAAUCUGCUAGUUGACGAAUCUUCUCCGAUUCAUCAACAAGUGACAAAAGAAACCGAAGAAACAAAACCCCUCUCCAUUUCACAUAGUCUCUCUGAAAAUUAAAACGAUAUUGCUGAACAUUGUUAAUCACAAACAUGACAGUGAAAAUUGGGAGAAGUUCUUAGGAGUUGGGAAAGAACAAAUUACCUGUAAUAAUCUGGAUAGAAGUAUGAAUGUGUGUCUUCUGACAAGUUCACAAGGAUCGCGAAGGCACUUUGUGAUUUUCGUAAGGUAGCUGUUCAAUUCAGAGUUAGUCUGAUUGUAACAAGGAACAAGUUUAAAGAGAUUCUAUUUCCCUGCCAUUUCAAAGUAUUUGAUAAAGCUAGCAUAUCUCCAAGACUUGUAUCAUGUAUCAGCCUUACCAGUCAACUAGAGCAGUAUAGCGUACACAAAAAUCUGCCAUUGUGAUAAUAAGAUUGUUGCGAAGCGCUGAACAAUCACUAUUUCCAAGCUCCUAAACCAAUAUAAAAGACUUAAAACUUUAAGCAAUUUGAGUUGUGUCGAACAAAAUUUGACUACAUAAAAGACACUGAUAAAGGAAUAUAACAUGAAAUUUUAUAUACGAAAACAAGGAAAAUCUCAUAAAUUCUAGCGCAGACAAUAUACUGUAAGUAAAAAUAGAACUUAAUGAACAAACAAAUGAGUAAAAGUUUAUCUACCAUAUAUAUGAAUAGUCGAAAAGAUUAUAUGAUUGGCUCAUGUAGUAUAUGUGGUAUUAUAAAACCAAAAUGCCAGAGACCUACAUGUAACAUUCAUUCAAACCAUCAAAAGAUCAGGCUACAUGAGUGAUAUGAGGCCUGAGAUUCGAGACUUAACCUGUACAAAUAGAGGAAUGUAACUCUUUGCUCGCUUCUCAUCAGUAAGGCAAAUCUUCCCCAUUGUCAACCAUGCUUGAAUGUAUAAAGAAGGAGCAGUUUCCUUCAGAGAUGCGGUUUGAAUUGGUAGUUUAUUAGAUUUGAGAUCACGGUUUCCAGAAGUAAUAAUGGUGUGGAGAAGUGGUACUAUGGUAGUCAUGUCAGCCGAUGGACAAAUGAGAAUCAAAGAGCCAAUGGUGUAAGCUGCAGUGAUUGCUCGGACAAGGACUUGCUCCUAGCAGAUGCUUUCUUCCCCAUUCGACUACCACUUUUAGGAGGUGGUGUUGUGAAGUUCACAUCUUUGUUUGCUUCCGCAUGGUUGGAUAUGUACUUCUCCAAUAUGUCCGAGGCUUUCGAAAGAAGCUGGUUUACCCAUUUUAGGAUGAGGGCAUCGGCUUCAGUAGAUUGCGAAGCCUUCCGCUUGCACAAUGUUUUAAGUGUUUUUACAUGUGCAUUCACCUACCAAGAUAUCAUCAUUAUUUGAAAAUGCGUGUGAGGUAUCAAGAAAAAGAGACUAAAUAUAUACGUACGUGUUGAUCUUUAAAAAUUGGUGAUUAACAGGAAAAGUAGAGUACUAUAAGAAAAUUCAAACCCAGAACACUUUUUUGGCUUGUAUUUAGAUUAGUGCUUUAUCACUGUACUUUAUUAAUUUUUCAUUAUUCCACAAAUGUUUUUCAGGCCUUUUAUCCGACUGUAUAGAUAUUUGAAACAAUAAAAAAGAAUAGUGAAACAAAAUCAAGAGUGAAAAAAUCCCAAUUGCCAAAGCACAGGGAGCUGCAUUCACACGCAUUGGCUGAUAAUAUCCACACUACACACACCGGCCAUAUAUACGCGUUCACUACAUGUAUUGUCAAAUAAUUCCAAGAAGAAUCUUUCCCCACGUUAAAGACAUUUUAGUAAAACAAUAGCAUACACGUUGAGCUGAGCACAUUAGUAACUAGCCCAAACUAUAGCAUGCAUGUAUAGAGUCAUAGAGAUAAAUAGUAUGUAGUAUAGGACAAUGUCCGGAUGAACAGUGUUCACAUACCAUAGAAGUCUAGAAGAUGAGAUUAUUGUCCAUGGAAGCGUGUUAGAAAACUACGUAUAGGUGAAUAGUUUUAAUUAUCUAAACAAUUGUACCGGAGAAAUAAACCAACCAUGAUGAAGUGUAAAACAAAGUUUGAAAACAAUGAUGUUGAUGCUUACCUCCGUUGGAUGCAUGUUGAAUUCUUCAACCCUUUUAAGCAAUUCAUGAGCUAAAUCUGCUGCAGGUUCUGGAGGCAGCUCAACAGAAACAUUGGAGAUGGUUUGUAAGAGAAAAACCCGAUCUUGAGCCCAAGCGACGGAAUUUGACUCUGAAUUGUUUUUUUCUCCAAAUAAACCUACUUGAGUCACUGAACUUUGAACAGUCCUACCAUGAUCAUCAAGGAGUUUCCAGUGCUGAUGAAGAAAUUCCCAAUCAAUGGCUUUCCCAAGAUAAGUGGACACUUCUGACAACAGGAACCAGGCACCCGGAGGAGCUGUCCACUUCUCUGGAGGCAAAGAUUGGCUUCGCCAUAAGGAUUCAGAUGUCUUUAUAAUUACCUGAAGUGAAUCGGCAAUUGUGCGUUUUAAUCGUUUCUUUUUUCCUAAGUUGGCACAAACUUUCUUCACCCAAGGAAUUACCUCUGCAUGACUUAUCUCUUUAAGAAGAUCCAAUACUCCUUUAGGUAAACUUGAAGAUUCAGCUCUAGCCAACCGGUCUAGCACUAGUUCUUGAAACGAGUGUUCACACUCUUCUUGAAUGCUAGAUUCAUUGUCAGCAAUCAAACGUGGAAUUGAGUGUAGCCACUCGACCAUGACACUUCCAUCUGGGAAUCUUCGAAAGGCCUAUAGAAGUAAAUAUAGAUUCAAUGAUAGACCAAUAGUGAGUGAAGAAUUGAAAUUGUAACUUUUAGCAGUUUAGCCUAGUAAAAAAUAUAAAGCAAAAUAAAACUGUAUAUCAACUUCUAGAAAACAUCCAUAUUUCUAAAGUGGCCAAAUGUCGGUGUCCAACACCAUUAAUGCAUGUGACAUGAUACAGAGACGUCUCCCCUACGUGGCCAAAUUGUCAAACUUACUCCUACUCCUACAUGCCAUCUAAAUACAAAUUAUAUCAACUUUAAACUUAUUGAACUCUUACUAAAAAACCCAACUUAGUGUAAACAUAGGAAUUUACCUCGGAAAGAGCCGACAUUGCAGCUUUCCGUAUGCUAACGAGUGGGUCAGAACAAGCAAUUCCUACCGUCUUUAGCAUAUCACCAUCCAUUGCUCCACCAAGGACGGUUGUACACUUGGUAACCAGAAAUAAUGCAGCCUUCCUAACUGCCGCCUUUUGAUCCACACACCUUUUCCGCAAAAGACCAAGAAUUUCACCAUCACCAGGCCCCAAAAUUUCCUUCAUUAAGGCCUUAUUCUUGUCAUUCUCAGACAGGAACACCACAAGGUGAGCUAAGUUGGUAAGUGCUCGAGCACGAAUUGGAGCACUGGCAUCUGAACAACGUUGAACCAAUGCCACCAAGCACCCAAAAACCCACGAAUCCUUUAACUCAAUUUUCGAAUCAAUGACCAUUGGAUCACUCAAGGACAUUAUCAGCAUUGAGAUGAGAUCAACCGCUAACAGCCUAAGAUUAGACUUUCCUUGAGUCAUCUUCACUGCAUAAUCCACAAACCCAAUUUGAUCGGGUAAUUCCAGCGCUUUAACAACCUCCAUUAUUGAAUCAACUGCUAAACUACGAGGCUCAGAUUUCUCAGGCGCCUUCUGAACCAAAUACCUUGGAAGAUUCACUAGAGCACUCUUAACACCAUCUGAUUCCUUUGCCACCUUCCCUAUUUGAAUAGUCACAAACUCUAGCGCAAACGCUCGCGCCUGAUCUUUAUGAUUAAGAAUCAAUGGUGAUAGAGACUUAAUCACCUCAACAGCAGUAUUCGAUAGAUCCCCAUCCUCAGGACGCAACAUAGCACUCAAAAUCCGCGAACAAAAAUCAGUGAACUUACUAUAGAUACUUAAAUUGGUACAUAUUUCAAGUGCCAAAACAGGAAUAUCAAUUACAGUUUCAAUCAAAGAUUUCAAACUAUCCGGAAAUCGAUCCAAAUGAAUUACACUCAUUAAAAUCUCUAACCUCUCAAGUACGGGAUACAAAACUCUUGCAUCCAAUUCACCAUCAUCGUAUCUGCCACUAGAACUCUGCCUCGGACGUUUCCGCAAACCCUUACCCUUAAAACCGGCUUUCCUCUUCCUUUUGGGAGCACUAGACUCCUUAUUAGAAUCAUCCUGGUCCUGUUGACCCUGUGGUCGCUGCUUCAAGAAUCUCCUCACACACCUGAGAAACGAGAGGAAAUCCAUGGGAUUGAAAAGCGUGAAGACCGGUGCAUUAGAGGCCAAAAGAAGAGAGAGAUAGACUGUAGAGGCUAAAACCGAAACACAGGUGGAAGAUUCAUCCAUGGCGGAAGCAAUGGCGCGAGUAAGAGAGGAAGGAGAGAGGGAUUUAGCCGAGAGGUCCUCGUAGAGACGAUCGAGUGGUUGUUGUUCAUCGGUACUAAUUGAGUUGUCUAACAAAGUUUGAAGGUCGAAAAGAGCGGAUUGGGAGAGCGGAGGAUGGGAAUGGAGAGUUGUAGAGUGGUCGAAAUGGCGAAAUUCUUCGAGCUCUGUGAGAAUUCGAGAAAUGGCUUCCUCCAUGGGAGUGAAGUGUGAAGCCCUCGUGAAGCCGCCGCCGUGUUUUAUAUAAAUUUAUUGAGUUUUAAAUUUUUAUUUCCCGCUUAGACCCUUUCUCCCACCAGCCUCUCAAAGUAUGUAUACUGUAUAGUAACUAAGUUCCAAUGUUUAAAAGUAAAUUAAUGAGCUAAUAUAUAAUGAGUGCAAACUAUAAGCUAAUUUUAGUUGUAGUAGUAAUGCUUUUGCUAGUUGAUGUUUCGUUUGAUUAAACUUUAUGUUGAUAUUUGUUUGUUACUUUAAGUUUCUACGGUAUAUUGUCUAUAUAUUUAAUCAAUCGAGCUAUAUAUACAAUGAUGUUAAUGGCUUAUACAUUUAACCAAUUGAGUUAUUAAAACGACGUUGAUGACUUGCACACAUUUACUUCAGUUGAGUUAUUCAACAACGUUUUGAAUUAAAUGAUAGUCUAACUCAAUACUUCAACCAUAUAUAUGAUAUUAUAACUCAAUACAGUAGAUCGUUUUUAUGUGAAUUGUGAAUAUGUGGUAAUUGACAAUCACAUAUUUAGUUACAAAUUUUUUUUAAAUUCGAGAGUUGUGAAACAAAGUGAUCGAACUCUUUAAGAAAUGACACUACCACAAGUUUGAUAGAAAAUGUUAAAAACAAAGGUUGAGAGUGUUUCUAAAGCAUUUUUUAGUAUAUUUAAAAAAUUAAUUUACCAAUCACUUCAUUAAUUUUAUUGAUUUUUUUAUGUUUUAAAAUUAAACAUUUUAAAAUCAAACCCAACUCACCGUAUAUUGGAAUGAGCUUUGAACAAUUUUAAGAGUUUUUUUUGGGUAAUUGUAGUAGAUAGCCAUUUGAGGAAUAAAAAUUAAGGAUAUAACAAUAUUUUUUAAAAAUUGCAAAUAUAGCAAAACUAUCGUUGAUAGACUUGUAUCGUUAAUAAACUUGUAUCGUUAAUAGACUUGUAUGAUCUAUCCGUGAUAGACCAAUAUUUACAAUAUAGUCUAUUAGCGAUAGACUUGUAUCAUUGAUAGAAUUUGACAAAUUUUGUUAUAUUUGUAAAUUUUUUAAAAAGUUACUAUAUAUUUAAUUAUUUUGAAUAUAAUAGCUAAAUUUGCAACUAUCCUAUUUUUUAACGAUUUGUUGAAAAUUUAAAAUUAAGUUUUUUUUUAUUAGGUAGUGAUAUAUAUAAUAGUAUUUCUUAUAUUAAGAAAAGUUUUUAAAAAAUGUUUGUUUAUAAUACACGGAAAUGGUGAAAAAUAACAAAUUUAAUGAAAAAAAUGUAAAUAUUUUAAUUUAUUUUACUAUUUUUAAAAACAUCUCUAUAAUUUAUCACUUUUUAUUCUAACAAGAAAAUGAAAAGAGAGGUUAAAGACAUCAAUUAUUGUUGUAUGGUAAUGGAAGCAAACUUUGGAAAGAUAAUUGAACCUUGGGAAGAGUACUCCUUGAAUAUAAAUUGAAAUUUAGUUUGGAAUACCAAAUUCAUAACAAACUUUGCUACAAAAUUUCCACAAUAAAUUGGUGUGUGCAAAAGAAAAUGAGCCUUUUAUGGGCUAAACUUUUGGUUCAUUCAUAAUUGGUUUCCAUUUGUUACGUAAUUUUAUUUUAAUCUAAUAAAAUCAAUUGAAUUAUUUAUGACUUUCGUUGGCAUUGUAUUGUCGUUGGAAAGAUAAAGCAAACGAUAUAUGGUUGUUGAAUGUUCUUUACAUCGCAAUAACGCAAGAUUGAAAUAUUCAUAACAUAAAUCGUUCUAUUCAUGAUCAAGAAUAUAUUAUUAAAUAGUUGAGUUAUGUUUAGCAUGACACUCAACAAAAAUCACCCAGUCGAACGAACUUAAGGACAUACAUGCUUUAAAGUUAUUAAAAUAAACUAAAUGAAACUUUACUCAUUGUUAAUUAAUGAUCUCAAGAGCAAAUGGAAGAAGAUCGAAGGAGACCAAAAUUUAUUUCUAACAUUCAAUAACAGUUUGAUAGUUUGUUUAAGGUAAUAAAUAGCUAGAAACAUGUGGAUUUAAACUACUGAUCAUAAAAAAAGAAAGGCGUGUCAAUUAUUGUUGAUAAACUAUAUAUACUAACAUAUAUUGAUCACAUAUUGGUGACAAUAACUAAUUAACAAACGAGCAAGACUAGUUAUUGCAUUUCUUUCUUUGGUACACAAAUAGUUACAAAUAACUUUUCACAUAGACACGAAGUUAAAAUCUUGGAGAUAUACAUGUUCAAAAUUUUAUAGAUUUAUAUAUUCAUGAAACGAGAAGAAUGGUAGAUUGAUCAAACAUAUAUAUAUAUAUAACUACAAAAGUUCAUAUUUAUAAUUUAACAAAAAGAAAGGUAUAAAUAUAAUGUAUAUGGGAAGAAGUGAAAUAAAAAAAGAGAGAGGAGAGUUUCAUAAAUAAUAUAGAGCAAAGAUAUACAAAACAGGAGAGGAAGAGAGAGGUAAAUUAGGCCCACACAAUAAAAAAUGUGAAAAUUGGGAGAAAAGAAAGAGGUUUUGAUGGAUGGGAAGAUCCCCUCCUCUUUUUUCUCUCAUCUCUUCAAACUACCAAAUGUUAUUCUUUGGGAGGAAGUGAUUUGAGAGAUCUCUUAUUCUAAAAGGUAUGAGAAGAGAUAAGAAGGAGGGACUAGACCGUGGUGGUGGUGGAGAGGACGGCAGCAGUGGAAAUGUCAUCUUUCGAGUCACCGAAGAUGCGUUGACGAAAGUCAGAAACCAUAAGGGGAAGGCCCUUUCGAAGGGACACGGUGGGCUCCCAACCAAGAAGGUCCUUAGCUUUAGAAAUGUCAGGUUUUCUUUUAUGCGGGUCAUCUUCCGUGUUCGGUCUGAACUCUAUCUUUGCAUUUGGAUCUAUUGUCUCUUGCACUACCUGCACAAUAACUUUAUUGGUUAGAAAGAAAGUACUUAAACAAAAUAUUUUAGUGCAUCUCGAGUUGCACCUAUAUUUGUGUCACUUAUUCAAAUAUUCGAUGAAAAGCGAACACAUAUAUAACAAUUAUUUUGUUGAUAUGGAACCAUUUGGGUAGCUUCAUAAAAUAGAAUUAAGGAUCUAUAUUUAAAAUAGACUGUAUCAUAUAAAUUAUUAGGAUGUCCUUUUUUAUCACAAUUUAAGUCUAUAGUUUAACUUGUUAGAAAAUAA
rnacentral:lncRNA from 1 species